rnacentral:lncRNA from 1 species
AAACAUGUUAGGGUAAAAAAAUUAUAGAAUGAUAUUCUAUACAAAUGUUAUCCAAAUAUUAAUACAUGUUAUACAUUUAUAUCAUCAGAAGUUUAAUGUAUGUCAAGUUUUUGCAUCACUGGACAGAUAACAAAUCCUUGAACCUUAUCGUUUUGGAAACAUUAAAUGGUUUGAAGUUUAAGUGCAUGAAGUUCGGUUAACCCAAGCAAAUACAGUGGUGUUAGAUUUUUUUUUUUUUUGAAAAAUUUUUACAAGAGAAGGUAGUCAAAUAUAAGGGACAAAAAAUGAGUGUGAUUACAUACAUUCAUAUGGUAAUUUUGAUGUAAAUUAAAUAGAUUAAGGAGUGUAUAUAAUUCAGAGGUAUGUGGUAAUUUUAGAAUUUUUAUAGUGAAUCAACCCUUUUUUGUAUGUUUAUUUAAUAUCCUUACCUCUCGUCUGGUCCACAGUAAUGUCCAAAAUAAAAUGGUCAUUUACCCAAAAUGGCAGAAUUAAAUAUUAGUAUCAUUCUAGUGUAUGACACAUAAGUCAUAAUGGAAUUUUGAUUCAUUUUUGAAUAUUCACUAUGAUCAAUAUUUAGAUGUCAGAAUAGAAUACAACUAAUACAUAUUUGACUUAAUUAUCCUAUAUAUGCUUAUGACUUUUAUUUUAUUUGCUCUCCUAUUUUAAUUUUUUGUUUACAUGGAAUUUUUAUUAUGUAAAACAUAAAUUAUAUGAACCAAAGGAAUAUCAUAUAAUUUUUAUUUUUAUUAUGUUAUCAUUUUUUAUAUGUAAUUCAAAAAUAUUCCAAACAACUAUUCAAAAGUCAAAGAAUAAAGUAUCUCAAAACAUUUGUUUACUUGUAAAAAGAAAAUUUUAUUUAAAGUAUAAGAAAAAUUUUAUACAUUCAAUUAUUAAUUAGGCUCACAAAUGUCUUAAGAUAGAUUUAUAAGGAUAAACUUGACAUUCUGCUAUAUUGGGUUUUUUAAGAUGAAGUUGGAAAGAACUUUUCUUAAAGUUUUCUUAGAAAUAGAAUUCUAGGAAAAAGUUGGAAUAAACAUUUCAAGAAGAAUAGACUUUCCAUUUAAAUGAUCUAUGUCAAACCAAUGAAAUAGAUAAGUUAUAAAAGCCUUUUCUUUCGAGACUAUUCCUACAUGCCAAACAUAGUUUUAGGGUACAGAAUGAAAUCGAUGUUUUCAAAAGAUGAUUAGACUGAACUCGUUUGGUUGACUGAUUGAACGAAGAAUCAACUUAGAAUAAUAAAUAUUUAUCAUUCAAAAUGAUCUAUAGCAAUUUAGGUUGACUAUGGAAAGAGUAUUCCGUUUAAAUGAUCUAUACCAAACUUAGAAUGGAAUGACUAAGUUAUAAAGUUUUUUUUAGGCUAUUCCUGCAUACCAAACAUAUGGUUAAGGUACGGAAUGAAAUUGAUGUUUUCAAAAUAUGACUAGACUGAACUAGUUAGGUUGACUGAUUGAACCAAGAAUCGGGUCUGUCACCAGAUUUUAGGUUGAAGUAAGAAAAAAUAAACAAUGAGUCAAACUCAGACAUAAACCGAUCAAAUUGGACAAAACUGAUAAAACUCCAACAGUUGAACAGGCUAGCCACUAGAAAUUUUUUCGCUUUAUAUAUUUUGUAUCAUUCAAAAUUUCUAAUUAUAGACUAAAUAUAAAAAAUGGACUUUUAAUUGAACUAGUGCUCUCCCUGGGUUAGCUCUUCUAGUAGCAAGCGCCUCUUCAGAGGGAUUAGUCGGGUCGAAGGUCCGGAUACCCUUUGUGUCUGAAAACAAAAAUUUGAACUAGUGGUUGAACCAUGAAGGCAUGAACCAAAAGAUCAUUUGGUUCAUUCAACCAUCCGAGUUUAAUAAUAUUGAGUUCAGUAAACCUUAAAAACCAAAUAGAUUUUGAUCUUGCACAUCGGAGUAAAGGAGGAGGAUGCCAUUUAAUAAGUUGUCACGUCCAAGUCAUCUAAACUAAAAAACAUUUGUAUGAUACUACCAAACAAAAUCUAAACCUUCCAGCCUAGUGCAAGUCACUGCCUUCAAAACUAGUACUAGAUGAUUUAUUACCAAUAAACAAAAUUCUUUUCAGAGUUGAAACUAAUUAUAACUUCUCAUAGUGCGAUGCAAUUAAAGAGAUGGAGAGAGAUCUAAUUUACCAGGAUGAUAGCUUUCAUAUCAUCACGGCCAAGAGCGAAGCCGAUGGAGUUUGUCGUAUUAAUCUCGAUCAGAAUGUCCACAAAGUCUAGGUAUCUUGCCACAACGGAAUGGUCAUUUUCAGCCUCACCUUUCCUCUUAUUUAUGUGCUCUUCUAUUACACCGUCAAGAAAUUCAUCAGUCAGUUUAACAAAUUUCUCCACUUUCAAGUCCAAACCGUUGAAACGAUUAACCCAUGCAAGCCAAGGAAUGUAGUCUCCUACAUCAAAAACACCCAUUAACUCAACAAAAACCCUCAAAUUUUCCAUAAUUUUCCUCCCUUUUUCUUCCUCACAAUACUUCCUACCCAGGGCAACCCUACAAAUUAUAUCAUUUGUGAGAGUUACAAAUAUUUCGGUUAAGUUUACAGGUGAAGAAGAACACAUCUGGCCGAUCUUUUCGAUCAUGAGUGAAGUCUCUUCUUCUCUAACAUGCUGAUAUGACUGAACCCUUUUGUUACUCAAAAGAUGCAGCACACAAAUGCUUUUGGCUUGUCUCCAAUACUCACCGUACGGUGUAAAUGCUACGUCCCUACUUCCGUAGAAUAGUCUAUUUAUAACGCUCGAUUUAGGCCUGUUUGAAAAAACCAGAUCAUGGGUUUUCAUGAUCUGGCUAGCUGCAUCAGAGGAAGAGGCAACCAGCGCUGGCUUGCUUCCAAAAUGAAGUAGCAUGAGUGGGCCAUAUUUUCUUGACAAUGAUUGGAGGGAUCUGUGUGGAAACAAGCCAAGCUGGUGAAUAUUUCCAAUAAUUGGGAGCUUUGGUGGAGAUGGUGGUAGCCUUUUUUGGGGUUUAGAAGCGGCAUCGAACCAUUUCAAAAGGGCUAGAAGGAAUACAACUGAGGAAACUGAGAAACAUACAAGAUCAAAAGAGAACGCCAUGAGUCAUAUGAUCUUGUGUUUGCCUAUUAAUGGGCUACUCUUCUUAUCUAAUGACAACAUCAGGACCACCGAUGAAUAUUUAAUUAUUAAAUACAAGGGAUGAUUUAAGCCCGCACGUUACAUAGGACAAAACUAUAUCGUAGGACAAAUUGAUUGGUCUCUGAUCUAUCUUUUGGAGCUAUGGUAUUCGAAUCAUGGAGAAAACUCCAGUAUGACUCAUGAGAGAAUAACCAUUCACAUUUUGCAAAAUUUUUUACCCCAAGAAAGAGGAAAAGACAUUUAGCAUAGCAUAACUUUUCAAACGUCAAACAUCUUUCGUCCAUAGCCCACAGCUGGCAGUUGAUUCUCCCUGUUGCCACGUACGUCUUGUCAAAUUAUGUUACAAAAUUUCAACGGUUAGGUCCAAAAACAGGUAACUCCGUCUAGGUUGCCCAAUCAAUUAUGGCCAUCAUUUUGGGUCUUUGACGAAAAUUUGACAUGCAAUUUUCAUAAUCUUAAGUUUGAAAAAAAAAAAAAAAAAAAAGUUUGAACUAAUGUUUAAUAGUACAAAUGCACCAUAUGCUUGUGACUUGUGACUUCUGAGUUUGAAUUUUCUUUCGGCAUUUUGAGGAACUAAUAUUUGGAAGCUUUAUUAAUUAACUUUUUCUACCAUGGCACGAUAUUCUUCAACUCUAAAAAUAUUCGAAUAUAAAAUGUUACCUCAUGAAAUGUUUUACCAGGAGCUGAUUAAGAUGUAAUUAGUUUAUGCUCAUACUGGCUUCUGUAGGUGAGUGUGAUGGGAUCAUUAAAGAUCUAACCACGUGAUUUGAAGGUUAUGAGUUUUAUCUAUAGUAAAUUUGGCAAUUGUUAGGCCUUUUAAAACUAAUGAUUAGUCUAACUCGUUGGAUGAUCAAAAGAUUUUGCUUUGACUUUGUUUUAUGGGAUAAUAACUGAAACCUCCCACAAGGUUUCUCUUAAUAUCAUUUAACACCUCUAAAGUUUUGCAAAGAAAUUUGAAAAAUAGAAAAGAUAUUUGCAAAGAAAUAUAUUAGCAUAAGUUAACUCUAUAUGCUCAAAACUAAUUUCUUAUGAACCUUAUAUUUUCUUCCAACUUAUUCUCAAUUCGUACCCAAACCUUUAAAUUGUAUUGAUCAUUAUAAAAAUCAAUUCAAAAUAAUCAAAGAAAUCAUAUCCUACUCUAUCACAAUCACAAAAUGUAAAAGACAAAUAAAAUUCAAUUUACUACAACUUAUAAAUAAAAAAUUGUAUAGUCAUCUAAAAAAAAGAAUAAGAGAGAAUGUUGGAGAAAGAAGAAAUAGAAGAAAGUGAAUUUUGUUUCAUUUUUUAAAUUUUUUUGAACUCCAUUUAUUUGAUAUGUGAAUUAUGUAUUGCCUUUUUGCAAUUAUUAGGGGAGAUAGGUGAUAUUUUUAAAAUCUCAAGGGUGCCAAGUGAUAUUUGGAGAAACCUCAAGGGAGAUUUCUGAUAUUAUCCCUUGUUGUAUUUGUUAUACAAUAAAAUUUCUGCCCCAAAAACCUAUACGUAGCAUUUGAAGCUAUGCUAUGAUGGAAUUGUCCCUUGGCCACUCUCUCUGCACUCUUAAUAUUGGCCCUCUAAUAUCAUAGAGUAAUCAAAUCAUCAAACCAUUCACAUUUUGCAUAAUAGUCCCCAAGAAUCAGGAAAAAAUCAGGUAUUUGAUCCAUAUCCAAAAUUUAUUAAUUAGUUUAUCCAAUGUGUUUGUCUAAAUAAAUUUAGAUAAGAUUAAAGUGACAGAACCACUCAAAUAAUAAAGAGAUCAACUAUAAAACAUCAUCAUUUUUAACAGAUUACACAUUUUAUAAUUUUGCUAGCCAAAUACAUUAACCAAAUUCUUCAAGAAAGGAAGUUAAAUAAACAGCAAACAAUGAUAGCAAGAGGCCCAAUAUUUUGGUGAGUAAAAAUAGCAUACCAUAUAGAUGUAACUAAUUAAAUAUUAUAAAAAAAAACCCUACAAUUUUAAAACUUAUGCUAAACUCAAAUAUGCGGGUACAAGAUCGGAUAUCUAUGGAUAUUCAAAAAUAAAACACGUAUCCGUAGAGCUUUGCAUGGACUUUAGCUUCACAAGUUUCAUAGAGCGUGCCAACGCCAUAUCGAAAGUAAUCUUCUGGAAAAUUUUUUUAAGAUAAUUUUUACCUCAAACUCCUGUACACAUCACCAAAUACAAAGUAUACACAUUAUUUUACCAAAAUCAACAGAAAAUAUUCACAAAUAGAAUACACAAUUAGAUCUCUAUCAUGUGUAAAAUAAGCUAUCUUUUGAUUUUGUUCCAAAUGUCUAGCAGCCAAAUGGGUACCACGGAUAAAAAGCUUCAGGAUCACUUCGUAAUUUGAUGUGUCUAUACGUAAAUGAUAAAUAUCAUAAUUUAAUUAUAGGAUCACUUUUUAAUUUGAUGUGUCUAUCAUGUGAAGAAACUUUGUUUAACCUAAACGGUUCAAAUUGCAGAAAUAGACACUCUACGUAAACUGUUGCAUAUGCAUGAGUCACAUGACUAAUGUCUUUGUGAUCACCAUUCCUUUUUCCAGAAGCCUGUUGGGGAAAUUGGGUAUUUUCCCACUCAAAAUUACAACUAGUGAUUAAACCGAUUCAGUAAUUCCCAGGAAAGAUCGUCAAAACAAUCUCCUUAGACAGAAUUACCAUUCCAAGUAAAUUCUCAGGAAAGGCUGGAGGGGUCACAAGCGGUCCCACUUAAAACCCAGUCUCCUAGACAGAACUUACGUGCACGGUGUAUUAUCACAACUAUACCCGUGUAUACAUAAAUAAUACGUACACACGAAUAAGAAAAAUACACCCAAAUGAACCGUAUAAAACACUACAAAUAUACCCGACAAAUAUAGACAAAUAUAUUGAAUACCAUACUACAAUAGAAAAGAAACUAAUAAAUAAUGCGGAACAAAUAAAAGAGAUAAGGAAAGAACGCACCCGAAAAAUUGAUAACGGAGUUCGGCCAAUUUUGCCUACUCUCCGAGCACCACUCAAGCGACCUGCUUUUAUAAUUUAGGAGAGGAGAAAGAAUACAAAGAAUUACAAAAUCCUUAUGGGUAAUUCUUUGUUGUUCUUGGUACAUUUUAAUUGGAAAGACUUGAGAGCUAUUUAUAGUUCUCAAGCUAAGCUUCUUCCAAUAACCCAACCGAUGUGGGAUUAAAUUGUGCCAAAGAGAAGUCAACAAUGUUGGCUUCCAAAUUCAAGAAUUGAGGCAGCCAACAUUUGUUGAAACUCAACAAAUCUCCACCUUGGCAUAAUUUCUAAUCCCACCAAAAAUACAAAUCUUUUCACCCAAAAUAACAAACGGUCCUUGUGGCACUUCCAAAUUUGCGCGCUCAGGCGCCAACUCAAAUAUGCAGGAUAUUGACCAAGUUUAAACAAUGUUCAAACUUGGACCUUGUAACCACCUUGGUCAGCAUAUCUGCAGGAUUCUCCGUAGUCCGAAUCUUCUGGAGAAAAAUCUCAUCUUCUUCGAGAAUUUCCCGCACAAAGUGAUAGCGAACAUCAAUAUGCUUCGUUCUUGCAUGAAAGACCUGGUUCUUUGCUAAGUGAAUAGCACUCUGACUGUCACAAAACACGUCAAUGUGUUUUUGACCAACUCCCAAGUCUUCAAGCAAUCCUUGAAGCCAAAUUGCCUCCUUCACAGCUUCUGUAAUCGCCAUAUACUCUGCCUCCGUUGUAGACAAAGCCACCGUUGACUGCAAAGUAGACUUCCAACUAACUGGCGCCUUGGCAAAUGUGAACAAGUAGCCAGUUGUAGAACGUCGCUUAUCCAAAUCACCUGCAUAGUCAGAAUCACAAUAUCCAACUACACAUUGACCAAGUGAUUUAUCCUGCUCAAAUACUAAUCCAACAUCUACGGUAUUUUGGAUAUACCGUAGAAUCCAUUUCACAGCUUGCCAAUGACCCUUGCCCGGAUCAUGCAUAAACCUGCUUACCACACUAACUGCCUGUGAAAUGUCGGGUCUCGUACACACCAUUGCAUACAUCAAGCUACCAACUGCAUUAGCAUACGGGACUUUCGCCAUGUAUGCUCGCUCUUCAUCUGUCUUUGGAGAUAAUAGACUACUAAGUUUCAAAUGAGGAGCAAGCGGAGUACUUACAGGUUUUGAAUCUUCAUUCAUGCCAAAACGUUGUAGUACCUUCUUCAAAUACUGCUUCUGUGUCAGACAAAGCUUGCCUCUCGUUCUAUCCCUGCUUAUCUCCAUGCCGAGAAUUUUCUUGGCUUCUCCCAAAUCCUUCAUCUCGAACUCUUUACUCAACUGAGCCUUCAAUUUAUCAAUUUCAACUUGGCUCUUUGAUGCUAUCAGCAUAUCAUCAACGUACAAGAGUAAGUAGAUGUAGGAAUCAUCUCGUAGCUUGCGCAAAUACACACAGUGAUCGUAUUUGCUUCUUGUGUACUUCUGACUCAUCAUGAACUGGUCAAAUCGUUUGUACCAUUGUCUCGGUGAUUGUUUCAAUCCGUACAACGAUUUGCUCAGUUUACAAACCCAAUUUUCUUUAGCAGCAACUUUGAAUCCAUCUGGUUGAGCCAUAUAGAUUUCCUCCUUCAAGUCACCGUGAAGGAACGCAGUUUUCACAUCAAGUUGAGCUAGCUCCAAAUUCAACUGCGCUACCAAGGCCAAUAAAAUUCUAAUAGAGGAAUGUUUAACAACUGGAGAAAAUACCUCAUUAUAAUCAACUCCCUCCUUCUGAGCGUAGCCCUUAGCCACCAAUCUUGCCUUGUAACGAACAUCAUUCUUGUCAGGAAAUCUUUCUUUCUUUACAAAUAUCCAUUUGCAUCCAAUUGCCUUCUUGUCCUUCGGUAGUUGUGUCAACUUCCACGUAUUGUUCUUCUGAAGAGAUUGCAUCUCUUCUUCCAUAGCAUCUUUCCAUCUAUCAUUUUCUGUAUUUCGAACUGCUUCAGAAAAUGUGGAUGGAACAUCAUCAACAACUGGAAGUGCAUAGGCCACCAUGUCAACAAAACGAGCAGGUUUAUGAAUUUCUCAUCUUGCCCUAUUGAUGGCAAUUGACUCUUGCUGCUGUUGAGGUUCUUGGGUUGAAACCUCUUCCUCAUCUGACUCCUCUUCUGCCAUGGGAGAGUCACUGAUGGUGCUGUUUGCUGGACUCACCAUUAUUUGCUCAAACUCCACCUGCUUUGGCGUACACUCCACCUGUUGCGGAGUACCAUUGGUCCCAUCUUGUGAUACCUUAUUCAACAUGGCAGAUUCGUCAAAGGUAACAUCCCUGCUGAUAAUGGUUUUCUUUGCUUCUAGACACCACAACCGAUAUCCCUUAACUCCAGCACUAAAGCCCAUAAAGAGAGCCUUCUUUGCACGUGGAUCCAAUUUUGAUUCAUUUACAUGAUAAUAUGCAGUAGAACCAAAAAUACGCAAAGAAUCAUAAUCUGUUGCAAUUUUUCCAGACCAUACCUCUAAUGGAGUCUUGCCACCGAUUGCAGAUGAUGGCAAGCGAUUGAUGAGAUGUUGAGCGUAUGUCACAGCCUCAGCCCAAAAUUUUCUGCCUAACCCAGCAUUAGACAGCAUGCAACGUACUUUCUCCACUAGUGUCUUGUUCAUACGUUCUGACACCCCAUUCUGCUGCGGUGUUUUUCUAACUGUGAAGUGCCGAACUAUGCCACAUUCUUGGCAUAUCUUCUGGAAGGGAUCACUCUUGUAUUCUCCACCGUUGUCUGUUCGGAGGAUCUUGAUCUUUCUUCCCGUCUGGUUUUCAACCUGAGCUUUCCAUUUAAGGAAAAUCUCUAGCACCUCAUCCUUGCUCUUCAUAGUAAACACCCAAACUCUUCUGGAAAAAUCAUCAAUAAAAGUGACAAAAUAAUACCUGCCACCAAGGGAUGGAGUCUUGGCAGGUCCCCACACAUCUGAGUGCACAUAAUCCAAAAUACCCUUGGUAUUAUGGAUACCAGUGCCAAAUUUCACUUUUCUUUGUUUUCCCAGAACACAAUGCUCACAAAAUUCUAAUUUGCAAACUUUCGUACCUUUCAAUAAUCCUUGUUUGGCAAUAUUUUACAAGGAUUUUUCACCAGCAUGUCCCAAUCGCAUGUGCCACAACUUUGUUGCUUCCGCAUCCUUCUUGCUACUGGAAGAUGUUGCUGCUGCUGCUGUCCCAACAACUGUACUACCUUGGUAGUAAUACAGAUUAUUCUUCCUCACACCUUUCAACAUCACAAGUGCUCCUGAAGUUACUUUAAGAAUUCCAUCUCGCAUCUUCACUUCCAGGCCUUUUGACUCCAAGAGUCCCAAGGAGAUGAGAUUCCUCUUCAAAUUGGGCACGUACCGAACAUCCUUCAAGAUUCUAGUGGAACCAUCAUGAUUACGCAGCUUGAUUGAACCUAUCCCAACUGUUUUACAUGGAUUGUCAUUUCCCAUGUACACAACUCCACCAUCAAGUUCUUCAAAUUCAAAGAACCACUCCCGCAUGGGAGUCAUAUGGUAGGUACAAGCUGAAUCCAAAAUCCACUCAUCUGGAUGGGAUGUUAAAGGUGAUACAGCCAAAGAGAAAUCUGAUUCCGCAUCACUUUUGCAUUCUGCAACAUUUACGUCUUGCGGAGCUUUCCCUUUCUUCUUUAACUUUGGACAGUCUUUCUUCCAGUGCCCUUUCUCACGACAGAAAGCACACUCAUCUUUGGCAACUCUACUUUUCGAUUUGGACCUUCCUCUUCUCCCCUUUGAUUGGCUUUGUUGACGACCUCUUGCCACUAACGCUUCAUCUGCUGCAGCUACUUUCUUUUUCAUUUUAUCCUGCUUUCUCAAUUCACGACUAUACAAAGCAGAACAUACAGCAUCUAAAGACACAUUUUCCUUCCCAUGAAGUAACGUAGUUUCCAAAUGUUCAAAUUCAUCAGGAAGGGAUGACAACAACAUCAAAGCCAAAUCUUCAUCUUCAAAAUUUAUAUCUAAAUUUAACAGGUCUGCUACUAAUUGAUUAAACAUAGUGAUGUGUUCAUUCAUAAUAGUACCUGGUUGGUAAUCAAAUCGGAACAAUCUUUUCUUCAUUAGGAGUUUAUUCUGACCACUCUUCUUCAGAAAUUUCUCCUCCAAUGCCCUCCACAAUUUCCAUGCACAAGUCUCGUUUUUGAAAGCAUAUUUUUGCUCUUUGGACAAACACGAUCGAAUAGUUCCGCAUGCCAACCGAUUUAUGGUACUCCACUCCUUCUCUUCUAUGUCAUCUGGUUUCUUUUCUUCAAUGGCAAUGUCAAGACCCUGUUGGAAAAGGGAGUCCAUGACUUCGCCUUGCCAUAUGCCGAAAUGGCCAGUACCGUCAAAUGUCUCCACCGCCACCUUUAAACUUGACAUUGGAAUUCUCGACCAUGUGGACGAGGAAGCCGAUGCCCCAGAUACAAUUCUUGACGUGGAAUUGUCAGAUGCCAUUACAGACUCAAAUGAUAGUAUUCAAUAUAACAAACUACAAACAAGCCAAAGGACUAACCUUCGGCUCUGAUACCACUUGUUGGGGAAAUCGGGUAUUUUCCCACUCAAAAUUACAACUAGUGAUUAAACCGAUUCAGUAAUUCCCAGGAAAGAUCGUCAAAACAAUCUCCUUAGACAGAAUUACCAUUCCAAGUAAAUUCUCAGGAAAGGCUGGAGGGGUCACAAGUGGUCCACUUAAAACCCAGUCUCCUAGACAGAACUUACGUGCACGGUGUAUUAUCACAACUAUACCCGUGUAUACAUAAAUAAUACGUACACACGAAUAAGAAAAAUACACCCAAAUGAACCGUAUAAAACACUACAAAUAUACCCGACAAAUAUAGACAAAUAUAUUGAAUACCAUACUACAAUAGAAAAGAAACUAAUAAAUAAUGCGGAACAAAUAAAAGAGAUAAGGAAAGAACGCACCCGAAAAAUGGAUAACGGAGUUCGGCCAAUUUUGCCUACUCUCCGAGCACCACUCAAGCGACCUGCUUUUAUAAUUUAGGAGAGGAGAAAGAAUACAAAGAAUUACAAAAUCCUUAUGGGUAAUUCUUUGUUGUUCUUGGUACAUUUUAAUUGGAAAGACUUGAGAGCUAUUUAUAGUUCUCAAGCUAAGCUUCUUCCAAUAACCCAACCGAUGUGGGAUUAAAUUGUGCCAAAGAGAAGUCAACAAUGUUGGCUUCCAAAUUCAAGAAUUGAGGCAGCCAACAUUUGUUGAAACUCAACAAAGCCAACAGUUAAUUAAGCAUAAAUUAGAGAGGCUGGAAUAAGUUUCUACAACCACAAGAAACUACCAUAUUAAUUAUGUUAAACAAGCUAACUUAAAGAGUGCGGUUUAUUUUAGGGAUAAUUUUAGAAACCUCCCCUGAGGUUUCUAACAAUUUCACUGAGCUUCCCUGAUGUUUGAAAAAUUAUAGAUACCUUCCUUGUCAUUUAAAAUGACAAUUUUACCCUUACAUCCUUAUACUAUAUGAGAAUGAGUUGUGGUCUAAGGUUGUGUUUGAAUUUCAACCGCAAGGCCAGGGAGAGUUUGGAAAUAUGAAAAUAUUUGGAGUAUCAUUAGAGCAUUUGAUAAAAGUCAUGACAGUUUUAAAUUUGUUGUAAUCACUGCAAUGACCUUUUAGAUAUUUAAGGUUGAGAGAAGUUUAGAAAUAUGAGAAUGUUUGGACUGUGAUUGGAGCAUUGGGUACAAGUCAUUCUAACUCUUAUUUAGUUGUAAUUACUUAAAUGUUGUUUUCAUCAUUAAAUAUAAGAGUAAUGCUUUUUUGCCGUUUAGUGAUUGAAUUAAUAUCUUGUUAUUUUUGAGUAACAGUUUUCGACUGUUACGCAGAUCUGUUCUAAUGGUUACUUCUCUACCUUCUUCCGUUAGAUUUUCUUCAUCUUCUAUAUAUAUAUAUAUAUAUAUAUAUACUUGUAAAUAUUGGUAUUCGCUACAAAAAAAAUUCUACAAUAGAUUAACUGCAAAGCGGUUUGUUAUAAAAGCCUAUAAAUUUUAGCAACCGCAAAAGCAUAUAAUCUAUAGCUGAAACUUAUGAAACUAGGCACAAAGGAGCUAUACUCCUCUACUAUAGAAUGCUACCCUACAUGAUGGAAUGGAACUUACGGUAUGUGUUUUAGGAUUCUUUUCCUACUAACUUUACUUUUCCUGCCUGUUGAAUAAGUUGUACAUGAAGUUCUAGACUGAUCUUAAUAUCCUUUAUUGAUAUGAGUUCCUGAGAAAACCUUUUAGAAAAUUAGGUGAAAUCCUUGUUGUUACCAUCUUAAUAUAUAUUCUUAUACUACAUAAAAAUGAGUUGUGGUCAAAGGUUGUGUUUGAAUUUCAACCACAAAGCUAGUAAGAGUUUGGGAAUAUGAGAAUAUUUGGAGUAUCGUUAAAACAUUGGGUACAAGUCAUGACAACAUUAAAUUUGUUGUAAUCACUGAGAUGACCUUUUACACAUGUAAGGUUAAAAGAAAUUUGGAAAUAUGAGAAUGAGUUGAAUUAAUAUCUCAUUAUUUAGAUUCUCUUCAUCAAACAUAUCAAGAAAAUCUCCUCUGCUUACGCCAUCAGCUGUCUCACCACUUGAUCUGCAGGAAUGUUUUUCCACUGCACCAUCCAACCUUUCUUGGACCACGCCCUCCAAGAACUCAUCAAUUUCUCUAGCAACACGAUCCACUCUGGCAUCGUAACCAUUAACUCGAUUAAUCCACUUGAGACAGGGCACAAAUUCAAAUAAACUUCCUUCAUUCAGUAACUUCAAGAAUUCAUCCAACAGCUGCUUGAAUUUCUUUCCAAUUUCACCUUCACCAUAUUUCCUCCCAAAAGCUGAUCUGCAUACAAUAUCAUUAGUCAGUGAAAAAAAAAUUUUGCUCAAAUUCACAGGUGUUGAAUCCAAAGAAGCGUCUUUAAUCUUCUGCAUCAUAAUCGACAUUUCCUGUUCCCUUAUAUUGCGAAAUGAAUGAACUUUUUGGUUGCUCAGGAGCUGAAGAACACAAAUGCUCUUUAACUGUCUCCAAUACUCGCCAUAGGGUGCGACCGAUAUACCCUUCAUGUUAUAGAGAAGUUUACUAAUAGUGCUCGAAAAUGGCCUAUUGGAGAAAAUCAAAUCAUCCUGAUUAGGCUAGCUCCAUCAGCUGAUGAAACGACAACCGUUGGAACACUACCAAAUUUAAGAAACAUGAAUGGACCAUAUUUUUGGGCUAAGGAGUAGAGGGAAUGGUGAAGCAGUGAGCUUAGCUGAUGAAGAUUUCCAAUAAUUGGAAGUCCUGGUGGCGAUGGUGGCUCAUUUUUCCUCGAAGUUGAAAAUAAUUUGAAGAGAAACCACAGUAAGAUUAAAGGAAAAAGCGAAAAGAAGAUUGGAUAAAACAUAAAUAUAUCAAUCUUUAGCUCCGAUACCAAGCCUGAUGAGCUUGCCAUUGCUUUUAAUCUCCCUUGUAUUUUGCUCAGUAUACAAUAAGACUAUGAUUUUGGACCAAAACAGGAAAAGAAGUAUGGGACAAGUUUGUUUCAGUUGGCAGUCUAAAGAGGCUGCAGGGCUUGGUAUCUGUAUGGAUAGAUUUGCAGAAAUGAGACAAAGGAGGAAUCGAAAAAUAAGGACAAAUCGUCACGGAAACCUCUUCGGACAUAGUAACAUAUGAGAACAAGGACUCCUACUUAAGAUUAAGUAUUCAUCAAUGGGCUAUUAGUCAAUAUUAUUCAAUUUCUAUUAUGUCUCCAAUAAUGUUCCUAUAUGAUAUUCUUACAGAAAGGGAUAUCUUUGGAAACGUGUCCUGAGGUUUUCGAUAAUUGCUGAUAUAUAGUUCUCCUCCAAUUUCAGUAGUUAUAGUUACACCCUUAUUUUCAUAUGUUUUUGUGACCAAUACAAAAUUGAGUUUGUUUGAUGUGAGCCAAAAAUACCUGUUAAAUAUUAUAAAGAGUCAACCUAUAAAAGGCAACUGAAAAUUAUGAUAUUUCUAAAUGACAAUCGACAUGCACAAAUAUAAGAAUUCUAAAAUCAAGAAGAUAAGAUCAUUUUUUAGUUUGAUUUUAUCAAUUAAUUCGUAUGUGGUUUAGUGUAAAAUUCUCCUAUCCUGAAAUGCCCCUUAUAAACCAUCAUCACCUACAUCCAAUUAAUCCUCGCAUGAUUCUCUACUAUAGUUAGUGCCAACAUCCUCUAUCACCACCACAACUAUUGCCAAUUGCCUACAGAUAGGGCAAUAGUGUGAGUAUAUUUAGUUUAUCUUUUUCUGUUUUUCAUGAAAAAAUGAAAUAAAACUUGUAUACAUUCAAGGGUAGGAUAGUCAUUCAAAUUCCUCAAGGGAAACAAGUCUAAUUAUCUCAAGUAACUUAAACGACAGCUACUUUUAUUUUAAAAAAUUGAAGGAUUGUUUCUAAAUUUAUCCCUAAUAAAUUUGCUGCCUUUUUGGCUUGUUACUUGCAAUAUGUGACAUUAGAAUAAUUAAUUUCAAAUUUAACUUUGAAAAUAUCCAUUCACUAUCAUAGUAAAUUGAAAGUUUAGUAGCAUAAAAUAAAAUCACUACAACAUGAGAAAUGGUUUUUCCCUCUUUUCUUCUUUUGAGGAAAAAUGACCAAUUUAGUUCCUAAAAUUUUUUGAUAGUGCCGAUUCAGACCCUAACUUUUAUUCCUAUCCAAUUUGAUACAUGAACUUAGUUUGUGAUUUUAAUUAAGGACCUCUAUGUUGGCACGACCACAUAAAAUUGAUCGAACUCCUAAUUGAUGAACUAAAUGGGGUAUUUUGAGAAUGUCACUCACGUGGUUUUAAUAAAUCAAGAAAAUCAUGUAAAAAAAAUCAUAAGAUUAAACAUUACGAAAGUUUUAUUCGGAGAAUUUUUACACGAUUUAAAAGUUUUAUCUAGUAGUUUUUUUACACAAUUUAGUUGCUCUAUUACAAUCCCAUGAGUAACCUCUAUCUAGUUAAUCAAUUAGGAGCCAAAUUAGAUUUAGGUAAUCAUGCCAUCGCGAAGGUCCUUAAUUGGAAUUGCAACAUAAAUUCAAGUAUCAAAUUGGUCAGAAAUAAAAGUUAAGGCCUAAAUUGAUAUCAUGAAAAAAGUUUAGGAAUGAAAUUAGCUAUUUUUCCUUAAGCAUUUGAAGAAAAUUUUUUCCCAGUGAGCAAACAUGUACGCGUUGACCUUUUCUUUUUUUUUUUUUUUUUUCUAGACCAGUUCUUUUAGGCAAAAGCAAAACAAGUAAAGAUUAUGAAAGAGAACCAAUUUUAAUCUAUUCUAAAUUGAUAAUCAUACAACUUAAAUUGAAUAUAUAGUUGGAUUUGGAUUAGGAAUAAAGAGAGAUUAAACAGCAUGUACGAUUUCAAGAGGAAUUAAAACACAUUUAAGUCAACUAUAUCAAUUAAUUUAGAAAUAUGUAACGAUAUAUAACAGAACAUGGAAUACCACCAUAAUCCUUUAUACGCAAAUUACUUAAGAAGAAAAUAUAUUAUGCUUCAAGAUUUUAUUUGGAAUGAAGUAAAUUUAUUAUCAGAAUAUACACUACAAGAAAUUUGGUCAUCAGUGACAACAUUUCUUAGUGACAACAGAAAAGUUGUCACAAAAUGAGGUCCUCUACCAACAACUUUGAAAGUCGUCACAAAUGUCUCAUAGAGCUAACUAAUUAGUGACGACUUGUAUUUGUCAUCACAAACAUAUUCCCUCUAACAAGAUCCAAGAGAGCCGGAGUUGUUGGUGAAUACUUUUAGUGACGACUUGAUGAAUAUCAUCACUAUUACUAGCUCUAUUUUUUUUUUGACAACUUUGCAAUGUCGUCACUGAAGCUUGUGUACUUUCGUUACUGGCAACUCUCUGUUGUCACUAUAAUAAUGGAUAGCUUUAGUGAUAAUUAUAUGUUGUUACUAAACUAUCUUAGAAUUUUUACAACUUUGGCAAUAUAUUAAUAUUAAUAUUGAUUUGUUUCUAAUGAAACCGUUUGACUAUCAUACAAUUUCGAGCCUCUUGAUUUUCAUAUGAAUUCGCAAUUUGACUAGUUUAGUCAAAUUGGUCAUAUUAAUUUGUCAAAGAAUGACUUGUUAAAGGAAAAAAGACUAAAGAAAUUUUGUAGUUAAUUUCCCAAUACCUGAAAAAUGUUAAGCUGUAAGAGUUUGUAAAUUGAACUAGUUAUUAAAGCAAAUAAAUCCUAAACUCUUUAGUUAAUUAAUUAAAUCAAUUUAUUGCUUUAAUUAUUUAUUUUUUAGUCAAAGGUAAUAAAUUAAAUGUGAAGUUUUAUGUUUGACUAAUAGUAAAUGAAUUAUUUAUGAAAAAAUAUUUUUCCUAUCUAAUUGAUCUUUUUUUAAAAAAAUUUUUAAUAAGAAAGAGUUGACUUUAAGAACUACGGUAUUGCAAAAGGUACUUUUUAUGACAAGGUAAUUUUUUACAAAAGUCUAAUUCACUGCAAAAAGUCAUGUUUUAUGACAAGUUUCAGGUUAUCGUACAAUAAUUUAAAGCAAGAAUAGCCAUCAAAAUUCGUGCUUCUCAAUGUAAAAUAAUUGAAAAUACUACUGUACUAUUAGGCUAAAAUAAUGAAAGAAACAUAAAUAAGUUGUAGUAAUUUCACAAUUUCUAGACAAUGACGUGAAUAUUAACACUGGAUGAGCUAUUUGAUAUCAUGAAAAAGCGAACUAUUUGAAGUAGAAAAAUGUACAUUUACCACUAGUAUUAAUGCAGCAAAUUUCUCAUCCUUUAUGAAUAGUUUCAAAAAAGCAUAAACAAAUAGAAAUUAAUAAUAUAUUACUAAAAUUAUACUUCAACUAAAAAGUAAAACUAAAAAACUUUAUUUGAAAUUUUGCAACUAAACAAGAAAGGGGGGAAGCUAAGGAAUUGAAAUUUCAUUAAAAGUGAGUAAACAAAGAAGAGGCGCGGGUGUACAUAAAACACUUAGAAAUCAAGACCGGCUCCUAGUACUCUUUCACUAUACACUAUACGCCCAACACUUAGAACCAAAAUGAGUUUCUCCCUCUUCAUCUCUUCAUCUUUGCCAAACAAAAUAGAAGAACUUCUCCUCCUUAUAUCUGUUGAUUGAUUAUGGCUCUGCAGUGCUGAAUCGAAGACUUCCUCUACCACCAACGCUCUACAAUAGAAGGUCCGCCCUUUCUCUUUUUUCUCCUGAAAUUUUUCCCAAAUUUUUUGCCCUAAUUAAUUUUUUGCUAAAAAUUUCUCUCCAAUUUUUUUGGGUUUCUUUUGAUUUAUGGAUGGAGUCAUCUCAUGAUUGUGGAAUUUGUUUUGUUGUGGAUUUCUACCCUAAAAUUUUUUCCCAACUUUUUCUUAUACAAGACAAGGGGCUUUAGAGAGAUUCGAUUGUGGGUACAUACCGAUUUGUGAUGGGCCUAGGAGGGCAAAUUUAGUGUUUCAUUUUUUGUGUUAGUAAAAUGGAAGAGAAUUAGGAGUGAUUUUGUGAAUUUUUUGCUAGUGAGUGGUUGCAUGCGAGGAAACUAGUUGGUAGAAUGGUGUUGGGUUAAGAGGGAAAUGAAAAAUAGUGAUUCGGGAUUUAAUUAAGUGGAUAAGUAGCUCAAGAUCUAGGUACAAGGUUUGGUGAAAAUUUUUGUACUGUCAAAGAUAUCUUUUGUUUUGUUGAAAUUUGGUUAACUGUAAUGGGAAUUUCACCAAUAAACUAUUUAUUUAGUUGGAGUGUGCUUUCUCCUUCACAUUGCCAAAGCGUGUAUGGCCCUGUUUCUUGUUUGUUUGAUUUGGAGUGGUAAUUUUUUCCUAUUUCCCAAAAAGCGAUCUCAUUAAGAAAAAAAGGAAAAAAUAGAUUUUUGUAAGAUGGAUUUGAUGGUGGGCUUUAUGAUACUAACUUCAACCAUUACCAUACCAGUUCUUUGUGUUCCGCCUGUUGUUCUAAACAUCUAAAUAUAUAGUCAAAUUUGUCACUUCACUUAAUAGUUAGGUCAAUCUGCAUUAUGUCUACCAUACGAGUCCUUUGUGUUCCUAUUACUGCAUUAUGUCACUUCACUUAAAAGAUGUUGGAAAUGAUACAAGGAAAGGCAAUUGCUAUAGACCUAUGGCUAUCCAAACAAUAUUAAGUGAUCAUGAUAAUCUGCUGAUUCAUCUGGGGUCUUAUGAACUUAAAAGAAUCACUUGAAAUAGUCUUGACAAUAGGAAAAUAGUGGAGCUGAUAUGGAAUUAGUCACAUUUUAGUUGGGUCUUAACUUGUAUGCCUUGAUACAAGAAAAGCUUGAGCACAUUAACCUAAAAUGGAAAGCCAGUUAAAAGCUUUCACAAGUUAGUUCAAUUUAGUAUUUACCUACUAGGAGUUUGGCUUGUUAUUUGAGAUUGAUAUAUAGUGCUGCUGUAAUUUCACUGUGGAUAAUUAACCAACUCAGAUUGAAUCACUUAAGAAUGAGGCAUGAAGUUUAAGAUGAGAUGACUUUAUAGAUAGAUACAUACAUAGUUGUGUCUUAUAGGUGGAUCAUGGAGUUCACCUUUGCAUAUUCUGAGCGGUGAAAAAUUCAUCCUUAUCUUAUUUUUCAUUAAUUAAUUGAGAGCUUAUCAGCUCAAUAGCUUUUCACUUAACUAUUAGGUACUUUUUAGUCUUAGGAAAGCAAAGUUAAUUUGUUACAACUCUAUACCAGAGUAAAGUGAUAUAUGCUAAGUGGCAACUAGAACGGCUAUCUAUUUAUUUAAUGUAAUACAGCUUUGAACAGAAUUUUUGUAGAAAAGUUGCAUUGUAGUAUAGACUUUCAUGUAAUUACGUAUGAUGCCUGACCUUUGCAUAAUCAAUUAAUCCACCGGCUUCUUGUACAGAUUGGAUCACUGAGUUGAGUAAUUCUCUGCAAUUAACUUGUCCAUUUUCUGCUGUAAAUUUAGCUUCAGUCAACGAGCGACUUAUGGACAAGGCCUACAAAAUACCAUGAAGAGCAAAAGGUAUUGGUACCAGGACAUGCCUUGAUUUGGUUUUGACAGAUUAAACUAAGCACAAAUAAGUUGUGCAAUCCAUCUAUUUACUCUUAAUUUCUAAAAAAGUUGUGCAAUCCAUCUAGCAACUUGUUUGGUCUAUUUUGUCUCAUUUAAUCCUCUAAAUGUUCUAUUUUUUGCUUGUUAAAAAGACAUCUCUGGAGCAUAGAUUAUUUUGAUUAGUUGAAAUAAUCUCUAGAGCAUAGUCAUCCCUAGUUAAUAAAAAUCAUUUACGACUGGUUAGCUCAAAUAUAGAUUACGCUUGACUAAAGUUGAUUGUAAUGACUAUGCUUGACUAUCUUUUAAUUUUUGAGCAAUAAUGCUCUAUUCAGAUUGAUAGUUGUAGGUAUUGCUAGAUCAAUCUGCAUAUGUACAAUUUGAUGUGAAUUAAACUCCCAAAACUUAAAUUGUUUGUACUGUGAUUAUUAGCUUUUGCAGUGAUUGAAGCUACGGACAUAGGUUCAAUGUCUCACUAGGAGAUUGUCAUAUAGCUGCAUUUUUUACUUUAAGGUGAGUUAAUACGAACUCUCUUUUUUUCCUUUUUCCUUUGUUUUUGUGAUCACAUGCGCACUUAAUUGGAAAUGACUAUCCAAUCUCAGCAGCAACUGAUGGAAACACUUGUGAGCCAACAAACUUAGAUGCAGAAACAGCAGAAUGAAAUGCAGAGCCUGCUUAAAUCUCUAAACACAACUGGAAGCUAGGCAGCAAGGUAAUGAGAGCACAUAUGCUCGAAAUUCAUGGCAAAACCUUUUUCUGAUCAUACUUUUAAUAAGGUAGAUUUGUAAUAGUACAAAUCAAGUGCAAUAUGAAUCAUGGACAUAAUUUUCUGCCCAAUUGACUUAAUGAGGGCAUUUAUAUAGAUGGUUUAAUUUUGGGUAGUAAGCUAAUUUAAAAUAACCUUUUACGGGUUGAAGAAUGAACUUAAUCAAGUUAUUGUAGCACAACAAUUUGCAGCGAAUCAUUGUUUUAUGUUAUCCAUGGCUAAUUUUUAUAAGUAACAAUCCUUUGUCUUCAGUAGAACAUAUAGAAUAUAAAUAAGUUAUUGACAUUACUAAUACUUCAAUAGCUAACUUUUGAGUUCAUUUGGGAUAUUGUUCUUGUUAUGACAAUUAAUCACCUUCUUUAUUCUUUUCCUUACUAAUUUCCUACUCAUUAUUUGAGUUUGUGAUAAGUAAAUCUAAGAUUUUUUUCCUUUUCAAAAUGCUUGUUACUUACUAUUGUUAUACUACUUUAUGCAGACAAAUGCUACUAUGUCAGAUUUUGUGCAAAAUUCAUAGCUACUAAGUGGACUCAAGAAGGAUGAAGAUAAAGCUGCUUUUUUGGCUCGUGAAGUGUUUUGGAAGUUUUUAUGACUUUUCAGGCUCGGAUGCUUUUUGUAAACUUGAUUGACUUUGCAUGAACAAUUUGGGUUACACAGUACCACUUCUAUUGUAGUAUUUGUAGGAUGACAUUGAACUUAAACAUUAUAUUUUGGUCCUUUGUAGCAUAAUGGAUGCUUUUAGCUAUUAAUUAGCAGGCCUUUUAUGGUUCUUUUGAUUUGAUGAAUUGUUGGAUUCCUUUUUAGUAUAAUGGAUGCUUUUAGAUAUUAAUUAGCAGGCCUUAUAUGGUUCUAAUUUGAUGUAUUGUUGGAUUGGUUGCUUUUAGGACAAUCGUUUGUAUCAGGUUUCAUAGUGACAAUAUAUUGUUACUAAUCAGAUUUCUCCACUAACAACAAAAAGUUGUCACUAAAUAGGGUGUAUAACAAAAAGGUAUAUAGUGAUGAUAAAUGUUGUCAGUAAAGAGCCAUUUUUAGUGACGACUCUAAAGAGUUGUGAGUAACCAAUCAAUACCAACGGCAACUAUGAAAAGGAUUUUACUGACGACACUACUACGAGCAUCAUUGAUAAGGUGAAAUGUCGUCACUAUAUAUGUAUUUAUUAUUGACAAAAAAUAUUGUCACUAAUGAAUAACAUUUACUGACGACAUUUAAUGUUGUGACUGUGUACCUUUACCGACAGAGAUUCACUGACGACUUUGUGACAACUAAAAUGUUGUCAGUAAAACACGUUAGUGACGACUUUUACAUUUUCUGUGAUAAUAAUCAGUUGUCACUGAUGACCAAAUUUCUUGUAGUGAUAUUGGAACUCAUUAGAAUUGAAGAGAAUAGUUGACUGGUGAAUCUGAUUGAUCAUUCCACCUAUCCUUCAGUUAAAAUUCCAGCACUCGUAUGCCUUAUUAAAAUUUCCCGAGCCAGUAGCAAAGGGUUUUAGCCCAUAGGAUAAUAGUAGGGACUAUCAUUAUUUUUUGGCAAAAAUGUAAAAUUCUUAAUUACGGAAUGGGGAUUGGGUAUCUAAAUUUUACAGUGGGCUUUUACUCUCCUUUUGUGUGCUUACAUAGUGUCCUAAUUUGGGUGUGCUCAUAUUGACAGGUUGUCAGCCUGUGCAAUAAUAAAAACCUGCUCAACUAAAGUUAAUUUCUGUAGAUAGUGGUAAGUAGGGUCGAAUCCACAGAGAUUAGGUGUAACUGUUUCUUUUCAAAUUCACAGUAACAAAUGGGGUGUUUUUGUGCAGAAGGUGAUAAUCAAAGAAUUUCAAAUAAAAUCUAAGAAGCUACUAAAAAUUAAAUAACAAAUUACUAAAAUCAAAUUGGUGAUAAUUAAGAAUCUAACAAAGAAAUAACUUCAGCAAUGGUGCAUCUAAUUGAUCAUCGAAACAAAGGCAAUUCCAAUUAUUUACUAAAAAAUAUGUUAUAACUGCCAAAGAAGCGAUGACAGUCAACCCCUCCUUACUGUGUCGGUGAUUAAGGUACGCCCGUUAAUCACUACUCUAAUUGAGAAAUAAUCUUAGGUACGCCCGUAAGAUUUAAUUUUCCAAUUGCCUUACAUAUUAGAGGAGCCCUAUUCUAACCAAAUAACACACUACCAGGGUUAUUUUAGAUUAGUCCGCGUAUUCCCUUGACACAAACCUAAUCAUGCCAAUUAUCACUAUUUUGAGACAAUUAAACAAUUACGGAUUUAACGUCCCAAUUGACAAUAGAUUAUCAAAUUAACUAAUUAUCCGGAUCCAAGACAAUCAAUUAAUUAAACAAUCAUAAGCACUAUAAUCAAAGAAUAUGCGGAUACCAAUAAAUAAAAAGAAAAGAUAAAAUUAAAUUGAUCUCACAGUUUUUAGGCGAAUCAAAGCAUCCGUUGUUUCUUGACUAGAGUGAGGAGAUUAGUUCAUAUUGAUGAAGAAAAUCCACAGAAAAUUGAAGGAAUAACUGCGGCCAUUGUACUUCAAAACUAGGAAAAACUCAAUUCGUUUAAUUGGUGGAAAGCUCUUGGCAUGCGCAGGGGGCAACCACAAAAGACAAAAGGAAAAAGUCAAAGAAAGCGAAAGGAAGUCCAUUGUUUUUCCUUGUCAUCACCAACGAGAGAACUACUACUAAAAAGCUAAGAAAGAAAAAAUCAAAGCUACUCUAAUGCUUGGCUCUUGUGCGGCGGCCCCCCUUGCGGAGAGGAUGACCCCCAGCCCUUCGUUCCUUUCCUCCUUUUAUGCUGUCUUUCGCAAAUUACCAAAAAAAGAUCACGCCUUGAUAUUCCAAAAAUACCCCUGGAUGCCUGCCCUUUGAGCUCUAUUUUGAAAAUCAUCAAAUUGACUCUUGUUAUGAUAUUUUUGAUCUACUCUCUGAAAUAAAUGCAAAUUACGAAAAGUGAGUAGAAUCUAAUAAUUAAUCCACAUCGAGUUAGAUAAUAGGAGAAAUUAACAAUAAAAUAAUUGAAUAAAUCGCAACCUAUCACUUCCCUCCACACCUAAAUCAUGCUUGUCCUCAAGCAUGAGAACAGUAAACAAACAUCAGUAUUUGACAAUGACUAUUGCUCUAUCUACCAUAUUGCCAAGAUACCAAGAAAAAUAAUAAUCAAGCAUCAAUGGCCAAGUCCAAGAAAAAUCACUCCGGUUAGCUUCUGAACCAUAAAUUCUUCCAAUUUCAGGUUAACUAAUCUAAGAAAAAGGAGUGGUCGCUCAACAUUUAUCAGUGAAUGGUCCAACUAUUAACCAAAAUCUCCAUAUUAAAUCCAUAAAUCGGCAAGCUGACUUUUAUUAUACACUAACACAACCUUCACUUUUUUAUCACGAUUUUUUGCUUUUCUCUUUUUUUGAUUUUUUUUUGCUUUUCUCAAUAGUAACAAAAGAUUUAGUCGCUAGCCAUUGGAGCCUUUUGACGCGAACUCUGACAUUUGUUAGAUAAAAGAGCCCGGUUACUCAGCUUCGAUCGCCACGUGACCACGUACUCAUAGCAAUUACUACUUUUUGACGCGAGAAUUGACACUUUUGGUGAAGAUCCCCUGUUACUAGGUAGUAAAGACUAGCGGAUUACAGUCAACUCUUAUUCACAGCCAAAUAACACAAAAACUCAAUAUAACACAAAAAUUAAAAGAAAAUUUGCAUCAGCUAGCCUCAUUUUCUAACAUGGAGAACUAAGAUUAAUAACUAGACCAAUUCACAUGAAAAUGCCAACAAUCAUUCCCUAUACUUAGGAAAGUUAACUAAAAAUUAUAAAAGUCACACAGUUGUCAAUAUUUACCACAGAGAUAUUCUUAGACUCAAGCACAUUCACUUGAUACACUUCCAUUACUAAAUCUUGGCAAUAGCAGAAAUAGAGGCAACAAUCCAACAUCAAACUUGGCAUCACAUACGAGCUAAUCACUAAAAAGAAAAAAAAGAAAAUGAAUGAAAGAUGGACAAAUAACAAACUAAAAAGAAAGAAAAAAAAUCUAAAAACUCAAAACUAAAGACACUAGCACCAUAACUGCUCCCCUCACACCUAAAUCCUACAUUGUCCUCAAUGGAGGAAAUAAAGUAAUUAAAGUGGAGAGAACAACGAAACUUCCCUCUCGAGUAGAUAAGGGGUAGGCAGGAACGGUGGAGGGAAGCCGAUGUGGUGGAAGUACGCGGCCAAAUUCUGAGACAUCCUUGCCACUUGGCGGGUGAUGUUCGUCACUCUCUCAACUACGUGGUGAAUCUCCACCUUGACGACUACACGGAGUGAUGGUGUGGCAAGGGGAAAGGCCGGCGGCGCUGCGGCUUGGUUGCGGACAGGAGCUUGCGACGCAUAGGUGGAGAGCGGCGGCGGGUAGUUUGGGCAGCAAGGUAGUGGCGGUUGAGAGUGAGAUCGAGGAAGAGGGAGCAAGGUGAGCUUUCCUACGAACAUGACGCGGGCACGUCAUGUAGGCACGAAGUGAAGAGCUCUCCAGGUUACUUGACGCGGGCACGUUAUGAGGAUAAGAACCCCUUCUGACGAAUCUGACCAUGAGCUCUUCAUGGGAUUUGACGCGGGCACGUCAUGAGGGCAAGAACCCCUUCUGAUGAUUCUGACCAUGAGCUCUUCAUAUGUCAUGAUGCAGGCCCGUUAUGAGGGCAAGAACCUCUUCUGACGAUUCUAAUCGUGAGCUCUUUAUACGUCAUGACGCGGGCGCGUCAUGACAGAAGGACACCUACAAAUCAUCAAAACUAAAAUUGAAACCCGAAAUCAGUCAAUCUCAAGGAAAACAUAUUUAAACUAUCACACGAAAUCAAACAAACAAUUAAAAGAAACAAUUGGAUUGCCUCCCAAUGAGCGCCUUUCUUUAAUAUCUUUGGCUAGAGAUUGUCAUGUUUGUUCAGGGAGGAUAAAAUCUUGUGGCUCGUUUCAGUGCUUCAUACUCUAUGUAAUCCUGAUAGCCCUCGUAAGUAGAGUAAUCCUUGAGCACACGAGCUACGGUCUUCCAUGGACUAGUAGAUGGCGACAACAAGUCAACAAUGAUCUGAAUCUCCACUCACUCCUCCAUCACACGCAUUUAUCGAUUCAAGAUAUUUUGCCAUCGCCACUCUUAACUUAUUUCUGUCAUGAAAUUUAAAAUUUUCUAGUAUAAUAAAAUCAAUCUCAGUAACAGGAAUUGAAGAAUAAGAGUCAGGAGAAUAUUGAUGAAUGAAUGGAUGAGAUGUCACCGCAUUUGAAGAUUGUUCACUGGAUUCAUUCUCUUGAAUGAGUUGAUACUGGGGUCUCAUUUCUUGCACUUUAGUUUCCUUUUCAACAGCAGCUUUAGAUCUGUUUUCUUGAAACUCUUGCAGUUCCAUGUCAUUUGGCCGGACAAUUGCACUCUCAUCUUCCUCAAGGUUGAUAUUGGUUUGUGCGGCAAAUUCUUCAAGGUGAGAAGCUAAUCACGUUAUCCUGGAUGAGAAGCUAAUCACGUUAUCCUGGAUGUAGAGUUGGCAAUUUGUCCCAAGUCCCAAUGGGCUACCCAAGCCCAAAGGAAUUUUGGGCGGGAUGGGUAUUAUAAUUUAGUAUUGGGUUUAAGUUGGGACACAUCCCAAUUAUACCCAGCAGUGAAUGUGAAAGGAUGGGAAAUACUUGGGUACCCACUGGCCCAAAUAUCUUCCUAAAAAAUAUACUUCGAAACUCCUCUCCUUUCUUCAUCCGCAGCUCCCUCAACGAUUCCUCCACCUCCCUUUCUUCCUCCGCUCUCCACGGCUACUCCGACCUCCGCUCUCCCGGUAGUUAUUUCAUCCUCAUAUACCUUCCUUCCUAAUUUACUCAGUUUUCUUGUUUAUAUUUGGGUAUUUUCCUAUUUGAUGUAGUGGGAAUUGCUGUAAAUGUGUUGUGAAGGAUAAGAAAUAUGUUUAAUUGAGGAAAUAUAGAAAAGCACCUGCUGUGAAUUGUCUGCUUCGCUAUUUGAUGAUGUGGGCAUUGCUGUAAAUUUUUUGUAGAGGAUGAGAAGUAUGUUUAUCUGAAGAAACUUGACAAAGCAGCUGAGAUGAUAAAAGUAAAACCCUCUUAAUUUCGGUACUAAGCAUCGGUACAAAUAUACCUAUAUGCUUUGAUCUGUUAUAUACAGCUGUUUCUAUCAUCUUUUUGGAUUGUGAAAUUGAUGUAUGGUAUAUUUCAAAAACUAGUUCGAUUCCAACCUUUUUCUUUUCAAGGGGACAUAUUGACGGAUACUUGCAUACUAGCAGGAUGUGUGGCAGUAAACCGGAGGAACCAGGUGAGAAAAUCUUCUGGAAGACUGAAUAUUCUGAGUAGGACUUUGCUCAGGCUCGCCAAACACGACUCCGAGUGGCUAAAACCCACAAGGUCACGGCUUACGUUGGUCCUUGACGGCUCACACAAAUUCACACCUCAUCCAAAUUCAUUUAAGUAUACAACUGCUUCUAGCCUUCUACUACUAGUCUGCUAGUAGCAGUACUAUAGUAGUAUACUUUAAGAUAAAUGGUGUUUAUUUUUCUAUAUGCCACAUUUGUUUGCUGCAUUCUCCUUUCAAACCAGUGAAAAGGGUUACAAGCCAACCUUGUUCUGCUGCAAGGGAAAAGCAGAGGAAAAGGACAGUGGCAGGUGAAUAUCCAAGCCAAUGCUGCUGCCUGCCUAAUGCCUAAUGUUGAUCAACUUUUUUAAGUUUAAUUUCCAAGUGCACUUGGGUUGGUUAAAUUUUAAAGUUUGAUCUCCAACCACUACUCCUAGGUUGGUUUUAUUUACUCAAUACGUUCGUUUUUGGCAAUGAAUUACAUAUUAUAUUAUUUGACCAAAGAGGUGCUAGGUGGUUGUAAUUUUUUGGGUUGUGUUCAUGCUAUUUAAUAGGUUCCAAUGGAUCAACAAGGUAGUUUAGAACCUGAAGAUGACUAUAUUCAAGCAAGCCAUGCAAGUUCUUCUAAGCGAGGAAGAUAUUCUAAAGUUUGGGAUGUUUUCAAAAAAAAGGAGGUUGAUCCUGAUGGAAGACAAAGAGCCGAAUGUAUGUUAUGUGGUGCUGUAUUACUGGCAGACGGCAUAUCAGGUACAUCAGGAAUGAACCGUCACAUAUCUAGAGGAUGUUCGAAUAGCAAAGAACAAGCAGCACAAUACUUGAUGGUUGACCAUGACGUGUAUCGAGAGCAUAUAUCUUUGGCAAUAGCACGGCAUAACUAUCCUUUUAGCUUUGUAGAACAUCAAGGUAUAAGGGACUUGCACAAAUUUUUGAAUCCAACUGUCCAAACUCUCUCAAGAAAUACAGCCAAGUCUGAUAUAUUAAAAUUAUACAAUAGGGAAAAGGAAAAAUUAAAAAAGGAAUUAGAGAUGAUUCCAGGUUGGAUUUGUUUAACUUCAGAUUUAUGGAGUUCGUUAACUACAGAUGGCUACAUGGCUGUGACAGGGCACUAUAUUGAUGAGAGUUGGACUUUGAGAAAAAAAGUAUUGAUUUUUCGCCACAUACCUCCCCCACAUAAUGGUCCACUUUUAGGUGAUCAGUUGAUUCAGUUUUUGAAGGAAUGGGGUAUUGAGCGAAAAAUUUUUAGUGUUACAUUAGAUAAUGCAAGUUACCAAAGUGGGAUAAUAGAAGCACUAAAGGAUCAUUUUUUGGUGAUAGAUUCUUUAAUAUGUAAUGGUGACCAUCUUCAUGUGCGUUGUGGUGCACAUAUUUUAAAUUUGAUAGUUCAGCAUGGUCUUAAAGCUAUUGAUUCUUCUGUGGUCAAGAUUAGAGAGAGUGUCAAAUUUGUUAGAGGUUCGGAGAUGAGAGGCAUGAAAUUUGCUGAAUGUGUGAAAUAUGUUUCCUUGGAUGCUAGCAAGAAAUUACAACAAGAUGUGCCAACAAGGUGGAAUUCCACUUAUUUGAUGUUGGAUAGUGCGUUACCUUAUCAAGCAGCAUUUCAUCGUUUGCAGAGAGUAGAUGGACUGUACGAACACUGCCCAUCAGAUUAUGAGUGGAUGAAGAUUAAGAAGGUUGCUGAAUUUUUACAACCUUUUUAUGAAAUGACAUUACUGUUUUCUGGGUCAUAUUAUCCUACUGCAAAUUUGUAUUUUCUCAAGGUGUGGAGAAUAGAAUUGUUGAUUCGAAAAAAUCUUCAUAGUUCUGAUGAUUUUAUACAUGGUAUGGCUGAGUUUAUGAAUGAGAAGUUUAAAAAGUAUUGGGACUGCUACAGUGUCAUUCUAUCUUUGGCUUUCAUUUUGGAUCCGAGGUAUAAAUUACGCUACUUGCAAUUUUGUUUUGAAAAGCUUGAUCCUUUGACUGCUGAGGAAAAGGUUAAAAAUCUUAAAGACAAGUUAGAAGCAUUGUUUGAGGUAUAUUUACAAGGCCAGUCUCUUGCUUGUUUAGAAUCCCAAGAUAGGAUUGCUAAUGCUGAAAAUGAUGGUGAAAUAAGGGAUGAGUUAGAUUUGGAGUUUGAUUCCUAUAAUAGCCAACAUGAGGCAUCUAUUUCCAAGUCCCAAUUAGGUAUUUACUUGGAGGAUAAAUUACUUCCAAGAGAUAAGAAAUUUAAUAUUCUUGAUUUUUGGAAAGGAAAUAUGCUGAGAUGUCCUGAACUUUCCUUAUUAGCAAGAGACAUUUUGAGCAUUCCCAUUACAACGGUUGCAUCUGAAUCUGCAUUCAGUCAUGGAGGUCGAAUCCUUGGAAAGUUUCGAAAUGCACUUUUGCCAAGCAAUGUUGAAGCAUUGCUAUGUUCUCGGGACUGGAUUUAUGGUGGCGAAGGUAAUAUUAAUUUGAAAUUUUAAAUGUCAAAUAUGUUUAUUUUCUUUUCUAUUAAUUUUGAUUCUUUUUAAAUAAUAGCAGGUUAUGAUGCUUCUGAGGUAGAAGAGGACGCAGAAAUGAGUGUUGAUGUCCAAAGAUUGGUGGCUAAACUUGGUAGUGGAGUAUAAACAUAUUUGACAGUUUGUAAUCUCAAAAGUUUAUAUUGCAUGUUCUCAAAAGUUUUCUUUGUCAACCUCUUUACUCUUUUUGCCCCAGGAAUCCAAAUCUUUGGUGGAUACCAAAGUCAAUGGCAACAAUCCGUGUUUUCCAUAUUGGUUGAGAAGAUGUCUAUUCUAUAGUACCAUUUCUCUGUUUCUCCCACUGUUAUGUGGAUUUUUAUCUUUUACAAGCCUUGGUGAAUGGAAAGAUCACUUCUUGAUGGAUAGCGUCUUGAUGACAGAGGCUUGAUUUUGGACUGAUGACUUCUACACACAGACUAGCUGCACAGUGUAGCAAUGCUUGUUGUAUGUAUUUAUGUGCUAUGAUAGAAGGUUUUGAAGUUCAUUUUGUUCUUAUCAAAAUGUAUGUCUUUGUGAAGUAAUUGUUGUUAUUUAAAAAGUGUAGAAGAUAUUAAAGUUAUUUAAAAAAUAAAAAAUGAAUUAAAGGAAAAAAAAUAUGUAGAAAAUAGAUUUGGGUUUGGGCGGGAUCAAUCUAAACCCAUCCCAAAGUGAUCCCGCCCAAGUUAAUCUCAUAUCACAUAUGGGUAAGGUUAGGCCCAAACCCAUAUGACUCGGUUCCAUAUUAAACCCAAGCAAAUCCCGCCCAUCCCGCCCAUUUUGCCACCUCUACCAGGAUAUCAAUUGAUGCAUUUGAUCCGUCAAGUUACUAAUGUUUACUUGUGUCUCCUGAUGAAAUCGAUAUGUAUUAGUAGCGAAUAAUUCAAUCAUUUCCUGAAGAGACAUCCCUGACAUGGAAGAUGGUUGUUGAGACUCUUGCUGUUGAAAAUCCAUUGGUCUGGUCGCAUAAUUAAAAUUGGAAUCAUCCCACCAUCCUUGAUCAUACCCGUUUGAAUAAGGGUCAUACCACGUUUGGUAUUGAGGUGAAAAAUCUCCAAAAGUAUCAAUUAAAGCACUCAGGUUAUCUUGAAAUGCAGGGCAUAUGUCGGUUGAAUAAUCUGGAGCAAAAUAAGUUCCACAAUUUGCAACAGCCAAUUGAUCAUUAGGAAAAACACGAGUUUCAUAACCCCAUUCAGGAAUAAAGUCCAGUCUAUCAUCAAAAUACGGAAUGUUAGCAGCCAUAAAUAAUAUAAAAAAAAGAGAAAAAUAAAUAAGAAGCAAAAACAAGAUGAACUCAAAAAGAAACAAAUUAAUUUGGCACCAGUCCCCGGCAACGGCGCCAAAAAUUGACAGGUUGUCAGCCUGUGCAAUAAUAAAAACCUGCUCAACUAAAGUUAAUUUCUGUAGAUAGUGGUAAGUAGGGUCGAAUCCACAGAGAUUAGGUGUAACUGUGUCUUUUCAAAUUCACAGUAACAAAUGGGGUGUUUUUGUGCAGAAGGUGACAAUCAAAGAACUUCAAAUAAAAUCUAAGAAUCUACUAAAAAUUAAAUAACAAAUUACUAAAAUCAAAUGGGUGAUAAUUAAGAAUCUAACCAAGAAAUAACUUCAGCAAUGGUGCACCUAAUUGAUCAUCGAAACAAAGGCAAUUCCAAUUAUUUACUAAUAAAUAUAUUAUAACUGCCAAACAAGCGAUGACAGUCAACCCCUCCUUACUGUGUCGGUGAUUAAGGUACGCCCGUUAAUCACUACUCUAAUUGAGAAAUAAUCUUAGGUACGCCCGUAAGAUUUAAUUUUUCAAUUGCCUUACAUAUUAGAGGAGCCCUAUUCUAACCAAAUAACACACUACCAGGGUUAUUUUAGAUUAGUCCGCGUAUUCCCUUGACACAAACCUAAUCAUGCCAAUUAUCACUAUUUUGAGACAAUUAAACAAUUACGGAUUUAACGUCCCAAUUGACAAUAGAUUAUCAAAUUACCUAAUUAUCCGAAUCCAAGACAAUCAAUUAAUUAAACAAUCAUAAGCACUGUAAUCAAAGAAUAUGCGGAUACCAAUAAAUAAAAAGAAAAGAUAAAAUUAAAUCGAUCUCACAGUUUUUAGGCGAAUCAAAGCAUCCGUUGUUUCUUGACUAGAGUGAGGAGAUUAGUUCAUAUUGAUGAAGAAAAUCCACAGAAAAUUGAAGGAAUAACUGCGGCCAUUGUACUUCGAAACUAGGAAAAACUCAAUUCGUUUAAUUGGUGAAAAGCUCUUGGCAUGCGCAGGGGGCAACCACAAAAGACAAAAGGAAAAAGUCAAAGAAAGCUAAAGGAAGUCCAUUGUUUUUCCUUGUCAUCACCAACGAGAGAACUACUACUAAAAAGCUAAGAAAGGAAAAAUCAAAGCUACUCUAAUGCUUGGCUCCUGUGCGGCGGCCCCCCUUGCGGAGAGGACGACCCCCAGCCCUUCGUUCCUUUCCUCCUUUUAUGUUGUCUUUCGUAAAUUACGAAAAAAAGAUCACGCCUUGAUAUUCCAAAAAUACCCCUGGAUGCCUGCCCUUUGAGCUCUUUUCUGAAAAUCAUCAAAUUGACUCUUGUUAUGAUAUUUUUGAUCUACUCUCUGAAAUAAAUGCAAAUUACGAAAAGUGAGUAGAAUCUAGUAAUUAAUCCACAUCGGGUUAGAUAAUAGGAGAAAUUAAUAAUAAAAUAAUUGAAUAAAUCGCAACCUAUCACAUAUAGUGCCCUUAGGAAUCAGGUUAGAAAAGCCAUUUUGAAUUGCUAUAUUGUUUGUUCAUUUUGUAACUCUAAUACCUCUUUCACAUUGCCUAUAAGUCAAAAUUGAAAAAAUAACAUUACAUUUUGGUAAGACACGGUCGUGAUGCUUUCUAUAAUUUAUGCUUACCCUAAAUUAAUUUCUAAUUAUCAAUAAAAAAAAUUGAAAAAUUAGUUAACCUAACUAGUCAAACCGAUCGGACUAAUCAACCAAGAAUCAUCAGUUUUUUUUAACUCCUUCAUUGGUCAGCUUAUUUUUGGCAACAUUGAAUCUUGAUCUUCUGAAAACGAAGUGAUUUCAGUGUAUAAUCCAAAUCAGACUAUUUCUCUAAAGAAAUUAGUUUAACCUUGUCCUUAAUUUUUCCAAAGAUCUGUAUCCGAAAUGUAAUAAUUAGCUUAUCCAUUAUGUUUGUCUAAAUAAAUUUAGAUAGGAUUAACUCAACAAAACCGCUUAAACAAUGAAGAGCAUUGUAGACACCAAAAUUUGUAUUUACUUUUAUUUUAUUUUAUUUUAUUAUUAUUAUUAUUUUAUUUUUGUUUUUUAAUUAUUAUUUAUUUAUCUAUUUAUUCAUUUCAUCUCAUGAUAUUUUUAUUUCUUAAGAAAAUCAUUUCAAUUCAUUUUUUAGAAAAUUAAAAAGAAAAGAAAAGAAAGGCAAGGCAGAAAAGAAAAGAAAAGAAAAAAAUCAAUCAAAAUCAAUUUUUGAAAAAAAAAAAAUCCACGUGCACCAUCCUUCUCUAUGGUUUCGUACCAGAAGCCAUGGAUAGUAGUACAAAAUUAUGUUGCGACAUCAAUUUGGCCUCUUUUCCAUUCUUUUUUUUUUUUUACAAUUUUCUUUCCUAGUACAAAGGCCAUCUGGCCUUAAUCUGAAACAUCAAGAAAGUUCCAGAAUUAAGAACUAUCUAGUGGCACAAAGAUUGCCAAAAAAGUGCAGCAAAAUUUGCACUAUCACUUCUAGGGUUGGGGGAAGGUCUUGUCUCAUAUAAAAGGCAGCGAAAUGCAGCAUUAGGGUAGAACAACGAGAGGGAAAUAGAAGAGAGGCGGCGGCAACACAAAAAUAGAAAGAAAAAGGGAGAGGAAAAAGAAAAAUGAAGAACAGAAAGAAGGAGAGAAACUGGGCAUGCCAACUACAUUGUUGUUACGAAUUCCCAGCAAAACAUCAGCAAAAUCUUCUCUACUUUUUUGUUCACUGCUCUCAUUAUUCUUCCCAUCACCAUCUAAAUGCUCUUCUAUAGCACCCUCAAGAAACUUAUCCAUUUCCUUGGCAAUUCUCUCCACUCUAGCCGUUAGACCACUAACACGAUCAAUCCAUCCAAGCCAUGGCAAAAAUGUCUCAAAAUCAAAUCCUCCCAAAACACUCACCAACUCACUCAUUAAUUUUCUAAACUUUCUCCCACUUUCUCCUUCACUAUACUUCUCCCCAAAAGCAGCUCUACUCACCACAUCACUCGUCAAGGCCAUGAACAUUUCAUUAAGAUCGACACCUGAUGAUGGUGCAGCAACUGAUCCUUCGCGAACUUUUGUGAUCAAGAGGUUUGUUUCCUCCUCUCUUAUGUAACGAAUGGAUUGAACCCCUUGUGUUACUUAGAAGGUGAUGCACACAAAUUCUCUUCAUUUGCUUCCAGUACUCUCCGUAGGGUGCCACUGAGACCUCCUUCAAAUCAUAUAAAAGCUUCCGAUUGACCUUAGAUUCAGGCCUGUUAAAGAAGUUCAAAUCAUGGGUUUUCAUGAUUAAUUCAGCUGCUUCAGCUGAUGAAACUACGAGCGUUUUGACAUUGCCAAGUUGGAGCAUCAUCAUUGGCCCAUGCUUUUGAGCCAAUUUCUGAAGAGAUCUAUGUGGAUGUGUGUUAGGAAAUUGACUUAAUUUCUUUUAGGCAGGUUUCUUGUUUUGUAUGGAAGUAACUAGUUCCCUAAUUAAUUUUACUUACUUGAAAUAGUAGCCAAGGAAUAUUCUAUUUAGUUUAGAAUUAGAAGUUAUUUCCUACAAGUGUAGGAAUUAGAAUUAAUUUCCUAUUGUUAUUUGGGUUUUGGCCAAAUAAUGUUCCAUAUAAAUAGGUAAGUUGGCAUACUACACAAGAACACACAAGAGCAUACAAGAGGCGCCAUGUAACAUUAUACAUGGGAUGGUGAAAGAGAGUUCUUGCGAGAUGAGAGAUAGUAUACAAGGAUUGGGUUUGGGUUCAAGUUGUAUUCUUGUAUAGAAUUUUCCUCUCAUAAUAAAGAACGGAUUUUCUCUCCGUGAACGUAGACUCAAUGGUGGACCGAACCACGUUAAAUAUUAUGUGUUGUUUAUCUUUCAUGCUUGUAGCUUGUUUGUCAUUAAAUUGUUGUGUGCUUGAUAUCUCAAUAAUUGUUUAUUCCAUGUUUGGAUCCUAACAAGUGGUAUUAGAGCUUGAUUGCGAGACUGGGCUGCUCACAAGCACUUGGAUCUCAACAAACUAAAUGGUUGGAUCAAGAGUUUGGUUGUUCAAGAUUGGAUCCUGGUUAACUAUUGAGAUCAAAUGGAUUAAUAGCUGUUACUCAUUGAACAAUUUAAUGAAUGGUGUCCUUAUUUCAAUAGUUUAGUAAAAAAACAUUGAUGGUGAAGGAUAGGAAAAUCGAAAAGUAUGGAGAUACUUGACGGUGAAUCUAAGCAGAUGAUUCAAGAGUCAAGGAAAAAGUGGAGCCCAAUGUUGAUUUUGGACGUGAAUCGGUGGAGAUUUUCUCAUAUCUCCAACGGUUGAUGCUUCAUCCUGGUGGAUUUUAGAUUUUGAUUCUGUUUUUUGGGUAGUGUGGUAUGUGUCCCAAAGAAACAAAGAGAUCUAAUUUCCAUGCGUCAGAAGACUCUGACAGUUACGAGUUUUUUGUUUUAGGUGGAGUCUUGAAAACCACACGUAGCGAGACAGUCCUGAGGAUGGGAAGAAGUAUGAUGAUUUUAUCACUUGGUUGCCUCAAUGAUUAUGGUUAGAGCUCACAGAUAAGGAUCAUAGAUUGCAAGUGGUGAUGAAAAAAAAUCCUGCAAAAAGAGAUAGUGAAUUGAAACCCUUCUCACGAGUCAACUAGAGGUUGAACUUGGGGUAACUACAUAUGUUAAUUUGCCAAUUGAAUGAAUUUGGUGUCAGGACUGUGUUGAUUUGGGUUGUAGUUCCGUACCAUAUUAUUUGGUAGUUGAAAGCAAAUGGUUGUUAAAAUAAAUUUUCACCAAGGUAGAAAUUUAUUAGAAAAUUGGCAUAAUUUCUUUUAGGUAGGUUUCUUAUUUUGUGUGGAAGUAACUAGUUUGCUAAUUGAUUUUAGUUACUUGAAAUAGUAGUCAAGAAAUAUUCUAUUUAAUUUAGGAUUAGAAGUUAGUUCCUACAAGUGUAAGAAUUAGAAUUAGUUUCCUAUUGUUAUUUGGGUUUUAUCCAAAUAAUGUUUCCUAUAAAUAGGUGAGUUGACAUACUACACAAGAGCAUACAAGGGCAUACAAGAGGCGACAUGUAGUCUUAUACAUGGGGUGGUGAGAGAAGGUUAUUGGGAGAUGAGAGAUGGUAGACAAGGGUUGAGUUUGUGUUCAAAUUGUAUUCUUAUAUAGGGUUUUUCUCUCAUAAUAAAGAACGGAUUUCUUUUCGUGGACGUAAGCUCAAUGGUAGAGUCGAACCACAUUAAAUAUUGUGUGUUGCUUAUCUUUCAUGCUUGUGGCUUAUUUGUCAUCAAAUUGUUGUGUAUUUGAUAUCCCAAUAGUUGUUUAUUCCGUACUUGGAUCCUAACAAUGUGUCCCAAGAAGAUGCAUGUGUCCCACAACUGGGAACUUUCAUGGUGAUGGAGGAAGGUUUUUGCUGCUGGUUUUUGUCGUAAAUUGCCAUUUUAUAAGAAAGAGAAUGAGUAACAAAGGAAGAAAAGCGAGGAAGAUUGGAUGCAAGAAAAAUGAGCUGAUUUUUUACUCAAAAAUUUGUGAAAAACUUGACUUCAUUUUAGCAGUGAACUUGAUCUCUUGUUCUACUUGUUUGGGUUGAGCUUCUCUUCUACAGCAUUAUGGGAUUUAUAGGGUAAACUUCUUUGUCUGUAGUUGUUAAAUUUGUCCUACUUGCGACCAAAUUUUUUUUUUCUUAAAAUGGAGCAGUCAGCACGGUAGCAGGCAGUAAGUCAGAAAAAAAAGGGACCCCUUCUUGCUGCCGUGCAUAUUCUCUGCUUCUCUCAAUCCCUCAACACGGAACGGUGGUAAAGUGGUGAAAGCUGAAAAGGGGACCCCUUCUUGCUCUACUUCAAGCUCAGAAUAACUUAUCACAGCUAUCCACGCUUUCUUUUUUUGAGCAUUGAUCCUGCAACUAUCACUCGGCUUCUUUGGUUGAACAUUUGUUUUCCGCAGAAUGUGUGAAGAGAUGAGAUGACGAAUGCGCUACUAUUUUAUUCACUUUGGUAUGGUUCCGUCAAAUCAAUUACUUUUUAUCAAACAAGAUCUUAUGCUUGUAGUAUUUGUGAUUCAUUCAAGCGCAGUUUCAAGAUUAUUCAGUUGUAGAAAGUUUUCGGAUGUACUUAUCCCGCAUGCAUAUUCUCUGCUUCUCCCAAUUAUAUUCUCCUUCUUUGUCUAGAAAUUCACUAUUCACUAUUCUAUGACAAGCACUGAAAUCUCCAUGUUCCCCUCCAAAAAUUUCUAGCUUCCCCAUGGUCCCCUCCAAAAAUUCAUCAAAUCCUGUCCAGGAAUCCUCCGAAAUCUCAGUUCAAUUUCUUCCUCUCCUGCAAAACGCUAGCUUGGUAACCUUCUUUUGUCUUAAAACCACAAAACCGUCAAACUCUUGAGUACAAAAGCUGAGGGUUACAGAAAACAGUUUGGUCAAGCACUGAAAACAAAUUUUGGUUGACUUUUUUGUUUUUUAAUUAGCACGGUAGCAGGCUCCAUUUAAAAAAAAAAAAAAAAAAUUUGGCCGCAAGUUGCCGUGCACAGUUAGCAUGGUAGCCUGCAACAAUAAAAAAAAAUUCCCUGCCAUGUUGAAUGGGCACGGCAGGUAUAGUUUUGUACAAUACGUUUGUCAGACAUACAUUCACUACAAUAAAAAUGACCUUUAACGACGUUUAAAAGUGUCAGUAUAGAUAAUCUAAACUGACAGUUUACCUUUUCUCACACCUCGGACGAGUGUUGUCUCUUCCAAUGUGGGGAUAGACUCGUACUAUUCAAUGUGUUAGGAAAACUAUGCUAUUAUAGCAUCCCAUCUGCCAACAAAAAUCUCUUUUCUUGACAAUUGAAAGUGUCAGGAUAUUGUCGAAGUUGUUGAGCUAUGUUGACACUUUUAACUACCAGGAGUUGUUUUUUCUUUUUCUUUUUAAAUAAAGAAGCAACCUGGUUGUGCUCCCUGCUAUACAUUCCGUCAAUUAGAUACCCAAAGGACUUGUAAAAUUAUCCCAAAGAACAGAAUGCAUAUAGUAAUUUAAAAGCAAAAGUCAAUGCUCAAAUAUCAUUUGUUGAACUAAAAUCAACAACAAGUACUAACAUAGCUAAUCAAAAGCCAAAACCAACACCAGCUAAUGUAACUAAUUGUCUACACCGUCAGUAUAUAAUAGCCAAAACCAACAUCUAAAGUCCCAAAUAGAAGUUCCUUUAUCUCUGGAACCUUGGUGCUCAAUGCGUUGUUAAGCAAAGUCUUGAACAGGAGCAGAAAGUUUAGUUCAUGUACGGCUUGGAAGUAAUCUGCGGCUGCUUGUUUCAAGCCUUGAGACUUGAUAGCACUCCAAGAAGGAACCACGCAUGGUGGUUUGUCGGCUCUAGUCAAAGAGCAACAUCAACAAGCUUCUUGCAAUAGGAAGAUUCUGUCUACCCAAUUUUAUCAGCACUCCAGCACACUACUACAAAAGUGUCCUUUUAUGACAUUCAAAAGCGUCAUUAUAGAUCUAUGUUAUGACGUUUAGGCUAUAAUGACGCUCUACUGAAAGCGUCAUCCAUUCUCGCGUCACGAUAGGUUUAUGACAGUUUUAAGUGUCCCAAUUUAUCAUUAUUAUGACAUUAUUAAAUGUCAUUAUUUAUGCCUAUUAUGACACUUUAUAAUGACAAGAAAUGCUUGAGUACAAUAACAUAUCACAACACUUUUUUAAUAUAAAUAGAUAGAAAUAUUAUGACACUUUUGAAGAGUAACUAGAUCAGGCCUUUAUGACAUUUUCUACUUGUUAGUAUAGCAUCCAAAUUAAAGUGUUCCAACUUCCUGUUGCAUAUUAUCUAACGUCAGAAAUCACAUUUCAUCCUGCUGCACAAGCAUCUCAGAUCCUAAAUUUUGAAGGAUUGUAACGUAGCUAGUACAAUAAUAUAAAAGAAGCAAUACAAUCAUCCAAACUUGAGCAAAAGUACAUCAACCAAAAAAUCCACACCAAAAGCGUCUACAAAUUACAUACUAAUUUAGAUGAUUUUAAAUUAGUCGUGUACAUAUGAAGGACACCUUUAAUAGCAACUCAACUACAAAGCAAGGAAGACGUCUUCAAAAAACUGCCACUUGACCCAAUGUUGCUUUAGUUUUCUUCAAUACUCACCUACAAGUGUCGUAAACCAAACAAGACAAAUUACAAUUCACACAGGCAAAUGAGAUGAUGAAUAAGAAACACAAGCAAAUAUAAGAGAAAAAGAAUCCACUCCGUGACUAGCAUAACUCCAAUCCCCACACGUGGACAAGCAAAAAUAUUCCAGCUUAUAAGUUAAACUGGAAUAAAAAUUCUCAAUCAGCUCUGGAUUGGCCUGCUCGGGAAGAAAGGAUAAUCCCAACAAAAAAGCUUUGGCUGUUGUGCAUUUGCUCUGCAGUAGUAACAUAAAAAUUCUGAAGCACACUUGAUAGUGGACAUAAAAUAAGUAACGUUAGAUACAGAAAAUCACUAAUGGUGCAUAACAGCAUGAUAACUGCUGAGCCCAGGAGAUUCAUCAUAAAUCAUAAAUGAACAAAAAUCAAACUAAAAGCUUUUCUGUUCUAAGUUUAAAGACUAUGCUAAGAGUGGGAAACCAUUUUACUAAUUACAACCCAAAGGUGACUGACAGGUUGUAAUAAGUAGAGCAAGAAGUUUAUCAGUUGAAACAAGCAAUAGAAGGACACAAUCACUAAAGAGUAGUCCUUCAAAGUAACCUCACAACACUUACUUUUCUUUUUUGCAUGUUUACCCGCCAUAAGUAUUUUAUGAUAAGGAAUAUUAUAAGUUAUGUAAAGCAUCAGAGAUUCAAGUCUCUCUUUCUUUCUUUCUUCUUGUUCUUCUUUUUUAUUUUUUAACACAACUACAUUGAAAAGUAGGUUCAUGAAACAAAUAUUAAAAUACAAAGAAACUGGAAAGUAUUAGGUACUUUAAUAUAAGGAACAACAUAUCUGGGCACUGACAUUGACAUUGAGCUUGCCAAUUGGGUAGCAGAAUCUGGGCAUUGAGGAAGUCAGGCCUACCCAAGACCCUUGGAUCCUCUAACUUAAUACAUGCCCUUUACAAUGGCAUUUGAGACAGUUUCUCGUAAUUAUAGUUUCAUAAUUUUACUUACUACCUUCAUCUUUGCAACAAAAUCAAGUUUCUUCAUAUCAGCUUACGAUCUCUACAUGUUUGUCUACUAAUGGUACAGAGCUACUAUGUUUAGAAAGUCAACAUAACCACUAGUUUGUCAGCUACCGAAGUUCAUUAAUAAUCAUCUAUCUAAUGCAGGUUGAAAUGCAAAAAGGCAACUACCAUACUUCACUUCAUGAUCUUUAGGUUUCUAGUGAAAUUCAAGAGGCAACAAUAAAUAGCAGGCUGAUUUAUUACAAAACCAGAAAUUCCACAAGAUAAGGAGCACGAAUAGUAAUACAAUAUGGAAAUGCGAAUUAACCCUGAAGUAAAGUUACAAUAAAACAUGGAGACCAGAAAUGCAUAACACAUUCACAUAGUUUUCUAGGAAGACAAGCCCCUAAUUAGAGUCAAACAAUCUCAGAUGCAGUAGGCUUAUCCCAUACUAACAUGUACCUUAUAAUAUCUGUUAGAAGUACCAUGUAUUCUCAUGAGCUCUACUAUUCUACAAGGGACUCUAUCCUGAAAUCCCAGCAAAAUGAGCAGAAACAAGCUCCAAAAAGUGAAACCGAUAUAUGUUUCAAACAAAAAAGGCCUAAACUAAAUGUAAGUUAGUUAGUUAGACACAAAUAUCCAACCAAUAGAAGCACAAUUUACAAACAUCAGCAAAAAAAUAGCUGCAAGAACCAACACAAAUAGACAAUACAUCUCUUUAAUCAGGACAAAAACAAGUUAAACUACCUGACACUAGCAUCGCCGACAAUUCUGAUGGCCAUUCCCGCGGAAAGGCCAGCGAGACCGCAAGCCAAGCCAGAAGAAAGAUGUGCAUAGCCAUCAAAGAGGUAAUAAGCUUUGGUCUUAGGAUUAAUUCCAGUACUGAUGAUGACAGCAAUAAUCAAACCGUAGAUACCCAGCACACCAGCCAUAACAACCGGGACGAUCGACUUCAUCACAAGCUCUGGCCGCAUCACCCCCAUUGAUUCCACUCCUACCCACUCUUCGCUGUCCCAUAAGCAGCUCCCAUGCCUAAAUUCCCAUAAUAAAUAGGAAAAAUGAAAAACAUAAAUCGACAUGAAAUUUGAUAAAAAAAAUGUAAACGUAGUUAUCUAUGUUAGGGUUAGGGAUCGUACAGGAGAAGACAAGGGCGGCAGCCGCGCUGAGGAAGCCAAAAAAAGGAGCAAUUUCCUCGCUGCUAAAAGUUGAUGACAUUUUUCUUCAGAUUAAGAUCGCUUUUAGGUUACAAACUAGAAAAUUGAUCGGAAAUUUGAUCGAAAGAGCUUUCCGGAAUUGGGGGCUCUCUCUCUCUCUCUCUCUCUAUUGCAGCGAUCCGAUUGGUAAUUUUGGGUGUUUUGACACUGCUGCGCUGUUCCGCUCCAGAUCACACGUUUCAAUUGGAAUGAUUGGUUUUAUCCGGAGAGGAAAAUUUGGGGGAUGAAAGAGUAAAGCUUGAGAACAGGUAGGUUCUGGAGAAGGGCUUACAAAUUUUUUGAAAAAAAGGCGCCUUAGUGGAGAGUUUCAGCAUUUUCUAUUUUUUUUUUCAAUCUGUUUCCAACCAUUACGAUGUCGUUAUGGUUUCUUCUUUUUCUUUUUAAUGACCAUUCCUAUUGCAUGUCAUAUUAAGAUUGUAUUAUAACAUUUUUCUAAAAGUGUCAUAAUAGAUGUGUCAUUAAAGACUAUUUUUGUAGUAGUGGCACUUGAGACAAUGCUUGGUACAUAAUUUGGCUCUAUGGAGAGUGAAACUGAGAAUACAACAAAAGCUUCCUUGUAUUGUUCUUGAGCUUCAAAUGAUUUACCUGCAAAUAUAAACGCAUCUUGUGAUAAUCAGAGGAUACGAAUAAACGCAUCUUACUUUUUUUUUUUAAUUUUCGCAACUUCUUUUAAAAUUAUACAUUAUCUUACGUGUUCUGAAUCGCUUAUUAAAUGUUGUUAUUUCUAGAAUUGGUUAAGCGAAAUCCCAGCUAACCACUUUGUCAGUCACUUUAAUAAAGCAGGGGAUUUAAUUGAACAGAAAGAAAGAAGAAAAGUGCGGUAACACUUCCAAUAAGGACACCAUAUCAAUUUCCAAAAGACAAAAGUAAAAAGACUAUAAUUCAGAGUACAGAAUAAUUGCAUUGGAACGCCCUCAGUUAACCUUUUCUGAAAUGGCACUAACCAAACAUGCAUCAAAAUAGUAUGAACUUAGACAAAAGCAAAUAAUCAUCUGCAACAGCAAAACAAUGCAUAUGAGCUUCUUCAUUUUCCCUUCAUACAAAUUAGAAAACAAAAGCCUAGUGCUUAUCUUCUUUGUACGCAGCAUUUGAGUUGCAAAAAAUACUGCUGUUCAUUCUACAUUUGCCAGCCCCUAGUAUUAUGCCAGGCUGUAAUCAUGUUGUGGAUUAUUUUCAAUUUUAGCCAGAGGAAAAACAAACAAAAUACAUGUCCUUUUGCCCUACUAGUUUUGGGAUAUUAUGCCAGUUAUUUCUACUACUCUGACAGGCACUGCAAUGCGUGCAUUGGAUUCUUCCACCUAUAAUAAGAAGCUCUAAAAAGUAGACAAUAAGGGCUUUUGUCAGGAUCUUUUCUUUAGCUAUGGAGUACCAUUAUUUUGUAGUCUUUCUUUGUGGAGAAGUCAAGAAUUGAACUCAUGAUCUCCAGAGCAUAGAGCAUGCAUUGAUUCCUUGGGCUAUCAAUCUCUUUUCCACGAGGACAGACUUUGCGACCACUAAUAAUAGCAACAGGGUCUAAAAUUAGUCAUUGGCACUUUCUGAGAAGGGGGACAAAAGUUAUCCACCACCAUGUUUUAGUACCUACAGUUUCAAGUAAAGAAAUAAUUAAUUACUUAACAAAAUGCAUAUUCAAACUGGAUGUGACAUGUUUUAGUACCUGCAAAGGAGGAAUAUAAAUUCCAGGUGCAAAUGAGAAUGAAGCAGUAACAAACCCAAGGAAAACGUACCCUUCUUGGCAAUUGAAGGAAAGAACGAGAUGGAGAAGCCCAAUGGCCACCACCCCAGUGAGCUGGGAACCUGACGAUGAGUGGGAACUCAUCAACGAUGACGGUUUCGUCUACAAACACAGGAAACGUUCCCGUAUCGACCUUCUUUCCUCCACUUCGGCAUCGGGGCUACCGGAUCCGGCCGUUGAAGAGCAGAACUGCCGGCAAAGGAAGAAAAGAGCUCUUCUCAAGCUCAAACACAAGUACCAACAAGAGAUCGAACAGUGGGUACAUUUGUCGAACACCUUGAAGGAUAUGCAGUAAAAAUCCCCAAUUGUUAUUAGUCAGCAGCAAAAAUAUCGACAACCCAAUGACGCUGCUACGUCGUCUGACCGAGUCACAACAACUUCCCCAGUCUCUCCGGAACAAUCGUCAGACUCCGCUUGCUGACAUCUUGUUGAUGAACUUCUCUUGCAAGUGGCCCAAAAAUCUAUAAUUGGAGAUGUAGCAAGGCUGUGCGAUGUGGCCGAAGGCUUGUGUAGCUCAAGAGAGGAGAAUUUUACGAAAUCCUUCACCGAGCUGCCGGUAUGGACGUCGAAGCUGCAUGAGCUAAUGACGUCACUCUACAAAUAUUGAUUUAGUUCAGGAGUAAAAUGUCUUUUUAAAGUUCCUUGUUCUACUCCAUUACAGACUUCUCUGCUAUCCAGGAAGGCCGAAAGGAGGGAGAUGACCAAGAAACCCUUGGGUUGGGCACUUGUCUAUAGCUGCUCUUUUGGAUGGAAGAAAUACGACCAAAAACGCCAUGCCAUGGGCCUUCUCACUCCAGAAAUUAUGUGAAAUUUUAAAAAGAUUCGAGAUGUAAUUCAUGUAUAAUAUGACUGGUUUGAUUGCUCUCUUUUCUGGGUUAAAAAAAAAAAAGAAAAGAACGAGAAGAAAGAGAAGAAUAUGGAAUAAUUUAAAUGAGAAUGAAAAACGAAGGAUGCGAUGAGGGAUUGGAGAUUGGAGAGCCAGAGGAAGAAAGGAGAGCAAGAGCGGCGGAGGAGAAAACAAGAGGUGAACUUGUGUUUGCCCUACUUAGGGAAGAGAAGAAAAAGAAACACGUGCACCUCACAUGAGUAUGACGAAAAACUUGUGAACAAUAACAUUUUUUCAAGUGUCAUGUUAGGUAGUUUAAAAGCACAUUAUUAUUCUUAUAUCAGAUAAAAUAAAAAAAUUAAAGUAUAUAUUAUUGAGUUGAUAAUAAGUGUCAUAAUAGAGGUACUAUAAUGACAAAAACCAACAAGUGUCUUUAUAGACAUGUCAGGAAAGGCCAUUUUUUAUUGUAGUGAUUUGACGGACUUUUUUUUUGGUAUAUUUUGAGAAAUUAACCCUAAACACCCAGUAUUUGGAUCGAGUCAGAGUUUGGCUAAGCCAAUGACAAUUUGUUUAUCCCGCAAUUGGUGGUCUAUUAGUCAAUUUCUUUGAGAUUAUUGAAGCCAUAACCAUCCUAAACAUAAACUAUUACUAGCGCCUUCUUGACCAAUCCUUGAGUUUUUCAUCACUAAAAAUAUUUCGGAGAGGUAAAAGAAAUCACAGAUGCAUGUGCCUGCACUAAUUUACAUUUUGGGUGGCUUCUUUUAUGCUAAUAUGAUUUAGUUAAAUUGUUUGGUAAUUAGUUUAUACGUAAUCUUUUUUUCAAACAUGUAACCUCGAAUAAAUUCAUUUCCAACUUGAUUUUUGACUAAGCAACAAAGAUAGCGAAUGUAGUCACUAAAAAUUCUGCAAAUUGAAAUGAGAGUAUACACAAAUCAAAUCAAAUCAAACUUUUAACUUUGAUUCUGAAGUUCAGAUACAAAUUUGAAUAACUUGAAUCAUAUACGAGUUUUAAAUUUGAGUUCAAAUUUGAUUUAACAUUGUAUUUGAUAUGAUCAAACUCAGAUUCGAAAGCUAAAAUUCAUUUUAUUUACUUAUUUUUAAUAUAAAACUUUUCUAUAUCAAAAUAAUAAAAAAUAUUUAAAAAUAUAAACAAAUUAUUCGAUCCUUAACAAGCUAAAUACUUGCAAGUUCAAAAUCAAUUCAAUACUUCAAUAGAAUCCUAAUUAUCUUUCAAAUUCAAUCUUGAGCUCGCUAAAAAUUGAAUUCAAAUUGAGGCCUAACUGUUUAUUAAGGGCUUGAUUCAUUUAUAACCCUAGUGUGGACUGUACAAGAAUUUUAAUCACAAGACUUACCAACAAAUUUACGAGAACUGGAUUUCAUAUAAUCUUCGCAUUCAUGAUCAUAAGCUCAUAGUUGGUGAGUACAUUGUUUGAAAAGAAAAACUAAUAAAUUGCAUGCUUAGAGUUUUUAGAUACACCCGAACUAAACUACAAAAGAAACAUAUAUCAUAACUAUGCAUACACCAAAACUCACAAUGAAUCCUCACAAUUAUCAUUUAUUUUAGUUCCGCAAUUCACACACUCAUCGGUAUGAAUUAAAACCCCAUAUGCAAGUGAUUCAAAAGCUAUUUAUGAGGCCAUCUUGAAAUAAUGUACCUUAGCAAGCUUCUAUUUUAUUACUUUUGGUGUCAAUAAUUAAAAGCUAAACAUUUUAACUAUUCUUCUUUUUCCAUUUUUUCCACGUGAAAAAAUAGUGACGUGACUACUAUAUUGAUACGGAAAAAUCAACUGUUAAUGUUUCAUAAGACUUUUCGUGAAUUGAUAAUAAGUUCACACCCCCUCUCUUCUUGAUUUAGAUUUGCAAUACCUAAUUUUAAUAGUACAAGCCAUAUAUGCACAGAUUUAGAUACAGUAUAGAUGACCGUAGGUUUUAGCCACCCCAAGGAAAUUUUAUAAACAAUUUUGUAAGGGUCCAAGUCUCUUGCUUUAGACUUGGACUAUUAGUAAACCAUUAAUCGAUUUUGCAGAAAAACACUGGCAAUUUUUAUCCUUGAUAUGCUUAUAAUGUUCAUAUUACUUCUGUCAAAGUUAUCCAGUCCAAAACAUACUGGAAUUUUAGGCACUACGCCACCCUAUGGAUUAUCUUGGUCCAUGUUUCUAUUACUCCCCUUUGUGGUGCCCAGAAAAGGUUAUUCAUGGCUAGGUUAUUAAUAUAAUAGGCGAGCUAGUCCGGAAAAAGAGAUCGUAUUGGAUUAGCUGUUUUUGAAAAACUUUGCUGUAGCAGAGUUUUUAGAAUAUAUUUUGGAAUAUUUUUAGAAAAUAUUUUGGGAUAUUUAAGAGUAGAAGAGUUUUUAGAAUAUAUUUUGAGAUAUUUUUUAAAAUUUUUAAAAAAUUUAAACUAAUUUUUAGAUUACCUUUUAGAAUACUUUUUAAAAAUUUUUAUUGUAUUUGAAAAACACUCCAAAAACAGGGGAUCCAAACAGAGCUAUCUUUAAGAGCUUGGAAACUAGGGGUGAGCAAACGGUACAAAUUCGGUAAUUCGGUUAGUUGAAUUCGGUGAAUUCGGUUAUUUGACUUAUAGAAAUCUAAACCGCUUUUAAUUUCGAAUUGACUAUAACCGAAUUCAUUUCGCAACUGAUUUCGAAUUCAAAAAUGGUAAUGAAUUCGUGACAGGAUUUUAAUAUACGUACAAGUUAAAAAAAAAACUGAAUUACACCCGUUCACUAUAAGUAUACAUGUUAACUAAUAGUUUAGGGUAUAUAUCGGGUCGAUCCCACAGGGAAGAGUGAACAAUUAUCGGUAUUACUAAAGCUUCUCUAUUAUUUAGACUAUCAAUGAAUUAUAACAAAUUUAACCUACUGAAAUUAUACAAAAUGACAAAUAAAAACUACUUAGGUUGUGGUAUCCCUAACUACUCAUGCAAGUGCUAUAUUUGGAUCAUUUAGUACUACAUCUAGGUUAGUUAUGGUGUAAUUUCCUUAUGCAUUUGAAUCCUCCUUUCAUAGUGAAUCAAUUACACUUAUAACUAAUCCAUACCUGUUCUCAUGAUUUUGAAAUUAGCUACAAGUUCAUUUCUUCAGUAAAAUUACAUGAAAUAAAUCACUAAAAACCACAUAGGUGCACCUCUACUUUCGUGAGUGUACUCCCUAUGUUUAGCACUUCUUGAACUAGUGUUAAAUCUCAAUUUUCAUUGCAGAAACAACACCUUAGAUAAUCACAAUCAAUGGUACCAGAUUAAUCAUGAUUUAAAGAGCCAAAGUGCUAAAUAACUUGCUCAAAUCAUAGCAAUCAAAUAACCAAAUAAUAAGCACUAACAAUUAUAGAAAGUUCAACCAAACCCAAGGCAUAAACUUUAGAGACACAUAUUGAACACAAAAUCCAGAACUUGCAUAUUAACUAUACUUAAGAAUCUGAUACAAAAGAUAAAGAGUUGGAAAAGAGAUAACCCAUGUCAUUUGAGUUUCAACUCCUUCUUCUUCAUCUCCAUCUUCAUCCUAUUCUAGUCAAUCUACAAGAAUGGAUGAACUAUACUAGUCUCCACUAAACUAAUCUAACACUCAGAAGAUGAAAGAGCUACAUUUCUACACUCCAAGCUUUCUCCCGUAUCUCUCUCUAUUCUCCCUUCAAUCUUGCAAGCUUUGACUAUAUCAAGGUGAAAGUUGGUCAAGAAGUGAGGUUUACACCUCCCUUUUACAGCUGGGAAUGUUUCUCACAUGUCUAGCAUCACAUGUGACUUAGUGGAGGUGAAAUUGAGUUUUCCGCGUAAAGAGCAGACUUCUCUGACCACAAUCCGGCCACAAAUCCGGCCAAGUUCCGGCCGGAUUGCUACAGUGACAUUUUGGUGCACUGUUGUUCAAUUUCCAGCUCUGCUCUAAUUUUGCAUCAACUUCAAGUGAACUUUUCUUGAUGAUAAAAGCUGAUUUAGCUCUUGACCAAAACAUAAAACUUGUAGCCCUUUGAGUUAACUUUCCAAUGCAUCAAGAAUCACCUCAUUUGGAUUUGUGUAGGCUGAUAAAUGACCGAAAUACCCUUGACUGCUCACUGCCCUGUUUCAGCUUCGACCAAUAGAAAUUAGCUACUGUAAUUCGGCUUUUUGACCUAGAAAACCUUCAAACUGGAUUCAGAUGUCUUCAUCAAAGUUGUAGAUCUAUCUCUUAUCUUCAAAUUGGUUUAAUAAUCAUCUCAAUCCGAUCAUUGUAGCUCAAGCUAUAGCCAAAAUACGAAAAUGUGUCAAAACUGUCAAAAUGCACAAAAUCCAAGUAAAAAGUGAUAAAAACCUCAUUUAACCACUUAAAAGCAUUUUUCACCAAUUAUAGCCAAAAUGAUUUAUUUUCUUCCAAUAAUAUACCCAAAGUGACUAAAAAUAAUAUAAAAAGUCAUACAAUUAUUACUUAAAUUAGUCACUUAUCAAUUCGGUCUAACCGAAUUCAUUUAUUAAAAAAAAAAAACUGAUGAGAUAACCCUGUUAUGGUCCUGAAGGAAGUGAUUGUGUAAUUUUUAAUUUACAAAUUAGGGCUCCUAAAUUAUAAUACGUUCAUUAUGCUCUUCAAUAAUUUAAAAAUUAUUAUUGAUUUGAUCCCCAAACUUAUUCAUAAUUUAACACAUUACUUAUGUUCUAAUCAUUUUGUGGUUUAAUUGGCAUUUAUUUGAUCACUUAUACCUAGAAUCCUUAGUCUAUGAUUUAAGAAACACAUAAAAAGUGAUUAAUUUAAACUAGAAUAUACCUUCGACUGUAUAAUGAUUAGUAAUAAUUUAUGAAUUUAUAAUUUGCCAUGAUUAAUAAUAAGUAAUGUUAGUUACAAACUUACAAAUUACAAUGAUUAGUGAUAAGUUAUAUUAGUUACAAACUUAUAAUUUAUUUCAAAUCAAAAUAAAACUUAUUUAGUUACAUAUGUUAUUGUGAAAGUCAAUACACUAGUACAUUGAUUUGCAAUUCAUAUGCAUUCACUUACACUGCUUAGUUGUCUUGUCUAUACUUAAAGCCUUAAGAUUAGUGAAUAGAGAAUAUGAAUUUUUAUGUUAAAUAUGUAAUGUAAAUUUAGAGCAUACUAAUACUUGCAAAUUAUAGGUUACGCAUUCAAAUAUUCAAUAAUUCAAAUAUAAAUGAUGUAUCAAAUUACCAAUAUCUAAAUUCUAAUUACUAAUUAUGUUUAUUGUUUAGUAUUUAGUAUUAUACAUAUAUGUUAUAAUUAUUAUCUAAUUCUAGUCAUGUUACUCAUGUAUAAAAUAAUAAGUAUUAUAGUUAUGUUAUAUUAUUAUGUAUUACUAUAUAUUUGUAUUAUUAUAGUCAUAUAACAAUUAACAAAUACUAAAAUAUAUUGCAUAUUAUUAUUAUAAGUACAUGAUUAUUAUUAAUAGCAUUUACCUAUAUAAUAUAAUAAUAUAUUAGUAGUAUAUACUAAUACUAAAUAGCAUUUAUCUAUAUAUUAUAUAAUUUUAUAAACUAAUUUGGUAUUCGAAUGUUGUAAUGCGGUACCCUAUUUCAUUUUACCGAAUUUGAAUGCGAAAUCGGUUAUUACCAAAUUCAUAAUCUCAUUACCUAUUUCAUACCAUAUUAGAAUUUGGUACGUACCGAAUUUGUACCAAAUUACCAAAUAUCCGAUUUCAAAUUACCAAAUUGAAUUUGAAUUGGAUUAUAAAUUCGAUGUGUGCCGAAUUUGCUCACCCCUAUUGGAAACUAUUCCAAUAACCAAUCACUACAGCCAUUAUUUUCCCGUCACUAGGGGGAAGACGUUAAUACCAGAGCUAUAGAUACAGGGAUGUUCAUCGUUUGAUGUAAAUUUGGUAACAUGGUAAUUAAUCCCGAUCAGCAAAAUCCACUCUUGGCUAGAGUUAAUAUUUUAGCAUCUUUGCCUAAUAAAAAGUUUAAAGAUCUAAGCUAAAAGCAAAUGAAAGCAUUAACAAAUUGAUUUUUUUUGGUCAAAAUCAAAAUCUAAAAUAGUAUAUGCUUCUCCUUGUGUUGCCCAUUCUACUAAUUUGGAAGUCCGUCAGAAGAAAGAAUUUCUGUUCUGGUUUAUUUUGGAACUCCAACUAAUUGUGGUACACUCUCCGUCAGGUAUUGGGAAUUCUCUUAAUGUGAUAAAAUCCGUCACCACUUAGGGUGUUAACAAGAAAAGAUAAUCAAAUAAAAAAGCCGGUAACUUGGAGAACUGAAUUGGUUCAAAUAAACAAAUAGGGUAAUCAAUUCAACAUUUUGAAAAUGGUUAGGCUACCCAAACCUAUUUGAAUAGGUCAGGGAAUGGCUUCUGAUUUUUGAAAAUCGCUUUUAUCCGAGCCUAUCCACAUAUGUAUAAGUUGGUUAAACCUCGAGUAGGAACCAUUUAGUCAAUCACCAUUAGUAAAUCAAGUUAGGAAGCCCAUUACACAUUUAUAUUUAUUUAUUUAUUUUUGGCUGUGAACAUAACAAGUAGUUAAUUUACCUAACCUCCCCAAUUCUUACAUUCACCGCCACUAAUUCCAUUCACUCUACUGGCUCUUGUUUCUUUGCCUCCUCCAAAUUUUCUUUUCUUUGCUCAUAAAGUUUGCAUGCUUUUUCACUAUACUCAUUUUUGUUUUUCCAAAUUUUAAAGCUUUUAUACUUGGUUGUGGACGAACCUAUUUGCAUUACUGAAAUACGAGUUUAUAGUGUUUUAAGAAGUGAAGAAGGUAAAAACAAAUGUUCGAAGCAUUCAGUAUUUUAAUUAUGUAAUGUGUCUUGAUCAUGUAUUAUUUGUGGGAUAAAACUUGUAAGGUGUAAAACUCGAUGGACCAAACCUUACUUGGAACUUGCAGAGUUAAAAAAACUGAGAGUAGUCGACAACUAUAAUGCAGGCAGAAGGUUUAGUUGAAAAUCGAUGCCAUUCAGAUGUCAUGCACCUAGAUAAUAUGUAAAGAACAUGUUCUGUAUUAACUCAUUAUCGCAAACAGCAGGUGAUUUAUAUAUCAAACUACGGAGUUUUUCUUAAUAACUCAAAUGUAAGUCAAUUAUUUUCCAGUAAAAUUGUUUAUGGUUCGGAAAUUUGUCCUAAUGCCGCCAUGGUAAUUUUCUACAUAUAGUGAACUCCAAAGCAAAUCAGGCGAUAAACUUAAGAAUGAACGGCCAACAUAAUACUUGGUGCACAAUAAGUCGACCAAGUUCCUUGAAACUAAUGUUGAGAUGGAGUAAAUAAAGUCAUUAACAACCCUUUAGGUUGAAGGUAAAAUGGGGAGAAGAGGGACCCAAAAGAAAUAAAACGAAGGGAGUGGAAUUAUACAUCUAUAGCAUGAACAAAAGUAAGAACUGGAAGGUGAGCAUUUAGGUUUUUUCUUAUUUGGUCCAUGUAAAAGAAGAUAUGAAUUGAUGACUUUGCCCCUCCAUAAGCUAGUGAGUAAAAAGCAAAUUGGUCCAACAAUCAAAGUACGACAUUGUUCCACGUAGAGGUGCCAAAUUAGUUUAAUUACAAAAGUUAAGGGAUAAUAUUAUCCUAAAUUAAAGUUGAAGAACCAAAAGUGGUCCCGUAAAAAAGUUGGAAGAUGAUUUCGAUCAUUUGCCAAAAAAAAAAAAAAAAAAUCAAUUGAAAGGAGCGCAAAUGUAACAUCUAUUGCAUGAAGAAAGAUAUGAAAUUGAACAUCUAUUGAUGCAUGCAUUACCAGCACCGCAACUCUGAAGAUGGAAACUUCUAUUUAAGCUGAAUUAUCAUCAUCAUCAUUAUUAGGGCAAAUUACAUUUUACCCCCUGUGGUUUAACAUUUUUUUUACAUAAUCCUCCUUUGGUUUCAAAAGCUAUACAUAAUCCUCUCAUGGUUUGGAUUGAAGUAUCAAAGUGAUGGAAAUAGUCAUUCAUAACGGAACUUCUAAAAAUGUCAAAAUUACCCUUAUAAAUACAUGACACACUAACCCCGUAUGAUUUUUAUAUUUUACCAUAUAACCCCCUUAUGGUUUAAUUAUUUUACCAUAUAACCCCUUAUAAUUUUUAAAAUAUACACAUAACUCCCCUUGGUUAAUAAAUAAUUUUCAACUUUAUAUAAGGGUAUUUUUGAUAUUUUAAGUGACUCCGUUACAAAUGAUCAUUCUCGUCACUUUGACACUUUAAUCCAAAUCAUGAGAGAGUUAUGUAUAGCUUUUGAAACCAUAGGGGAGUUAUGUAAAAAAAGGUUAAAUCAUAGGGGGGUAAAAUGGAAUUUGCCCUCAUUAUUAUUGUUAUUUAGGUAAGCUGAAUUAUUAUAUCACCAAAUUGUCACCAUGUUAAGCUGCAUUAUUAUAUAUAUCACCAAACUGGAGUUGCAACAGCAAGAAGAGGAACUUUUUUGUGAAUUAUUAAACCAUGCAUUCAGUCAUGUCCAAAUCUGUGCCCUUAGCUCCAUCAGACAAAUAACUUAAGCAUAAGAUUAGCUAAAACAUGCUCAUCUGUAGCCAUCGCGAAAGAGAUUCCAGGACAACCGCUUCUUCCGGCUCCAAAUGGAAUCAAUUGAAAGUCAUGACCUCUGAAAUCAAUGCCAGAAUUCAAGAAUCUCAGGCCUAAACUCAUCUGGUUCUUCCCAGAAUGAAGGGUGUCUUCCAAUGGCAAAAGCAUUGGUAAUGAUCACAGUUCCAGCUGAAAUGUCAAAGUCCAUUACUUUAGCGUCGUCGAUUGCCUGGCGCGGGACCAGUAAGGGUAUCGGCAGAUAUAAACGCAGUGUUUCUUUAAGCACUGAUUUCAAAUACUUCAUCUUUUCCAAAUCCUCAUCAGUGAUCUCUGGUCUGCCACCAGCAAUUCCUCUCACCUCCGUUUGUAGAUCCUUCAUCGCUUUUGGGUGCCUUAAAAGCUCUGUCAUUGCCCAUUCUAGCACGGUAUAGGUAGUUUCCGUUCCACCAGCGACAAUGUCCUAAAGCGAGAAGUAAAAUAAUAAACUUAUAAUUAUCUUGUCUUUCAAUUUUGGAAAUGAGAUGCACAUUUCACCAAGCAAAGAUUAAAGGAUUGAAGAUAGAAAAUAGGAAAUUUUAUCUUAGACUAUGCUCAUCAUAACACCAGUAUAUGGAAGUCAUAAAUUGGUCCCCCUGCGUAUUUUUAAAAAUCCCUCAAAGUCCUUCUUUUUUAAAAAAAAUAAAUAAAUCCCUCACAAGCCAUGUAAAUUUUUUGUUCUACAUAACCCAAUGGAAAAAAAAAAUUACUAUUAGAAGUUUUAUGCACUAAUGAGUCUAAAUGUAUAUCAGAAAUGUGCAAAAUUUAAAAAUCAAAAUCAUUUAUUUGAGUGUGUCUUCAUCUAAAACCAUUAGUCAAUGUAACAAAGUUUAAUCCUUAUAUUAUAUGGUGCUAUAAGAGUCUGAAGAAGUACUGUAGUUAAGUGAACAUUGAAAGGAAUAUUCAUGUAUGUGCAGAUUUCAUAGACUAGCCCUGGCUAUUACAGUACACUACUUGUGGAGAACCAGAAACUUGGUGCUAUUUCAGAAUGGUAGUUUAUAUCCGGUGGUUGCAGCAUAUCAUUGACACUAUUCGUCAUAUUGGAGCUUCACGGAGGGGUGUACCAAAAACGUACGAAAACUGGAAAUUGAUUGCUGAAUGGAGAAUUCCCCUCGAAUUGCAGAAAUUUUGGGAAAAUAUAGUAAAUAGGGAGGGGGUAGAAAAUCGAACAGAUUAUAAAUCCCAACUUGUGAAUAACUCUGAUGAACACCCUCACUUGACUAAAUUAGGAAAAUAGGGACAAAUUGAAUGAACACCCUCACUUGACCGAAUUAGAAAAAUGGGGACAAAUUAAAUGAUCCAAAAAAUGCCGAAAUAUAACCACUUCAAGGAUGAAAAAGGGCCAGAAAUCAUCCCUGCAAGGAGACAAUUAGAACGGUGGUUUUCUUUUAUUUUUCUUUUGGACAAAUUAUACUUUACCCCCAUGUGGUUUAGAGUUUUUGUACAUAACUCCUCUAUGGUUUCAAAAGCUAUACAUAACUCCCUCAUAGUUUUGAUUAAAGUGUCAAAGUGAUAGAAUUUGCAAUCCAUAACGAAGUCAUCUAAAAUGUCAAAAAUACCCCUAUGUAAAGUUGAAAAUUAUUUGUUAAAAAUAGGGGAGUUAUGUGUAUAUUUUGAAAACCAUAAGGGGGUUAUAUGGUAAAAUAUAAAAUCCUACGGGGUUAGUGUAUUAUGUAUAUUAUGUUUAUAUAUUUUGAUCAUUUCAACCAUUUUAAUUUUUAAACAAGACUAAUUUCGACAUUUUCAAAGAUUCUAUUACGAAUGAUCAUUUUCAUUACUUUGAUACUUUAAUCCAAAUUAUGAGGGAGUUACGCAUAAGUUUUGAAACUAUAGGGGGUUAUGUAUAAAAAUACUAAACAUAGAGGGGUAAAAUGUAAUUUGUCCUUUUGCCAAAUUUAAAGUUGUGGUUAAGGUGAGGAAUCGUUGGACGAACUUAAGAAUGCAGGGAAACCGGCAGAGAAUUUUAGAAAUUCUGGAUGGAGAAAACGAUAGAGUCGUAUGUUUAAGUUAUGGAAUUGCCGCGAAAGUCGCUCAAAAUUACAGCAAUCUCCACCAUUGAUGCUAUGAAAAUUGAUAACUAAUAUUGCUCAAAAUUAUAGCAAUUGCCAUUGAAAAAUUGGACCAAUCAGUUGCCGGAUAACAUCCAAUCAAUUUUGUAUAAUUCAGCAAUCCAAUUCCACUCAUUCACGUCUCGUCUUUAUAGUAGUAAGGAUAUAUAUAUAUAUGAUUUUGGACUGAUGUGAAAACACAGAAAAUUUUUCAACUCUUGAAUUCAGAUUAACGUUUUGUGGUUGUAGUUCUAUUUCUUUCUUGGAUGAAUAUACUACUUGAUUUUGCAUUUUCUAAGAAUUUUCAAUGAUCUAAAAACAAAACACCACAUCAUGAUGUCUUGAUAAACACGUAUACAAUAAGAACUUAUCUUAUUCUUAGCCCUGCUCUUAAAUAUUAACGACUCCGUAUGCUCUAAUUAAGCGAGGCAAAAUAUGCUUGAUCAUUUCUGUUUGAAUUAGCUGUUUUUAGGGGUGUUUUUAAAAAAUUUUACUAUAACAGAGUUUUUAGAGUAUAUAUUGGGAUAUUUUUAGAAAAUAUUUUAAAAUAUUUAAGAGUAGUAGAAUUUUUAAAAUAUAUUUUAAAAUAUUAAAAAAAUUAAAAUAUUUUUGAGAGUACGUUUUAGAGUACUUUUUUAAAAUUUUUAUAAUAUUUGAAAAACAGGACAGCAUGGAGUCUUUGAUUCAAAUGGAUGAUCAUCAACACAUUGCAGACAUAGUCAAAUCGAUCAUUUUCAGUCUUAACUUUUGCACAUUGCAGACAUAGUCAAAGGUAGAUUAGGUACUCUGUGCUUUUGCACUUGAGUCAAAAGGGCUGGAUGUUACAUCAUUUUGGAAUUAUUGAAUUAGUUUAUCAGUAGCAUAAAGUGGUGAUCCAGAAUAAUUAGUUGUUGAUUCUUUUUAAGAUUGAAUAUUACACAAAUAUAUCUCAAUAAUUGCUUCACCUACUUCCAAAAUAUAUACACAAAAUAUAUGUAAGACAUUUUUAUUCUUUUUUUUUUGCUUUGCCUACUUCCCUCCAGCCCAGUGCAAAAAAUUUACUAAAUAUCCGAAUUCUUCACACCCAUUUCUGAUAUGUUAUCAUGCUCAUCUAGGUGUCCAGCCAAACUUGAUGUGACUCAAAUAUACGUCGCUAACUUUUAAAAUAAAAAACAGCCAUAUUUUUACAAAAGAAAAUUGAAAUUAUUCAAAUCGUGCCAAAUUAGUUGCUUUGAUUUCUUGUCAAGAGAUGUAAAAUAAGCUAUCUUUAGAUUUUGUUCCAAAUGUCUAGCAGCCAAAAAGGAUGCCACGAACAAAAAGCUUCAGCAAUUAUCGCAGAAAGCAGUCUUCAAACUUCAGCCGCCAAAAUUAAUGAUAAUGUUUUGCAUAAUAGAGUGCUGUCGUGGCAUUAUUUUCUUCAGCAAUUAUUUUCUGUACUGUAACGAGAGGAAUUUUGCAAAGGCCAUAAAUACAUGAAGUUACUUGUUUUUAUUACAAGAAAGAAGCGGCCUGGGGAAAGUGCAUGAAGAGUGAGAAUCAAGGUUUCGGAACAUCUGUAACCGCACUGUGCAAUGGACGGUCUCAAAUCUGGUCAGAGAUUAGACCUUCUAUUGCACAGUGCAAUUGCAGCCCUUCUCAAGAAUCAAUCCAACAUUUGUAUCAAGACAAGAAUACAGAAUCUGCAGCAUUCGGCCAUGUGAAGAAUUCAAGAAAGUGGAGAUGGAAUAACAAGAAGAGGAAUUUUGCGACGAACUGCAACGUCAGGGCAUUCUGUCAUAUCCAACUCUUUUCCCUGUGCACCAUCAGGAAAUUGCCAAUCAAACUUGCUUACCAAAUUUGCCAACACAAGUUCAUUGCUGGCAACAGCAAAAGCGAUUCCAGGACAACCCCUCCUACCAGCACCAAAUGGGAUUAACUGGAAAUCAUGCCCUUUGAAAUCUAUAGACGAAUCCAUAAAUCUCUCUGGCAUAAAGUUCACAGGUUCAUCCCAAUAUGCAGGAUCUCUACCUAUUGCCCAAGCAUUGGUGAUCACCAUUGUACCAGCUGCAAUAUCAUAUCCCAUUAUUUUGACAUCUUCUCUUGCUUCUCUAGGAACCAGCAACGGAAUUGGAGGAUGUAAGCGAAGAGUUUCCUUGAUCACUGCUUUCAAAUAAUGCAUCUCGGCCAAGUCAUCCUCGGAUAUCUGUUCUUUGCCACCAACAACCCCUCUUAUUUCAGUUUGCAAUUUCUUUAGGAUAAUGGGGUGUCUUAAGAUCUCUGCCAUUGCCCAUUCUGCAACUGUAGCCGUGGUAUCAGUCCCAGCAGAGAAUACAUCCUACAGUCAAAAAGAUAUACACUUAAAAUCAAUGAUUUGUUGAUUGUCCGUGAGAAUGAUCAGAGAUGAAGCUUAAUGAUUUUAUAUUCAGAAAAAAUGAUUUUAUAGAAGCUUAAUGAUUUUAUACUCAGAAAAUGAAGCUUAAUGAUUUUAUAUUCACUGCGCAGAGAAAAUUGUGCUUACCAAUAUUAUAGCUUUGACGCUGUCCCUGUCCAUGGUUACACCUGUUGCGUUAUCUUUAUAGAUUUUCAGCAAAAUAUCAAGAAAGUCUUCUCUGCUUUCACCAUCAAUCGUCUCACCACUUGACCCGCAGGAAUAUUUUUCCACUGCACCAUCCAACCUUUCUUGGACCACGCCCUCCAAGAACUCAUCUACUUCUCUAGCAACGCGAUCCACUCUGGCAUCGUAACCAUUAACUCGAUUAAUCCAGCUGAGACAGGGCACAGAUUUGACUAAAAUUCCUCCGUUCAGUAACUCCAAGAAUUCGCCCAACAGCAGCUUGAAUUUCUUUCCAGUUUCCCCUCCACCGUAUUUCCUCCCAAAAGCCGAUCUGCAUACAAUAUCAUUAGUCAGCGAAACAAACAUUUCGCUCAAAUUCACAGGUGUCGAAUCCAAAGAAGCGUCUUUAAUCUUCUGCAUCAUAAUCGACGUUUCCUCUUCCCUUAUAUUACGAAACGCCUGAACUUUUUUGUUGCUCAGGAGCUGAAGAACACAAAUACUCUUUAACUGUCUCCAAUACUCGCCAUAGGGUGCUACCGAUAUAUCCUUCAUGUUAUAGAGAAGUUUAUUAGCUGUGCUCGAAAAUGGCCUAUAAGAGAAAAUCAAAUCGUGGGUUUUCAUGAUUAGGCUAGCUCCAUCAGCUGAUGAAACUACAACCGUUGGAACACUACCAAAUUUGAGAAACAUGAUUGGACCAUAUUUUUGGGCUAAGGAGUGGAGAGGAUAGUGAGGCAGUGAGCUUAGCUGAUGAAGAUUUCCAAUAAUCGGAAGUCCUGGUGGCGAUGGUGGCUGAUUCUUUCUCGAAUUUGAAACUAAUUUGAAGAGAAACCACAGUAAGAUUAAAGGGAAAAGGGAAAAAAAGAUUGGAUGAAACAUAUAUACAUCAAACUUUAGCUCCGAUACCAAGCCUGAUGAGCUUGCCAUUUGCUUUAAUCUCCCCUGUAUAAAUGCUCAGGCUACAAGACUCUGAUUUCAGACAAAAAUUGGAAAACAAGUACGGACAAGCAAAACCAUGCAUGAGUCUCCUAUUGGGGGCCAUUCUGGCCAAAUGGCCUGUGCUCAGAGGGUGCAAAGCUUGUUCUAUUGGCCAUGCAUGACGACAGAUAUUAUUCAGUUUAUGCAAGGAUGUGAGGUUUGUCAAAGGAACAAAAGUGAACAUGUACCAUAUCCAGGACUGUUACAGCCUCUCUCUAUACCAACUCAAGCUUGGUCUCACAUCACCAUGGAUUUCAUAGAGAAACUACCUUGUUCUAGGGGGUUUGAUACAAUUCUGGUGAUCAUAGACAGACUCACUAAAUUUGGUCAUUUUAUGGCUCUCUCACACCCAUUUUCAGCAACACAGGUAGCUCAGCUCUUCUUGGACCACAUCUAUAGGCUGCAUGGUAUGCCUGAAUCUAUCAUAACAGACAGAGACAGAAUUUUUUACUAGCAAGUUUUGGCAAGAAUUGUUCAGGUUGACUGGAACUGAGCUGCAUUAUAGUUCUUCCUACCACCCUGAAACUGAUGGCCAGAGUGAGAGGCUUAACCAAUGCUUAGAGACUUAUCUGUGAUGCAUGACGUGCGAGCUCCAACUCAGUGGAGUCAGUGGUUAAGCUUAGCAGAACUAUGGCACAACACCUCUUAUCACACUAGCCUAGGAGCUACACCCUUCGAGACUCUCUAUGGCUAUAAACCACUGUCCUUACCUAUAGGACUUUACCAGGACACUGUGGCACCAGCAGCCAGCACUAUGCUACAAACCAGAGGUCAAAUGCUGCAAAGAAUCAAGGAGCAUCUGUACCAAGCACAGAAUAGGAUGAAGGUGUUUGCUGAUAAACACAGGACAGAGAGACAAUUUGAAGUGGGGGAUUGGGUCUUCCUUAAGUUGCAGCCAUACCGUCAACAAUCUAUAGCAAUCAGAAAGUGUUUGAAAUUGGCUGCCAAAUUUUAUGGGCCUUUUCAGAUCAUAGAGAAGGUUGGUGCUGUGGCUUACAAACUCCAGCUGCCUGCAGGAGCCAAGAUUCACCCAGUAUUCCAUGUUUCACUCCUUAAACCAAAACUGGGGCCACAUCAACCUACUAAUCCUACGCUUCCAGAGCUUGACCACCAAGAUCAGUGCCUUUUGCAACCUGCUGCCAUUUUACAAAGAAGGGUCAUCCUACGCAAUACUGCUCCUGUCAUACAAUACCUUAUCAAGUGGCAUCAAUUGGGUGAAGAGGAGGCAUCGUGGGAGGAUCAAUCAUUUUUUAAUAGCCAAUUUCGAACUUCCAGCCUUGAGGACAAGGCUGCUUUCAGAGAGGAAGUAUUGUCAGGCAUAGGGACUUAAUUGCAAUUGGAUCGAAAGUUUGGAGGGCAUUAGUGUAAUUUCUCAUAUGGAGCCAAAUUUGUUAAAAGUUAGUUAUAACUGAUUUUGCUGAAAGAAUAGUUAGCUGCACGGAAAUUCUUGCCAAUAAGAUUCUGUCUGAUCAUUGAAGGUGUAUAAAUCCAGGCAAUAUAAUAGAUUUGGGGACAAGAAGAUUAAUCACAUUUAUUUCCCCCAAAUUCUCUGUCUCUCUCUUCCUUCUCCCUCUCUUUCCCUCCCAUUUCUCUUCUUCUACAUUCAAACCUUUCCACGCCUGCUGGUCUCAAUCCUUCUACUAUCACAUUGCCAAGGGCCUGACACAGUAGCCUUUUAGAAAGGUUUCUAACUUACAUGACAUGCCAUAGCCCAACAAUUAAAAAAAAAAAUCCAAGCACGUUGUUGGGCUUACAAUCCGACAGCUUUUCAGGAAAAUUCCCAAUUGGCUACUGGACUAGUCAACCCGGCAAUCCAAUAGUUGAAACAAAAAAAAAAGCCUUGCUUGUGCCGAGCUUAAUUAGCGUGACAGGCAUAGUUCUAUACCAUUUUCCUGUCAGAUCAACAUUCCUGCAUUUUUUUUUCAGCAAUAAAUAAAGGAAUUAGCCCUCAAAAAGUGACUACACUUCUAUGCCUUCAGACCCAGAAUAUUUUCUGCUCUGGAAUAGCCCGCAUGUUUUCUGAGUUUCCUUGACGUUGAUCUCAUAUCCUAUUCUACAUUUCUGAAGUCUAAGCACAUCAUCCCUGUUCUGUUUGAUAAUGCCUCCAUGGGUCCAAGAAUAUAAAGACCAUUUGCAUGAUUUUAAGAGAAAAAUGCAGUUUUGGUACCUAUACUUUGAUGCACAAGCGAUUUUAGUCCCUAAAUUUUGGACGAAAAUAAAUUUAGUACCCGAACUUUCAAAUUUUGAGCACAUUAAGUACCCUUGACGAUUUUUUCCCAAAUUGUUACCGGAAAAAGCCAUGUGACCGUCACGUGUUCGGCCACAAUUGUAUAAAAAAAAUAGAAAAAUGCAAUUUUGGUACUCAAACUUUGACGCACGAGCGGUUUUAGUCCCUAAAUUUUGGACAAAAACAAAUUUGGUACCUGAAUUUUCAAAUUUUGAGCACAUUAAGUACCCUUGACAAUUUUUUCCCAAAUUGUUACCGAAAAAAGCCAUGUGACAGUCACGUGUCCAGCCAUAAUUGUAUUAAAAAAAAGGCCAAAAAAAGGUCAAAUGCCAUUCUAAUACUAAGUAUUAAAUUUAAGGACUAAUAGCGUAAUAAAGAAAAAAUUCAAGGACUAAAUAACAUCACAUGAGUCAAUUAAAAAAAAAGAAGAAGAAAACGAUGUAAAAUUCUACCAAACUUAUUUCUAUCUUUGUUCCAUCUCUCUCUCUCUCUCUCCCCAAAGAAAACCUAAGAACCGAACUUCAACAAAAAUUCAAGUUGAGCAUGACGUGAUCCAGCAUAUGUCAAAGACAACAUGAAGACUGAUCUUGAUAAUUGUGUUCUUAUAGUUGCUCUUGUUCACCUCAUUUUCAUCUCCAAUCUUGAUACUGAGGUACACUUAAAAUUGCUUCCAGCUCUUUCCCAACUGUUUUUCCAUUGUGUCAGUAUCCCCUUCUUGUUAAAAUUGCUUCCAACUGCUUUGUCCAAGGACUAGUUCAAGUUUCUUGUAUCAAGUUAGGUAGCAGAAUACAUGACCUUUGUGAAAUACAGGAUUACACAUCAUUAUUUACACCUUUGUGGCUUGAUUCUUAGAUUAAUGUACUGGAAUUGGAGCUCAUUUGUAUCGGUUCUUGGGUUUUGUUGACUCAUGUGAUGUUAUUUAGUCCUUGGAUUUUAUUUAUUAUGCUAUUAGUCCUUAAAUUUAAUACUUAGUAUUAGAAUGACAUUUGACAUUUUUUUGGCCUUUUUUUAUACAAUUGUGGCUGGACAUGUAACUGUCACAUGGCUUUUUCCGGUAACAAUUUAGGAAAAAAUCGUCAAGGGUAUUUAAUGUGUUCAAAAUUUGAAAGUUCGGGUACCAAAUUUGUUUUCGUCCAAAAUUUGAGGACUAAAACCGCUCGUGCGUCAAAGUUUGGGCACAAAAACUGCAUUUUCUCUGAUUUUAAUUCCACGUGAACAGUUUCGGAUGUCAAUUUUUUAUUGAAUUAGAUGAAAUAUCAAUCAAACAGGUGAUUCCAACUUGCCUCUGACAAAGAUCAUUGAGACACUAAGCUCCUGAGUCAAGGACAAUAAAAUCGUUUCAACCAGUCGCUGAAGUAACUCUCGAUAAUUUUGGAUAUUGACAUUACGAUAAAAAAAAAUGAAAGUCCAAUCAAAUUAUACUUACUGAUUAAUGUCCACUAACAUUAGUUUCUGUUGGCCUGAUAAGUAUACGAGAGAAUGGAUGUUGACCUCGUACCCUUGUCAUCGAUUUGGCCAAUCAAAUCAAUGUACCUUUCAUUUUCGUAGCCUUAAUUUUUCUUUUUAGAAAACUCAGAAUUGCAGUGUGCUCUACUUGAAAGUGCAGGAGCAAAGUGCAUUUCCAUCCCACCAUUUCUUACUUGAAACAUCAGGUUUUGUACUCAUUUUCCUCUUUAGUAACUCUUUAAAUUUCUGGGCUUCCCUGUUCUAGUCUUGUUUUAUUGUCAUUGAUCAUAUUUGGCCAUUAAAAUUUAUGGGAUUGUCUCUUCUUUUCCCCCCUUCUGAUGGUAUAUUUUGUCACUGACCACAUUUCAUGUGAUUUUUGUGUAGUUUCGUGAAAAAAGAUUUAGGAUUCUUCAUUAUAUCAUGAAAUAAGGGAAUGAAAGUAAUCUAAGAAGUGAAGAAAGGCUUACCUUUUUUCUCAAACGUUUUUACAACACCACUUUGCAUAAAUUAGAAGUUACAGAAAAAGUAUUUGAUAGAGAUAAUAAAACAAAAGAAUAAGAAAUUUAUACAAAUGUAUCCUUUGGAUGGUGAAUAAAACCGAAGACAAAAGUUUUUUGCUGUAUCAAUUAGAAAAAUUUGUUAAGUGUCACAAAAUAUGACAAACUCUUACUGAUGUUAUGGUGCAGAGAAUACCUUUUGAGAGACAUACUAAAGCACACCAUCAUAGCUGUAUUCCAAAUGAAUACUGAUCUCCUCUCCAUUCCAGGAAAUUGCAAGGAAAAACUUCAAUGGAUCUCCUUGAAUGGCAGAGGGAAAGCUUUCUAUGCAUCAUAUUUGCAACAAUAUCAAUGGUUCUGGUGCUAAAGUUGCUGUUGAAGAAGAAGGAAAGCAGAAAUGGCAAACUCCCACCAUGUCCCCAAAACUUCCCAUCAUUGGUAACCUGCAUCUGCUUGGUAAUAUGCCUCAUGAAUCUCUUCACAUCCUUGCCAAGAAGUAUGGUCCUAUCAUGUUCUUGCAGCUUGGGCAGGUGCCAACAAUAGUGAUUUCAUCAGCUAUAUUAGCGAAGGAAGCACUGACAACCUUUGAUCUAGCCCUGUCAAAUAGGCCUCGAAUAUUUUCAGCCAAACACCUUUUCUACAACUGCACUGAUAUGGCUUUCUCUCCAUACGGUGCCUACUGGCGAAAUAUACGCAAAAUAUGUAUCCUUGAGGUACUAAGUGCAAAAAGAGUUCAGUCAUUUGGCUUCGCAAGGCAAGAAGAAGUUGCUAAUCUAGUUCAUCGUGUAGCAGAAUCGUACCCCAGUCCCACCAAUUUAAGCCAUAUGCUUGGAUUAUAUGCAAAUAAUCUCCUCUGUCGCAUUGCAUUUGGUAAAGAUUUCUCACACGGAGGAGACCAUGUUCGGCAUAAUUUUCAAAAGCUGCUUGAAGAGUAUCAAAUGUUGCUGGGAGGAUUCAGCAUUGGAGACUUCUUCCCAUCCAUGGAAUUUCUACACAAAUUUACCGGGAUGGAAUCAAGACUAAAAGACACUUUCAGACGCUUUGACCAGUUUUUUGAUGAGAUUUUGGAGGAACAUCGAAAUCCGGAGAACAGGAAAGACCACAAGGACCUGGUGGAUGUGUUACUUGAAAUACAAAAACAUGGGGAUCCUGAAACUCCUCUCACCACUGACAAUAUCAAAGCAAUAAUUUUGGUUAGUUAGAGCAAAGUUCUUGUUUCAUUCUUGACUCCAGCUUAAUCCUACUAGAAGAAUCAAAUGCUCUGCUCAAAACUAUUAUUUUCUAAUGCUGUCUUACUUAGCUCCAGUUUCUAAUUGCUUCGAUAUUGUUGAUGCAGGACAUGUUUGCAGCAGGUACAGAUACAAACUUCAUCACCUUGGAUUGGACAAUGACAGAGCUCAUAAUGAACCCCCAGGUGCUACGAAAAGCACAGGCCGAGGUCAGAAGUAUUGUUGGAGAAAGAAGAUCAGUUUCAGAGACUGACCUGUCUCACUUGCACUACAUGAGAGCUGUUGUGAAGGAAACUUUUAGGCUACAUCCCCAGCUCCAGUAUUACUCCCUAGAGAAUCCAUGGAGGAAGUGACAAUUGAUGGCUAUCCCAUUCCUUCCAAAACAAGGUUCUUCAUCAAUGCUUGGGCAAUGGGAAGAGACCCUGAAACAUGGGAAAAUCCAGACAUAUUUGAACCAGAGAGGUUCAUGAAUAGUCCUAUUGAUUUCAAGGGCCAAGAUUUUGAGCUCAUACCAUUUGGUGCCGGUAGACGAAUGUGUCCUGCUGUUACAUUUAGUACAGCAACAUUUGAGCUUGCUUUAGCUCAACUUCUGCAUAGCUUUGAUUGGGAGCUUCCUCCAGGAGUUAAAGCAAAAGAUUUGGACCUGACUGAAGCUUUUGGCAUCACCAUGCACAAAAUAUCUCCUCUCAUGGUGCUUGCAAAACCAAACUUUUCUGAAGGUCUCAAUGGAAAAUAGAGACCAAUCUGAGAGGUGUGAUUCCAUGAAAUCGCUUCUAAGGAAAAAUGCUAUGUCCCUGAACAACUGGUAUUUCUUUCGGUCAAAUUAUAUAGUCUUAAGUACCUUGAAUAACCGAAGGCGGGGCAUAUUCACAGUUAUGUCCAGUCUUUGUACCUGUUACAGGAAUCAAUGUGCAAUAGUACUAACUCUGUGUAUUCAGAUUUUGUAAUUAAUGCACCAACGACAAGCACCAGAAUGAAAGCUUAAUUGUGUCAGCUCCAAGUCCCCGAUAGGUAAAGAUAGAAUGACCAAAAACUAAAGCAAGUUAAACUAAAUUGUGCUUCAAUUAAAGAUUGCUUCAGAGCCGUCUGAAAAUUGAUAUGGUAGCAGCAAUAUAUAUUCACGAAAUACAUCUGCCUGUUCUGUGAAAAUUCACAACUAGCAAACUUCUCAAGUAUAAACUGGCCAACUUCUCACAGGUCCAGGCGGUUCUCGCAGCAAGAAUUCACCGAGACAACAUUAUUCCGCAAACACCUACAUUUCUUUGAAUACAUCCCACUAAUUGUUUGGAUCUUGAAAUUAAAUGUAGAAGAAAAUUGGAAGUCUUUGAUGAUCUCGCAGGCUUUUUUUUUUUUUAAUUAACCUCACAGAAAGGACAGUAACAUGGGCUUUAUAUUCAACUGUAAUUUUCCUCCUCUGGCUUCCUCAGGGAGGCAUUUUCUUUGAUAUCAUAUUGUUUGAAGGUCAAAAAAGUGGGGGAGUUAGUCAAGCAUAGAACUUGAAUCAAGACAAAUUGAAUAUCCAUCGUCAAUUGUAUCAUCAUAAUAUUUUUAGGUUCACCGGUAGUGUAGAAUCAGGACAAAAUGAUAAAAUCAGAAUUCAGUAUCUUCUUUAUUGGAUCCUAACGAGUGUCAUACAUUAGCGUGACGCGGAGUUUAAUCGAUCUACUCUCCUUGUAAUGUUCGAAACUCUAGUAUUUGGUUGGUGCAACUUGCAAGACUAUGCCGUCGGUAGAAACUAGAAAGUUGGAUCAUCCAAUUGAGCUACCAAUUUUCUAAUUAAUGGUCUCUCAAUAAAUUAAGCUAUAGUACAGUAAAAACCGUGUUUCUAUUUUUUUUUUUUGAUAAAAAUCAAAUUUCAUUAACAAAUUACAAGAACCGUGUUUGUACAUCGCUGCUUUAAUAGCCUGUUAAACAUGCACUAGAAAUUACAGAUUUGUAAUUUAAUCAAUAUAAUAGAUUUGAAAAAUUAUGAACAACUCUGAAAAAUACAAGAAAUUUUAAAGUUGUCUUCUAAUAGAUAAAUCACUGCAAUCCUCUCCUAUACAUGAUGCAAUCUAUUAAUCAACGGUUUUAAACUCCAAUGAUGAUGAUGACAUCUAUCAAAAUAGAUCAAAGAUCCAAAAAAAUUUUAGAUCUAACAACCAAAUCUGAAAUAAAUUUAGAUCUAAUCAACAAAAAAAAGAAAAAAAAAACAAAAAUCUCCACAAGAAUCUCUGGGGAAAUAGAAAAUUCUGUUAAUAGAAAAUGAAAACUCUUACUAAGAAAACUUAGGAGAGACUUUAUUAAAAAAUUAAAUAAAACAAACUGAAAUUCAUGGGACGUGGUCUCCCUCCUUAAGGGGAAGGCCUUUGAAAAGGGAAGAAGAAGAGAGAAGAGAGAAGUUGAAAACCAUGUUUCUAUUUGUUGUUGGUUUUAUAUCCAAAUCCUAUGUUUUGUCAUUGCACUACACUUGACAAUAAAAACAACUCCCAAAUUGGACUCAGCAAAACCUGGUUCUGCAUAAAUUCAAUGGUUAACUAAGCGUGUUUGCUGAAAUGGUAUGCUGAAAUGGUAUCCUUUCUUCUUCCUUUUCUUUCUACAUUCAACUCCCUACCCUCUGCAGCAUCAGACCUGAUCUAUGGCAAUUUUGCUAAUUGCCUAAUAAAGAUAGGGAUCCCCAAUGACCAAAUAUCAAGAAUUCUUUACAGCCCCAUGAAUGUUUCCUAUAAUUCAGAUCUACAAGCCCAUACAAGAAAUGGCCUUACACAAGGGCGACAUGUACCCCAAAACCACUUCUAGCCCCCUAUAAGGGCUACAAGCCCAUGUUUUUUAUCAUUACGGUGAAAGAAUGAGUGAAAUUCCAGAAAGUGAAGCGCCUUUCCCUCAUCGAUCUGGGAUCCUGUUCAUGAUUGAAUAUUCAGUGAACUGGCAUGAAGAAGAUCCUGCAUUUGCCAAGAAGUACAUAGAGCAGACAAGGGAACUACACAGUUUAUUGACACCUUUUGUUCCAAAAAGUCCUAGGCAGGCUUUUCUGAAUUAUAGGUACCUUGAUAUUGAUACUACAGGACAGACAAUGAGUUACAAUGAAGGAAGAGUUUAUGGGAUCAAAUAUUUCAAGGAUAACUUUUACAGAUUGGUGAAAGUCAAGUCCAUGGUAGAUCCUGAAAAUUUCUUCAGGAAUGAGCUGAGUAUCGGACUCUGCCUCUCAGGCCACUCUAAUGGGGGUACAAUAAUGCUACUAUUAUUGAAAAUUUCCAAAGAUAGUAUAGAUUUUGAUUUUCCAAAAGGAUUUCAUUGUGUUUCCACACAACAAUCUAACAACAGGAAAAACACAAAACAUGAUAAUUAAAGUCUCUAGAAUUGAAGUUGAUUGUAAUUAGUGUUGGGCUGGCCCAAACAAUUCUAUGUAUAAAUCCUUAUACUAUAUAAGAAUGAGUUUAAAACUUUAAUUUCAACAGCAAGAGUGGCCUUUUUUUUGGAAAUGUGAGAGUGUUUGGAGUGCAAUUAGAGUAUUGAAUAUGAGUCAUUAUAACUAAUUUAGUUUUGUUGUAAUUACUUGGAUGACCUUUUAAACAUUUAAAGCUAGGGAUAAGUUUGAUAUGUGACAGUGUUUGAUAUCCGAUUAAACAUCGGGUACAACUGAAUUCAGCUUGUGUUUUAGUGAAAUUACAUAAAUGCCCUUCUAAUCAUUUAAUUGUAUUAACAUCUAAGUCUUUUAAUUUCUUAAAGCCUUUCUCAUCAGUUAUUUGCAAAGUUAUGAUAUAUAGAUGUUAAAACACAAUUAAUGUCAAUUAGUAGAGAAGUCUGGUUUCUCGACCGUUACCCCCAUCUAUUCAAAUUCAUUUCAUUUACUUAUAGGUUUUGUUCCAGCACAAUCAUACAGUAUAUUGAAUUCGGAUAUUUCUACAUUAGCUACUCCUCUUCUCCAUUUUGCAACACCUUUUUCAAUAGGUAUGUUUUUUUUUUAACCAAUCUACUUUUUGGUUGUAAAAAAUCUGUAAUAUUGCAAGUUGUAUGUGCAAUAACUUUUUAGUGUUUUAAUUCAAUUGUCCAUGUUAGACAAGCUUGAUACGUAAGAGACCACAUUUGUUAAUUGUUAUUUAUGGUUUAAAAUAAGUUUAUCAUCAUAAAUUUUCCCAUUUAUAGAUUGCAUCUACUUCUUUUGUUGUUUUAACUAUUAGUUAGGGUAAUUUCAAAUCGUUUGCUACUUUAUUGACUAUUCCAUUUAGACAAUUUUUCACUUCAUCUGAUUUGCCAAUAUGUUUAACUAUCUACUUAAAACUAUUUGGCUAAUAAUCUAAAGUAUGUACCUCAUUACUUUUAAUUGUUUUUCUUGAAUUGAGUGGAUUAGGAUGCUUUAGUACUUUUUUGAGGUAAUUAUUCCUCUAAAUUAGCAUGUUAGUUGUUGUAUAUCUUUGCAACUAAUACAAAACUGAUAUUUCAUGAUUGUAACCCCUAUCGAGAAGGAGAUGCUUUGCUAUAUGUCCUAAAUCAUAUAAUAAAUUAUAAUUAAUUGCUUGCUCAAUGUGAAGGCCUCGUGAUGAUAUAUGUCCUUGGAAUCAAUAUAAAUUCAAGAAUUUGGCUUGCAAGAACCGAAAUUCCACUAGCAAUGAUUUCCUCAAGUAUGCUAAUUGUUCAAAUCUCACUUAUAUGACAAGAUAAUUUGGUGGAUUGCCCUCAUAUCAAGAUUAAAUUCAAACUAAAUAACAAAUUUUAAUAUCCCUAAAAUGCAUGAGCAGAUAUAAAUAGGUCUUUUAUUAUACUAGGUUAGAUGCAAAGUAGUUGAUCGUAUCUUAUAAUUAUGUUUUAUUGCAUAUUAUAUUUUUUGACACAAUAUGUAACUUAUGAUUUUUUUAAAUUUAAUAUCAUAUAAUAAAAUUUUCAUACUUCAAUUCUUAUACUAGAAAAUGCCAAAUAAUAAUUAUUAACCAUCUUUAAUUAUAGGCACUAAACUCCCACGCGUUGCGUGGGCUUUUCCCCCUAGUAUAUAUUAUAUAAAGAUAAAUAAUAUUUGCACUCUAAUAAAAUUCUCAAACACUCUAAACUUGUAAUUUUUUUGUUAAAAAUGAUAUAAAGAUCCAAAACCUAUAUUCUCUAACAAUGUGAAUAAAAAAACUACCCCAAGGCAUAGUAAAUGAUCGGUUUGCAUUAUUUUCAUAGAGACCACUACAGUUUGGAUUACAAAAUCUCGGUUAAAGUUGUAAAAGUCCACUAAAGAAUAAUGAACGAGUCCAAAAAUAAUGCUCAACUCCAAAUCAAAAUGACUAGUACUUAAGAAUUACCAAAUAAGUUAUACACAUAAAGAAUUUAUAGAAUAAUAAUUUUAAAAAAAUUUCCUCCAUUAUUAAUAUUACAACAAUUUAGGACUGAUAUAAGAAUAGUGAAAAUAAGACAAAUUGAAAAGAUGAAACAGGAAGAGUUACCGAUAAAUGCAUAGAUGGCCAAUUCGUCUCUUAGAAUAUUUUAUAUGUUUUUGUAUCAUUUCAUUAACCAAAAAAAAAAAAAAAAGAAGAGGAUGGAGUACUUAGAGCAUUUUUGGGAUUGCCAAUAUCAGUUGUCUAUAUUAAUAACACUCUAUAGAGUUUAUAAGUAUACAAUUAUAAUGUAAAAACCUAAUAUGUAUAAUUAUAUGAGAGUAUAUAGUUAUUAUUACAUAUUGUAUAUAUUUACAGCAUAUUUUAAUUAUGAACUUGUGCUCAGCCCCAAGUAUGCUCGGAAUUCCAUUAUUUUUGUGAGUCGAGUAUGAUCUUCACAGUAAGAGGUCAAAGCUCAAAACCCAGAAAUUCUAUUACUUUUGUGAUUCGAACCUCGAAAUGCCAAAGCCUACCUUGAAUAACUCGGUUGAUAGCCCUGGGUCUUUCUUUAACAUGAAACAGUGACUAUGAAGUCACGUAGUUGAUUACUCAAAAUUCUCCGUCACUUUCAUCCUUAACUUUUUAGUUGUUUUUUUUCCCCAAAUUAACAGCAUCAUCUAACCAUUCAUACAACAAAAAUUUAUUCUCUCUUGUGAUUCUCAACUAAAUAGGGAAAACGAGGGAAUCCAUUAAAUGAGGAGGCACUUGCAGUCAGAUUAGCUCUCCUAAUGGCCAAGGAAGCUGACUGCAGGAGAGUGGAAAUACAAUCUAACUGUAAAGCACUCAUUCAUAAGAUCCAUGCUCAGGAGACUCAGGUCAGUGAAACUGCAAAAUUCGGAUUCUUGAAUUGAGAGAGCUGUUUGAACAAUGUAUAUAUCCAAAGGAAAGAAAUGCUUGUAAUCAUAGGUAGCUCAAUUUGCACUUUAGUUAGUUAAUGAUGUCAAAUGGGAUUCUAGUAUUCCACUGUCACUUAUUUAUUUCUUUAAUCAAGAGCAUCGACCAAUUGCUAUUUCUUAAUGUCCAAAGUGAUAGAGAAAGAUUUUUUACAACUAUUGCCUCUCGGAUCUUCUAGUGUCACUGCUCGGGCCAUUGCCGGCCUGAGAUGGCUUCUUCAAAGCAUGCUUACAUGGUGGCCUGAAGGCGACUUAAAGUCACUACAGGAGGAGAAGGCGACUUUAAAAUAGUCAUUUGAGAUGGCGAUUUUGAUUUGUUUUUCUAUUUUCUUUUUCUACUUUUUCACCCAAAGUGAGUCAUCUAGCUAAAAUAACAAAGCGAGUCACCUUUAUAAAUGGCGAAAUCUCUACUGUUGGAAAACUUCAAAAUUUACUAUUAUUUUCAUAAUUUAAAAAAAAGGAUUAUUUAGGUAAUUCACUCCAUCAAUCCUAUUCUUGUAUUCGAAUCAUUCUACAACAAUUCAAUGAGGUAGCCCUCCUCAAGCUUGAUUUUGCCAUGCCUCCCUUGUUAGAAGCCACCGAGUUUAUCAAUCGUUUCUUCUCGUCCAUAUUUGCGGGAUUCCUGUUGCUUAAUCUUCGAAAAUUUAUCGUUUGGACAGUGAAAGAUUUUGGCUGCUGGUGGAAGAUAAACUAAUCUCUGCUUGAGCUGGCAAAUGCCAAUUAAGAUUGGUCUUUCAAUAAAUUAAGCCAUAUUUACGAUAUGUUUUUUGUUUUCUUGCUGGUUUGCGAGGAAUCUUGGGUUUAGAAGGCCAGUGCACAAACAGAUAAACAUGUUUUUCCUUUCUUGUUGGUUUGUAUAUAAAUUUAUGAACUUUGUUGGAAACUAAUAUUUGUUCACGUGAAAGUGGACGGCUAAAAUGCUAAAUCUUUUGUGUACAAUUGAAAAAAUACAUAGUUUUGGGUGUAUAAUUAUCGUAAAAAUUUAAUUACUACCUCAAAGAAAAAAAAAUACGUAGUUUUUGAUGUAUAGAUAUUGUCACCUUAUAGUAUAUUUAUGUAUAAACUCUUUUUAAAAAAAUUGGGAUUGUAGUUCAAUAGUUGGAAUAAAAUAAUUUCUUGAUAUAGAUAUGUGAAAAUGCUAUUUAUAAUUCUUUAUUUAAAUUAUUUAUCUAUUAAUCAAGUUGAAUAAUAUGCCAAAUGUGGAACAUGUCUACUGUUGGUUCUGAAUUAAUGAGCAAUUCACUCAUAGCCUAGGGGUGCAUAUUGCUAGUAACUUAAAUUCACCAAGUAUAAAUUGGUAUGGUACAUGGAAAUUGUGAUCAACACCAAGUCCGCAUCUUAGAUUGCCUGCAAUGUUACCCUCUCUUCUUCUUCUUCUUCUUCUUUUUCUUUCUGCAUUCAAUUCCCUAACAUCUGCAGCCUCAGACCUCGUCUUUGACAACUUUGCCCAUUGCCUUGCAGGAAAAGGGAUCCCAGAUGACCAAAUCUCAAGCAUUCUUUAUAGCCCCAUUAACGCUUCCUACACUUCAGUUUUACAAGCUUAUAUAAGAAACAGGAGAUUCAACACUUCCACAACCCCAAAACCGCUUCUCAUAGUCACAGCUUUAGAAGAAUACCACGUCCAAGCAGCUGUUCUAUGUACAAAAAGAACUGGGCUGGAACUGAAAAUCAGAAGUGGCGGUCAUGAUUUUGAAGGAAUCUCAUACGUUUCCAGUGUUCCAUUCGUCAUUCUUGACAUGUUCCACCUUAGUAGUAUUCAUGUUGAUAUUGAAAAUGAAAUUUCUUGGGUACAAGUUGGCGCGACACUUGGGGAACUCUACUACAGGAUUUGGGAAAAGAGUAAAGCACAUGCAUUCCCUGCCGGUGUAUGCCGAUCAGUAGGCGUAGGCGGCCACAUAAGUGGGGGAGGUUAUGGCCCUAUGCUACGCAAAUACGGCCUAACUGUAGACAAUGUUGUUGAUGCACGAAUCGUCGAUGUUAAAGGCAGGAUUUUGGAUAGGGAAGCAAUGGGGGAAGAUCUUUUCUGGGCUAUUAGGGGUGGUGGUGGUGCGAGUUUUUGCGUUGUUUUGGCGUACAAAAUCAAGUUAGUCAGGGUACCAGAAAUUGUAACAUUUUUCAGGAUUGUUAGGACCAUGGAAGAAAAUGUAACAGAUCUUGUUUAUAGCUGGCAACAGGUAGCCAACACGAUUGACAAUGAUCUCUUCAUCAGAGUUCUGGUCCAACCAGUUACUGAACAAAUCAAUGGGCAGAGUCAGACUACAAUUGGAGCAACAUUUAUAGCAUUAUUCCUUGGAGAUGCCGAUGGACUCUUAUCUGUUAUGAAUGGAAGGUUUUCUGAAUUGGGAUUGAAGAAACAGGACUGUUUGGAAAUGAGUUGGGGUGAAUCACUCCUCCGGUGGGAAGGUUACGCGAGUGGUACACCCAUGGAAGCUAUCCUUGACAAGACUUAUGCCAACUUCGCGAAGAGGAAAUCAGAUUAUGUGCAGAAUCCAAUUCCAAGGCAUGGGCUGGCCUCCAUAUUCAAGAAAGUGAUUGAGCUAAAUAAAACAGUACUGGAAUUCAAUCCUUAUGGCGGAAGAAUGAGUGAAAUUCCAGAAAGCCAAACGCCUUUCCCUCAUCGUUCUGAGAUCAUUUUCAAGAUCGAGUAUUUAGUGAUUUGGCAGGAAGAAGGUCCUAGAUUUGCCAAGAAAUACAUAGAGCAGACACGGGUGCUAUACAGUUUGAUGACUCCUUUCGUUUCAAAAAAUCCUAGGCAGGCUUUUCUGAAUUACAGGGACCUUGAUAUUGGAACCACAGACAACGGGAAGAACAGUUACAACGAAGGAAGAGUUUAUGGGCUCAAAUAUUUCAAAAAUAAUUUUUACAGAUUGGUGAAAGUCAAGACCAUGAUAGAUCCUGAAAAUUUCUUCAGGAACGAGCAGAGUAUACCAACUCGGCCCUCCGGCCAUUUUAGUUGGGGUAAAACUUUCAAGCUUAUUAACACUUUUACUCUUUUACGAUCCAGAAUUGGGUGCAAAAGUUAUUAUUUAAAGUUUUUGACUCGGCCUGGCUGCAUUUUUAAUUGAAGUACAGUUCUCAACAUUCAGGCCCAGUAUAUUUCUGGUCAGGAAUAGCCUGUGUUCUUUGUCUUUGCCUUGCCAGUUUCUUGCACUGAUAUCAUAUCCAGAUCUACGUUCCUGAUUGCUAUUUGCAACAUCUGUUCUACAAAUAGCAUUAUUGUUUUGAAUAGCUCGGGUCAAAAUAUAUUUUGUGUUACAAAUAGUAUAGUUUCAAAUGGCGUGUUCUAGUCAUUAUGUCUGUUAUACAAGGUUAAAUGUAUAAUAGUACUGAAUUGUUUGUUGCACUCGAGUUUUGGUUGUUGUAUAGACUUGUUUAAGGAGAACCAGGAGGAGAACACGCGCGAUGCGCGGUGAAAAUUUUCAUGUUUGCCCAGUUAUUCAUGGUACAUAAUUAAAUUUCAAGUUUGUCCAAUUAUUUAGGGUUUUCCAGUUAUACAAAGUACAUAAUUGUUGCAAAUUAUAUUAAGCUGAAUCAUAAAUAUUGUAUUCAUCCAUUCAAAAUUAGAUAAAGCUGUAUCGUAUUUAUCCAUUCAAAAGUUUCUAAAACAAUUAGCAAGAGUAAUUUUUGAUGAUACUGUAACUGUGAAGUGCAUCCAUGUUAGCAAACUUAAGAAAAUGGACUCUCAUCUAGAAAGAAAAUGAAAAGUAUAAUUGUAAGUUACAGACUUACUGGAUUUCUUUCUCCACCAAAUUUUACCAUUAGAAAGCAGUAUCAGUACAAUAUUCUUAAUGUUCCAAAAGGUAUAAAUUAUAAAAAUACAAAAAGCCUAUGAAAUGCCCUUUUUCUCUCAACUACUAACACCCAUGAAGACUUCUUUUUUUAAUGUAAAUAGUAAGAGAUGCAAGACUCAAACACAAUCUGGAGUGGAGAGCUGCAUAUGCUUCCAGUCUGUGAUAAGAUAAACAAGUCAUUAUCUCAAGUUUAGAAGCUUAUUGAUAUAGCAAAUGAGAUACGAUAAAGCAAAUGAAAUAGAUAUAUAAUGGAAAUAUUUUGGGUGCAUGAUAACAACAAAGAAAGGUAUCAAUACCUUUCAAAAUGGCAUUUGAGGCCAAAAUAUUCAUCCACCGACCCAACAAAUUUUAUCACUUUAAUCUUGUUUUCCUACAACAGUUGAAACUUAUUCAAAACUGUUUUUGAAUCUUGGAAUUAAAUCACCAAAUUGCAUUAGCUGUGACAGCUCCACCUCCCCCUAAGGCGAACCAAAGAGUUCGGCGGACCGCUUGCCCAACUCUCGCCAGGACUACGGAGUCGAAACUCACAAAUCCUAUAGUACGCGCGAUGGGACCCAAAGAAAAAUGAACAAUCGGAGACAACUAAGGUGAGAACAUGCUUACCAAACCAUAAGAUCUUAAUAUCUCAAAUGAAUACACUUAAUAGACAAGAUUAAACACUUAUACAUAUAUUUACAUCGGAGUCUUUAACAAAUUAACUAAACUACGAUACAAACCAAAGUAUUCAUACAAUUAAAAAUAUAAUUCGGGUUUCGGUUAUAAAAGAGCUUAACAAAAUAAUAUUUACACUAGCUCGACCCUUUCUUCCAAAAUCAAGGAUUCAAAGUUUGCCCCCUGAAAGGAAAACAAAGUUAACGGAAAGGGGGUGAGUUUACGCUCAAUGAGGUACCAAAAUAAUAGCAGUCAAGAAUCAUGGAGUUUCAUGUUCACUUAGUCACAUAUGCAUAUCACAUAGAGAAAUGAACAAACACCUUAGAUAGGAAUGAUACAGGUAGCUCUCAGGAGCCAAAAUUCCCAUUGCCAUACUUGAACCAAAUUCGUUGACUCUCCGUCAACGUAUAAAGAACAACCAUGUCCGUAGACCCCACUUUACACCAAAUUCCGUCUACCGAACAUACCCUUACCGGACCCGAACACCACAUACAGAACAGAGAUGGUAAUACUCGAGUAUACCGGAAUCAAGAGUCUCAAUACUCAAAGAUUCCCAGAAACAGACUACCGUGGCUCGUUAUCUAAUCAAUCAGGCCCUUGCCGGCUCGACUCGAGAGACUAACCACAGGUUUUGAGCUCAGAAAUCACUGAAGGGUCGUUGGAUACAAGCCUCCAAACAAUGUCAGAAUAGACUUAGAUACAGAUAACAGAGUCAAGUAUACACAGUAAAUAGGCAUACAGAUAACCAAGAGAACGAGUGUGAUAAAGUACACUCUCGUCUCAAACAGAAUAAACAGAUAGUACAGUCAUUCAAAUUACAGAUUUCAUGUACAGAAACCAAGUUAAACAACAAAUGAGGGGAGUGUUACACUCACCAGUUCCAGUACAGAUACUUCAAAAGUUUUUACCCAAAGUGGCUUUAAUCGCCAAGAAACCCUAAAAUAAUCAAGAUAAAACAAUUAUAGUUCGCACAUCUACAAACCCAGUAAAUGGAAUGCAUAAAUGAGACUCGACUACAUGUCGUACGCCUUUCCAGGUUAAGUACUAGUACAAAAGAAUAAAAUAUGACUUUUGAGCAAAAAGAUAACAAUUGGUCUUAGAGUUACAAAUAACUCCCAAAAUCCCUUCAUUUUUACCAAGAUCAAUUCAACUUGAAGGAAUCGCGUAGCCCUAAAAUUUUGGGCAGCAUGCCCUCUGUAUUUACCUAUUUUCCAAUCAUUUAUGGCUUCAUUAUUUUCCUUAACUCAGUCCAAUUCAACACAUAAGAAAUCUCAAUACAAUAGCCCUUCAACUAGGAUCAAGUUCAUCCAAAUACAAAGCAUAGUCUAGGAAUGCAAUUGGAAAUCAAAUUUUAAGGACAAAAGCUAAAUAGCAGGUUUGACGUCUCUUAGCGUAUCGGUCACAACCGAAGCUACACUUAUCGGAUUGGGGUGUAAUUUAUACCGUUUCGAAGCUAAGAUAAAGGCCUACAACUUUGAUGAAGACCACUUAGUCCAGUUAGUAGUGUAUCUAGGUCAAAUUUUCAAAUUACAGAACCAGCAUCUCACAAUCAGACUAGUUAACCGUACUAUGAUUAAAUGACAAUAACUCAGGCUACCGAAGUCCGAUUGAGGUGUAUCUUAUGGAGUUUCGAAGCCAAGAUAUAUACCUACAUUUCUUAUGAAGGCCUCAAAAGUUAAAUCAUGCAUUUUCAGAGUCAAAAUUGAAAUCUCCACGAAGACAGAAAACUAUCCGCGAAACAGGGGUUAUGGGCAGUCAAGGGUAUUUCAGUCAUUUCACAUGAUACAGUGCUCCGAUUGAGCUGAAAUUUUACAAACAGUUAUAAAACAUUAUUUCCUACAACUUUUAUGUUUUGUGCUAAGCCUAAUUCGUUCUCUAACAUGGUCAAACAGAACCGGGUAGAACAGGGUAAAUUGGAAACUUUAAAACUGAAAUUUAUGCACUCUAGUUGAAACUUUUUGAAGGCAAGCAAAACUAGCAUUUUCAAGCUCAAAAUUACUCAUGACAACUACCAAAUCAUGGCUAAACAUCAAUCAUCAUAUGAGGACAGAAAAUUUACUAUAAAAACUGAAAUUCACCAUGCCCCUACUUCAAACCAUAAACUUGUCCAUAAAGCUACAUAUUUAACCUUUCCAAUACACUAAUUAACAAUUAUUACAAACAAAGAGGGAUUUUGCAAGCAAAGUAUCUUGGAUCCUCAAGAAAGAUGGUGGUUUAGAGAUCUUCUUCCCAAAUUAGCUCCACAAACACCUUGAAAACUACCUUAACUAGUACUUUUAUGGAGUAGUUUGCGAUUUAAUCAGUUGGAACUCAAGAUUUGGACAAGAAAUUGAAGUGGAAGAUGAAGAACUCUCUUGGUUUCUCUCUCACUAAUUUCAGCCAAAGGAGACAAGAAAAUGAAUGAAUUUUGGUCAAAAAUCUGAUUUAGUAAAGUUACUAACCUUGGUCAAAAGUCCAACUUCUAAUAGCAUAGUGACACUUGGCUCCUUUUUAGGGUUUUAAUCUUAUCCUUUUGUCUACCAAUGGUGAUUUAUCUAGCUAACCUCUAAUUGUCUCCUAGCACCUUGUACAGUAAUAUUCCGUUAUACAAAACUUUAAUUAAUCAGCAAAAAUUUAUCGCACUUAACGCACUAACGGGCUCCACAUCCAUAAUACGCUUUAAACUGAAUAUGAACUAAUUUAAACUAGGAAAAUGAUUUAAAAACUCUACUCACUAAUAAAAUGUCUGGAAAAAUCAAUAUAAUAAGGUAUAAUGAAGAAAAUGCAUACGAGAAAAUAAAAUAAAAUAAUAUAAAAAAUAAGGAAAAUUUACGGGUCCUCACACCAGUUGGUUGGGACUCAUGAUUUUUCAGCAAUAAUUCAUUAUUUUGUUCAGUCAAGAGAAGACAUGCGAUAAAUUCAGAAUAUUUUUUAAAUCUCUUCUCUCAAUAUUGCUACUGCAAGAGCAUAUUAGAGACAUGAAAAGUAGAAAAUGUCUUCCCUAACAUAUCUUCAUCAGUGACUUUUUCGUCACAUAAUGAUAAUUGAGAAGUAAUUCUGAACAUGACUGAAUUAUAUUCAUUGACAGAUUUAAAAUCUUGCAACCGUAAGUGAAGCCAAUCAUAUCUGGCUUUUGGGAACGACCAACUUCAGGUGGUCGAAUCUUUCUUUCAAAUCUUGCUAAAGGACAAGAGGAUCUUUGACAGUAAGAUACUCUAUUUUUAAUCCUUUAUCUAAAUGAUGACGAACGAAAAUCAUAACUUUGGCACGGUUUUGGUUUGAGAAUUCAUUUUUUUCAACAAUAGUAUUACCAAAACCCAUUGCCUCAAGAUGAAUUUCAACAUCCAAUACCCAUGAUAAAUAAUUUUUUCCAGAAAUGUCAAGAGGUGCGAACUCUUGUUUUGUAAGAUUAGUCAUAAGAAAUUAAAAUAAGUUUUUGACUUAGAAAUUUACCUCGGAAGUCAUCUUUGGCUGUCAUAUUUUCUUUUUCAACACAUUGGUACCUUGCUUUCUCAGGAAAGUGGUAAUUAAGCUUCUAACAAGUUGAGAUCAUUCUGUGACAGAAACUCUUGUGCAGUUUCUUUUAAAAUUAGCAAAUCUGAUGAAUGGUGGCUCAUUAGUAAAAAAUAUUUCUUAGGACAGACUGCAUUUGUCAAACCAAAAUAGUUCUGCUGGGUUAGGAUUUUCCAAAUAUUAAGUUGUGGUUUUUCUCUUGCUUUAGGGUUUAGCAAUGGUGAUGCACAAGAAUCAUGAAGGACCAGCUGUUUUUGAGAUGCUGGACAGGGCUCUGGAAUUGGCUCGUUCCGAGAAAAAAGUCAAUGAGGAGAGGAACAUAAGAAUACUAACUGCACAGAUGCAUGUAGUAAAGGUAUCCAGUUGGACUUUCUUAUACAAGAAUUUGAAGCUGUUCAGAAAUUAGGAUCUAAAUCUAAUCAAGGAAUGAUGAUGCAUUCAAGUUCUGGGUCAUUAUGCUGUGUAUACAUUCUUGAAAAUGCAUAUCCACUUUAAGAUCAGAACAAUCAUGUUUUAGGAAAUAGCUAAAAUCCACAACCAGUAAGAGAAAGUUGGGGGGGGGGAGAAUCUACGUGAUGCCCUCGUGAUCAAAAGUCUAACAUCUAAAUCUACGUGAUGCCCUCGUGAUCAAAAGUCUAACAUCUAAUAUGUUUUACUUCUGCAGGGGAAUUAGAGGAGGCCUUGGAAAAGUUUCAAGCUCUUAUUAAUGAGAACCCAAGGGAUUUUCGCCCUUAUCUUUGCCAAGUAAGUGUUUUUGUUUUUGGAUUUUUUUCUAUUUUGCUUUUUUGGCAUUUCAUCCUUUCACCUCUGCUUGAUGAAACUUUCCCUCCAAUUAUGUUUCAGCAAGGAUAUGAAAAGUUUUUUUUUCCUUUUUUUUCCUAUUUGGCUUUUUUGGCUUUCAUCCUUUCACUCCUGCUUGGUGAAACCUUGCCCACCAGUUAUGUUUCAGAGGAUAUGAAAAGGACAUGGUGCUAGUCUGCUAUAUGUAUGACUGUAAAUUCACUUGUUUGACAUUGUCAGUUAUAAAAUUUUAGGAGCAAGCUGAAAGCUGCACAAAGUCACUCUUAAAUAACAAAAAGCUACUGAGCCACAAGAUUUAUUUUUCAAAUAUUAGGUUCAUGAGGGUGUUUUAAACUUUGGCAUCUAAAUGGACAAGGAAAAACAUCAAGAAAUUUUGGAGAUGACAUUGCUAGCUAUUUAUUAGUCUACCCUGAAACUACAUAAAAGACAAGUAAAGGAACAUCACAUAUUUGAUUUUUUUAGGGAGGGUCAGGAGCAACAGGGAAGAUUAAUGAUAUGGACUUUGGACCUUAUUUUGAUGGGAAAAGUAAGGUGAAUGGAACAAGGAAUGCCAUUCUCUUUUGUCCUUCCUAGAAAUGAGUUAAAAGGAGUAGGAGAAUGGCUUCCCUAGGUGAUGUACUAAUACAUUGCACUUCUUUUCUCCUCUUCCUGCUCUUUACCAAGCAUAGCCUAAGUGGCACCCCUGGCUAGGUCCUGGAAGGAGAGACAAUUGCAAUUUAGCUAUUGGCUUGGCUUACUAAAGUAGUUUUAAGAAAGUGAAACAAAUGUUGCACUUGCCAGAUGUAGGAAAUUAUUGAUCCCUUGGAUACGUCUGUGUGAAUGUGUAGGAUAAGCUCAUGCUGAACACAACAACAAAGAUCAACUUACCUCUCAGCAUAAGCGCAUGAGGCUCCUAUCUUUACUAGAUUUGUGCUUUUGAUCUCUAAUCUUCUCAAUAUAACUAAAGGCAUAUUGCUAAGAAGAAGGCAGUGGGAUGGCUAGAAUCCAGCACUAGGAGAUUGACCAUCUUAAAGGGCAAAGGCCAAUUGAAGUGCCUAGGCUGAUUGAAGUAGGUUUGUCUUGUGUAUAAACUCAUGUCUAAUCUUUUGGGGAAGCUAAAUGUCACAAAUAUGUAUUGAAAAAGGCGGUGUCGAACAGGACACAUUUCACUUUAUUCGCUUCACAUUUUUUUGGUACAGUGCUUUUGUGAAUUUGGGGUUUUUUGUUUUGCGCGCGCGUGUGUUCAUGAGCACAUUUAUGUCACGAGUUUGUUGACCAUUUCCCUUGGCUGUUCUGGCAGGGUAUAGUUUACAGCCUGCUUGACAAAGAGAAGGAAGCUCUAGAACAGUUUGAGAUAUAUCAAAGUCUUGUACCUGAACUCAUUUUUUCAAGGAGGCUUUGUUAGCGAAUAAUCCACCAUUUUUGGUCGUGGUGGAUCAUUAAAUGGUGACUUUAUAGCCAAAGCCACAUGAUCUAAUGAUGUGAGAAAUGAAAGUGACUUACCUAUCCCAAGUGUUUCAUAGAUAUUACCUUGAAUAUACACCACUUGAGAACUUACCAAAGGAAAUGUCAUAAGAGUAUCUUGGGCAGGAAUACCUUUAGAACCUAUACUUUCACUGCACUCCUCAAGAGGGGUGAAAAAUGAGUCAUUAAAACUCACCUCUUUAGGCUCAAAGUUAGUUCCAAAGAUAUUAUCAUGUGAAAUGGACAUUUGCUCAUUGAAACACAAUUGAGAUUCAUCAUUUUCAUCAAAAUGCAACCCAUUUUCACAUACAACAUUCCCAUCAUUCAUGCUAGGAUCAUUUUGCACAUUAUUAGAGGAAAUAACUUCACACAAUGCAUUCAAUUGCUCAUGUAUUCGACCAAAGUGAGAAGCUAAUUCAUCUAUUCUUUCCUCAAUCCUAUCAAAACGAUCGGAAGUUGCAUUUGCUAGCUUUUCUAUUGCUAAAUCAAAUUGAUUAGAAAAAUUUUCUACAGCUAGCUCCCAAGAUGCAUUAGAAUCAUUAGCUAAUGGUUCACUUUCUAACUCCCAAGGUAGAGGUGUAUUAGCUAACUUCUCUAUUGCCAACUCCCAAGAUGGUUUUGAUUCAUAUUGGACACUUUCAGGUUGGUGAUCAUAAAAAUAUGAAUUAUCACUAUAAGUACAUUGAUUAUUCCAACCAUAAGCAGGAGAAUUGGUCCAAUUAGCACUAUAUUGAUCAAAACAAGGAUUGUAAUGCUCUAAUUCAUCAUAAUAAUCCACAUUUUGUGCUUGCAUACAUGUAUUAGUAGCAUGAUAACCUCCACACAAGUCACAAAUCACAUGAUAAGAAUUAAAAGCAUUAACAUUCCUUCUCUGCUCAAUUUCAUGCAUCAUGGUGUCCAUUUGAACUUGUAACUUAAUUACAUCAAAUUUUGCCUUUAAGCACCUUAAACCAUCUUCAAAAGACAUACAUUCAGUAAAUUCUUGGUUACCUCUGUUGAAGGAGCUUUGCACUUCAUAACCAUCCAUUGCCAAUCUUCCACUUCUCAAGCAUUGUCCUCCAAAUUGACCUACCCUCCUCAUUACCUAAAAUUGCUUUUAAACAACUUAAGAGCAAAAUUAGUAAGAAGACUAGGUGAUAAAACACAUACACAUAUAAAAUACUAAAAUAACAGAAAAUAACAUUCACAAUAUAACUAAUAUUAUGUCUAAACUAAUAAAGUUGCUCUUCACACCGAUAUUGCCAAAUCUUCCCCGGCAACGGCGCCAAAAACUUGACGGGUAUUUUACAUACGUGCAAGCUAAAAAAUAUCGAAUUACACCCGUUCACUGCAAGUAUACAGAUCAACUAGUAGUUUAGGGUAUAUAUCGGGUCGAUCCCACAAGAAAGAGUGAACAAUUACCGGUAUUACUAAAGCUUCUCUAUUAUUUAGACUAUCAAUGAAUUAUAACAAAUUUAACCUACUGAAAUUAUACAAAAUAACAAAUGAAAGCUCCUUAGGUUGUGGUAUCCCUAACUACUCAUGCAAGUGCUAUAUUUGGAUCAUUAAUUACUACAUCUAGGCUAGUUAUGGUGUAAUUUCCUUAUGUAUUUGAAUCCUACUUUCGUAGUGAAUCAAUUAUACUUAUAACUAAUCCAUACCUAUUCUCAUGGUUAUGAAAUUAGCUACAAGUUCAUUUCUUCAGUGAAAUUACAUGAAAUGAAUCACUAAAAACGACAUAAGUGCACCUCUACUUUCGUGAGUGUACUCCCUAUGUUUAGCACUUCUUGAACUAGUGUUAAAUCUCAAUUUUCAUUGCAGAAACAACACCUUAAAUAAUCACAAUCAAUGGUACCAGAUUAAUCAUGAUUUAAAGAGCCAAAGUGCUAAAUAACUUGCUCAAAUCAUAGCAGUCAAAUAACCAAAUAAUAAACACUAACAAUUAUAGAAAGUUCAACCAAACCCAAGGCUUAAACUUUAGAAACACAUAAUGAACACAAAAUCCAGAACUUGUAUAUUAACUAAACUUGGAAUCAAAUACAGAAGAUAAAGAGUUUGGAAGGAAUACAACCCUUGUCACAUGAGCUUUCUUCCUUGCCUUCUUCAUCCUCCAUUUUCAUCCUAAUCUAGAUAAUAAACAAGAAUGGAAAAGCUACACUACUCUAUACUAAGCUAAACUAACACUAGGGAGAUGAAAGAGCUACAUUUCUGCAGCUUCAAGCUUUCUCCCGUAGCUCUCUUCUAUUUUUCUGCUAUGGACUCCAAUCUCCCCUUCUUGCAAUGAAUUUGGCUCUUUUAUGAUGAAAGGUGGUCAAGAAAUGAGGAUUACAUCUCCCUUUUACAGCUGGGAAUGUUUCUCACAUGUCUAGCAUCCAAUGUGAGUUGGUGGAGGUGAAAUUGAGUUUUAUGCAUACAGAGCAGCCUUUUCUGACCACAAUCCGGCCAGGAAUCCGGCCACAAAUCCGGCCACAUUCCGGCCGGAUUGCUACAGUGACCAUUUGGUCACUUCUGGUUCAAUUUCCAGCUCUGCUCCGAUUUUGCAUCAAAUUCCACUGAAGUUUUCUUGAUGAUAAAAGCUGAUUUAGCUCUUGACCAAAACAUAAAACUUGUAUCCCUUUGAGUUAGCUUUCCAAUGCAUCAAGAAUCAUCUCAUUUGGAUCUGUGUAGGCUGAGACAUGACCGAAAUACCCUUACCUGCUCAUUGCCCUGUUCCAGUUUCGACCAGUAGAAAUUUGCUAUUGUAAUUCGGCAUUUUGACCUGGAAAACCUUCAAACUGGAUUUAGAUGUCUUCACCAAAGUUGUAGAUCUAUCUCUUAUCUUCAAAUUGGUUCAAGAAUCAUCUUAAUCCGAUCUUUGUAACUCAAGUUAUAGCCGAAAUACGAAAAUGUGUCAAAACUGUCAAAAUACACAAAAUCCAAGUAAAAAAUGAUAAAAACCUCAUUUAAUUACUUAAAAGUAUUUUUCACCAAUUAUAGCCAAAAUGAUUCAUAUUCUACCAAUAAUAUAACUAAAGUGACUAAAAAUAAUAUAAAAUAUCAUACAAUUAUUACGUAAAUUAGUCACUUAUCAAACUCCAAAUUUUCUUUUCUUUGCUCAUAAAGUUUGCAUUUCCAAAUUUUAAAGCUUUUAUAUUUGGCUGUGGAGGAACCUGUUCGCAUCACUGAAAUACGAGUUUAUAGUAUUUUAAGAAGUGAAGAAGAUAAAAACAAAUGUUCGAAGUAUUCAGUAUUUUAAUUAAGUAAUGUGUCUUGAUUAUGUAAUGCUUCAAUUAUGGAUUUAGCAUGGUGAAAUCUUAGAAUUGUAGGAUUGGGUGAUUUUGAAUUAUGCAAUUUAUUGGUUAGGGCCAGCGAAGUGGCAGAUAGAUUGGCUGCUCGAUCCACGAACACCCAAGCUACUACGAGCAAUAAUUUUUCCAUCCACUUAGGGUUAAAAUUAAUAGCAAUCCCAUAGACACAGUAUAUGCUAGCUCCUCUUUGCUGUGCCCAUCGGGAAAAGUUAUUCAUAGCAUCCGUCCUACAUUAUCAAUGAGUAUUGAUGUCGGGUACCGAAAAUUCCAAAACCGUAUUAAAAUCAAGGUCAUUACACGGUUUAAGAUAAGCCAGGCUAUUAAAAUCUUCCCAGUUAAAUCCAGAUGAACAAAAGUCCUUGUAGCAGUCUAAAUCCAUUGCUAUUGAUAAUUAUACUGGCGGCUACAACAUUUCUUCCCCUGUUAGAUCGUGAUCAAUGUCCUUGCAGCUAUCCAUAUCUACUUACCUCUACUAUUGAUGAUUAGGCUAUGACGAGUCAAUGUUAAUUUUGGAUGUCGCUUGCAGCACUCUCAUGCAGUAAAUUUCCACUGAUUACUUUCAUCUCCUUGCAGCCCAAGUCAACUUAUGACUAGAAAAAUAUUAGAAUCCUUUUUGGAUUGCAUUAAUAUUUUGCACAAGUUUUUAUUGGGAAUAUUAUUUGUGGGAUUAAACUUGUAAGGUGUAAAACUCGAUGGACCAAACCUUACUUGGAACUUGCAGAGUUAAAACUGAGAGUAGUCAACAACUAUAAUGCAGAAGAUUUAGUUGAAAAUUGAUGCCAUUCAGAUGUCAUGCACCUAGAUAAUAUGUAAAGAACAUGUUCUGUAUUAACUUAUUAUCGCAAAACAGCAGGUGAUUUAUCAUUUAUUUAUCAAACUAUGGAGUUUUUCUUAAUAACUGAAAUAUAAGUCAAUUAUUUUCCAGUAAAAUUGUUUUUGGUUCGGAAAUUUGUCCUAAUGCCGCCAUGUUAUUUUUCUACAUAUCAUGAACUCCAAAGCAAAUUACGCGAUAAACUUGAGAAUGAAAGGCCGACGGAAUACUUGGUGCACAAUAAGUCAACCAAGUUCCUUGAUGUUAAGAAAUUGGCUUAAUUUCUUUUAGGUAGAAUUCUUGUUUUGUGUGGAAGUAACUAGUUUUCUAAUUGAUUUUAGUUACAUAAAAUAGUAACCAAAGAAUAUUCUAUUUAGUUUAGGAUUAAAAGUUAUUUCCUAGUCUAUACAAGUUUAGGAAUUAGAAUUGGUUUCCUAUUGUUAUUUGGUAUUUUUGGCCAAAUAAUGUUAUCUAUAAAUAGGUGGGUUGACAUACUACAAAGGGACACACAAGAGACACACGAGAUACACAAGGGCAUCAUUUAGUCUUAUACAUGGGGUGUGAGGGAGGGUUUUUGGGAGAUGAGAGAUGAUAUACAAGGGUUGGGUUUGGGUUCAAAUUGUAUUCUUGUAUAGGGUUUUCCUUUCAUAACAAAGAACGGGUUUCUCUCCGUGGACGUAGACUCAAUGGUGAAGUCGAACCACGUUAAAUAUUGUGUGUCGUCUAUCUUUUAUGUUUGUAGCUUGUUUCUUAUUAAAUUGUUGUGCACUUGAUAUAUCAAUAGUUGUUUAUUCCGCACUUGAAUCCUAACACUUGAAACUAAUGUUGAGAUGGAGUAAAUAAAGUCAUUAACAACCCUUUAGGUUGAAGGUAAAAUGGGAAGAAAAGGGACCCAAAAGAAAAAAUAAAAUGAAGGGAGUGGAAUUAUAUAUCUAUAGCAUGAACAAAAGUAACAAAUUGAACGUGAGCAUUUAGAUUUUUUCUUAUUCGGUCCAUGUAAACUUUGCCCCUCCAUAAGCUAGUGAGUAAAAAGUCAAAGGACAAAAUUGGUCCAAUAAUAAAAAUGGGGCAUUGUUCCAAGCAGAGGUGCCAAAUUAGUUCAAUCGCAAAAUUAAGGGACAACAUUAGCCUAAAUUAAAGUAGAAGAACAAAAGUGGUUCAGUAAAAAAGUUGGAAGACAAUUUGCAUCAUUUGCCAAAAAAAAAAAAAUCAAAUGAAAGGGGUGUAAAUGUAACAUCUAUUGCAUGAAGAAAGAUAAGAAAUUGAACAUCUCUUGAUGUAUUAAAUCAUGAUGUUAGCAACACCACAACUCUGAAGAUGGAAAAUUCUAUUUAAGCUGAAUUAUUAUUAUUAUUUAAGGUAAGCUAAUUUAUUAUGUCACCAAACUGGAGUUGGAACAGCAAGAAGAGGAACUUUUUUGUGAAUUAUUAAACCAGUACAUUCAGUCAUGUCCAAAUCUGUUCCCUUAGCUCCAUCAGGCAAAUCCCAGUCAAACUUAAGCAUAAGAUUUGCUAAAACAUGUUCAUCUGUAGCCAUCGCGAAAGAGAUUCCAGGACAACCCCUUCUUCCAGCUCCAAAUGGAAUCGAUUGAAAGUCAUGACCUCUGAAAUCAAUGCCAGAAUUCAAGGAUCUCUCAGGCCUAAACUCAUCUGGUUCAUCCCAGAAUGAAGGGUGUCUUCCAAUGGCAAAAGCAUUGGUAAUGAUCAUAGUUCCAGCUGAAAUGUCAAAGUCCAUUACUUUAGCGUCGUCGAUUGCCUGGCGCGGGACCAGUGAGGGUAUCGGAGGAUAUAAACGUAGUGUUUCUUUAAGCACUGAUUUCAAAUACUUCAUCUUUUUCCAAAUCCUCAUCAGUGAUCUCUGGUCUGCCACCAGCAAUUCCUCUCACCUCCGUCUGUAGAUCCUCAUCGCUUUUGGGUGCCUUAAAAGCUCUGUCAUUGCCCAUUCUAGCACGGUAUAGGUAGUUUCCGUUCCACCAGCGACAAUGUCCUAAAGCGAGAAGUAAAAUAAUAAACUUAUAAUUAUCUUGUCUUUCAAUUUUGGAACUGAGAUGCACAUUUCACCAAGCAAAGAUUAAAGGAUUGAAGAUAGAAAAUAGGAAAUUUUAUCUUAGACUAUGCUCAUCAUAACACCAGUAUAUGGAAGUCAUAAAUUGGUCCCCCUGCGUAUUUUUAAAAAUCCCUCAAAGUCCUUUUUUUAAAAAAAUAAAAAAAUAAAUCCCUCACAAGCCAUGUAAAUUUGUUGUUCUACAUAACCUAAUGGGAAAAAAAUUACUAUUAGAAGUUUUAUGCACUAAUGAGUCUAAAGGUAUAUCAGAUAUGUGCAAAAUUUAAAAAUCAAAAUCAUUUAUUCGAAUGUGUCAUCAUCUAAAAUCAUUAGUCAAUGUAACAAAGUUUAAUCCUUAUAUUAUAUGGUGCUAUAAGAGUCUGAUAAAGUACUCCGGUUAAGUGAACAUUGAAAGGAAUCUUCAUUUAUGUGCAGAUUUCAUAGACUAGCCCUGGCUAUUACAGUGUACUACUUGUGGAGAACCAGAAACUUGGUGCUAUUUCGGAAUGGUAGUUUAUAUCCGGUGGCUAUUGUACAGCAUAUCAUUGACACUAUUCGUCAUAUUGGAGCUUCAUGGAGGGGUGUACCAAAAACGUACGCUGAAUGGAGAAUUCCCCUGGAAUUGCAGAAAUUUUGGGAAAAUAUAGUAAAUAGGGAGGGGGUAGAAAAUCGAACAGAUUAUAAAUCCCAACUUGUGAAUAACUCUGAUGAACACCCUCACUUGACUAAAUUAGGAAAAUAGGGACAAAUUGAAUGAACACCCUCACUUGACCGAAUUAGAAAAUUGGGGACAAAUUAAAUGAUCCAAAAAAUGCUGAAAUAUAACCACUUCAAGGAUGAAAAAGGGCCAGAAAUCAUCCCUGCAAGGAGACAAUUAGAACGGUGGUUUUCUUUUAUUUUUCUUUUGGACAAAUUAUACUUUACCCCCAUGUGGUUUAGAGUUUUUGUACAUAACUCCUCUAUGAUUUCAAAAGCUAUACAUAACUCCCUCAUAGUUUUGAUUAAAGUGUCAAAGUGAUAGAAUUUGCAAUCCAUAACGAAGUCAUCUAAAAUGUCAAAAAUACCCCUAUGUAAAGUUGAAAAUUAUUUGUUAAAAAUAGGGGAGUUAUGUGUAUAUUUUGAAAACCAUAAGGGGGUUAUAUGGUAAAAUAUAAAACCCUACGGGGUUAGUGUAUUAUGUAUAUUAUGUUUAUAUAUUUUGAUCAUUUCAACCAUUUUAAUUUUUAAACAAGACUAAUUUCGACAUUUUCAAAGGUUCUAUUACGAAUGAUCAUUUCUAUUGUUUGGAUACUUUAAUCCAAAUCAUGAGGGAGUUAUGCAUAAGUUUUGAAACUAUAGGGUUUUAUGUACAAAAACACUAAACAUAGAGGGGUAAAAUGUAAUUUGUCCUUUUGCCAAAUUUAAAGUUGUGGUUAAGGUGAGGAAUCGUUGGACGAACUUAAGAAUGCAGGGAAACCGGCAGAGAAUUCUAGAAUUUUAGAAAUUCUGGAUGGAGAAAACGAUAGAGUCGUAUGUUUAAGUUAUGGAAUUGCCGCGAAAGUCGCUCAAAAUUACAGCAAUCUCCACCAUUGAUGCUAUGAAAAUUGAUAACUAAUAUUGCUCAAAAUUAUAGCAAUUGCCAUUGAAAAAUUGGACCAAUCAGUUGCCGGAUAACAUCCAAUCAAUUUUGUAUAAUUCAGCAAUCCAAUUCCACUCAUUCACGUCUCGUCUUUAUAGUAGUAAGGAUAUAUAUAUAUGAUGAUUUUGGACCGAUGUGAAAACACAGAAAAUUUUUCAACUCUUGAAUUCAGAUUAACGUUUUGUGGUUGUAGUUCUAUUUCUUUCUUGGAUGAAUAUACUACUUGAUUUUGCAUUUUCUACCUCUGAGUAUUGAUGUUGCAAUUUCGUUAACCUUCUAAUAAAUCCGCCAUUAGAAAUGGCACAACAAAAUCUGAAGGAUCUCUCCUCCAAAAGAUAUCAUCACAUAUGAAUUUUACCCAACUGAGCGCUUAGUACUUAAAACCCAAAUUGAUUAGAUGCUAAUAUUAGCUAUUGACUUGAGUAAUGAAUUGGCAAUACUGCAUAAGAAUACAAACAAAGAAGAUAAAGGAAGGAUAAUGUGAGUGGUCCUUGAGGCCUGCCAUGCAUCUCUCAUCUCAUCAAAAACUUUCCGUCCAAUGUAGAAAUAAUUAGACGAAUAAGGAUUUGGACGGCUAGCUUUCGCUACUCCUAAAUGGUUCACAUUUGAUGCUCGAUCUAAGAAUUUUCAAUGAUCUGAAAACAAAACACCACAUCAUGAUGUUUACCUUUGGCCAAUUGCUUGAUAAACACGUAUACAAUAAGAACUUAUCUUAUUCUUAGCCCUGCUCUUAAAUAUUAUUAACGACUCCGUGUGCUCUAAUUAAGCGAGGCAAAAUAUGCUCGAUCAUUUUCGUUUGGAUUAGCUGUUUUUAGGGGUGUUUUUGAAAAAUUUUAUUGUAGCAGAGUUUUUACAGUAUAUUUUGGGAUAUUUUUAGAAAAUAUUUUGAAAUAUUUAUGAGUAGUAGAGUUUUUAAAAUAUAUUUUGAAAUAUUUUGAAAUAUUUUUUAAACAUUAAAAAAAAUUUAGAAUACUUUUUAGAGUACGUUUUAGAGUAUUUUUUAAAAAUUUUUAUAAUAUUUGAAAAACAAGAGAGCAUAGGGUCUUUGAUUCAAAUGUAUGAUCAUCAACACAUUGCAGACAUAGCCAAAUCGAUCAUUUUCAGUCUUAACUGAUUGUGAUAGGUUAGACUAGGUAUUCUGUGCUUUUGCACUUGAGUCAAAAGGGCUGGAUGUUACAUCAUUUUGGAAUGGGUAAAAAAUAAAAAAGCCCCCUGUGGUAAACCUAAUACACAGAAAAGCCUCCCGUGGUUUCAAAAUAUACAACACGACUCCUCAUACUUUGAACUAAAUUGUAAAGGUGACGGAAUCCGUUAAACUUAACGGAAAUGGUCAAAAUGACCAAAAUACCCUGAUAUAAUUAAGCAAAAGACAGCUCAAAAAAAUCAUUUGUUUUAUUUUCUAAAUAGAGAGAAUUGAGGGUUAAGGGGUAGAAUUGGUAUAUUUGAUAAAAAAUAGGUAUAAAAAUUUUUUUUUAGGUUCCAAUUAGGGUUGUUGGUGAGCCGAGCUACUCGCGAGUAGCUCGCGAGUAGCUCGGUCAACAACUCGACUCGAACUCGGGUUGACCGAGUUCGAGUCGAGUUUCGAGUAACUCGACUCCAAAUCGAGUCGAGUAUCGAGUCCCAUUUUCCGAGCUCGUGGCUCGUCGAGUAGCUCGACGAGCCAGAGUUAAUUAAAUAAAAUAUUUAUAAUUUAAAUAAUAUAUAUUUAUUAUAAUUAUAAAAUGACUAUUAUGGGUAUAAGUUAUAUGAAAUUUACAAUAUUACCUUCUUUAUAAUAAAAUCCUAUAAUGGCAAAAAAGUAAUAACAUAAUUGUAAAAAACACUAAAAAGAAAAAAUGUCUAAAAAAAAAGGAAGAAAAGACUUUCUUCCUUCUCUCAGUUCUCUGUGCCGACUGUGCGACUUUCUUCUCUGUUCGAAGCCUAGCAAAAAAAUUCACUUUACCAAUCUACACCCUCACUCCGUUCGUCGCCGACGCCGUUGCUCGCCGCAUCUGUGAGACUCCAUCGCCAUCGCCAUCGCCUUAACAAGUCCCAAGUCCCAAGUCCCAAAUCGAAGCUGCUCUCUGCCUCUCCGGCCUCCGCCAGUCCGCCGCGCUGUACGUCUCCUGUCGGCUGUGUCCUGCCGUGCUGGUUCAUCGCUGCCGAGUGUCGAAGACGAAGCACCAAGAUCUCACUAGUUCAUCGCUGGUUCAUCACUGCUCAUCUCUGGCUCACUUAGGUAAGUGCUCCUCUGUUUUUGGCUCUGUGUCUCUGGCAUUAAAAUGGGCCAAGAUCGACUAGGAAACUUGUUAUCCUGAAUUGAUAAGGGGACGAAAUCUGAGCUUCCAAUUGCAAACUCUAACUGUUGUAGUAGUUUAGAUUAGGUGUGAUAUAACAUAAGCUUUGUAUUUUAUACACAAGAAGCUCUCUCCAGUUGUGCAGCCUUUAAAAGUUAAGGCCUUGGGGAAAAAUUCCACCUUUUACCCGUUAGAAAGAUUGGCCUCAUGCUUUUGAAUAUACAUGCCGCAUACGUUGAUUGAGCUGAAUGUCUUGGUUUCUGAUCAUUUUUGGGCUAGUUAUUGCUUUAAUUUGAGUGAGAAUCCGGCAAAAUUUUAAUGCCCAUUUACUGUUCGACAAAAUGCUUGAUUGAAAGUUUUAGUUGAAGGGUGAUUGGUCUGCAUUUUUGCACAUGAAAAAUACUGGCCAAGUCGGCCAGUUCACUUCCUCGCAUCUAAGAAUUUUUGGUGUGUUGAUGUCUUACAUUUUUCUGCUCCUUAUGCUUCCGGUCGAGUGAAUUCGAAUUGAUGUUAUGAGAGGGAGUGUUGUGAGUCUCAUUGUUUGUUGGAAUGGUUAGAAAUUGAAGCCAGAUUUCUGGUUGCUGUCUUGCUGAAUGGUAAUUGAUAUUUGCUCGUUGGAGAAGAUGAUCACUUGUCCAAAAUUGCAAUUUCAGUCCCUCCGUUUUCUUUUUGUUUAGUGAUUUGGUCCUGUCUUUUCCUGAGCUUCAUAUUUGCCUCCAACACCAUCAUAAGUCCCUUAAUUAGGUCCCUGCUUUGUUGCAUUUUAAUCCCUCAAGUCCCCCUUGUUCACCGUAGCCUCAAAAUUUGGAAAAAUCAAAUCCAUUUUGCCUUUCUUGAGCUUAAUCCUAUGUUUGCCUAUUUUAUAUGACUUUUUGGGAUAAAUUAAUUCUUGACUUUAGAUCAUAAUUGUGGCUUAAUAUUUUUUGUUAAUUUGUUUAUGUUAUUGGGUUUAGUAUUAUGGUUUAAGUUUUUUGGGUAAUUAUAUUUGAUUAGGCUUGUAAAAAUUCUUUUUCUUUUUCUGCUCCUUCUUAGACCACACUUUGCUGUUUUAAGUUAAUUUAUUCUUUUGGGAAGUUAUGUAACUUUUUUUGUGUUUUUACCUCUAUGCUUUUUGUAGGAAGCCAAGACAAUCAAACAAUUCGACUUGCCAAAGCUUUGAAGAUUUAUGUUUCUAAAUCUAGAUUAGCUCAUUAUUUGGACCUUGUUAAUUUAUGAGACGUAACUUAUUAUGUAUUGUGGAGUAUGUUUAUAUUUUAAAGCCUUUUUCUUUCAUUUGCCGAAUGUAUGACUAUUGUGUGAGCAGGCUGGCCGCUGGUUAAUGACAUGUUAAUGUGUAGGAUAAAUGUCUAGAAAACUUGUUUUUUGAGUGUGUCGUGUGUGGUAUAAGGUUCAGAGGUUUUGCUUGUGGGUUCAAUUCUUUUGCUCUUUCCUCUGUUUAAAAUGACAGCCUGGAAAGAGCCGUUGCAAUUUGCUGUAAAAGGCUCCAGCCUCUGGGAUUGCAUUUUAAUGGUGGUAUUGAGGUCAUCUUUGCUGGGUCAGGUUAGUGACAAGAGUUUUCAACUUCAUUCUUCUAUAUCCUGUCCAAACACUUGUAAUUCUGCUGGACUAUGGUCCAUUUCUGAACCAGGAACAUAUUUUUCUGACAUGUUCUUGUUUAAAGCAGCUUUCUUUAGUUAGUAAUUAGUGAUAUUUGUGGGGAAAAGGAAUUUCUGGAUAGAUCUUGGCAUUGGUUUCUGAAUUGAGCUUGAGGUAGUUGGGAUAUUGUGGCUGUUUGAGAUAAUUGUUUGUCUCUCAAUUUGGUGGCUCAGCUCAUGUUUUGCUGAGUUUUGAAAUUUUGUGGGGAAUUUUGGUUAGUUUGGGUACUUUUGCAGCACACUUAGGAACUAUGAUCCGAGGAAUUAGAAUCAUCCAUAUUUUCUGCUCUUGUGGGCACCUUACCAUUGGUGGGUAAUUGCUGAAUUUGAAAGUUUCAUGUCAAGCAAUCCAGCAAGUGGGAAUUUCCCUUUUUUCUUCUCUAUUCUUCUUUGUGGUGAAUCUGAUUUUUAGGGGUGUUAAAGAUGCUAACUGUGGGAGGUAGAAUGUGGAUACUUUUAGUUGUAUUUGUAUUGAUGAAUCAUGGAUUUUAUGCCUCAUUUACUCCAGCUGAUAGCUACUUGCUUGCCUUUGAUUCUUCCCAAAACAUCACCUUUGAUCUGUUUUUUUCGUCAAAUCGAGUCAAAAAGCUUGAUAAGACUCGACUUGAUAAGGCUCGAUUAAAGAUCGAGCCUUAUCGAGUCGAGUCUCGAGCCUGAGGAAAUUCUUCGAGUCGAUCUUCGAGUAUCGAUUUUCUUGGCUCGAUCGAGCUCGAGUCGAGCUCGAGCCUCUGUGUGUAUGAGUCGAGUCGAGCUCGAGUAUAGUGAUACUCGAGCUCGACUCGGCUCGAUUACAUCCCUAGUUCCAAUAAGUCAUUUCCGUUAAGUUUAACGGAUUCCGUCACUUUUACAAUUUAGUUCAAAGCAUGAGAUGUCGUAUUGUAUAUUUUGAAACUAUAGGGGGCUUUUCUGUGUAUUAGGCUUACCACAGGGGGCUUUUUUAUUUUUAACCCUUUUGGAAUUAUUGAAUUAGUUUAUCAAUAGCAUAAAGUGGUGAUCCAGAAUAAUUAGCUGUUGAUUCUUUUUAAGAUUGAAUAUUACACAAAUAUAUCACAAUAAUUGCGCAACGGAUCUUCUGUCCUACACUCUGUGCCACUUUUUAUUAUAUUGAUAUUUCUCCUGUAUAAACAUCACGUUUUAGUUCUUUUUUGCUUCACCUACUUCCAAAAUAUAUACACAAAAUAUAUGUAAGACAUUUUUAUUUUAUUUUGCUUCGCCUACUUCCCUCCUGCCCAAUGCAAAAAAUUUACUUAAUAUCCGAAUUCUUCACACCCAUUUCUGAUAUGUUAUCAUGCUCAUCUAGGUGUCCAGCCAAACUUGAUGUGCCUCAAAUAUACGUCGUUAACUUUUAAAAUAAAAACAGCCAUAUUUUUACAAAAGAAAAUUGAAAUUGUUCAAAUCGUGCCAAAUUAGUUGUUUUGAUUUCUUGUCAAGAGAUGUAAAAUAAGCUAUCUUUAGAUUUUGUUCCAAAUGUCUAGCAGCCAAAAAGGAUGCCACGAACAAAAAGCUUCAGCAAUUAUCUUAGAAAGCAGUCUUCUGCCCUCCAUGGAGCUGAAUUCCAAACUUCAGCCGCCAAAAUUAAUGAUAUUGCUUCUUGGUUGGAUUUGAUUAUCAUGUUGUGAUUGUAGUCUUGUCCCUUGGCAAGUUCAAAUUUUCAAUUUUCUGACAGCUAACAAGAUUGUUUAAAUCGAUUUUAUAAGGGAUUAUUUCAUAAUGCUUUGCAUAAUAGAUUGCUGUCGUGGCAUUACUCUAAUCCAUCCCAUCACAAGUUAUAAUUACUAUUGCACUAUUCACGAUAACAAGUUUGGUGCCUCCUCAUUUUUUCAGUUCAAAUCUGGUCAGAGAUUAGACCUUCUAUUGCACAGUGCAAUUGCAGCCCUUCUCAGGAAUCAAUCCAACAUUUGUAUCAAGACAAGAAUACAGAAUCUGCAGCAUUCGGCCAUGUGAAGAAUUCAAGAAAGUGGAGAUGGAAUAACAAGAAGAGGAAUUUUGCGACGAACUGCAACGCCAGGGCAUUCUGUCAUAUCCAACUCUUUUCCCUGUGCACCAUCAGGAAAUUGCCAAUCAAACUUGCUUACCAAAUUUGCCAACACAAGUUCAUUGCUGGCAACAGCAAAAGCGAUUCCAGGACAACCCCUCCUACCAGCACCAAAUGGGAUUAACUGGAAAUCAUGCCCUUUGAAAUCUAUAGACGAAUCCAUAAAUCUCUCUGGCAUAAAGUUCACAGGUUCAUCCCAAUAUGCAGGAUCUCUACCUAUUGCCCAAACAUUGAUGAUCACCAUUGUACCAGCUGCAAUAUCAUAUCCCAUUAUUUUGACAUCUUCUCUUGCUUCUCUAGGAACCAGCAACGGAAUUGGAGGAUGUAAGCGAAGAGUUUCCUUGAUCACUGCUUUCAAAUAAUGCAUCUCGGCCAAGUCAUCCUCGGAUAUCUGUUCUUUGCCACCAACAACCGCUCUUAUUUCAGUUUGCAAUUUCUUUAGGAUAAUGGGGUGUCUUAAGAUCUCUGCCAUUGCCCAUUCUGCAACUGUAGCCGUGGUAUCAGUUCCAGCAGAGAAUACAUCCUACAGUCAAAAAGAUAUACACUUAAAAUCAAUGAUUUGUUGAUUGUCCGUGAGAAUGAUCAGAGAUGACGCUUAAUGAAGCUUAAUGAUUUUAUAUUCAGAAAAAAUGAUUUUAUAGAAGCUUAAUGAUUUUAUACUCAGAAAAUGAAGCUUAAUGAUUUUAUUUUCACUGCGCAGAGAAAAUUGUGCUUACCAAUAUUAUAGCUUUGACGCUGUCCCUGUCCAUGGUUACACCCGUUGCGUUAUCUUUAUAGAUUUUCAGCAAAAUAUCAAGAAAGUCUUCCCUGCUUUCACCAUCAAUCGUCUCACCACUUGGCCUGCAGGAAUAUUUUUCCACUGCACCAUCCAACCUUUCUUGGACCACGCCCUCCAAGAACUCAUCUACUUCUCUAGCAACGCGAUCCACUCUGGCAUCGUAACCAUUAACUCGAUUAAUCCAGCUGAGACAGGGCACAGAUUUGACUAAAAUUCCUCCGUUCAGUAACUCCAAGAAUUCGCCCAACAGCAGCUUGAAUUUCUUUCCAGUUUCCCCUGCACCGUAUUUCCUCCCAAAAGCCGAUCUGCAUACAAUAUCAUUAGUCAGCGAAACAAACAUUUCGCUCAAAUUCACAGGUGUUGAAUCCAAAGAAGCGUCUUUAAUCUUCUGCAUCAUAAUCGACGUUUCCUCUUCCCUUAUAUUACGAAACGCCUGAACUUUUUUGUUGCUCAGGAGCUGAAGAACACAAAUACUCUUUAACUGUCUCCAAUACUCGCCAUAGGGUGCUACCGAUAUAUCCUUCAUGUUAUAGAGAAGUUUAUUAGCUGUGCUCGAAAAUGGCCUAUCAGAGAAAAUCAAAUCGUGGGUUUUCAUGAUUAGGCUAGCUCCAUCAGCUGAUGAAACGACAACCGUGGGAACACUACCAAAUUUGAGAAACAUGAUUGGACCAUAUUUUUGGGCUAAGGAGUGGAGAGGAUAGUGAAGCAGUGAGCUUAGCUGAUGAAGAUUUCCAAUAAUCGGAAGUCCUGGUGGCGAUGGUGGCUGAUUCUUUCUCGAAUUUGAAACUAAUUUGAAGAGAAACCACAGUAAGAUUAAAGGAAAAAGCGAAAAAAAGAUUGGAUGAAACAUAUAUACAUCAAUCUUUAGCUCCGAUACCAAGCCUGAUAAGCUUGCCAUUUGCUUUAAUCUCCCCUGUAUUUUGCUCAGGCUACAAGACUCUGAUUUCAGACAAAAAAUUGGAAAACAAGUAUGGACAAGUAUGGACAAGCUUGGCCACUAGCCAUUUGGUCCAGUGGCCAUCACCAUAAAAAGGUGAUGAUGGAGGUGCCAUCACCAUAAAAAGGUGAUGAUGGAGGUCAGGGGUUCAAUCCCUGCCUCCCACAAAUUUGCCACAUUUGUGGCGGUCUUAAUUGACCUUCAUCGAUGGAGUCUGUACUCACAUCGAACCCCAUCCUCUUCCCCUUAGACUAGGCUCGAACCCCAUCCUCUUCCCCUUAGACUAGGCUAGAUUAGGUUAUAGAACAUCUAUCGUUGCGACAAAAAAAAAAAAAAAAGUAUGGACAAGCUUGUGUCAGUUGGCAGGCGUGUGGUAUCUAUAUGGAUAGACUUGCAGAAAAAUGACAAAAGAGGAUGGAAAAAUAAGGACAAAUCUAUAAGGACAAAAUUACACUUUACCCCCUUAUAGUUUAGUAUUUUUGUAUAUAACCCCCCUAUAGUUUCAAAAAUUAUAUAUAACCCCUCAUGGUUUGGAUUAAAGUGUUAAAAUGACGAAAAUGAUCAUUCGUAAUGAAACUUUUUAAAAUAUCAAAAUCACCCUUGUUUAAAAAUUAAAAUGGUUGAAGUAAACCAAAAUAUAAAACAUAAUAUACAUAACACACUAACUCCGCAUGGUUUUAUAUUUAUCAUAUAACCCCCUUAUAGUUUAAUAUUUUAUCAUAUAAUCCCCUUAAAAUUUUUAAAAUAUACACAUAACCCUCCUGUGGUUAAUAAAUACUUUUCAACUUUAUAUAGGGGUAUUUUGACAUUUUAUAUGAAUCCGUUAUGAUAUUUUAAUUCAAAUCAUGAGGAGAUUAUAUAUAACUUUUGAAAUUGUAGAGGGUUAUGUACAAAAAUACUAAACCACAAGGAAUAAAAUGUAAUUGCCCGAAAAAAUAAGGACAAAUCGAAACCUCUUACAACAUGAGAACAUAUGAGAACAACAAGGACUGGUUUUUUUUUUUUUUUUUUUACUACGUGCAUCGAACUAAAGAAUUUCAAACAAAACUACAACUUAAAAUUUAUAACUCUGGGAUAGUAAAAAAAAGGGAGAGAAGCUAAAACAAUUUCACCUGAGUUUUUUAUAUUUUUAUUUCUUGAUUAGCUGUUUGUUUUAUUGAAUCUUGCUCGAUUCCCUUCACAAAUGAAAAAUAUGAUUAAACAACAACUGCAUUAUAAUCAAAAUAAUAGUACAACCCAAUACUAAAGAAUGGAAAUUAACAUACAAAAUGAAUCCAUAUGUCCAUAAUCCAAAAUGAAUUUGGCAAAUAGAGGAACAAAAAUAAAACCACAAUUAUAGGGUAAAAAAGAGGAAAAUAAUUAAUUCUUCCGCAUUUCAGCUUCACGAACAUAAUUUGGCGACGGAAAAACAAAGGGUAAAACAAUACUAUUGGUCCAAAAAGUAAACACCGCGGAUCGUAAGCCCCGUUCUGUUAGCCUCAAUGGACCAAGUGAAUAACUGUUUUUCGGCCAAGGUACUUCUGGACAAGAGUCACAGGGCUCCACACGCGUCUCCGCCCAUCACAUGAAUGUGAUAGCCUCCCAAGUCCAAGAAGUUUGCUUGUUUCCAAGCCUGUAUUUCUAUAGUAAAUGGCCCGAGGACUUUGCAGAGCCUGGCACCACAUAUGUGUUGACCUUGACCCGCUCACUUCGUCCGCGGUGCAAUGCUUCGCUGGACUUCAAAACAUAAAUUAAACAUGGGCAUACUCUUAAGAAUUCACGAUGUGGGCUCUGUUUUCAAACUCGGACCGGACCGGCCGGUCGAACCGGUUGAACCGGGAACCGGCCAGGUAGCCGGUCCGAGUCACAUUAGAAAACCGGAAAUUUAAAACCCGGUCAAAGCCGGUCAAAAACCGGGUUUGACCGGGUUUGACCGGGAAAAAACCGGUUUUUCCGGUUCAACAGUAUUUUUUUAAAAAAAAAAAUUCAAACUUUUUAAUAUUAUGUUUUGACCCCCUAAAUUGUUAAAACUUAUUGAUAUACCUCAAAUAUUUGAUACUUUAUAAAUAUUGUCCUAAAAUUUGAUGUUAUUUUUCAAUUAAAUUCAUAAUUUUAAUUCUAAACUUGUUAAUAUUUAUUAAAUAAUAUAAAUUGCUACUUGAUUGUUCUAAUUUCUUUGUAUUUUCUUGUUAAAUAUAUUUGAAACAUCAAAUAUAUAUGAAUAUGCCUUUAUUAAUAUCAAUAUAUUAUUAGAUAUUAUAUAUAUAACAUUUUAAUUUUAAAAUAAUUUUUAUUUAUGACGUCAUCCGGUUCGACCCCUAUCGACCCCCGGUCGAACCCAUUGACCCCUGACCCCUGACCUCGGCCGAGUCGCUAUCCGGUCCGGUUCUGAAAACAUAGGAUGUGGGAGGAGUUAAUUUCUACUCUUUAGCUAUUGAGCUAGCUAGGUAAUGGAUUCGAAAUCCCUUGCCUGCAUUUCUCAUCCAGAAUUUUUUGAAAUUUUUUCGCAAGUAAUUUUGUUCCCCUCAAGUUUUUAAUAGAUUAAUCGCGUUGAUCCCCACACUAGGCAAAACGUUAAGGUAGAGAAGUAAAAGAGCAGGGAAAACCGGUCUUCUCAUUAAAUUAUUCUAGCAGAAAUUUAAAGAUUGAAGAAUCCGAGGUCCGACGUGAUUGAACUUUCCACUAAAUGCCAAGACAUUGUGGAUGUUGCAAGUGUGCUAAGGAGGAGCAAAGUUUAGGUACUUCCGGAAUGGAUUAUUAUCACUUUACCUCCUUAAAACUAUAUCACUAUUAUUAAUUUACCUCCUAACAUUAUCUUUUAAUCACUUCACUUCUAUAGGUAAUUCAAUUCAACAUGUUAACAAAUUCUGAACAAAAAUACAUUUUUAUUUUAUAGUAUUAUUGCAUUAUUAUUAUCACUUUAUCUCUUGAAAUUAUAUUGAUACAGUCACUUUAAUAUUAUAUAUUUUAUCGAAUUAAGAUUUUUUUGGAUUUGCAGAAUUUUUGUGAAGAGUACACAUGCUUUGGCAUAAUUAGCACAUGCGUUUGGAAGUCGAACGGGUUGGAUCAAGAAUUGACACAAGUAAUUUGUUUAAUUAAUUUUUUUUUUUUUUUUGUAAAUAAGAGAUAUUGAAUUCAUGGCAUUCUACUUAUAAUUUCUCCCAUCUUAUCAUCCAACUCAAUCUUUCCCUCAAAUUAAACUUAUUAGAUAAAUUGUUGAUUAAACUUGCCAUCAAGUUCGAGCAAUAAAAGCGCAAAGCCACCCACAUCCACUUAUUUUUUUCAUGAGAUUUGGGUCGGACAAUCAAUUGGUUCUUCGUUCAAUCAGUUGAACCGGUCCUUCCAGUCCAAUUUUCAAAACACACCGCCUUCAUUCAUGUUCAUGUCCUCUGGUUUCCCUCCAUCAGGCAAUGCAACAUCAUACGUGCCCAAACAUGUUGCUCAAAUGAAGUCAUUAAUGGCAAUGCAAAAGGUCAUUAACGGCCACUAACUACCAAAUAGAAUUGAUCCAAAGCUGAACGUCGAAAAUCAACAUCAAAUGUGGAGAACCUUGCCCUGGAAUUCUUGCUGCUUUUCUCCUCAAUAAUGGAUUUUGCCAACUGCCCAAUAAUUCACAAAUAUUAAUUACAUGGUACGGCUGCAACAGGUCAUGGCCACAACGGAUCUUCUAUCCCACACUCUAUGCCACUCUCUGUCCCACUUUUUAUUAUAUUGCUAUUUCUUCUACAUAAAGAUCAUAUUUUAGUUCUUUUUUGUUUCCUUAAAAUUAAUAACUAUUAAUUGAGUAAUACACAAAAUUUAACAAACUCAAAAAAUUAAAAUGCAUAAAAAAUGAGAUUUUUUAUGAAUUUUUUGCUAUAUUUUUUAAUUUUCUAUUAUAUAUUACUUUUUUUAAGCUGUUGUAUUUAUUUUUCACUCAAUUAAUAGUUAUUAAAUUUUAAGGAAGUAAAAGAACUAAAACAUAUGUUUAUAUAGGAGAAAUAGCAAUAUAAUAAAAAGUGGGAUAGAGAGUGACAUAGAAUGUGCGACAGAAGAUCCGUUGUGGGUCAAGGCCCUUUUCGUUGAUGCUUGGAGCCAAGUUUGACAGGAACCACUAAUGGUGUAGGAACAUGAGCCAUAAAAACGUGGCCCCGUUUGGAUUGAGAUUUUUCUCAGAAAAAUUGUUACGUUUUCCGUGAACACAUUUUUCUAUCACUUUUUUAUCUCAUAUAUAUCAAAUCGCUACAGUAAUUUUUUUACAAAAAAUCCAGAAAAAUACAAUUUAAACGGGGCCAUUUUUCCGUUAUUCAUUUAUAACCCAUAUCAAAAGUCGGCAGCACUGGAUCCAAAGUGGAGCAACUUAAUUAUUAUUAUUAUCAUUAAUCUUUUGUCUCAUAGCUUUUCUAUACUAUUUUGCAAGCCUCUCUCAUGCAAAUGAUUUCAAUUGUACAAUAUAGAAAUUCAAUAUUUUGACCAAAUCCCUAGUCAUUAAGAGUAGGCAUUUAUAAGGAGUACAAGGGCAGAACAAUGGCAAACCGAAGGCACUCAACCUGUACAUAGGUGGUUCUAAGCUUCCUAUGUGUUGACCUACUUGAUAAGUUAUUUAGAUCACUCAAUUGUUUGUUCUAACCAUACUUGUACAUGACAUCAAGUAAACAUAAAACGAUGGAAAUAUGAGAACUUUUAUGACUAGCGUGAACUUCCACUAGAAAUAAGACACAAAAUAAAAAAGAAAGCAUAUGAAUACGAAGCCAUUAACAAAGAUAUGGAGUGGCAAUAGCAUGUAGAGGAUGUUUUCUGUGAACUGUGAUACCAGAUGCUUCAGUCAUGUCCAGAUCCUCUGGCUUCAUUCCAUCAGGCAAUGCAAAAUUAAAUUUGUUGACCAAUUUUGCCAAUGCAAGUUCAUUUACGGAUAUGGCGAAGUUGAUACCCGGGCAAACCCUUCGUCCAGAACCAAAAGGAAUUAACUCAAAGUUAAGACCUCGAAAAUCUAUUUUGGAAUUCAAAAACCUCUCAGGUUGAAAUUCCUCAGGGUUCUCCCAUAGAAUGGGGUCUCUUGCAAUUGCACUAGCAUUCACCAACACUAGUGUGCCUGCUGGUAUAUCACACCCCAUUAUUUUGAUGUCUCGAGUUGAUUCUCGAGGAACCAGUAAUGGAGCAGGAACAUGAAAUCGUAGAGUUUCUUUAAUCACUGCUUUUAAGUAUCUCAUCUUCUCCAAAUCAUCUUGAGUUAUUUCUGGUUUUCCCUGGGUCAGUUCUCUUACCUCAGCCUGUAAUUUCUGCAAGGUUAUAGGUUUCUUUAGCAGUUCUGACAUUGCCCAUUCCAUAACUGACUGUGUUGUGUCAGUUCCAUCGCCAAACAUGUUCUGCAUGACGGAAUGAAAGAAAGUGUUGCUUUAGAACAUGCAUAGAUGCGCCUUUUUUUUUAAUCUAAAUUUCCAAUUUCAAAAAAAAUUGGCACGUUUGCACCCAAGCAAUAAAUUUGUAUCAUACCUUUCCAAGGAAAAAGAAAAAUGAAGACAAAUUAACAAUAUUCAUACUAUCGCAAUAAGCGUUUAAUUACCACAUACAAGACGAAACAUUAUGUUACUUUUCCCUCUAAAAUGUUGAUUAUUAUUGCUCAUUUUUCCUCCAAAAUCUGCAGUUCUGGUAUGCAAUCCAAUUUUAGAAACUCAAUCGUGAAGUGCAAAAGCUGAAGAUUUACGUAGUAGAGUUGAACUUGUCAAAAGAUUAAUAGGUUUAGGUACAUGUAAAUUUAAAAGUUACCAUGUUAUACAUUUAUUUCAGUCAGAAGUUUAAUGCAUGUCAAGUUUUUUGCAUCACUGGACAGAUAACAAAUCCUUAAACCUUAUCGUUUUGGAAACAUUAAAUGGUCUCAAGUUUAAGUGCAUAAAGUUCGGUUAACCCAAGCAACCAUUGAGGAUUUUUUUUUUUUUUGAAAAUUUUUUACAAGAGAAGGUAUUCAAAUGCAAGGGAUGAAUUUUUCUUUUAAUCUGAUAACAAGGGAAGGUAUUCAAAUAUAAGGGACGAAAAUGAGUGUGAUUACAUACAUUCAUAGUAAUUUUGAUAUAAAUUAAAUAUACUAAAGAGUGUAUAUAUAUAGAGUUGUGUGGUAAUUUUAGAAUUUUUAUAGUGAGUCAACCCUUUUUGUAUGUUUAUUUAAUAUCCUUACCUCUUGUUUGGUAUGCAGUAAUGUCCAAAAUAAUAAGGUCUUCUACCCAAAAUGGCAGGGAUAAAUAUUUAUCAUUAUUCAUUCUUCAAUAUUUAGUGUGAUCAAUAUUUAGAUGUUAGAAUAGAAUACAAUUAAUACAUAUUUGACUUAAUUAUCCUAGAUAUGUUUAUGACUUUUAUUUUUUGUUCUAGUAUGUUAAUCUUUUGUUUACAUGGAAUUCGCUCAUUUUUUGCUUCAGAAUCUUUUGUUUACAUGGAAUUUCUACUAUGUAAUCUUUUGUUUUCAUUUUUUUAUGAAAUUCAAAAAAAAAAAAAUUCCAUACAACUGUUGGACAGAAUCAGGUCAAACCUGAUGAAUCCGAAAAGAAAACAAGCCGAAUUUAGGUCACCCACGGGUUGACCUAUUAACCUGUUUAUGAAUUAAAAAUAAUUUAAUAAAUAUAAAAAAAUUUUAUCCAUCUAAACUAAGUUAUUCUUUUUUUUCCAAGGUAUUAACCACUUAAUCCUAAAUAAAUUUGUUAAACUUGUGUGAAUCAUUAUGUUUGGACAAAUGAUGUAUUACAUUAUUUUCUAAUUUUAUAGGGUCUUAAUUUAUUUUAGAUCUGGUUUGGGAUAAAAACACUUUUACGGUAUUUUAAUUUAUUUCAGAUCUGGUUUGAAAUUGUUUUAUCGAGAUUUUUAUUACUUCAUUAUGCAAUUAGUCUUGUGAGAAAUUAGUUCUGUUAAAAACUACAAUGGUAAAUUAGUAAAUUGAAAUUAUGUUUCGGGUCAUUCAGGUGAUCCGCCAACCCGAAAAUUUCGGAUUCAGGUCAAAUAUUCUAACCCGUUGUGAGUUGACGGAUUGUGUUCGGGUCAGCGGAUUGUCUAUUGUACAUGGGUCUCAACCCGACCCGUCUACCCAUAUCUGACCCAACUGCCAUUCACAAGAUUUUAUGUUAAAGCAAGAAAAAAAAUAAAAAAAAUGAGUCAAACUCAAACAUAAACCGAUCAAACCGGACAAACCUGGUAAAACUCCAACUGUUGAACAGGCUAGCCACUAGAAAUUUUUUCCCUUUAUAUAAUUGGUAUUAUUCAAAUUUUCUAAUUAUAACUAAAAUGAGAAAACAUUUAAUUGAAUUAGUGGUUGAACCAUGAAGGCAUGAACAAAAAGCUCAUCCGGUUCAUUCAACCAUCCGAGUUUAAUAAUAUUGAAUUCAGUAAACCUUACAAACCAAAUAGAUUUUGAUCUUGCACAUCGGAGUAAAGGAGGAGGAUGCCAUUUACUAAGUUGUCAUGUCCAAGUCAACUAAACUAAAAACAUUUGUAUGACAGUACCAAACAAAAUCCAAACCUUCCAGCCCAGUGCAAGUCACUACCUUCAAAACUAGUACUAGAUGAUUUAUUACUAAUAAACAAAAUUCUUUUCAGAGUUGAAACUAAUUAUAAAUUCUCAUAGUGCGAUGCAAUUAAAGAGAUGGAGAGAGAUCUAAUUUACCAGGAUGAUGGCUUUCAUAUCAUCACGGCCAAAAGCGAAGCCGAUAGUUCUUUCCUUAUUAACCUCGAUCAGAAUGUCCACAAAGUCUAGGCAUCUUGCCUCAACGGAAUGGUCAUUUUCAGCCUCACCUUUCCUCUUAUUUAUGUGCUCUUCUAUCACACCCUCAAGAAAUUCAUCAAUCAGCUUAACAAAUUUCUCCACUUUCAAGUCCAAACCAUUGAAACGAUUAACCCAUGAAAGCCAAGGAAUGUAGUCUCCUACAUCAAAAACACCCAUUAACUCAACAAAAACCCUCAAAUUUUCCAUAAUUUUCCUCCCUUUUUCUUCCUCACUAUACUUCCUCCCCAGGGCAACCCUACAAAUUAUAUCAUUUGUGAGAGUUACAAAUAUUUCAGUUAAGUUUACAGGUGAAGAAGAACACAUCUGACUGAUCUUUUCGAUCAUGAGUGAAGUCUCUUCUUCUCUAACAUGCUGAUAUGACUGAACCCUUUUGUUACUCAAAAGAUGCAGCACACAAAUGCUUUUGGCUUGUCUCCAAUAGUCACCAUACGGUGUAAAUACUACGUCCUUACUUCCGUAGAAUAGUCUGUCUUUAACGCUCGAUUUAGGCCUGUUUGAAAAAACCAGAUCAUGGGUUUUCAUGAUCUGGCUAGCUGCAUCAGCGGAAGAGGCUACCAGCACUGGCUUGCUUCCAAAAUGAAGUAGCAUGAGUGGGCCAUAUUUUCUUGACAAUGAUUGGAGGGAUCUGUGCGGAAGCAAGCCAAGCUGGUGAAUAUUUCCAAUUAUUGGGAGCUUUGGUGGAGAUGGUGGUAGCUUUGUUUGGGGUUUAGAAACAGCAUGGAACCAUUUCAAAAGGGCUAGAAGGAAUACAACUGAGGAAACUGAGAAAAAUAAAAGAUCAAAAGAGAACGCCAUGGUCUAUAUGAUCUUGGGUUUGCCUAUUAAUGGGCUACUCUUCUUAUAUAAGAUUACAUACUGCUUUUAGAAUUGAAAUCCCAAUAAUACACCAGACAACAUUAGGAUGAUUUAAGCCGCGCGGUAUUGCAUAUAGGAGGGAUGAAUUAGAUAGUGCAGAUAAAGAGAGUGUAGGUGAGAGGUUUUAAAUUUAAAAUUUUUAUCUAAACUUAAAAGAAAAAAGGGGCCCACAUGUUACACAGGACAAAAUUAAUUGAUUGGUCUCUGAUUUAUCUUUUGGAGCUAUGGUUUUUUUGUCUGAUUUAUAUUAUUGGUCUCUGAUUUAUCUUUCCCAACGCUCUUGGACCUAUGGUAUUGGAAUCAUGGAGAAAACUCCUUCGUGAAAAAAUAACCAUUCACAUUUUGCAAAAUUUGAUUCCAAGAAAUAGGAAAAAGACGUUUAGCAUAGCAUAUCUUUUUCUCCUUGGAUGAAGAAAGCCGGAACAUCGAUUAUUCCCUUUCGGCCAUAGUCCACAGCCGGCAGUUGAUUCUCCUUGUUGCCACGCACGUCUUAUCAAAUUAUGUAACAAAAUUUCAACGGUUAGGUACAGAAAUAGGUAACUCCGUCUAGGUUGCCACAAUCAAUUAUAGCUAUCAUUUUGUGUCUUUGAAGAAAAUUUGACAUGCAAUUUUCGUAUUUUCAAGUUUGAACUAAUGUUUGCCAAUCCUAAGACUUACAAGUCUUGGAAAGUUGGGAGGUCAAGGGUUCAACCCUUACCUCCUGUUAAAUUUGCCACUUAAUUGUAACUGUCACUUUCAGGUGGCUUUCUUCGACGGAGUUUCUUGUCGAUUCCUCCUCCCCUUAGACUAAAUUAGAGUAGGUUAUACGACUAUUAUCGUUGCGACAAAAAAAAAAGUUUGAACUAAUGUUUAAUAGUAUAAAUGCACCAUAUGCUUGUGACUUGUGAGUUUGGAUUUUCUUUCGGAAUCUUGAGGAACUAAUAUUUGGAAAUUUUAUUAAUUAACUUUUUCUACCAAGGCACGAUAUUCUUCAACUCUAGAAAUAUUCGAAUAUAAAGUAUUACCUCGUUUGACAAAAAAAAAAAAAAAAAAAAAGAGUAUAGUGUAUUACCUCAUGAAAUGUAUUACCAUGAGCUGAUUAAGCUGUAAUUGGUUUAUGUUCAUAAUACUGGCUUCUGUAGGUGAGUGUGAUGGGACCAUCACAGAUCAAACCACGUGAUUUGAAGAUUAUGAGUUUUAUCUAUAGUAAAUUUGGCAAUUGUUACGCCUUUCAAAAACUAAUGAUUAGUCUAACUCAUUGGAUAAUCAAAAGAUUUUGCUUUACUUGGUUUUAUUUGUUAUACAAUAAAAUUUCUGCUCCAAAACGCUAUAUAUAGCAUUUGAAGCUAUGCUAAGAUGGAAUAGCCCCAUGGCACUCUCUCUGCACUCGUAAUAUCAUAGAGUAAUCAAAUCAUCAAACCAUUCAUAGUUUGCAUAAUAGCCCCCAAGAAACAGGAAAAAAAUGGUUUUGCUGAUAAAAGUAGGUCCUUGACGCAAUUAUGCACUGCAACAUCUUAUCAAAUGAAAGAAGUACAGUUUUCCAAAAUCAAUCAUAGGGAAUUUGAACUGUUAUUCCUUCGAAACGAGGGAUUUAAUUACAAUUUUCUGUUGUUUCAAAUUUUCAACUGUUAGAUACAGAAAGCAUCCUUCUCUCUGAUGUUCCCAAAUUGAUGCAAAUUCUACAUCCAACUCAGAGUUAUCCUGCAGCUGAACUGUUGGAUAGGCAUAAUAAGAGAUAACUCAGUAUACAAACCUUUUUUAAUUAUUGAUCAGUAGCUUAAAUACAAUUUGCCAACACUAGAUAUUUGCUGUCUGGUUAUUUGGAGAAUAGAUCAGUAUAAGGUCCACAUUUAUACUUGAAAAGAUAGGUAAAGAAGGCCUCUAACUUGUUUACCAGUUUUGCCAAUGCAAGCUUGUUGACAGCCACAACAAAGGUAGUACCAGGGCAACCCCUGCGUCCAGCACCAAAUGGAAUUAACUCAGAGUUAAAACCUCUCUGGCUGAAAUUCUGCAGGCUGAAUCCAAGCAAUGGAUCUCGUGCAAUUGCCCAAGCAUUUACCAUUACUGCUGCACCUGCUGGUAUAUCAUACCCCAUUAUCCUAACGUGUUUAGUUGAUUCUCGACGAACGAAAUAAUGAGAUUGAAGUAUGAAGUCGUAAAGUCUCCUUGAACACUGCUUUCAAGUACUGCAUUUUGUCUAAAUCAUCUUCACUGAUUUCUGAUUUUCCUUCAGUUAUUUGUCUUACCUCAGUUUGCAAUUUCUCCAGGAUUUUGGGGUGCCUCAGAAGUUCAGUCAUUGGCCACUCCAUAUUGCAUCAGUCCUGCACCAAACACGUCCUAAUCAUGGGAUUUGAAAAAGAAAAAGGAAAUGCUGUUUUAUUGAAAAAAAUGACAUUCAAAGUUGAAAAAAAAUGACAUUCAAAGUUGAAGAAAAUGACAUUCAAACACAUCUUUUCUAUUUCAAAGUUGACGUGGAUUUAUAUGAUUGUUUAUCUGAAAGUUAACGUUGAAUUGUAUACCAUAACAAAACAAAACUAAUAGGGUAGCAUAAUAAUUUGUUCUCUUUUUUUGAUACUCUGUGAUUGAUUUUAUCUCCUACCCUGCAAUUAAAAAAAUCUAAAAAGUGUGUUAGAUCACCUCUUUAGUUUAGAUGAGCUCGUCUUCCAUCUAACUCCUUAUACAACCCAUUUAGAUUCCCCCUCUCUCCUAGAAUAGGAUAGUAUAAAUGUAGCUAAUUGACAAAAAAAAAAAAAAAAAAAUUCUAAUUACGCAAAACAAAAUGUUUAACUCCAGGUACAAGUAGAAUAGAAUUUUAGUCUUCUACAAAAUACUGUUUAUUACUAAAGCUCUGUAUGGAUUAGAUAUUUUUAGACCUGAUUUUCAUAAAUUUUACUAUAACAGUAUAUAUGAAAAAAUUGUUACUAUAGUUUUUUAUUGAACUGUUUUUAGAAUUUUAAAUAUUAUUGUUGGGAUAUUUGUAAUAUAAAAAUCCCCCCUACCUCCACCCCUGCCCUCCUCCUCUCUUCUCUCUCACUUUUUCUCCCUUUCCUUCCUCCCCUCUCCCUUAACUUCUUCGAAAUUAGGAAAUGGAAGAAAGCCCAAUUUUAUUUUUUCUUUUUUUAAGUGCUAUAAUUGGCUAUUUGCCUAAUCUUGAAGAAGCAUAGGAAUAGUAAGACCAAGAUAAGGAGAAGAGACAAUGAAAAAUCCAAAAUGAACAAAUUAGCAAUGAAAAUGCAAAGGUCCUUGAUAAGCCUCUCGUGGUUAUGGUUGUGUUUAAAUAACAAAUCCAUGCGUGUGGCUUGACUCUUGAAUAUUUCAAACACAUAUUAUUGUACAAAAGUAAUUUUUUUUUUUUUGAGGAGAAACAAAAGAGUAAGUUGUCUUUGUCAAUAAUAAAUCUUGAAGAUUACCAUCGGAAUUGAACCCAAUUAAAGUUUUACUUACACAUAUAUACUCCUUGUUCAAAUUAUGUUUGGUUCAAUAAUGGAAUUACUUCAUACACGUGAACGCAGCAGUAUAAAUAUGUAGUCAUCGAUUAACAAUGGAGAAUUACUUAAAGGUUGGUAUAAUAAGAAUUGAACACUACAAUAGAGAAGGAAAAUAAACUGAACAAAGAAGAAAAAAAAAUAAAGGACAACAAAUUACAAUUAAUAGGAAUUUGGCACCGAUUUUUGUUAUUUUAUUUUCCCAAGUAAUUAAAAAGAUAAAAUUACUAGAUAAAAUAAAAUAAAAUAAAAUAACUAUAGGAUGAGAUAAGGGUUCCUAAUAAACUGAAACUCUUACCCAAACCACCUACUAGUAGGUAGUGCUAGGUUUAGGAUUUUAUUGAAACCUUAACAAGAAAAAUAACACCCUCCUUGCCUUUCUUUCGUCUGCCUCCCUAGAGCAAGAGCCGUCAGAGAAUAGAGAAGGAGAAGCAGGUGACACUGUCAAUCGAUCAGACGACUAGGCACAUAAACCUGUAAGUCCCGAGUUCACGUAAAAUUCCUCUUUUAAGUUUUAAUAGUUGAAUUAAUUGUCCUAGAAAUUUUACGAAUAUGGAUUGUUGCUAUAUAUAUGUAGACAUAUAUAUUUUUAGGAAGAUUUAUAAGUGGAUAUGUAGGAAUAGGGUGUUAGAUUUGAAUCUGUGAGUAAAUAGGUUGCCCAAAUCUGGUGCAGGAAAAACAAAAACAAAACAAAAAAAAGGGAAGAGAAGAGCUGCUGCUCUGUUUUGGCUAGGCGUUGCAGCAACGCCGCACACACAAAAAGGAAAGAGUGGGGGGCCGCCAUCUCUGGCGGCAGAGAAAGAAUUUGCAAAAGUUGGCAUUUCGGCCAACCCAUCACCGAAGCAAAAAAAAAAAAAAAAAAAAAAAAUAUUGAAUAUGAUGUCGCCAGCACUUGCUGGCAACAAUGAACAAAAAGUCAUGGUUCGCCUUUUGGCCAACCAAUGGAAGCAAAGGGUCGCCAGCAAGUCUGGCGACCAUGGUCAGACAACUGGUUGGCCAUGGGUUCAACCCGAGGACGGAGAAAAUUUGGCAAAUUAGACAGGGGCCAAAAUAUAAUAUAAAAUGUAGUAAAUGUGUAAUAAAUUAUAAAUUAUAGCUUAUCGUGGGUAUUAAAAAUUCAGGACCCAAUUUAAAAUAAUUGUUAGAAUUGAAAGGUUAGUCAUGUAAAAUUAUACUUAGUUAAUUACGUAUAAGAUACUUAAAUGGAAAUCUAAAAACAUUAACUCCAUUUGGACUAGCUGAUUUUAAGGGUGUUUUUGAAAAAAUUUACUGUAACAGUGUAUAUGAAAAAUUUUUACUUUAAAAUUUUUUUUGAAGUAUAUUUGAUAUAUUGUAUAGACGAAAUGUUUUUUGAAUUAUUGCAUAUUACUGUAACAUUGUAUUUGAAAAACUUGUUUUUGAAAAAUGGUCAAUCCAAACAGAGCGAUUGUAAUUUAGUCGUAUUAAGCCAAAUUGGACAAGGUGAGAUAAGUUUUAAAUGGCUAAACGAAAUGCUUAAAAUAAUAAUAAUAAUAAUGCUGAUAAUAAUACUAAUAAUAACACUAAUGAUAAUAAUCCUAGUAGUAAAUAAUAAUGUUGACGAUAACACUAAUAAUAACGAUAACAAUAAUAAUGAAUAAUUAUAAAUUAUAAAUAUGUAUAAUAAGAUAAUAGUCAAGAUAAUAAACAUGAUUAGGAAUAAUUAUUUUCUUUUAAAUUAUAAAACUUUACAAAAAGGCAAACUUUCCAAAUUAAGAAACUUUCUAAAAAUAGAAACUUUCCAAAUUAGAAAACUUUCCAAAAAUGGGAAUCGUCCAAUUUAGGGAAAAUGCUGUUAGGGUUCAUACAAUGGUCUAGACACGAAUAUUCGACUUACUCAGAGUUUGUAUGUUAUGUAUUUAUAGGAAAUAACAACUAAUUAGGAAGCUUAUGCAUUUGAUAGGUACGGUACCAGUUUAAGAGAUCUAAGGUAGUUCUACUCGAGCAGUCAAACGAAGGUAGGUGGUACUUACCCUUCUGAGAUUUCAAAGGUGCAAAAAUGAAAGUUUUGUUUUCAAUCUUGUUUUGUUGUGUUGACUCGAAACAUAUUUGAUUAAAUGUUUUACUUGGGUAUUGAUGAAGGUUAUAUUUUUACUAUAUAAAAAUGGACCAUGUGACUUAUUUGAAAUGUUUUGAUAUGUUAUUAUAUACCAAACGAGUUGAAUCUUUUAUGAAAUCAAAGAUUUAUGUAUAUGACGUGUGGAAUGAAUUUUUGACAAGUAAAACUCAAAACAGUCAUGGAAUAGACGGUAGGGGCUAUAGUCCUGCUUAAUCGUCAUGGUAGUCUAGUAUAAAGUCCGACCGAUUGACAAGGUCAUGGUAGUCUGGUAUAGAGUCCGACCGAUUGACAAAACCAUGGUAGCCUGGUAUAAAAUCCGGCCGAUUGGCAAGGUCAUGGUAGCCUGGUAUAAAGUCCGGCCGAUUGACCCAUGUAUGAAAAGAGGCCAAUCGGUAGUCAUGAAAUCUAUUGGUCGCCCACCUAGAAGGGGUUUAAUCUCUAAACUGAGUACUCAAUAGCCGAUCAUCACAUGUACUUGUUAUGAGUUAAUAUGAAAUGAUUUAUGAGUUAAUAUGAAAUGAUUUAUGAGUUGAUAUAGAAUGAUUUAUGAACUGAUCUGAAAUGAGACCUAUAAACUGAUUUGUGAAUUGAUUUAUGAGUGGAUAUGAAGAGACUUGUGAAUUGAGAUGAAAUGAUUUAUGACUUAUGAUUUUCCAUAUUCAUUUAUCAAUAGGGUGCUUUUAAAUUGCUUGCCACUUGUUACUACUGAUUGCUUUAUAAACGACGUUACUUUCAAAAUUAUGGAUGUGAUUGAUGCCCAAAUGAUUUGCUACGUAUCUAUAUGUAUGUAUCUAUAAAAUUACGAGUACAUGGUCCAACAGAGGGGUAGUUAUUACCUACUGGGUGAUUUGUCGCUCAACUCACUUUUUAUCAUUCUUGCAGAUUCUGAAGAGUAUGAGUUGGUUUACGUAGAAGACCCUGAGGACGACUUUUAUUAGCUUUAAGUGAAUAGAAGUUGGCAGGCUAGCUACUUCUAGUUGUUAGUCUUAUUUAUUUUCGAUUCCGCUGUUUCCAUUAAAAAAUAAAUAUACGAACAUAUUGGAUAUUCGUAGAUUACAUUUUUAUGAGAUUUGUACCGCAUUUUAUUUUAGUUAUAUUAUUUCGUACUUUUGAAGUUUAGACUAGUUAAAUGAUGCCUUGUAUUCUUGAGCGGGAUUUGAGAAUACGGCAAGAUGUCACGUGACGGGCACGUGCGGGCUCGGGGCAUGACAUUUUUAGUGGUAUCAAAGCUUAGGUUUUAUGAUCUGGAAGUGUGAGAAAUGAUGUGUGGAUAUUAAUGAUCUUGGAGAUGGAAAGGAGAUGCAAAACAGAUCAAGAGAUUCCUAUGAUAUUUAGUGGUAUUAUAGCUCAAGUUGUGAUAGAAUGAAGUAGGUGUAAAGAUACUGGAGAUAUUUGUGAUUUUGAGAAUUGGAAUGAAAUGGAUAAGGGAUUAAAAGAAAAUUAGUGACUCCAUAACAUUUAAUGGUAUUAGAAUUUUAGGUUACGAAUUUACUGGAAUGACCUCAGGUAUUGAGAUGGUGAUUACUUUUAGUAAGUAAGUGGUGACUAAAUGUAUAUGUUAAGUUGAAAAGGUAACCAAGCCCACUUGCCAAAUAUGAUUGACACUUACAAAAAAUAAUAAUAAUAAUAAAAGGGUAUUUAGGGUGUUCUUUUUGUAAGUUUUGAUCUCUAUAGUACAUUUGAAGUUUAUCAUUUACAUGUCAGAUUUAUGGAUGAUCUUAUGUCUAGUUGAAGUCUAGUAAAGAGAAAACUGAAAAUAUUGAGGAAAUUAGAGUGCACAACGAGAGUAUAAAUGAUCAACAAUAUGAUGUCAUCGAAUGCAAGCAAUAUACGUUGGAUCUUGGAAUUUUGUUGACUUAUUUUGAGGUUUACGAUAAUUAGAUCUAAUGCUCAAGACAUUUAUUAAAUUAGUUGAUAUUAUUAGUUCUGGUAUUAUUACAUCAUGAUCAGGCAAGACAUAUUUUAUAAAUUUCUUACAGUAUAUAACUUUACAUAAUUUUUACCUAAAAAUGAAUAAACGGUGAAACCAAAAUUUUAUUUGCACAAAUAGUUUUUAAUCAGAAUUUUUAAAUAUGUACCUUUACCUUACAGUUGCUUGGUAAGUUUAGUUUAUAAAUAUAUAUGUAUAUAUAUCUAUAAGAAAAAAAUAAAUACAUUGAAUAAUUAUAUCCUACAAUCUUGUGCAAAAUGUUUUUUUUAUACUCACCCAAUCUCAAAAGAGCUUUAGAUAUAUGUAUUCUACAAAAAAAAAAUUUAUCGUAUAGAAAAAUCUAACAAUAAUUCUUGAUAAAUUCUCUUUGUACUCUAAGUUCUAAUAGUAUUAGAAGUACAAUUAGUUGACUUAUGUUUCAAACACUGGUAGGCUUCUAAACUUGUGUGAGUUUGAAAUUCUAUGCAUAGAUAAUACUUUACCAAGGUUAUGAUAAAAUUAUUAAUCUCCUAUAUGAGAAUUUGGUGAUAAUUUUUGUACAAAAUUUUCUAUAUUUUUGUAUGACCAAGAAGUUUGUGAAAUGAUAUUUGAGAUAUUAAUGUUUUCAGAAAUUGAAUUGAGUUAGGAAAAAGAAAAUGACCAAAGGAAAUAAGAUUCCCAUGGCAUUUAGUGGUAAAUAACUCAAGUUAUAGGAUCUGGAAAUAGGAGUGAUGCUAUUUGAGGUAUUAUUGAUCUUUUUGGAAUUUGAAAUGAGGUAAAUAUGAGAUUUGAGGGAAGUAAAGGAUUUGCAUCACCAAUUACAAAUACAGUGGGCAAGAACCCAUAUAUCGAGAUAAGGACUACUUUUGCGAUAGUGGAUAAGUAAGUUGUGAUAGAAUGUGUGACAAAAGAAGAAAUGGUACUGUUAGUGUUUAUGGCAUCCUUUCUAUAGGUUGAUCUCUAUAGAGCGGUAUAAGUCGAUAUUUAAAAUGUUGGAUUUGUGAGAGAUAUUAUGUUCGUCUGCGCUAUAUAACUAUGAAGAUGGGAGGUAUAAGGAAAAAUAAGAGUGCGUAGCAGAAGCUUGAUGGAAUUAAAUAAGGAAAUCCAAUUUAGACAUUAUAGGAAUAAUCUCCAAGAUGUAUUGCAAGAACAUUGGGAAUUUUGUUAACUUAUUUUGAUGUUUAUAUCUUGUAGGUUUCGAGAUGUUUAUAUUUUGUUAACUUAUUUAAAAGGGGGAGAGAAUGUGAUAUCUUGUCUAAAAAUGAAUUAUGAAAGUAGUGUCGAAUUAGGACCCUAAAUUCACGUUUAGAUUUUAGUCGACCUAUCAAGAGAUUAUGGAGACUGAUAUCUAAGACUAAAUACCGUCUUCCACCCUCAGAUGAUGGACAGUCGGAAAAGACCAUACAAACUCUGGAAGACAUGCUCCGAGCCUGUGCACUAGACUUCGCAGAUAGUUGGGAUAGGUUGGUGAAACUAAUGGAGUUCUCGUACAAUAAUAGCUAUCAUAGCAGUAUAGGUAUGGCACCGUUUGAAGCGUUGUAUGGACGAAAGUGUAGAUCCCCCUUAUAUUGGGAUGAAAUAGGUGAGAAACUGAUCACUGGCCCUGAUUUGGUGGAACGAACUUUGGAGAAAAUUAAGAUUAUUCGGAAAAGAUUAAAAGUAGCUCAGGACCAAAACAAGAGUUGGGCGGAUUCAAAAAGGAGACCUUUGCAGUUCCAACAGGGAGAAAAGGUAUAUUUGAAAGUAUCCCUUACCAAGGGAGUGUUGGGAUUUGGACGAAGUGGUAAGUUAAGUCCGAGGUAUGUAGGACCUUACGAAAUACUGGAUAGAAUUAGACCUCUAGUGUAUCGACUGGCUCUCCCACCUGUUUUGUCAAGGAUACAUAAUGUUUUUCAUGUCUCCCAACUGAGGAGGUAUGUAUCAAACCCGAGCCAUAUUUUGGAGGACUAGCCCGUCGAGGUGAGGGAGAACUUAUCAGUGGAGGAAGUUCCUUUAAGAAUCAUGGAUCGGAAGGACCACACCCUAUGUCAAGGUGCAAUGGACGAAUCAUACACCACGAGAGGAAACGUGGGAGUUAGAAGAGGACAUGCGGAAUAGAUACCCAUAUCUUUUUGAUCAAGGUACGUAAGUUUCAAGAACGAAACUUUUUGUAAGCGGGGUAGAAUGUAAAACCCACAAUUUUUGGCACCGAUUUUUGUUAUUUUAUUUUCCCAAGUAAUUAAAAAGAUAAAAUUACUAGAUAAAAUAAAAUAAAAUAAAAUAACUAUAGGAUGAGAUAAGGGUUCCUAAUAAACUGAAACUCUUACCCAAACCACCUACUAGUAGGUAGUGCUAGGUUUAGGAUUUUAUUGAAACCUUAACAAGAAAAAUAACACCCUCCUUGCCUUUCUUUCGUCUGCCUCCCUAGAGCAAGAGCCGUCAGAGAAUAAAGAAGGAGAAGCAGGCGACACCGUCAAUCGAUUAGACGACUAGGCACCUAAACCUGUAAGUCCCGAGUUCACGCAAAAUUCCUCUUUUAAGUUUUAGUAGUUGAAUUAAUUGCCCUAGAAAUUUUACGAAUAUGGAUUGUUGCUAUAUAUAUGUAGAUAUAUAUAUUUUUAGGAAAAUUCAUAGGUGCAUCCGAAUGAAUAGGGUGUUAGAUUUGAAUCUGUGAGUAAAUAGGUUGCCCAAAUCUGGUGCAAGAAAAACAAAAACAAAAACAAAAACAAAAAAAAAGGGAAGAGAAGAGCAGCGGCUGCUGCCGUUGCUUUGUUUUGGCUAGGCGUUGCAGCAACACCGCACACACAAAAAGGGAAGAGUGGGGGGCUGCCAUCUCUGGCGGCAGAGAAAGAAUUUGCAAAAGUUGGCAUUUCGGCCAACCCAACACCGAAGCAAAAAAAAAAAAAAAUUGAAGAGGAUGUCGCCAGCACUUGCUGGCAACAAUGAACAAAAGUCAUGGUUGGCCUUUUGGCCAACCAAUGGAAGCAAAGGGUCGCCAGCAAGUCUGGCGACCAUGGUCAGACAACUGGUUGGCCUUUUGGCCAACCAUGGGUUCAACCCGAGGACGGAGAAAAUUUGGUAAAUUAUACAGGGGCCAAAAUAUAAUAUAAAAUGUAGUAAAUGUGUAAUAAAUUAUAAAUUAUAGUUUAUCAUGGGUAUUAAAAAUUCAGGACCCAAUUUAAAAUAAUUGUUAGAAUUGAAAGGUUAGUCAUGUAAAAUUAUACUUAGUUAAUUACGUAUAGGAUACUUAAAUGAAAAUCUAAAAACAUUGUAAUUUAGUCGUAUUAAGCCAAAUUGGACAAGGUGAGAUAAGUUUUAAAUGGUUAAACGAAAUGCUUAAAAUAUUAAUAAUAAUAAUGCUGAUAAUAAUACUAAUAAUAACACUAAUGAUAAUAAUCCUAGUAGUAAAUAAUAAUGUUGACGAUAACACUAAUCAUAAUGAUAACAAUAAUAAUGAAUAAUUAUAAAUUAUAAAUGUGUAUAAUAAGAUAAUAGUCAAGAUAAUAAACAUGAUUAGGAAUAAUUAUUUUCUUUUAAAUUAUAAAACUUUACAAAAAGGUGAACUUUCCAAAUUAAGAAAUUUUCUAAAAAUAGAAACUUUCCAAAAAUGGAAAUUGUCCAAUUUAGGGAAAAUGCUGUUAGGGUUCAUACAAUGGUCUAGACACGAAUCUUCGACUUACUUAGAGUUUGUAUGUUAUGUAUUUAUAGGAAAUAACAACUAAUUAGGAAGCCUAUGCAUUUGAUGGGUACGAUACCAGUUUAAGAGACCUAUGGUAGUUCCACUCGAGCAGCCAGACGAAGGUAGGUGGUACUUACCCUUUUGAGAUUUCAAAGGUGCAAAAAUGAAAGUUUUGUUUUCAAUCUUGUUUUGUUGUGUUGACUCGAAACAUAUUUGAUUAAAUGUUUUACUUGGGUAUUGAUGAAGGUUAUAUUUUUACUAUACAAAAAUGGACCAUGUGACUUAUUUGAAAUGUUUUGAAAUGUUAUUAUAUACCAAACGAGUUGAAUCUUUUAUGAAAUCAAAGAUUUAUGUAUAUGACGUGUGGAAUGAAUUUUUGAUAAGUAAAGCUCAAAACAGUCAUGGAAUAGACGGUAGGGGCUAUAGUCUUGCUUAAUCGUCAUGGUAGCCUGGUAUAAAAUCCGAUCGAUUGACAAGGUCAUGGUAGCCUGGUAUAGAGUCCGGCCGAUUGACAAAACCAUGGUAACCUGGUAUAAAGUCCGGCCGAUUGAUCCAUGUAUGAAAAGAGGCCAAUCGGUAGUCAUGAAACCUAUUGGUUGCCCACCUAGAAGGGGUUUAAUCUCUAGGCUGAGUAUUCAGUAGCCGAUCAUCACAUGUACUUGUUAUGAGCUAAUAUGAAAUGAUUUAUGAGCUAAUAUGAAAUGAUUUAUGAGUUGAUAUGGAAGAAUUUAUGAACUGAUCUAAAAUGAGACCUAUGAACCGAUUUGUGAAUUGAUUUAUGAGUGGAUAUGAAGAGACUUGUGAAUUGAGAUGAAAUGAUUUAUGACUUAUGAUUUUCCAUAUUCAUUUAUCAAUAGGGUGCUUUUAAAUUGCUUGCCACUUGUUACUACUGAUUGCUUUAUAAACGACGUUACUUUCAAAAUUAUGGAUGUGAUUGAUACGCAAAUGAUUUGCUAUGUAUCUUUAUGUAUGUAUCUAUAAAAUUACGAGUACAUGGUCCAACAGAGGGGUAGUUAUUACCUACUGGGCGAUUUGUCGCUCAACCCACUUUUUACCAUCCUUGCAGAUUCUGAAGAGUAUGAGUUGGUUUACGUAGAAGACCCUGAGGACGACUUUCAUUAGCUUUAAGUGAAUAGAAGUUGACAGGCUAGCUACUUCUAGUUGUUAGUCUUAUUUAUUUUCGAUUCCGCUAUUUCCAUUAGAAAAUAAAUGUACGAACAUAUUGGAUAUUCGUAGACUACUUUUUUAUGAGAUUUGUACCGCACUUUAUUUUAGUUAUAUUAUUUCGUACUUUUGAAGUUUAGACUAGUAAAUGAUGCCUUGUAUUCUUAAGCGGGAUUUGAGAAUACGGCGGAUGUCAUGUGACGGGCACGUGCGGGCUCGGGGCGUGACAUGAACUAUCAUCCGAAAGAAUAUACAACUCAAACUAUUAAUAUUAAGUUAUAAUUCAAAAAGAUAUACAGAAGCUAAAAUGAAUUUGGCUUAAUGCCAUUUCUCACCAGGUAAUUUAAUAUUUUGUCCUUCCUUCCAUGUGAUCGUGGGGGAGGUUUAAGCUUCAAAGGUCAAAGCUCAAAACUCCAAGUUGAUUGACUAUUUCAAAAUUUCAAUUGCAUGCUUUGCAUAUCGAUGCAGAUCAAAUCUAUUUUUUUCUGCAAUUAAAGGUAGAAUAUCAUUCGACUAUUACCAUUAUCAUCAGCAGAUAACAUUCUGAUAAGCAUUGCUUUGUUAAUUGUGCUACCACAACUGAGGAUAAUGCUAAUUGGUGUAUACAAUCAAUGCUUCAUGCCUCCUCAAUAAAACUAGUUACAGGGGGGAGAUGGGAGCAAAGAGCAAAUAACAGAAAUUUAUUGUGGUACCUAAGGAUAAAUUAAUAUACCAAACAUCAAUAUUAGAUAUCCACUGGCUGGAUCUUUACUGAAUAAAUCAGUAUAAGGUCCAUAUUUAUACUGGAAAGGAUAGGUAAAGAGGGUGUCUAACCAGAAUGUGGAAUAGCAACUGCAAACAGAGGAUUUUUUCUAUGGAUAGUGAGACCAGUGGAUUCAGACUUGUCCAAAUCCUUUGGUUCAAUUCCAUCAGGCAAUGCAAAAUCAAACUUGUGUACCAAUUUUGCUAACUCGUUAACGGCCACAGCAAAGGUAGUACCCGGGCAACCCCUUCUUCCAGCUCCAAAUGGAAUUAACUCAAAGUUAAAACCUCGAAAAUCGAUUGUACUGUUCAAGAACCUCUCUGGCUGAAAUUCUUCAGGCUGAUUCCAAAGCGAUGGAUCUCGUGCAAUCGCCCAAGCGUUCACCAUUACUCGUGUCCCUGCCGGUAUAUCAUACCCCAUAAGUUUAACGUGUUGUGUUGAUUCUCGAGGAACGAGUAGUGGGAUUGGCGUAUGAAGUCGUAAAGUCUCCUUGAUCACUGCUUUUAAGUAGUCCAUUUUGUCUAGAUCAUCCUCAGUGAUUUCUGGUUUUCCUUGAGUGAUAGGGUGUUAAUUGCUAGUAAUUUUGUUGUUAAUUUCCCCUUUUAUUCUUGCCAAAUAUUGUUUUAAUUAUUAAUAUUUACUUAUAUUUGGUAUUGGAACUUAAUUUCAGGAACAAAACAGAAAAUUACCAAAAAGGAGGGACUUUUAUGGGAAAUGGAGACUUCUAAGGACCUUGGACUCUUGAAUUGGUGGGGACCACAAGCUAGUGAAAGGCAUUUAGUCAUUUUGGCCUUUCAAAGAAAGCAACGUAGAGAGACUUGGACCAAGAAGUAAUUUGGAGGCUUUGUCCACAUGUGUGGGAACCACAGGAAAUAGCUUUUAGGCUUCUUUCUUUUGGCUUUUUAAGGGAAGACGUACAGAAGCAAAAGGAGAUCUUUUUUUUUUUAGACGGCUCUAGUUUAGCUUUCAGGAUAGCUUUAGUUUUUCUUUCUUCUCACUGGCCUCUGACACACGCCAGGUGUUUGACAAUAUUCCCCAACGGAAAAAACACCAUUUAUCCCUUGUUUUCUGGUAAAAAACCGCAAUGCCUUUGCAAUCCAUUAAUUCGUGUGGUGAUUUAAUUAUGCGGCGUGGUUAAGCCUUCCUUCUAGCCGAGGGAUCAACUGACGAAUUGGUUCAACGUUUACUGUGAGAUCUAAACCGUUUUUAAUUAUUUUCUUCAUUUAUUGGUAUUUAUAUGUUCCCUGAUUUUAAUUGUUAUAGCCUUAUGUAUGAUUGAUUAGUGCGCAAUAAUUGAUUAUUCACGUAGGCUAUUUUGCUAAAUAGAGGUAAUUGAAUCCGUAAUUGUUCGUUAUCUCUACCUUAGUAGCAACUGGCGUAAUUGGGAUUAUGUCAGGGGAGCAUACGAUCUAGCUUAAACAAACCCUCGUAGCGUGUUUGUUAGUUAGGAUUGGGCCUUUCUAAUUAUUAAUGCAAUCUAGAAAUUAAAUCCUACGGUCGUACCUAGGAUUGUUUUUGGGUUAGAGAAAUAGCUAACGGUCGUACCUUAGCUAUCGAUAAAUUAAGGAAGGGUUGGUUGUUUAGCGCGUGCGAGACAACUAUAACCAAUCUAUUAAUAAAUAUUGGAAUUAUCUGUGAUUCGAUGAUCAGUGCAUGAAUCAUUUCUGAAGUGUACCCUUGGCUAGAGUUUCUCCAAUUAUUUCUUCAAAUUAAUUAUUUUCUGCAGUUACUUUAUUUUUAGCAUUUAAUCGUGAAAACCCCCAUUUGUCUUGAUUCGAAAAGGAAUAAAUUUCUCUCCAGUCCCUGAGGAGACGACCCUACUUACCACUGUCUACUAGUUAGUGAAUUCAGUUAAAUAAUUAAUUCAAGUAUAUCGGAUUAAGCAAAUUCUUCGGGAAUAGGGUGAAUCAAGUAACCCAUUGCACACCUAGAGUCCCUGCUCCAGUACUAGAAUUGAUUAUUGACUGCUUCAGGUGGUAGUUAGGUUUUAUUUAUUAUUAUUGCACAGGUUCGGCACCUGUCAAUUUUUGGCGCCGUUGCCGGGGACUGGCGUCUGAAUUAUUUGUUUCUUUUUGAAUUCAGUUUUUUUUAUUUAUUUUGUUUUAUUUUAUUUUUCUUGAUAUUUUUGCUAGUUUAUGCCCCGUUCUUCUCGCACAGGUGAAUUGAUAUACGAUCCUGGGGUUGAGAAGGCAGCGCGUAGGCGAAGACAAGAACCCAAGAGACGAAAAGAAGGGCACUUAUCUUGUGCAAACGAGUCAGUAGAAGACGAAUUUAGCAUGGCCAACACCCAGACAUUAAGGGAGCUGGCUACCACAGACCUGACUCAUCAGCCCUUGUGCAUCACGUUCCCAACUCUGGCUGAAAAUACUUCUUUCGAGCUGAAAUUGGGGUUGAUUCAGCUCCUGCCUUCGUUCCAUGGUCUUUCUGGUGAAGAACCCCACAAACAUGUCAAGGAAUUCGAAAUAGUUUGCUCUAGCAUGAAACCUCCUGGGGUCACUGAGGAGCAAAUAAGACUGAGAGCCUUCCCCUUCUCUCUCAAGGAUGCAGCGAAGGAUUGGCUAUACUACCUACCUGCAGGUAGUAUCACCACGUGGGCACAAUUGAAAAAGAAAUUCCUCGAAAAAUUUUUCCCUGCAUCCCGGGUUGCGAGUUUGAGGAAGGAGAUUUGCAGCAUCAAGCAGUACUCCGGGGAGUCCUUGUACAACUAUUGGGAAAGGUUCAACAAGUUGUGCACUAGAUGUCCACAGCAUCAAAUUAGUGAACAAUUGUUGAUCCAGUAUUUCUAUGAAGGGCUCCAGUCAACUGACAGGAGUAUUAUUGACGCUGUGAGUGGAGGAGCCCUGGCAAAUAAAACACCGAGAGAGGCAUGGGAGCUCAUUGAAGCCAUGGCAGAGAACUCUCAGCAGUUUGGCUACCGUGAGAGUAACCCCCCUCGAAGGGUUAACGAGGUAGAAACGUCAUCCAUACAGCAGCAACUGUCAGAGUUGACGUCUGCUGUCAGGCAAUUAGCCAUGAGGGACACACCGCGAGCGAAGGUGUGUGGCAUCUGCACUAGCAUGGAUCACUGCACGGACACGUGCCCCAUUUUGCAAGAGGACGGGACGGAACAUGUAAACAUGGCCGGAGGCGUGCUCGCGCCCCGCAGGCAGUAUGACCCGUAUUCCAACACAUACAACCCCGGUUGGAGAGACCAUCCCAAUUUCAGUUAUGGGAACCGACCGCAAAAUUCACUCUCAAAUCGCCCACCAGGGUUUCAGCAACCAUGGCAGCAAAAGUCUCAACCUUUGUCCGCAAAUUCAAGUAGCUCUCUGGAGGAUAUUGUCAAGAGUCUGGCUACGACUACCGCCCAGAUCCAGCAAGAGACUAGACAGCUCCAGCAGGAGACUAGGUCAUUGACCACGAAUAUGGCUCAACUCCAGCAAGAAACUAGAGCCUUAACCCUGAGCACCACGCAGUUCCAGCAGGACACCAGAGCAGGCAUGAAGGAUAUGGAUGCUCGAAUAAGCCAAUUGGCCACUGCGAUAAAUCGCCUGGAGUCCCACGCUCAUGGAAAAUUGCCAUCUCAACCCGAGGUGAAUCCUAGGAAUGUAAGUGCUAUGACACUGAGGAGUGGCAAGGAACUGGAAGAGCCUAAAGUGAAAAAUUCAAAAAGCAAAAGUGAGGAGGAGAUAGAAAAGGAAAUUGAAGAGGAAGGAUGUAUCCGAGAAGAUCCUAAGGUAACCUUCACUUCUCCACCCACUACUACAUCUAACUUACCUCCUUUUCCUUCCAGGUUAGCGAAGACAAGGAAAGUAGAGAAGGAAAAACAACUUUUGGAUGUGUUCAGGAAAGUAGAGAUUAACAUCCCCUUACUGGAUGCAAUCAAGCAGAUACCGAAAUAUGCCAAAUUUUUGAAGGACUUGUGCACCCACAAGAGGAAGCUAAGGGGAGAUGAACGAGUGGCGGUGGGAGAAAACGUGUCAGCCAUGCUCCAAAGGAAACUCUCGCCAAAAUGUGGAGACCCAGGUAUGUUCACCAUUCCCUGCAAGAUAGGAGGUGCCUCGAUUAGGAAGGCAAUGUUGGAUUUAGGGGCGUCAAUCAAUGUAAUGCCUAAAACAAUUUAUACGUCCCUUAAUCUUGGUCCAUUAAAAGGCACAGGCAUUAUAAUCCAACUUGCAGACCGUACCAAUGCUUACCCAAAAGGGUUAGUUGAAGAUGUUUUGGUGCAGGUCAAUGAGUUAGUUUUUCCUGUAGAUUUCUAUGUCCUAGACAUGGGGGAUGAAAGGGCACUAAAUCCGUCUCCUAUUUUGUUAGGUAGGCCAUUUUUAAGCACUGUUAGGACGAAAAUAGAUGUAAAUGAGGGUACUUUUUCGAUGGAGUUUGAUGGAAAAAUUGUAAAUUUUAAUAUUUUUGAUGCGAUGAAGUACCCAGAUGAGACUAACUCUGUUUAUGCUUAAAGUGUUGUCGAGCCCCUUGUGCAGAAAAUAUUUGAAUUGGAUGGGGUUGAUGCACUGACAGUGGCAUUAGCCAAACAUCUUGAGUUGGGAGCAACUCCUGAUGUAGAAUUGAGUGAUGAGUUAUACCGGGCUGUUGGAGAACUGCAUUCGCUCCCACCAAUUUCUCCAAGGUAUGAGCUUACUUCUGUCUUUGUACCAGAAACUCAGGCAAGGUUGUUGCCGUCUAUUGUGCAGGCACCUGAAUUGGAGCUCAAACCUCUCCCAAAGCAUCUGAAGUAUGCUUUUCUCGGGGACAAGGAGACACUGCCAGUCAUCAUAUCUGCACAUCUAUCACCAAGGCAAGAAGACAACCUGAUUCGUCUUCUUCGAGAUCAUAAGGAGGCGAUUGGGUGGAGUGUAGCAGAUAUCAAACGAAUUAGCCCCUCCUUAUGCAUGCAUCGGAUCCGGCUUGAGGAUGAUGCAAAGCCAGUUAGACAAGCGCAACGGAGAUUGAACCCACUAAUGAUGGAAGUGGUGAAGAAGGAGAUACUUAAACUCCUAGAGGUGGGGAUCAUCUUCGCCAUCUCAUAUAGUCCUUGGGUGAGCCCCGUGCAAGUAAUCUCGAAAAAGGCGGGAGUAACUGUUGAGGAGAACCAAGAGGGUGAGAUGGUCCCGGUGAGGAAACCCACAGGAUGGCGCCAGUGCAUUGAUUACCGGCGUCUGAAUGCUGUGACAAAGAAGGACCACUUCCCUCUGUCUUUUAUUGAUUAGAUGAUAGAAAGGUUAGCUGGCCGUGUCUAUUAUUAUUUUCUUGACGGUUUCUCUAGUUAUUUUCAGAUCGCAAUAGCACCAGAGGAUCAGGAGAAAACUACCUUCACCGAGGAUCAGGAGAAAACUACCUUCACCUGCCCCUUUGGUACAUUUGUCUACCGGAGGAUGCCUUUCGGCCUCUGCAACGCCCCAGCAACUUUUCAGAGGUGUAUGGUAAGUAUAUUCUCCGAGUACGUAGAAAAGAUUAUUGAGGUGUUUAUGGAUGAUUUUAGUGUGUAUGGAGAUAGUUUUGAUGAAAGCCUUGAUGAUUUAGCUUUAAUUUUGAAAAGAUGCAUUGAGACAAAUUUGGUUCUGAAUUUGGAAAAAUGUCAUUUCAUGAUGGAUCAUGGCAUUGUUUUAGGGCAUGUAGUGUCGGCCAGAGGUAUAGAGGUAGACAAGGCAAAAGUCGAUAUUAUUUCUGCUUUACUUUACCCCGCAAGUGUGCGGGAGGUGCGCUCCUUUUUGGGUCAUGCAGGGUUCUACAGGAGAUUCAUCAAAGAUUUCUCCAAAAUUGGAGCGCCCCUGUUCAAACUGUUGCAAAAAGAUGUAGUAUAUGACUUCACCGAGGAGUGCAAGGUGGCAUUUGACAGAUUAAGGGAGUCAUUGACAUCACCACCUGUUAUCCAACCUCUAGACUGGAGCAUCCCGUUUGAGAUAAUGUGUGACGCGAGUGACUAUGCAGUGGGAGCGGUGCUGGGGCAACGGAUUGGCAGGGCUGCACAUGCAAUCUACUAUGCAUCAAAAGCGUUGAAUGGAGCUCAGCUCAACUACUCUACAACAGAGAAAGAAUUACUUGCUGUGGUUUUUGCAUUAGAAAAAUUUAGACCUUAUUUGUUAGGUGCAAAAGUAAUAGUUUUUUCUGAUCAUGCAGCCUUAAGGUACUUGAUGACGAAGAAGGACGCUAAACCAAGGCUUAUCAGAUGGAUCCUGCUUCUUCAAGAGUUCAACUUGGAGAUUAAGGAUAAAAGUGGGGCAGAAAACUUAGUCGCUGAUCACUUGAGCCGCUUACUUGCUCAUAAGGAGGAGCCACCAUUGAGGGAGGCAUUUCCAGAGGAGCAACUACUUGCCAUUAACUCGUCUACACCCUGGUAUGCUGAUAUAGUAAACUUCUUAGUGACCAAUCAAUUGCCUGCAGGGUGGCCAAAGGCUAAGAGAGACAGGUUGAAGAGUGAUGCUAAAUAUUACAUCUGGGACGACCCGUACCUGUGGAGACAAUGUUCAGAUCAAGUUAUAAGAAGAUGUGUAAAUGCGGGUGAAUUUCACUCUAUUUUGAAUUUCUGUCAUUCAUUUGCAUGUGGGGGGCAUUUUGGGCCCAAGCGAACAGCUCGCAAAGUGUUAGAGAGUGGCUUUUACUGGCCUUCCCUUUUUAAAGAUUCGUAUUUAUUUUGCAAAUCCUGUGAUAGGUGUCAAAGGGUGGGGAAUAUUUUUCGUAGGGACCAAAUGCUUCAAACCCCCAUGUUGUUUGUUGAAUUUUUUGAUGUUUGGGGGAUAGAUUUUAUGGGUCCUUUUCCCUCGUCUUUUGGUUUCCUAUACAUUUUACUUGCUGUAGAUUAUGUCUCUAAAUGGGUGGAAGCCAAAGCCACCUGUACUAAUGAUUCUAGAGUGGUUGCAGAGUUCUUAAAAUCUAAUAUCUUUGUCCGUUUUGGAAUGCCAAGAGCUGUGGUUAGUGAUAGAGGGACACAUUUCUGCAACAAGACUAUCACUGCCUUGUUUCGAAAAUACGGUGUACUCCAUAAGGUAUCCACACCGUAUCACCCGCAGGCAAACGGUCAGGCCGAAGUGUCAAAUAGGGAAAUCAAGUCAAUCUUGGAAAAGAUGGUGCGUCCGGAUAGGAAGGAUUGGAGUUUAAAGCUAGAAGACGCACUAUGGGCGUACAGAACCGCGUAUAAGACGCCGAUUGGGAUGUCUCCGUAUAGACUUGUCUUCGGUAAGGCUUGCCAUCUCCCCGUGGAGUUCGAACACAAGGCGUUUUGGAUAGUGAAACAGUGUAACAUGGGAUUAGACGAAACAGGGGUCCAAAGGAAAUUGCAACUACAAGAGUUAGAGGAGAUAAGAAAUGAAGCGUAUGAGAAUGCCACGAUCUAUAAGGAAAAGAGUAAAAUCUUUCAUGAUCAACAGGUUUCCAGAAAAUCUUUUGUAGUGGGGACAAAAGUCCUCUUGUAUCACUCGAGGCUUAAACUUUUUCCCGGUAAGUUGCGUUCUCGUUGGAUUGGUCCAUUUGUCGUUUCUAAUGUGCUUCAUUAUGGUGCAGUAGAGAUUCAAAGUUUAAAAACGGAGAAAAAGUUCGUGGUGAAUGGCCACCGUCUCAAACCUUGUUAUGAGGGGUUCUCUGUUGAAAAAGUAGAAGUUGAACACCUCCAAGAUCCACUUUAUCAUGCUUGAGGGUUUUGGCCAUGUCUAGCCAAAGACAUUAAAGAAAGGCGCUACUUGGGAGGCAACCCAAGACUAUUUGUUUCAGUUUUCAUGCAUUUUUGAAGUUUUAGUUAAGUAUUAGUGUCAAUUAAUAGUUUGAUGUUUGGUGACAGGGAAUUGGCAGUUAGACGUGCCCACGCCAGGUGGUCACGCCUGAGGGAAGGAAAUUUUCGUUCAGGAUCUGCGGACUCUAUAGCAGUUAGACGUGCCCACGCCAGGUGGUCACGCCUGAGGGAAAGAAAUUUUCGUUCAGGUUCUGCGGACUCUAUAGCAGUUAAGCGUGCCCACGCCAGGUGGUCACGCCUAAGGGGAAGAAAUUUCGUGUAGGUUCUGAGGACUCUAUAGCAGUUGAGCGUGCCCACGCCUGAGACAGGAGUUGCUUGUUUUUAAAAAAAAAAAAAAAAAGGGGUGAAAAGACGAAAUUGCCCUUACCAAAUGUAAAAAAAAAAAAGGCUAAACAAUUUUUCAAAGGGCACGAAACCCUACUCUCUUCUUCUUUCCUCUUUCUUCUUCUUCUUCCUCCUUUUUUUCUCCUUGUCCGCCGCCGCCACCCUGCAAGCCGCCGGAUCGCCGCAAGCCACACGGCCGCCCAUCGCGCCUGCUGCCCAGCCGCGCCUCGCCACCAGCAGAGCUCCAAUAACCAUCAGGCGUUCCUCCUCCCGCGCCGCACGACAGCCGCGCGCCUCCUCCGCGGCCAGCGCGCGACCAUCUGGGCAGGAGCCCCUGCGCGCCUGUUCAUCCUAGCAGCAGCACUAGGUCAGGCCCGCACACCCCAGCCUGCAUUCUGCGCGAUUUCCAGCUUCUGCACUCCAGCGCAGCCCAACACCACAGCCACAGCAGCCCGCGGACGUCGCGCGCCUCCUCCGCGCAACAGGCUAGACGACCUCCAUUUCUGCGCAGUCUGCGCGCGCGAUCCACGUGCGUGACCCAGCCAGCGCGCCAACUCACCCACUCAGCGCGCGACCAGAGGAGCAGCAGCCAGCUAGCUCCCGCGAACCAGCCACGCGCAACGAGGGGCAAUCGCGCGCCGCCUUUCUCCUUCUCUAGCGCCACCUGCGUUCUUUUUCUUUUCCACCCAUAGCAACUACCGGUUAUUCCCCCUGGUGAUUUCUUUCUUUAAUUUUCUGUCACUAUGUAGCUGAGGCCAGAUUACUAGCUUUUAUUAGCUGAUGCCAAAUUUUAAUUUCGUAGCUGAGGCCAGAUUGUUGAUUUGCUAGCUGAGGACAGAAAUUUUGUGCUUGUUUAGGUGUGUGGUAUAUAUAUCUGUGGUUGAUUGCUGACUAAUUGUUAAAUUUUGUCUUCAACCAGUGAUAUUUGGGGGAAGUUCUUAUUUGGGUUGCUAAUUUAAUUAAUUUCUGGGGGAAUUUUGUUGUGUUGCCUAACUAAUUGGUUUUUGAGUUGAAUUGGUAGUGUUUGGGAAAAUUUUGAUGUUUACAGGUUUAAUUAGUUUCUGGAGUGAGUUUAUUGUCCGUUUUUGCACUUGCCUGUGAUUGGAUGCUGUGACUGGGGAUCAUUUGCUUGGGUGGUUGUUUGUUGACAUAUUUUGAACGCCGUUUCUUUGCCUUUGUCUUGUCCACUGAUAUCCAAUGACCAAACCCAGACCCAAAGGCAAGAACAAGCCUUCCACUUCCACCCCUCAGCCUACGGUCCCCUUAGGGGGACCUGCCCCCUCGACUGAGCCAGGAGGGCCCCGUACCCGCCUUGGACGGAAUAGGGAGGUUCAUAUCUCCUCUCCCGCCCACUUUGACGGCAAUUUGACCUUCACCCGGGCUGCCGACAAGGAGCGGUAUGCCUCGGCUUGCACAAGGAAGAUUAUUCCUUGUAAAUACAUCCAUGGCCCUACACUUGAUAUGCUAAACCUGAGGGAUGAGGUCACGCAGCACUUGACUAACGUAGGCUGGACCCGCUAUGCUUCUAUCAUUUUACCUGCCUUCACUGAACUGACGUGGGAAUUUUAUGCUACUUUUGAGUUUAAUAUUCCUGAUGAAUUCUCCGUUACCACUCCUGGGGUAGUGAGGUUUCGAUUGAUGGGUAGGGAGUUUAACCAAUCUAUCACUGAGUUUAAUUUGGCUCUUAGGUUUAUUGAUAUUCCCUACUCCCAGAGUGAGGAGUAUAUGCACAGUGUGUGCGAGUACUCGGAGCCAUUUUUCUCUCAUUACAUUGAUUAUUGGAGAGAGUUGUCGGUUGACCGACACUGCUAUGACCCCAGUCAGUCUAAGGCUUCUUAUCUUAAGAGCGCCGCCUACCGUUAUUUACAUAGAUUCAUGGCCUAUAGUUUCUCAGGUAGGAAGGAUAGCUCGGGUACUAUGACCAAGCCCGAGUUCUUUUUCGUUUGGUGCAUGGUCACUCGGACUAGGGUCAAUUUGGGUAGCUGGUUUGCCCUCCACCUCCGAACUGUGCUAAGUAAGAAAAAUAAGCCAUUAAUCUUAGGCUCAUUUAUCACUCAGUUGGCUGUAAAUCUUGGGGUUUUGGACUUAAAUAAUCAUAACUUGCAUCGUGCUUGUACUAUGGAACCCCUCGAUUUGGUUUGUUUGGAAAAAAUGGGUCUUGUGAGACAGGUGGCGGGCGUUUUUCAGUUUGCUCCCCCGGGGCCAAUCUCCGUUCCUCCAAAGCGCAGAGCUUCCAAAACCGCUGACCCGGAGGCUGGUGGUCCUUCUACGGAUGCCCCCGGACCAUCCUCUUCGGCACCUCUACCAUCUUCCUCCGUCGAUAGCCAGCUUGCAGCUCUUCGAUUCCAGAUGCAGCACAUGGACACUCGCAUGGAGCGGAUGGAGUGUCAAAUAGCCGGCAUGGCUCAGAAUUUAGCAGAAUACCUCCACCACGUGGGUUUCCGCCCACCGUGCCCUCCACAACCUUAGUCCACCUCUGCCCUCCGCCGUAUUAAGGGAAGUGUUGUUGCCUUUCUCGUUUUAUUUUCAUCUUUAUCCGCUUCCAUUGAGGACAAUGAAAGGUUUAGGUGUGGGGGAGGGUUAAUUAUGCAUUAGUUGUGCUUUGAACUGUUUUAUGUGCAUUUUCCUUGCCUUAGUAGUUCCUUUCUUUAAACUGUGAUGACUGCAAUUGAGAUAUGAGUACGAGUAGUAAGUUCAUACCAUUGGGUGCUCUAUUUACCUCGAUGAUGGAUUGAUUGAUGAAUAUGCUGAAUUUGGCAUGAAUUUGAUCACUUAUGCGAUUUUUGGGCCUAAUUUUUCGUUUGUUGAGUGAUUAGUGCACAUGGUUUGUCAUUCUAGAACUUGCUCGAUUAUGCAUGUCAAUACCACAUUUAAAUGAGUUUAAUGCAUUGAAAUGAUAGGGCACCUAGGAAUGAGCCAUUUUUGGACUUUCUUAAAACCAAGCCUUGGAUUAUUUAUCACUAGGGAGCCAAGUUGAGCCUUAACCCUUAUUCUUCGCUUGAGACCCUAGUUUUAGCUGUAAAACCUCUUUUUAGACUUUCUUUUUGAACCUCGUGUGAAGAAGUGCUUUGAUUUCAUUAUACAGAAUUUUGGAGUAUUAUUUGAGAGGCAUUGCACCUAUCUAUGAAAAAAAGGGAAAAUGUGAAAAGAAGACAAAGUGCAGGAAAUCAGCAAGUAAAGUUGAUUUUUAUGGUGCUGGUUGGGAGUUAUAGAAAAAACAAUAAAAAACAAAAAAAAAACAAAAAAACAAAAGAAAAAAAAAAGAAAAAAAGAAAAAAAGAAGGGGAGUAGAUGAAUGAAAAGAUGAGAAAAGGCGAAGGUUGUGGCAAGUGCUAAUUCACUUCACUUGUGUGAUGGUUGAGAUGCCUUUAAGUUUCAAAUGUGCAAGAAUCUAUGUAAUGAAUUUCUGGGCACUUAUUUUAUACUUUUACACCAUUUUGACUCCUUUUUAUCCUACCUUCUCACCCUAACCCCAUUACAACCUUUUAAAGUCCCUUGAUUGCUGCAUUUAAAUUCAUAAGUAAGUGGUGGAGAUAUGAUAUAUGAGCAAGCUUAUGGUAGUGUCAUUCUAUUGUGUUGAUCUGAGAGUUAUCUUAUAUACAUCUCAUAUACAUUUUGGAGUGAUUGAGUGCACUUUAAACGGUGAGAAUUGUUGAUUUGGUAUACUCUGAUUUCGAUGAGGUUAUUGGGGAAUUUGGAAUGCCAUUCUUGGUAUGAACUGCUGUGGUUUGCUUAGUAUCUUUAUUGCAUUUCUGAGUUAAUCAUGCUUGAGGGCAAGCAUGAUUUAGGUGUGGGGGGAAUUGAUAGGGUGUUAAUUGCUAGUAAUUUUGUUGUUAAUUUUCCCUUUUAUUCUUGCCAAAUAUUGUUUUAAUUAUUAAUAUUUACUUAUAUUUGGUAUUGGGACUUAAUUUCAGGAACAAAGCAGAAAAUUACCAAAAAGGAGGGACUUUUAUGGGAAAUGGAGACUUCUAAGGACCUUGGACUCUUGAAUUAGUAGGGACCACAAGCUAGUGAAAGGCAUUUAGUCAUUUUGGCCUUUCAAAGAAAGCAACGUAGAGAGACUUGGACCAAGAAGUAAUUUGGAGGCUUUGUCCACAUGUGUGGGGACCACAGGAAAUAGCUUUUAGGCUUCUUUCUUUUGGCUUUUUAAGGGAAGACGUACAGAAGCAAAAGGAGAUCUUUUUUUUUUAGACGGCUCUAGUUUAGCUUUCAGGAUAGCUUUAGUUUUUCUUUCUUCUCACUGGCCUCUGACACACGCCAGGUGUUUGACAAUAUUUCCCAACGGGAAAAACACCAUUUAUCCCUUGUUUUCUGGUAAAAAACCGCAAUGCCUUUGCAAUCCAUUAAUUCGUGUGAUGAUUUAAUUAUGCGGCGUGGUUAAGCCUUCCUUCUAGCCGAGGGAUCAACUGACGAAUUGGUUCAACGUUUACUGUGAGAUCUAAACCGUUUUUAAUUAUUUUCUUCAUUUAUUGGUAUUUAUAUGUUCCCUGAUUUUAAUUGUUAUAGCCUUAUGUAUGAUUGAUUAGUGCGCAAUAAUUGAUUAUUCACGUAGGCUAUUUUGCUAAAUAGAGGUAAUUGAAUCCGUAAUUGUUCGUUAUCUCUACCUUAGUAGCAACUGGCGUAAUUGGGAUUAUGUCAGGGGAGCAUACGAUCUAGCUUAAACAAACCCUCGUAGCGUGUUUGUUAGUUAGGAUUGGGCCUUUCUAAUUAUUAAUGCAAUCUAAAAAUUAAAUCCUACGGUCGUACCUAUGAUUGUUUUUGGGUUAGAGAAAUAGCUAACGGUCGUACCUUAGCUAUCGAUAAAUUAAGGAAGGGUUGGUUGUUUAGCGCGUGCGAGACAACUAUAACCAAUCUAUUAAUAAAUGUUGGAAUUAUCUGUGAUUCGAUGAUCAGUGCAUGAACCAUUUCUGAAGUGUACCCUUGGCUAGAGUUUCUCCAAUUAUUUCUUCAAAUUAAUUAUUUUCUGCAGUUACUUUAUUUUUAGCAUUUAAUCGUGAAAACCCCCAUUUGUCUUGAUUCGAAAAGGAAUAAAUUUCUCUCCAGUCCCUGAGGAGACGACCCUGCUUACCACUGUCUACUAGUUAGUGAAUUCAGUUAAAUAAUUAAUUCAAGUAUAUCGGAUUAAGCAAACUCUUCGGGAAUAGGUUGAAUCAAGUAACCCAUUGCACACCUAGAGUCCCUGCUCCAGUACUAGAAUUGAUUAUUGACUGCUUCAGGUGGUAGUUAGGUUUUAUUUAUUAUUAUUACACAGGUUCGGCACCUGUCAUUGAGCUACUUGUCUCACCUCAGUCUGCAAUUUCUCCAAGAUUUUUGGGUGCCUCAAGAGUUCGGUCAUUGCCCAAUCCAUAACUGUGUGUGUUGUAUCAGUCCCAGCAGCGAACAUGUUCUAAUCAUAGAAAGUGAAGAAGAAAAACAGAUGUUGUUUAAUUGAAAAAGAAAAUGUCAUUGAAAGUUGAGAAACUAAUAUGAGGAAAACAUUUGUAAGAAGUUUAGCUCAUCAAUGGUGAACAUCAUUAAAUACAGAUAAAACAGUUUGGUUUGGCAUUGUAUCAAUUGAUGUGUUAAAGCUGAAGUAUGUAAUAUUCCUCAGCCUGCUAAUAUACAAAUAAGUGGUGCAUAAUACAUACUGCAUACUGAAUUUUAGUUGUAUACACAGUUCAUCAAAUAGUAUAAUUUUGUUCUACCUUCGAACAAGCUAAAACCUUCAUGGUUGAAAUUUCUGUAGGAAAAGCUCUACUUGUUAAUGCCUAUGAUCCUUUAUCCAAAUGUACUUAUCCGUGGAAUGAAUUACUAUGAAAAACCGUCCAACAUGCAAACCAGUAGAGAGGAAAGUAAUUCAUUGAAAAUUCUUUAGCAGACCCAUCUGCUUGGCAAUAAAUUUACACUUAUUUUCAAAAGUGUGUUCAACUACAUAUUAUUGUUAUUGUACUGGCUUCUAACAUGUAUGUGUGAGAUAGAAAAUAAUUGGAGAACGUAUUUUCAAGAUUAAAUUUGUGAAAACCAUCGCCAUCCAAACUAACCUUUAUUCAUUUAAAAAAGUAGACACAAAUUACACUUUAACUCGCUGUGGUUUAGUACUUUUUUAUAUAACUUCCCUAUAAUUUCGAAAACUAUACAUAACCCCCCUCAUGAUUUGGACUAAAAUGUCAAAGUGACGGAAUUUGUAAUCCAUAACGGAAUCAACUAAAAUAUCAAAAAUACUCCAAUGUAAAGUUAAAAAUUAUUUAUUAACCACAUGAGGGUUAUGUAUAUAUUUUGAAAUCCAUAAGGGGGUUAUAUGGUAAAGUACUAAAGUAUAAUGGGGUUAUAUAAUAAAACAUAAAAUUAUAUGGGGUUAAAGUAUCCUGCAUAUUAUGUUUCUAUAUUUUGAUCAUUUCAACCAUUUUAGUUUUUAAAUGAGGCUAAUUUUGAUAUUUUCAUAGGUUCCGUUAUGAAUGAUAAUUUCUUUCACUUUGACACUUUAAUCAAAAUUAUAAAAAGAGUUAUAUAUAACUUUUAAAACUAUAGGGAGUUAUGUGAAAAAUAACUAUACCGCAUAGGGGCAAACUGUAUUUUGUCCAAAAACUAGUUUGAAUAAUUGGUGCUCAUUAAGAGGGGGUUCAAGUAUUAGUUCUUUUUAAAAUGUGUAGUUAAUUUGAAAAAGUGUCUAAAUGCAAAAAUAUGCAAUAAUUGUGAUUGUGUAAAUUCACAUGAUAAAUUAUUUGUAAUUUAAAUGUAUUAAAUCAAUACUCACUGGACAACCAUUAGAAAAAUCUUUAAAAUUGAAUAAUAAAAUGAAGGUAUUCCAAGUUUAGAUCAGCUAUACACAAAAAGAUUUUCAAGAAAAGAGAGAUGGCAUUAAGCCAGUACGGUAGGAUAGCCUAAUGAGUUUAUGGUUGGAGUACCUAUAAACAAGAUUUCUUACCAAAAUGAUUGCUUUGAGACUGUCAAGUUCGAGUAUAAAGCCUGUCGACUUUUCCCCCUGAAUUUCAAGCAAGAUAUCCACCAAAUCUGAGCCUUUUCCCUCUAUACUAUCAUCAGUGUUAGCCUUUCCAUUUUUCCUAUCUUUGUGCUCCUUAAUGACACCCUCCAGAAAUUCAUCAAGUUGCUUAACAACUUUGUCCACUUUAUCAUCCAAAUCAUUAAGAUGUCUCAACCAUCCAAGCCAUGGAACAAAAUCUCCUAUAUCAAUAGUACCUAACAACUCAACAAAUUCCUUCAUGAUUUGCAUACUUUUGCUUCCAUCUUCCCUAUCACUGUACUUCCUCCCCAAGGCCACCCUACAAAUCACAUCAUUUGUGAGUGUCAUAAGAAGAUCACUCAAGUUUAUGGCUGAUAAAGGUGGCGAAGAAGCCGAAAAAUUUCUAAUUUUUUCAACCAUAAGUGAAGUCUCUUCCUCUCUUACAAAUCGAAAUGAUUGAACCCUCUUAUGACUUAGAAGCUGAAGCACACAAAUACUUCUCACUUGCCUCCAAUACUCACCGUAAGGUGAUGCUGCGAUAACCUUGCUGCCAUAUAGAAGCCUAUCACUCAUGCUUGUUUUAGGCCUGUUAGCAAAGACUAAAUCAUGGGUUCUCAGGAUUUCACAAGCUGCAUCAGCUGAAGAGGCAAUAACCACGGGCUUGCUACCAAAAUGAACCAGCAUGAGGGAACCAUAUUUUCUUGAUAAUGAUUGAAGUUUGCGGUGAGGAUAUAGCCCGAGUUUGAAAAGAUUUCCAACAACUGGAAACUUUGAUGGAGAAGGUGGUAGCCUUUGUUGGGGUUUAGAAGAAGCAUAGAACCGUAAGAAAAGGGCUAGAAGUAGCAAAGCCACGGGAAGAAGAGAGGAAAAUGUAAGAUCCAAAAUAAACGCCAUUACAUGCUACUCGAAAAUUGGAGAAAGGGCCAAAUCAAGAAAGCACAAGUUGAUUGUUGCUGCUACAAUUGGCUAUGUAUAUGCCUACUUGAUUAAGCCGAAAAGGAUCACCAGAACCUGCUUCUGUUCUGAUGAUCCUUGAAAUUUCACUUUGUGACGGUUGCAAAUGCAUCCUCAGUAAAUGAAUCAAAGAGCCACAUUGGAAACAAUAUCUAUAGGGCCUGGCCGAUUAUUUUGACUUUAGUGGCUGUACUGGAAGAACAAAUUUUGGAUGAUAAGUCCUACUCGUAAGCAAAUUCCAAAAAUUGGAUUGGACUUAUAUUCGCACCAUCAUACAUGUUGAAAUUGAUUAAGCACUUGGCAUUUGAGCUAUUAGUUUAGACAUUUUACAUCUAAAGAUUAGGGCAAAUUACACUUUAUCUCCAGUAAUUUAGUAUUUUUUUACAUAACCCCCUAUAGUUUCGAAAGCUAUACAUAAUUCCCUCAUAAUUUGUAUUAAAGUGUCAAAGUGGCGAAAAUGAUUAUUCGUAACGGAAUCAGCUAAAAUGCCAAAAAUAUUCUUAUAUAAAGUUGAAAAUUAUUUAUUAAUCAAGGGGGUUAUGCAUAUAUUUUGAAAAACAUAAGGGUUAUAUGGUAAAAUAUUAAAUCAUAAGGGGGUUAUAUAGUAAAUUAUAAAAUCAUACGGGGUUAGUAUGUCAUGUAUUUAUAAAGGUAAUUUUGACAUUUUUAAAAGUUUCGUUACGAAUGACCAUUACCGUCACUUUGACACUUUAAUUCAAACCAUGAGGGAGUUAUAUAUAGCUUUUAAAACUGUAGGAGAAUUAUGUAAGAAAAUGCUAAAUCACAGAGGGGUAAAGUAUAAUUUGUCCUAAAGAUUAUAUGACGUGGCACUUUGCUAGCAUAAUUUACUCAUUCACAAAAAGUUUGGGGAAAAAAAAAGAUCUCGUGCAAUCUUCAAAUUCCCAUUCAAUCUCCAAAAUCAUGUCAACACAAAUCUCACGGUGAUUAAAGCUAAUACUAAACAGAAAUCUUUGUUCGGAAGUUAACAAAGACUUUGGGGGAUGUAACUUCAGUAUGCAAAUGCGAAAUAUACCAUGAAUGAAUAUGAUUACCAACAUAACUUUUGGAGUCCAGAAGAAGCAUAGGAUUUUUGAAGAGGUCAAGCAUAGGAUUAAAACCAAACGAAGAAUUGAAGAGAGCAAAUUAAAAUAUCCAAAACUAAUGGGAUUUUGCUUCUUGCAAUUAGUGUUACACGAUUCUUCAGUGCCAUUGAUUUGAAAGAUCAGCAAUAAAACUGAAAAGGUUAUUGAUAGGCUUUUAGAUUGUGGUUAUGAAUAAUUUGGACGAGAAGCCCUUAAGUGUGGGCUCACUCUUGACCCGUCAAAAGUUCCAUAUGUCUUUCGGAAGAUGGCAAAGGUUAUCUUAUUGAUUUGCUUUCAUCCAAUUCCACACACCUAGUAUCAUUUAUGAUCUUGAAAUUAGCAGCAAAAAUAACAAAAAAAAAGGGGAAAGGUUUAUUUCCCUCUCGAAUAUUAAUAAUAUCAAUGUCACUGUAAAGCUUAACUAAUACGAUUAAAAUUAAUGCAGGCUAAAUAUAACAGGCAAGACAAUUUACAUAAGUUCUCAACUUGAUCUUGUAAAACUUGCCCUAGGACAUGCUAAACUUCUCUGUGCCAGGAGAGACACUAAGGCGAAUAUGGAGUGGCAACAAGAAGUAUAGGAAGUUUCCUAUGCACAUCGAUGCCACCAGCUUCAGUCAUGUCCAUGUCCUCUGGUUUUCCUCCAUCAGGCAAGGCAUAGUCAAAUUUGUGCAGUAAUUUUGCUAAUGCAAGUUCAUUGAUAGCCAAAUUUGUGCAGUAAUUUUGCUAAUGCAAGUUCAUUGAUAGCCAUGGCAAAGGUCUUACCGGGGCAUCCCCUUCAGCCGGCACCAAAUGGGAUCAACUCAAACCUCGAAAAUCUAUAUAAACCAACAUUCAGAAAUCUCUCUGGCUGAAAUUCCUCGGGCUUCUCCCAAUUGCCGCCCAUCCGUUGACGAUUACUCGUGUUCGAAUCGGUAUAUCAUACCCCAUUACUUUGAUGUCUCGAGGAACUAGAAAUGGAACUGAGAAAUGAAGCCGCAGAGUUUCCUUAAUUACUAGCUUUAAACACUGCAUUUUGUCAAAAUCGUCCUCAGUUAUCUCUGAUUUUCCUUGGCCUACAGCUCUGACCUCAUUUUGCAAUUUCUCCAUGACCUUGGGGUCUCUUAGAAGCUCUACCAUCACCCAUUCGAUGACUGUAUGAGUGGUAUCCGUUCCAGCUCAAACAUGUCCUAAUCAUGCAAAGUAGAAGCCAAUUGUGAAUAAGUUGAUGUAAAGCGCAGUUUUAUAUAUUAUAUGCCUUAAAGAGUGGUGACUCUUACCAUGAUCACGUGGGAUCCUUAAUCCAAUGUUGGACUUAUAUGUGAAUAAUUAUAUAUUAUAAAUUAUCAAAUAAGGUUAAAUCCAAUUAAAAUAAUCAAUUAUGAUUUGGGUUUUAAUAUAUCUAAUAUGAUGUAAGCCUUUAAUGUGUAGUAAUUUAAGGGUAAUUUCUAUUUCUAUGAUGGGUUGAAAUAGAAAUCUAAAAAAUAACAGAAAAGUUAUCUAUAAAUAAGGUUAUGAUCUCUGAGUCACAUGUAUUCUUAUUUGUUAUAUUUUUAGUACCACAAAAUAACUCUUUUCUGAUAUCCCAUCGUUAGGAAAGAUAUCAAAAAGAAAUUAAAGAGCUCUCUCAAGGGAUUAGCGAAUACUUGUUGACCUAGAAGACUAUUUCAAAAUCUCUAAGGAUUCAAGUGGCAGUUAGUCAACAUGAAUCCAGGUACACUUCCACAAUUUUACUGUUAAUUUAUUUCUUAAAAAUUACCAUAAAAAUUUUGGACUUAAUAGGUGAUGGUUUUCAUCAAAAUUUAAUGACAAGUAUCGAGCCUGUGCAAUAAUAAUUACCUGCUCGAAGAAAAUAUAAUUUUUGUGUAUAGCGGUGAGCAGGGUCGAAUCCACAGAGACUGGAGGAGAAUUUGUUUCUUCUAGAGUACGGAAAGCGGGGGAUUUUUAUAAAAUCAAGAAUAAUUAAACAACUCAAACAGAGAUAAAAAUCAAUAAAUAACCAAUUAAUAAAAAUAAUUCACGAAAGUAAGCAGGAAUUAAAUCGAUGGUAGACAAUCUCUAGUCAAAUAUACAACCUCGCAAACACAGUCCAUUUAUCCGAUCAUUGAUGAAAAGAUGGUUUGCUCAAUUCAUUAACAGGUUAGUUAUAGUCGCCAACAAGCUCUGACGACCAACUUUUCCUUAGUUUAUGGAUGACCAAGGUACGACCAUUAAUCACCCCUAACCAAAAAAUAACCCUAAAUAUGACCGUAGAAUUCAAUUUUUCAAUUGCCUUAAGAAUUAGAAAAGCUUAACCCUAAUCAAUAACACACUAAGAGGUUAUUUAAAUUAGAUUGCGUAUUCCCCUAACGUGUGUAAACGCCAGUUACCACUAAUAUUAAUCGACUAAACAAUUACAGAUUUAGUGAUUAAUUUGUCAGUAGAUUAUUAGGUUAUUUUGAAUAUCGGGCUCUAGACAUUCAGUUAACGAAAUAAUCUCUAGAAAUUAAAAUAGAGAAUACACAAAUAUCAAUAAAUUGGAGAAACGAGUUGAGAUUAGUUCGAUCUCACAGAUAUUCAAGAUGACGUCGUUGAGUUGAUCUCUGACUAGAUUAGGAAUUUAGCCACACCCCAUAGAGAAAUUUUCACGCGAAUUAGUAGAAUUCAUGAACAUCCAAUCUUGUUCCUUAAACAAUGUAAUAUGUUUCAUGCAAAAAGAGUAAAGGAACGAAGAAGGAAUUAUCUACUGUCUUGUGGCCUCCAAAAAGGACGAAAAGAGAAUGUCCCUAAUCUAAACAAUGACUAGUCUUUAUUCUCGUCUAUCUCCUCGUCGAAUAAGGAAAAGAAAAAAAAAAGAUAAAGCAACUCCCCAAUGUUCCUUGUUUCUUGUUUCCUAAUACUAGUAAACUACUAGUCACGAAAGGAAAGGAAUUGAUUUAGCACAUCUUGCAGCCGGAUUUGCAAAGAUUCUCGAAGCUUCCUACGUGCACAGCUUGUUAUUAAGAAAGUCUCCCUUUUUAGCAUUUUUCUGCCCCGCCUCCUGUAAUUAGGUCCAAAUACUAAAUAUAAGUAUAACUCAAUAAUUAAAACAAUAUUUGGUGAGGGUAAAAAGGAAAAUUAAUCAUAAAUUUCAUAACAAAUUACGUCCUAUCAGUUAAUAUAAACAAUCACCAUCAAUUAAUAUGAUUGAUUAUUAAAAAAUAAUUUGGUAUUAAUAAUUCAUAGUUUUCAAGUUAUUUUUAAUUAGAAUUAUUUUUGUUUUGAUUGUGCGGUGGUUAACAAUCUUGAAUUGUGGUUUUAAUGUAAUUUGUUUGCUUAUAUUUUCGGUAAAUUUGCACUGUCCAAUUCAUUGCUUUUAGUUACAUAUAAAUCCAUGGGUUUGUCGAAAUUAAUAAGCAUGAUGCACAAUAUUUGUGGUUUUAAGUACAGAUAUUUGCUUUGCUUGUUAUGAUUAGUUGGUACAUGGCUCAAAUACACAUGGUUCCAGGAUCUCGCAUGCUUGUCUUGUUUGAUUGUUGAAUUUUGUGAACCUCUUGAUAUGUUGGCACAAGUCAUAAUAUGUGGAACCCACAUACUUUCCAUGAUAUAAAUUAGGGAUAAUAUCAGAAACCUCCCCUGAGGUUUCUUCAAAUAUCACUUAGCUCCCCCCACAUUUUAGAAAUCUCUCUUACCAUCCCUCAAGUGAUAAUGGGUCAACAGUCAACAAGAAAUCUAAUCAGUUGCCAAUAAUACCCUUUGCUUUGCUGUUAACUUAUUCAGCUGAUAAAAUGCAAAAUAUGACUGAGAGAGCAAGCAUGGAACUGUAUAAAGCCCGGGAAAGCAUUGCCGCCUAGAAGCUGAGUUCUGUACGAAUUGCAUGGCGCCAUUUUGUUCUGAUAAGACAUCUAAUAGCCCGGGAAAUGAAGAGGAAUGAGAUACUACUUAUAACUGUGAUUGUUAUUUGAUAGUAUCUUUCUGGAAAUUGGUCCAUGGAUAUUGCAGAGGAGGAGAAAUAUUGCAAAGUAUUGAAUUGCAUGCGUUCGGUUGGAGUGAAAGUGAUUUUGUCAAAACUGAGCUGCACAACAGGUAAAAAUCUUCCAUUGCUAGUUGAUAUGAUCAACAUGUAGAAGGAGAACUUGUCGAGUGCCAUGAACUGUUCUUCAUCAGUUGCCUAUAAUAUCUCUGUUUUCUUGUGUUUUUUUGUUUUGUUGGACUUGCUCUGGCUGAGUUCUAUUGGUAGUUGAUAUGAUGAACAUGUAACAGGACAAAAUACAGGUGUCAUGAACUGUUCUUCAUGAUUUGCCUUUAAUAUCUCAGUUUUCCUUGUGUUUUUAUGGUUUAUUGGACUUGAUGACCAAGUUUAACAUCCAACCAGAGCCUUUGUAUGUGAUCCUUAUAUUAAGUAUUGUUAAUGUUGGAUGCUGUAAAGAAUGUCUGAUUUGAUGAACUAUGCUUGACCUUUAUUUUAUUGGUUCAAAAAAUUUGAUGAAUAUUGAGUUGAAGCUAAGCUGUAAUACAUAAGAACAGCUUAGCUUUGUAGCUUAACUUUGUAGCUUAGCUUUGCAACCUGAGUUUGACUUUGAUUAAGCAUGCGUGUGUUAUACUAUGUCCCUUGUGAGAAUAUGUGAUCCUUAUAGCUAUUGAUUCAAACUUUUCUUGCGAACACACUGAUAUGUAGGAUAGGAAGAAUUAUUGCACAUGAUAUUCUAGUCCAUUACAUGGGAAACACUGUCAGAAUUCCAAAUGUCGAUCCAAAGAACUACCAAUAUAUUGACCUUCUUGGUGAUGUCACUGAUAAGGCAAUGAAUGAUUUGCCUAGAAAUUUGAACAUGCUUGUGCAUAUGAAAUGUGUGAUUCCUAGGACAACAGGCUUUAUAGACAUCAGUAGUGACAAAUCAGUCCUUGAUAUGUUCAAACUUCAUGAAAAUGAUCUUGUUAUAAACUUGUACUUGCUGCACCUGGAUAUUAUUCCUACUACAGAGUAGAAUAUGGUAGACUAUAGGAAUAACCAACUUAUUGUGGCACAGAAAGACAUAGGAAUCGAAAAUGCUCCCAUUCGUGUAGUUGACAGUGAGGGUGAUGAUAAGAUUUAUGCUUCUAGUUCUGAUGACUCUUGGAAGGAUGACAUAGAUAGCGACUUGGAAGAUGUCGUAGCUAAAGAUAGGGCCUUAAUUUCUAGUAGUGAUAAGGAGGAAAAUGACUUGUCUGAUUAUGAGGAGAUAGAGGAUGCACCAGUUGUCCCUGAUUCAGAAUCUGACUAAGAGACUGAUCCUAUGAGAGCAAUCAUGCAGUCAAAAAUGUGGACUUACAAUCCAAGAGAGGACAUUGAGUUUGAGAAAGGGAUGCUAUUUACCAAUGUGAUGCAUUUAGAGCAGUGUUGAAGGACUAUGCUAUUCAGAAAAGAUUUCCAUUGGUGAGGUUGAAAAAUGAAAGAGCAGGUGCACUGUCAAGUGUGGUGCUGAGGGGUGUAGCUGGAGGAUUCAUGCAUCCCCAGUUUGUGGCGACCCCACUUCCCCCUAAGGCGAACCAGAGGGUUGGCGGGCCGUCUGCCCAACUCUCGCCAGGACUCAUGCAAGCACACUAACCCAAAUCCUUCCGAAGAUUUACCUCAUCUAUUACAAAGACGAUUCUCCCGAAAAAAAAAAUUACUAGGUCCACAUUAGCUCCAAAGAUAACCGUAAUUUAAAAUAGCCAGUCGACGGCUCCUAAACAUCUCACGCGUUACAUCCAAGGAAUAAGGUCGUACAAUUCCGGAUAUACAAUUUCAUACUCCACAAUUACAAACAUACAAGCCAAACAUUCGAACUAGGGUUUACACAUUUUCCAGUUUCAAGUGGCAAUCCAAAACCAAAAGUACGUUGUUUAAAUUGAAGCACAAUAGAAUCCACAAAAGAAGCCAUAAUAUUCAUUUACAUCCCAAAAAGAAACAUAGAUAAGUUUCAAGGCUUUCAAUUGCCAGAACCUGUCAAGGAAAACAAAUAAAUGUGGGGUGAGCUAAAGCUCAGUGGUGCCCCAAAACAUGCAAUUAAAUAAAACAACUAACACGUAUUGAUUUCGGCUGAAGUAAACAACUAGGAAAGCGCAUAACAGUAGAAAGUAGGAUACGGGGACUCUCAGGAGCCAUUUUCCGCGCUUGAUCAAAAUUUACCGUAGUUGACCCUCCGUCAACUCUCACUACUUACGGUCCAUGUAGAACUCCUUAUUUUACUUAACUCCGGCCACCGAUCAUACCCCAACUCCGGGCCCGCACGACAAAAUAAAUGAGAGCGGUAGUACUCGAGUAUACCCCCUGGAUAAACUAGUCGAGGGAUUCACCCAACGACGUCACAAACUAGUCGAGGGAUUUACCCAACGACGUCACAACACUUGAGAUAUUCACGAAAACAUUUCACGCAAGUCACCACUCGAACGGCUAGUGUGAUAAAGUACACACUGCUCACUUCGAUGGAUCAGAAACCAUUUUUGCGAUUACCACAUAUCAAGUCAAGGAAGCACUUUAACCAAAUAAGCAUAGAACAGGACACUUACCAAGAGUGAAGUUACUGAUCAAGCUGGGAAUCAAAGUCUGCGUUCUCGUUAAACCCUAAAAAAAAUACCAAAUUUUAAAACUAUAAGCUGGCUAUACUAGUUCCAGGAUUACGUAGGAAAAAUUAUUCGUAGUAUAGCUAGUUUAUUUUCUUGGAAUAAGUCAACAAACCAUGUAGUUUUAAAACUAGUAAAAUACUUUGUAAAGUUUCCUUAAUAUUACUUUUUCUUGUAAAAGUGUUACUAGAACUAAUUUACUUGAAAUAAGGUUUCUUGCCGAACAAGUUUUCUACGCUUUUAGCUAAAGUCACUACAAUCUCGUAUUUUGGAAAUUUUCCUCUAGAAAACUAGCCAGGGACAAUUUUUUUUUAACGAAAGAAAAGGAAUUAAAGCAAGGCUUGAGUUUUUGAACCGGGUGAAAUCAUUUCCUAAAAGUAGUAAGGCUAAUUUAAGCUUAAGUAGGAAACGUCGAGUCGGCAAGGUUUAGAAAAUCCUUACGCAAGAAUUUCUAACUUAAACGUACGAUACUAAGUUUUAUCGUUUACUGCUAAGCACAACUAUAUUUAAAUAAUUUACUUAAAACAUUCUCGAGUUCACAAGGUCGGAACGAGUUUCACAAUUUCGAUUCCACUUCGAAAUCACAUUAUAACUCAAAUUUGCCAACGCAUCAGAAUCACAUUUCAAUAGCAAGUCACUAGGGCUUCGUCAAUCAUUAGCCCUAGGUUUCAAUAAAUUCAUUUCUGAUCAAGAAUAAAAUAAAUGAUCAAGGGUUCAUCAAUCAUUAGCACUUGGUUUUGGCAAGCUCAUAUCACAUUUCAACUUAAUCAAAAUAAAUAUAAGGCCUCCAAGCAAUUCCAGUCGUUAAAUUUCAUCACACUUUAACACUUGUAUAAAAUCAUUCAAACGGCCAAGGGCUUCAUCAAUCAUUAGCCCUUAACAUCCAACAAUUAUUUCUUAUAACAAUAUAGCCAACAUUUCAACCAAACUUUUAUUGUUCAGAAACAAGGGUAACUUAAACAUUUUCCAGCAAUUGUUAUUCCAAACUAUCAAGAAUUCCAUCUCAACAUUUUAACCAUAGUAUAAUCAAAUUGUUAUCCCAAGGUGUACCUGCAUAACCCUCUUAAUAUUUCUUAAAGUGAAAUCAAUGGGCAUAAAAUAUUUUACAGCUCGAAACAGCAGUUUUAGAACUGAAAUUCGCCAAUGAACUCUGAAAAAUUCCUUUACUACUUCCGUUACUUCAAUUAAUUUUUUUUUCUUGUUUAAACCAAUCAAUUUUCUUCAUACAGAGUUUAAUUAUCUUGUUAUUAACUAGCUGAUCGUGUUUAUAAGUUCAAAACAACAAGGUUAACCAAGUAAAGCUGCGAUAUUCAGGAUCAAGCUCUCGGUAAAUCUAAUUUCUUGCGCACAUCAGAGUUUCUUUUUCUAAAUCACUCAUCCGAAUGCCUAACAUCAACAUGCAUGUUCCUAGAUGGCUUAAUCUUCUUGUUUUUGAUUGGUUAAACACAUAAUUAAGCUCAGAUUGUCACAGGUAAAUAAAUCAAGAGUUGCAUUAUCACUUCCCCUCUCGGCCAAACCCAUUCUCAGCGCACGUAAAAAUUUUCUUUUUUAAAACAUCAUCCGAACACUCAACUUCACAUGCAAGUCCAUAGCUUGCUUAAUCUACCUCUGGUUAACUAAUUUCAGUCCAGAAAAUUACCUCAGAUCGCAGCUCACUCGCGUGACAAGGAAACUGAAAAAAAAUUUUCUUCUCGGCUUUGCGCACAGCUUUGGGUUUGGUUGGUCUGAACUGUAGUGGUUGUUGCAGCUGUAGUGGUGUCGUGGUUGGAAGAUUGUUGCAGCUGGUGGAGGUUGAAGAGAAAACGGAGAGGACUCACUCACGAUCUCUCUCUUUCUUCCUUCAACUCCCGGACAGAACUAGAAAAUUUUUGCAGCUCGCGGUUUCUCCUCUCUCGGUUCCUCUUCUUUCUCUCUUCAAAACUCACGAGGUGGGGUGGAGAGUGAAAUGGUGGUGCGAGGUAAUGGUUAUGGAGAGGAGAGAAAGGGUGCGCGGUUGAGUGUGAGUGAGGUUGUGUGUUGGAGUGGAUAAAAUUUACAUUGGCCGAAUGGUGAGGUGAUUAUAAUGUUGUCCGGGAAAUUGGUUGGGUUUGCAUGAUAGUUUUGUGGUUGUAUGAGGGCAUUUUAGUCUUUCCACUUUUCUUCCUCAUCUCCACUUAAAUCCUCAAUUCUAACUUAAUUCCAAAAAGUAUCCCCAAGUGUGAUUUAAACGCCUGAUUAUACACCAAUCUUGCAAGACUUCAAUUGUCAUAAUUUUUUUUACGUCUUAAGUAUGUUUAGUGUACUUGUAUCAUGUUUAUCUAAAAUUUAUUGACUUCGUCUUAACGUGAAAGUUCUUAUAAGUAUCUAACGUUAUUCACUAAUUAGAAUUAAUUAUUGGAUUUCAAGUAAUUUAUUUUAAGGUAGCAAAAUUAAUCGGCUCAAGUAUCAUUAAUUUAGCAUAAUGGAAACUAAGUAUUCUAACGUUUUAUGUUAAGGCGGAAAAUUGAUCUAACUCUAAAGGUAUUAAUUUAGUCUAUCAAAACAAAACAAAAAAAAAAUUUCAUAGUUUAGAAAAGUUAUAUUAUUUUUCACAUAAAAUUGUUUUUACGUACUUAUUUGCAAACAAGUGAAAGUAAUGCUAAAAUUUAUUAAAGAAUUAAAUGAAAUGCAAAUGAAAUAUGCACUAGGGCUUGUAUAUAUUUUCGGGGUUCUCACACAGUUGGUGAUACAACCACAUUCAUGGUUAAGACAUAUACACCUGAGCAUACAUGUGUCAUGAAUAGGAAAAAUUCAGAAGCAACAUCAGAUUGGAUUGCAAAGAAGUUAAUUUCUGUUAUGAAAGAUCACCCAGAGAUGAAAAGCAAGGUAGUAAAGGCUGAAAUGCAGAAGCAUGGAGUCUUGCCAAGUAGAAUGCAAAUUUACAGGGCAAAAAAGAAAGCCUUGGAACAGAUAGAAGGAUCACACAGUGAGGCCUAUGGAAAAUUACCAAAAUAUGCUGAACUGUUGAGGAUGCACAACCCAGGAAGCAUCAUCAAAAUUCAUUAUGAUAGGCCAAAUGUUCUGGUAAAGCCUAAAUUUCUGAGAUUGUUUGUCUCUUUCAAGGCACAAAGAGAUGGUUUCCUGGCAGGUUGCAGGCCAUUUAUUGGCUUUGAUUGAUGGUUGCCAUUUGAAAGGUGCAUUUGGGGGCAUUCUGUUGACUGCUGUUGCUCUUGAUGGGAACAAUAGUUUGUUUCCAUUAGCUUUUUCUGUUGUAGAGUGUGAAAACAAGGAAGCCUGGAGUUGAUUUUUUUAUUAUUUCCAAGAAUUCUUUGGACCAUUUCCAGCCAAUAUUCCAUUCACCUUUAUGAGUGUAGACAAAAGGUAUGUUUUAUAUUUCUGUAUUUUUCAUGUUCAGAUUUUCUCCAUUGCUAUUAUAGUGGUUGAAUCAAGUAUUUGAAGGAGUUUGUUUUUGAAACUUCUGUAUAGGGACUCAACCUUGCUUAUGAGGAACAAGUGCCUAAAGCUGCUGCACGAUAUUGCUGUUGGCACGUCUACUGCAACUUCAAAGUCAAAUUUAUAGGAUUGCUGCUAAGGAGAUUUUUUUGGCAAGCAGCUAAAAGUUAUGAUUUGAUAGGACACAAUGAGGCUAUGGAAAGAAUAAAAAAUAUUAACAUAGAUGCUUGGAGAUACUUAGCAAACAUUCCUAAGUGUAAUUGGGCAAGGCAUGCAUUUUCUGUUAAAAUUAAGUGUGAUCAUGUCACCAAUAAUUUCACAGAAUCUUUUAAUGCAUGGGGUUGGAGAACUGAGGGAAAAGAAUAUACUUGCUCUGGCUGAAGGACUGAGGCAAAAAUUCAUGAAAAAACUGCAUAAGAGGUAUCAAAAAGGCUGCACAUGGACAUCUAGUGUUACUCCACAUGUUAUUGGCAAGCUGAAGAUAUUGCAGCUGAAUCAAGAAGGUGUUUACUGAUAAUGGCAAGUGACAACACGUUUGAAGUAGCAGACUAUGAUAAGUCCUAUAUAGUCAAGUUGAUUGAAAGGAUAUGUGAAUGCGGGGCUUUCCAGUUGGCUGGCAUUCCUUGCAAGCAUGCUGCACUAGGAGCUAUUUAUAGAAGGGAGAAACUGGAACGCUAAUGUGAUGCAGCCUUUUCCAUUGAUCAAUACUUGAAAACGUAUGCAUUUAUGAUCAACCCAAUUCCACAUAUGAAUAGGUGGCCUCCAAUGGAAAAUGUGACACCGGUAGUAGUUUUGCCACCACCACUUAGAUGAAGCGCUGGUAGACCAAGAAGAAAUAGAAGAAGGGCACUUGAUGAAGGAGCUCCUGCACCUCAACACAAGAGAUCAAUCAGUUUCAGGUGCUCAACGUGCGGCAGGUUUGGACAUAAUAGGAGAACUUGUCAACGAGCUCCUGUUGCUGAGAAAAGAGGCAGCAGUACUUCUACAAAUCAGGUAGCAAGUCGAAGAGGAAAACCAGGAAGAGGCAUUGCCAAUACUGGAUUAGCAGGAUCUGUUCUAUGGGUAAUUGAAGCAAUGUCAAAUUAUAGUAUCUUCAUGUGUAUUAAUUCCUUGCAAAUGAGCUUAGCUUUUUGAUCUGAUUUGUCAGGAACAUGCACAAGGAAAUGUCCCAGUCAUUGUAUCAAGUCAAGGCAGUAAUGGAAGCACUCAAAAUCAUGUUGCUGGAGCUCAUGUUCAACUUAAUCAUUCUGCCUGCACUAGUACUAAUACCAGAAAGGUAUAGUUAAUCAGAAAUUAGAUUCAGCACCUAUUGCUAACUGAUAAGUGACUAAUUUACGUAAUAAUUGUAUGACAUUUUAUAUUACUUUUAGUCACUUUGGUUAUAUUAUUGGAAGAAUAUGAAUCAUUUUGGCUAUAAUUGGUGAAUAAAUGUUUUUAAGUGAUUAAAUGAGGUUUUUAUCACUUUUUACUUGGAUUUUGUGUAUUUUGACAGUUUUUGACACAUUUUCGUAUUUCGGCUAUAACUUGAGUUACAAUGAUCGGAUUGGGAUGAUUCUUGAACCCAUUUGAAGAUAAGAGAUAGAUCUACAACUUUGGUGAAGACAUCUAAAUCCAGUGUGAAGGUUUUCCAGGUCAAAAUGCCGAAUUACAAUAGCAAAUUUCUACUGGUCGAAGCUGGAACAGGGCAAUGAGCAGGUAAGGGUAUUUCAGUCAUAUCUCAGCCUACACAGAUCCAAAUGAGGUGAUUCUUGAUGCAUUAGAAAGAUAACUCAAAAGGCUACAACUUUCGUGUUUUAGACAUGAGCUGGUUCAGCCUCUAACAUCAAGAAAAGAUUGGUUGAAGUUGGGCCAAAAACAGAGCAAGUGAUCCACACUCGGAUCCACUAUUCAUCCGAACCCUCGGUUGUUUCUGGGUUAGUGAUCCGAGCUCGGAUCCAUACGGAUCCGAGGUACUGUAGCAGCUCGGAUCACUGGUCAGAAAAGGCUGCUCUGUACGCGUAAAACUCAAUUUCACCUCCACCAACUCACAUUGGAUGCUAGACAUGUGAGAAACAUUCCCAGCUGUAAAAGGGAGAUGUAAUCCUCAUUUCUUGACCACCUUUCAUCAUUAAAUAGCCAAAUUCAUUGCAAAAAAGGAGAUGGGGAGUUCAUAGCAGAAAAAUAGAGAGACAUACGGGAGAAACUUGAAGUUGCAGAAAUGUAGCUCUUUCAUCUCCCUAGUGUUAGUUUAGCUUAGUAUAGAGUAGUGUAGCUUUCCAUUCUUGUUUAUUAUCUAGAUUAGGAUGAAGAUGGAGGAUGAAGAAGGCAAGGAAGAAAGCUCAUGUGACAAGGGUUGUAUUCCUUCCAAACUCUUUAUCUUUUGUAUUUGAUUCCAAGUUUAGUUAAUAUACAAGUUCUAGAUUUUGUGUUCAUUAUGUGUUUCUAAAGUUUAUACCUUGGGUUUGGUUGAACUUUCUAUGAUUGUUAGUGCUUAUUAUUUGGCUAUUUGACUGCUAUGAUUUGAGCAAGUUAUUUAGCACUUUAGCUCUUGAAAUCAUGAUUAAUCUGGUACCAUUAAUUGUGAUUAUCUAAGGUGUUGUUUCUGCAAUGAAAAUUGAGAUUUAACACUAGUUCAAGAAGUGCUAAACAUAAGGAGUACACUCACGAAAGUAGAGGUGCACUUAUGUGGUUUUUAGUGAUUCAUUUCAUGUAAUUUCAUUGAAGAAAUGAACUUGUAGCUAAUUUCAUAACCAUGAAAAUAGGUAUGGAUUAGUUAUGAGUAUAAUUGAUUCACUACGAAAGUAGGAUUCAAAUGCAUAAGGAAAUUACACCAUAAUUAGCCUAGAUGUAGUAUUCAAUGAUCCAAAUAUAGCACUUGCAUGAGUAGUUAGGGAUACCACAACCUAAGGAGCUUUCAUUUGUUAUUUUGUAUAAUUUCAGUAGGUUUAAAUUUGUUAUAAUUCAUUGAUAGUCUAAAUAAUAGAGAAGCUUUAGUAGUACCGGUAAUUGCAAUCUUCCUUGUGGGAUCGACCCUUAAUACCCUAUACUCGCUCACGAUUCGUAUACUUGCGAUAAAUCGCGUGUGGGGUAUUUAGGAGUUUAUAAAUGUAAAACUUGAUUAGGAUGAGCUUAAUUGUAUAUGUAUACUCCGCGCACGUCAAGUUUUUGGCGCCGUUGCCGGGGAAGAUUUGGCAAUAUCGGUGUGAAGAGUAACUUUAUUAGUUUAGACAUUUUAUUAGUUAUUGUGUGAAUGUUAUUUUCUGUCAUUUUAGUAUUUUUUAUGUGUAUGUGUUUUAUCACCUAUUCUUCUUACUAAUUUUGCUCUUAAGUUGUUUAAAAGCAAUUUUAGGUGAUGAGAAGGGUAGGACAAUUUGGAGGACAAUGCUUGAGAAGUGGAAGAUUGGUAAUGGAUGGUUACCAAGUGCAAAGCUCCUUUAAUAGAGGUAACCAAGAAUUUACUGAAUGUAUGUCUUUUGAAGAUGGUUUAAGGUGCUUAAAGGCUAAAUUUGAUGUUAUGAUGUUACAAGUUCAAAUGGACACCAUGAUGCAUGAAAUUGAGCAGAGGAAGAAUGUUAAUGUUUUUAAUUCUUAUCAUGUGAUUUGUGACUUGUGUGGAGGUUAUCAUGCUACUAAUACAUGUAUGCAAGCACAAAAUAUGGAUUAUUAUGAUGAAUUAGAGCAUUACAAUCCUUGUUUUGAUCGAUAUAGUGCUAAUUUGAGCAAUUCUCCUGCUUAUGGUUGGAAUAAUCAAUGUACUUAUAGUAAUUCUUCAUAUUUUUAUGAUUAUUAGCAAUAGAAAAGCUAGCAAAUGCAACUUCCGAUCGUUUUGAUAGGAUUGAGGAAAGAAUAGAUGAAUUAGCUUCUCACUUUGGUCGAAUACAUGAGCAAUUGAAUGCAUUGUGUGAAGUUAUUUCCUCUAAUAAUGUGCAAAAUGAUCCUAGCAUGAAUGAUGGGAAUGUUGUAUGUGAAAAUGGGUUGCAUUUUGAUGAAAAUGAUGAAUCUCAAUUGUGUUUCAAUGAGCAAAUGUCCAUUUCACAUGAUAAUAUCUUUGGAACUAACUUUGAGCCUCAAGAGGUGAGUUUUAAUGACUCAUUUUUCACCCCUCUUGAGGAGUGCAUUGAAAGUAUAGGUUCUAAAGGUAUUCCUGCCCAAGAUACUCUCAUGACAUUUCCUUUGGUAAGUUCUCAAGUGGUGCAUAUUCAAGGUAAUAUCUAUGGAACACUUGGAAUAUGUAAGUCACUUCCAUCUCUCAGAUCAUUAGUUCAUGUGGCUUUUUCUAUUAAGUCACCUUACAAUGAUCCACCAAGGCCUAAAAUGGUGGAUUAUUCGUUAACUAAGCCUCCUUGAAAAAUGAGGUGAUAUAGUCAAGCUAUUGACUUUAAAGAAGCGCUUAUUGGGAGGCAACCCAAUGCUUGUUUAAGUUGGUGUUACUUUGGAGUGAUUUUAUGUUUAAAGUAUAAGUUUGAGUUAUUUUGUUAUUUUUCAUUUGUAGGUUUUGGAAAAAGAUGCAAAAGUGACCAAAUGAGGUGAAAAAGGCGAAGUUUGAUCAAAGAUCUCAAUACCACAAAUUCAGUAAUUGUGAAUUUUGAUGCAUUAAAGAGGUUUAGAAUGCAUGUUUAGAUCAUUUUACAUGUGCGUGAAUGAUUUAUUUUGACAUAGAAAUGAUCUAGGGUGUAUUUUGAAGAAUUGAGGUCAAACUGAAAAUUGCAAAAAUUCUGCAAUAAGUGCAGAUUCAAUGGAUCCAAGGCCUCGGAUCCAUAUGGAUCCAAGGCCUCGGAUCCACUUCUGCAAUCAGAGAAAAACUUCGAGCUUCUUGAUCCGAGCUCGGAUCCAUAUGGAUCCGAGGCCUCGGAUCCACUUCUGCAAUCAGAAAAAAUUUGAGCUUCUUGAUCCGAGCUCACUUAUCAUGAUCCGACAUCGGAUCCUUUCAAAAACGACCUCGGAUCCUUUCCAAACGAAGCCUCGGACCACUUUUCUUCAUUCUUCCCUCUUUUUCCUCCUUCAACUCCACUUUUCUUCUUGUUGGUUGCAAGCUUUUAUUCUUAAGAAUUGUAUUUUUGUUUUUUUUUCAAGGUGCAUUAAUUGAAGUCUCCAUUCUUUCAAGUAAAGUUGGAAAUUCAUCACAUUGCCAUGGAUUCGGAUCACGCAAGUUCAUUAGGGGAGUAUUACUUUCUCUUAUUUUCGUUAUUUUUCCUUUCUCACAUUGAGGACAAUGUGAAGUUUAAGUGUGGGGGAGGAAAGUAUUGAACUUGCAUUUACUUGCCAUGUGAUGAUAUUUUGUGGAUAUAAAUGCUUAGAAAUAUUGGAGUUAUGUUUGAAUUAUUUGCCAUGUGGAUAAUUUGCCUGAAAUUGGGUUUGUUGGCAGGGAGUUUUCUUCCAUUUAUACGGGGAAACUCCGUCAAAAUUUGUCUAACAUCUUGUCCAAUAUGUCACUAUGGCCCAAAAGUUCUUCAAAUUUUUGCAUUUUCAUUCAAAAAGGGCUAAUUUGUUCCAACUUUAAAUGUUUUUAUUCUUCCAAUUGUUGAAACUUUAUGUGUAUUUUGGAAGGUUUAGUCCUCAUUUAACUUGGAAAUAGUUAUUAUGCAAUUAGAAUUUUUACAUUUUAGAAAGUAUUUUUGGUAAAGUGAGGAAAAUUAUGCCUAUAAUUUUACAUGUUUAAUGAGAUUUCUUCUCUUUACUUAAUUUUGCAAGUAAGUGAUUGACAUAGUUGAUAAAAGGUUAUACUCCUCCUUUGAUUAGUCUUAUAUAUUUUCUAAGAGGGAAUAUCUAUUUAUUGUCCUUUAGUUUAAAAAAUAAAAAAAAAAAAAAAAAAAAAAAAAAAAAAGAGAAGAAAAGAAAGAAAAAAUUAUUCUACUCCAAUGAUUUUUGUACCGAGUAACCGGGGGUUGGCAUCUACAAAUGUCGAUUUUCGCGUAAAAAGCUACUUGAAUUAAGAGUAUGCAUUGCAACUUGAAUAAGUGAAAUGUUGAGUAACCGGGAAUCUUCACCUAAAAGUGUCGAUUUUCGCGUAAAAAGGCAUUCUCACUAAUUAAGUAAAAUUAGUAUGAAUAAAUCCCUCUUAGAUGUAAAAUUUUGAGAAAAGGAUGAUUAUAGGAGGAGGAAGGCUAUAAAUCGACUAUGUGGGUUGCUUAUUUGUGAAAUUAGGUUAGGUUAAGAGAUUAAGUUUAACUUGUUGAAUUUAGGGUAUAAUUAUCUUUCCUUUACUUGAUAUUAUGAGUAUUUAGUGUAAAUUGAAUAAUUAUAUAAUAAUUAUUUUCCAAGUCUUGAGGAAUUAAAUUGGACAAAGUGCAUAUAUUGUUUCACCUCUUGAAUCAUUGCAUUUGAUUAUGUGUGAAUUGCUUGAGGACAAGCAAUGAUUUAAGUGUGGGGGAGUUUGAUAAGUGACUAAUUUACGUAAUAAUUGUAUGACAUUUUAUAUUACUUUUAGUCACUUUGGUUAUAUUAUUGGAAGAAUAUGAAUCAUUUUGGCUAUAAUUGGUGAAUAAAUGUUUUUAAGUGAUUAAAUGAGGUUUUUAUCACUUUUUACUUGGAUUUUGUGUAUUUUGACAGUUUUUGACACAUUUUCGUAUUUCGGCUAUAACUUGAGUUACAAUGAUCGGAUUGGGAUGAUUCUUGAACCCAUUUGAAGAUAAGAGAUAGAUCUACAACUUUGGUGAAGACAUCUAAAUCCAGUUUGAAGGUUUUCCAGGUCAAAAUGCCGAAUUACAAUAGCAAAUUUCUACUGGUCGAAGCUGGAACAGGGCAAUGAGCAGGUAAGGGUAUUUCAGUCAUAUCUCAGCCUACACAGAUCCAAAUGAGGUGAUUCUUGAUGCAUUAGAAAGAUAACUCAAAAGGCUACAACUUUCGUGUUUUAGACAUGAGCUGGUUCAGCCUCUAACAUCAAGAAAAGAUUGGUUGAAGUUGGGCCAAAAACAGAGCAAGUGAUCCACACUCGGAUCCACUAUUCAUCCGAACCCUCGGUUGUUUCUGGGUUAGUGGAUCCGAGGUACUGUAGCAGCUCGGAUCACUGGUCAGAAAAGGCUGCUCUGUACGCGUAAAACUCAAUUUCACCUCCACCAACUCACAUUGGAUGCUAGACAUGUGAGAAACAUUCCCAGCUGUAAAAGGGAGAUGUAAUCCUCAUUUCUUGACCACCUUUCAUCAUAAAAUAGCCAAAUUCAUUGCAAAAAAGGAGAUGGGGAGUUCAUAGCAGAAAAAUAGAGAGACAUACGGGAGAAGCUUGAAGUUGCAGAAAUGUAGCUCUUUCAUCUCCCUAGUGUUAGUUUAGCUUAGUAUAGAGUAGUGUAGCUUUCCAUUCUUGUUUAUUAUCUAGAUUAGGAUGAAGAUGGAGGAUGAAGAAGGCAAGGAAGAAAGCUCAUGUGACAAGGGUUGUAUUCCUUCCAAACUCUUUAUCUUUUGUAUUUGAUUCCAAGUUUAGUUAAUAUACAAGUUCUAGAUUUUGUGUUCAUUAUGUGUUUCUAAAGUUUAUACCUUGGGUUUGGUUGAACUUUCUAUGAUUGUUAGUGCUUAUUAUUUGGCUAUUUGACUGCUAUGAUUUGAGCAAGUUAUUUAGCACUUUAGCUCUUGAAAUCAUGAUUAAUCUGGUACCAUUAAUUGUGAUUAUCUAAGGUGUUGUUUCUGCAAUGAAAAUUGAGAUUUAACACUAGUUCAAGAAGUGCUAAACAUAAGGAGUACACUCACGAAAGUAGAGGUGCACUUAUGUGAUUUUUAGUGAUUCAUUUCAUGUAAUUUCAUUGAAGAAAUGAACUUGUAGCUAAUUUCAUAACCAUGAAAAUAGGUAUGGAUUAGUUAUGAGUAUAAUUGAUUCACUACGAAAGUAGGAUUCAAAUGCAUAAGGAAAUUACACCAUAAUUAGCCUAGAUGUAGUAUUCAAUGAUCCAAAUAUAGCACUUGCAUGAGUAGUUAGGGAUACCACAACCUAAGGAACUUUCAUUUGUUAAUUUCUUGUAUAAGUGCAGUAGGUUAAAUUUCUUAUCAUUAAUUGAUAGUCUAAAUAAUAGAGAAGCUUUAGUAGUACCGGUAAUUGCAAUCUUCCUUGUGGGAUCGACCCUUAAUACCCUAUACUCGCUCACGAUUCGUAUACUUGCGAUAAAUCGCGUGUGGGGUAUUUAGAAGUUUAUAAAUGUAAAACUUGAUUAAGAUGAGCUUAAUUGUAUAUGUAUACUCCGCGCACGUCACUAACUAUUCUAACUGUUGACCAGUCAUUAGUUUAAUAACAUUUGUUGCAUGGCUUCAGAGAGAAGGGCCAAAUGCAGGGGUUGGAACUAUUGUUGCUAACACCAAUAAGAGAGCCUGACCUUCCAUUGUUGUUGGCUCAGAACAAACUCCAGCAGUCACUGCAUCUUCAAUAUCCACUUCUGCUGGUAUGGUAUCUCACAUUGACAAUAGCAGCAUCAGUAUGAGGUUCUAAUUAGUACUAGUAUUAUGAGUUUUGCUUUGGGAGACUAAUCUGGUAUUUUUGUAUACGUAGCAUUCCUCAUCAUCUAGAAUGAUGUUUUUAGAUGAUGUUUUCUGAGAUUCUUGUUGAUUGCUACAUACUUUUGUUUAGUUGUAAAUAUGGAUGCAAGUGGUUAAUUGCAUUCCCAGUCCCAGUGAACGACUUCAAAGACAUAUGUUUUGGUACUUAUGUUUGGGAAUUGCAAUUUACUCUUGCCAAGUAUGCUCUGCUGCUACCCAUAGAUCUUGCAAAUAUGACUUAUUACCUUUAUGUAUGGAAUUUGCAAGCCUUCAAAGAUGUCAUGCUGUUGUUUUUUUUUUUUAACUCUAUGACUCUGAUUCCUCAGGAUUACGUGUGAAACUAGUACUGUUGUUUUCCAAUGAACUUAGCAGGAGAGACACAUUGUACCUAAGGAACUGCACCUGAUAGCUUAAUGCAUUUUUUGUCAAGUAUGACUUUUGGUAUAACACUGAUAGGCAACAAAUAUGGGGGGCAUACGUAUGAAGUAAAACAUAGCUUCAACUCUUUUUCAUAUAGCUUAACAUCAUGUCCAAGUUACACAUGCCUUUUGGUUCUUUCAUUUAUGACCAGUAAGGCUCCAAAUAGCUUGGAACACAUCUACUAUUACUGGAACAAGAAACUGUGAUUGCUUUAACAAUUUGAAUGAAAAGAAAAAUUGCUAAGAGUACAAGAUUGAUGAUGAACAAGAAAGUGAUACAUGCAUUCUGUUGAGGCACAAAAGUUACAUUCCUGAUUUGCUUUCCUCAAUGGAAGCACUGCAGAAUCAGCAUCAUUUCUUGUACGCUGCACUUCUUCACCUUCAUUUCUUUGCCUCUGCAACUCUUCGCCUUCAUUUCCUUCAUACCACUGGAAGUAGUUGCACUUUGAACAACUAAAAUAUAGCUUAUCCGGAUUUCUUUCACUCUCUGAGAUUCGUAAUGUGGCCUUGCGGUUGCAUUUACAAUACCGGUUCUUCAUGCUUAAUGAUAAAGGUGAAUUGUAUGACUGACCUUGGAAGGAUGAACUAGCCAUUUCUUUGCUUACUUUCCUUUUUAAGUUUUGCAGCUAUUUCAUGCGGUUCCCUUACCUUUUAAUACCACUGGAAGUAGCCGUUGCUUUUCCUUCACCUUCAUGCGGUUCACUCAAAAUAGCUGUUGCAUGUCCAACGGCCAUGUAACAGUGCUCAUACCAGAAAAUUUAUCUCCAAUUCAUAUUUUCCACCUACUGCAACUUUGAUAUGUCACAGGAUUCAGUCAAACUAAGGGUAUGAAGGGAAUUAAAAUACUCUCCCUCUUCCAAAACCAAUAUUCUAAUGUUACUUUUGCUCAGAGGGGCUGACAUUGUUAAGAAAAUGUCAAUUCAAAGGGUGGUAAGAGAGAUUUCUAAAAUGUAAAGGGAGCUAAGUGAUAUUUGAAGAAACCUCAGGGGAGGUUUCUGAUAUUAUCCCUAUAAAUUAACUUGAUUUCUGGUUUCGGGAAGUUGUUCGUUUUUUCCCUAUUUCAACAGAAAGCCUUGCGGCUUGUUUUGUUAGUUUAUUCAUUCAAGAGUUUUGAUUAACAUAAUAUUUAGUAGGGCCUGCAUGAUAUGUAACUUAUUAAUAUGUUAAGGAAAUUAGGGUUUCUCUAAUUUGUGUGAACCCUAAUAAAGUUAAACAACACAUUUAAGCCUUUGAAAAAAAAAAGUCCAUAAGAUUGGUUCACUAAGUAUAUAGUCUUAUAAGACAUUUAUGGAUUUCAAGAAAAUUUUGAAUUUGAAUGAUAAAUUUGGGUUAAGUUAUAGAUAUGGACUUUUAAUCCAAUAAAUCUUGAUCCAUUUGACUGGUUUGACUAGAAUUUGGCUUGUUUGACUAUAUUUGACCAGAAUUGAUUAGUUUGACAAGAUUUGACCAAUUUGACUGGUUUGACCACGUUUUGAUCAAAAUUGACUAAAGUUGAUUUUGAUCAAAAUUUUUGUGUAUUUCGUGUAAUUUUAAAUUUGAAUAUUGGUAUGAUUAUAUAUAUUUUAGAAUAAAUUAAUUGAAACAAUAUGUAACUAAAGUGACAUCUUUUGUGAUUUAAUUUAUUUUAAAAUAUACCUAGUUAGGUACUUGUAAUUUUGUUAAUAUUGACUCAAAGGAAGGUCAAUAUUUAACAAAAUUGCAUGUGCAAUUGUAGUAAUAAACACGUGAUGAUUAUUCAAAUUUUUUCGUGUGAAUUAUAAAUUGGCCCAAAGAAAAAUUUAUUUUUGACAUGUUAUUAUUGUCAGUGUUUAUUAUUGCAUCAAGAUAUCAUUUAGAAGUUAAUAUUUUUAUUCAAAAAUAAAAUAUUAAUGAAAUAUUGGUAUCUUGAGAUGGGGUUACCUUUAUUUAAAUUUAUUAUUAUUUUUUGGUGAAUGUGAGUUUGAUUUAACUAUUUUAUGUUUUCUGCUCAGUUUCGAAUGAUCUUACAAAUAUUACUACCAAUAUCAAUAAUAUUUCUAUGCUGAAUGGCUUUCUUUUGGACCCUUUUAAGGCAGCUCCCAAACCACCGGAUUGUGACGCAGCUGCAACCGCAAUCACUAGCAGCAGUUCGUACUCAUUAAAUGAUCACUUUAAUUAAUUGGGGACUGGUUAUUUUUUUUUUUGCUUUUUUUUAACGUAUGUGCAUCAUCGAACUAAAGAAUUUUAGACAAAACUACGAGUUAAAAUUUGUAACUUUGGAAGAGUUAAAAAAGGGAGAGAAGCUAAAACAAUUUCACUUGAGUUUUUAUUUUAUUUUUAUAUCUUGAUUAGCCGUUUGUUUUAUUGAAUCUUGCCCAAUUCCCGUCACAAAUAAAAAAAAAUAUGAUUAAACAACAACUGAAUUGUAAUCAAAAUAAUAGUACAACCCAUACUAAAGAAUGGAAAUUAACAUACAAAAUGAAUCUAUAUAUCCAUAAUCCAAAAUGAAUUUGGCAAAUAGAGAGAACAAAAAUAAAACCACAAUUUUAGGGUAAAAAAGAGGAAAAUAAUUAAUUCUUCAACAUUUCAGCUACAGGGCCAUAAUUUGGCGACGGAAAAACAAAGGGAAACCAAUAAAACAACUCUAUUGGUCCAAAAAGCAAACACCACGGAACGGAAGCCCCGUUCUGUUAGCCUCAAUGGACCAAGUGAAUAACUGUUUUUCGGCCUAGGUACUUCUGGACAAAAGUCACAGGGCUCCACACGCGUCUCAGCCCAGCACAUGAAUGUGAUAGACUCGCAAGUCCAAGAAGUUUGCUUGUUUUCAAGCCUGUAUCUCUACAGAAAAUGGCCCGGGGACUUUCCUGGGCCUGGCCCCACAUAGGUGUUGACCUUGACCAUCUCACUUCGUCCGCGGUGCGACGGUUCGACCGACUUCGAAGCAUAAAUUAUACUUGGGCAUACUUCUUAAGAAUUCACGAUGUGGGAGGAGUUAAUUUCUACUCUUAAGCUAUUGAGCUAGCUAGGUAAGGGAUUCGAAAUCCCUUGCCUGCAUUUCUCAUUCAGAAUUUUUUGAAAUUUUUUCGCAAGUAUAGUUUCCCUCAAGUUUUUAAUAGAUUAAUCGCGUUGAUCCCCACACUAGGCAAACCCUUAAGGUAGAGAAGGAAAAGAGCAGGGAAAACCGGUCUUCUCAGUAAAUUAUUCUAGCUGAAAUUCAAAGAUUGAAGAAUCCGAGGUCUGACGUGAUUGAACUUACCACAAAAUGCCAAGACAUUGAGGAUGCUGCAACUGUGCUAAGGAGGAGCAAAGUUUAGGUACUUCCAAAAUGAGUUAUUAUCACUUUAUCCCCUUAAAAUUAUAUCAUUAUUAUCAAUUUACCCCCUAAUAUUAUCUUUUAUUCAUUUCACUCCUAUUGGUAAUUCAAUUUAGCAUGUUAACAAAUUCUGAAUAAAAAUAUCUUUUUAUUUUAUAGUAUUAUUACAUUAUUAUUAUCACUUUAUCUCUUUAAAUUAUAUUGAUACAGUCACUUUAAUAUUGUAUAUUUUAUCGAAUUAAGAUUUUUUUGGAUUUGCAGAAUUUUAGUGAAGAGUACACAUGCUUUGGCAUAAUUAGCACAUGCGUUUGGAAGUCGAACCAGUACGAGUUGGAUCAAGAAUUGACACAAGUAAUUUGUUUAAUUAAUUUUUUUUGUAAGUAAGAGAUAUUAAAUUCAUGACAUUCUACUUAUAAUUUCUCCCGCUUUGCCAUCCAACUCAAUCUUCCCCUCAAAUUAAACUUAUUAGAUAAAUUGUUGAUUAAACUUGCCAUCAAGUUCGAGCAAUAAAAGCGCAAAGCCACCCACAUCCACCUUUUUUUCAUGAGAUUUGGGUCGGACAAUCAAUUGGUUCUUCGUUCAAUCAGUUGAACCGGUCCUUCCGGUCCAAUUUUCAAAACACACCGCCUUCAUUCAUGUCCGUGUCCUCUGGUUUCCCUCCAUCAGGCAAUACAACAUCAAACUUGCCCAAACAUGUUGCUCGAAUGAAGUCAUUAAUGGCAAUGCAAAAGGUCAUUAACAGCCACUAACUGCCAAAUAGAGUUGAUCCAAAGCUGAACGUCGAAAACCAACAUCAAAUGUGGAGAACCUUAAUAAUGGAUUUUGCGGCUUUUCUUCUCAAUAAUGGAUUUUGCCAACUGCCCAACAAUUCUCAAAUAGUAAUAACAUGGUAAGGCUGCGACAGGUCAUGGCCCUUUUCGUUGAUGCUUCGAGCCAAGUCUGACAGGAACCAAUAAUGGAGUAGGAACAUGAGCCAUGAAAACGUUAAUUUUUUCCGUUAUUCAUUUAUAACCCAUACCAAAACUCGGCAGUACUGGAUCCAAAGUGGGGCAACUUAAUUUUUAUUAUUAUCAUUAAUCUUUUGUCUCAUAGCUUUUCUAUACUAUUUUGCAAAUGAUUUGUCUCAUGGCCUCUCUCAUGCAAAUGAUUUCAAUUCUACAAUAUAGAAAUUCAAUAUUUUGGGCAAAUCCCUAGUCAUUAAGUAGGCAUUUAUAUGGAGUACAAGAGCAGAACAAUGGCAAACCGAAGGCACUCAACCUGUACAUGGGUGGUUCUAAGCUUCCCAUGUGUUGACCUACUUGAUAAGUUAUUUAGAUCACUCAAAUGGUUAAUAAAAUUGGAGAUUGGAGAAUACAUAUAUAUAUAUAUACUAGGAGAGGAAUGCCUGCGCAUCGCGCGGGUGUUUGGUGCCAGUGAUUAAAAAAGAUUUUACGGUAGUUCAAGCGAAUAUCAAAAAACUCACGCACAUUAAGUAACACUAUGAAGUAACAAAAUAUCUAAUGUAUACUGUGAGAUAGAGAAGGAAAUUAUGCAUGCUAUCUUGCUUGGUUCAUAUAUUUUGUAACAAACACUUGUAUAUGAGCUUUUCAUUAAUAAGACUAAAUGAACUUUAAAUAGAUACCCUAACGAUUCAGAGAAUGACAAUAAACAAAGUGAUUAUCCACUUAAAGAUGCAUCUACACAACAUUCUUGUUGAUGAAAGUAGCCAACUUUUUUAGCAACGACAAAGUCUAACCUCGAAAGGUUUGGUUCCAUCAGAGGAUUCAACAAUGGAUCAUCAACCCCCGUAGAUUUUGGGUAAACAUAAUGCCAAAUGCCCUUAACAUAGGCGUUCGCCUGUAAUUUCAUUAACUCAAUACUGAUUAGAUUUUUUCCCAAAAAAUAAGGACAAUUGAGAAAAAUCACAUCAAAAUCAAAGUCGUCUAGUAUCUCCAACCAAACCCUUGAUGCCAUGUGUAUGUUCUAAAUUACCACCAGCAUUAUACCCACCAAAAAACACCCUAUCAAAGCCAGCAUAAUCCCUAAGCCAUACCUCAGGACCCUCACCAUUUGAAUGAGGGGCAAUCCAUUUGACUGCAAUCUAAGAAUCUUCAUAAGCAAUAGGCAAAGGAUGCUCAGGGCGAGCUGAUAGUUAAUUGAAAUUGCUACAACACUAACUUCUGCAACUACUACAUUAAGGUGCGCGUGAUAUGUAGGAGAGAAGGCAUAUUUGAUCAAAAAGCCUCCACCAUGUAAGUAGACCAAAAAAGGAAGUUUUGUAUCUCCAAACCUAUUCCAACAAAACCACACCAUUUAAAUUGUAUAGAACAACCAACUUUGUGGGGAAACAAUAAUAUCAACAUUAAAUUGUGCUAACAGACUAUCCAAUUUUGGAAUGAAAGCAUUUAGCUAACAAUAGAAAUUAUGAUUUUACAAAGCAAAUCAUACCAUUAAAAAAAAUGAAACCUCACCUCAAGUUGAACCACCAAGAAUAGCUUCACCAGAGAACCAUAUUGAAAUCCAGAGUAUAAUUACAAUACAAAUAAGUAUUUACCGGAAGACGAAAGGAACAUGACGGAAGAAUGUGAAGGGGAUAUUUGAAGAAUUGAAGUUGAAACUAAUGCUCAAUCAUAAAUUCCUUAAUAAACCACAUUGCCCUUGCUUUAAUUGAGAUGAAAAUGACGUUUGAAGUUCUUCAAGUUAUAAUAGCAAAGUAAAAUUAAUAAUUGAUACAAACCAUAAUGAAUGUCUCUGCAAGGACAUUUAAGUAAUUACGUCAAUAAAGAAGCUUUAUGGGUUGUACCCAUUGUAGAAAAGAUGACCAAAUAAUCUCACAUUCCCAAACUACCCAAACCUUUGAACAAAUCAUCACUGCAUCUUUUAGAAUAUAAGGACAUUUCAGUAAACACAAUAAUAGACAUGUUAUCUAAAGUAGUACCCAAUACUAUAACUACACUCAAAACAACCUCACAAUCCCAAAAUAUCCCUACUCUUACAGUUGAAAUUCAAAGCCAUUCUUUGACCCAAACUCAUUCUUAUAUAGUAUAAGGAUUUAUAUAUAUAUAUAUAUAGUUCCUUCCAAUCUAACUACACUUGUACAUGACAUCAAGUAAACAUAAAACGGUGGAAAUAUGAGAACUUUCAUCACAAUGGAAAAUGUGGUCUCCCACUCCUUAUUACGAGUCACCAGCGUGAACUUCCACUAGAAAUAAGACCACAAAAAUAAAAAAGAAAGCAUACGAAUACAAAGCCAUUAACAAAGAUAUGGAGUGGCAAUAGCAUGUAGAGGAUGUUUUCUGUGAACUGUGAUACCAGAUGCUUCAGUCAUGUCCAAAUCCUCUGGCUUCAUUCCAUCAGGCAAUGCAAAAUUAAAUUUGUUGACCAAUUUUGCCAAUGCAAGUUCAUUUACGGAUAUGGCAAAGUUGAUACCCGGGCAAACCCUUCGUCCGGAACCAAAAGGAAUUAACUCAAAGUUAAAACCUCGAAAAUCUAUAUUGGAAUUCAGAAACCUCUCAGGUUGAAAUUCCUCAGGGUUCUCCCACAACAUGGGGUCUCUUGCAAUUGCACUAGCAUUCACCAACACUAGUGUGCCUGCUGGUAUAUCACACCCCAUUAUUUUGAUGUCUCGAGUUGAUUCCCGAGGAACCAGUAAUGGAACAGGAACGUGAUAUCGUAGAGUUUCUUUAAUCACUGCUUUUAAGUAUCUCAUCUUCUGCAAAUCUAGUUGAGUUAUUUCUGGUUUUCCCUGGGUCACUUCUCUUACCUCAGCCUGCAAUUUCUGCAAGGUUAUAGGUUUCUUUAGAAGUUCUGACAUUGCCCAUUCCAUAACUGAAUGUGUUGUGUCAGUUCCACCGCCAAACACGUCCUGCAUGACGGAAUGAAGGAAAGUGUUGCUUUAGAACAUGCAUAGAUGCUUUUUUUUUUUAAUCUAAAUUUUCAAUUUCAAAAAAAAAUGGGCACCUGUCCAAAGAAAAAGAAAAAUGAAGACAGAUUAACAAUAUUCAUACUAUCGCAAUAAGCGUUUAAUUACCACAUACAAGACGAAACAUUAUGUUUAGGUACAUGUAAAUUUAAAAGUUACAAAAGUUUAAGUGCAUAAAGUUCGGUUAACCCAAGCAACCAUUGAGGUUUUUUUUUUUUUAACAUUUUUUACAAGAGAAGGUAUUCAAAUGCAAUGGAUGAAUUUUCUUUUAAUCUGAUAACAAGGGAAGGUAUUCAAAUACAAGGGACGAAAAUGAGUUUGAUUACAUACAUUCAUAGUAAUUUUGAUAUAACUUAAAUAUAUUAUAGAGUGUAUAUAUUCAGAGUUGUGUGGUAAUUUUAGAAUUUUUAUAGUGAGUCAACCCUUUUUGUUGUUUAUUUAAUAUCCUUACCCCUUGUUUGCAGUUUUGUCCAAAAUAAAAAGAUCUUUCUACCCAAAAUGGCAGUGAUAAAUAUUUAUCAUUAUUCAUUCUUCAAUAUUUAGUGUGAUCAAUAUUUUGUUGUCCGAAAAGAAUACAAUUAAUACGUAUUUGACUUAAUUAUCCUAGAUAUGUUUAUGACUUUUAUUUUUUGUUCUAGUAUGUUAAUCUUUUGUUUACAUGGAAUUUUCACAUUUUUUGCUUUCAGAAUCUUUUGUUUACAUGGAAUUUCUACUAUGUAAUCUUUUGUUUUCAUUUUUUAUAUGAAAUUCAAAAAAAAUUCUGCACAACUAUUCAAAAGUCAAAGAAUAAAGUAUCUCAAAACAUUUGUUUGCUUGAAAAAAAAGAAAAUUUUAUUUUACAUAAAAGAAAAUUUUUUAUUAAGCUCACAAAUGUCUUAAGAUAUGGUGAUACAGUGAAAAGAUUUUGAUAAAUUUGAUAUCCUGCUAUAUUAGGCAUUCUAAGAUGAAAUUGGAAAGAACUUUCUUUAAAUUUUUUGAGGAAUAGAAUUUGAGAAAAAAAAGUUGGAAUAAACAUUUCAAAGGGAAAGGAAUUUCCCUUUAAAUGAUUUAUACCAAACUUAGCAUGUAAUGAAUAAGUUAUAAAGGCUUUUUUCGAGUCUAUUCCUACCUACAAAACAUAGUGUUAACGUAUGGAAUGGAAUCGAUGUUUCCAAACUAUUACUAGACUGACCUAGCUAGACUGAUUGAUUGAACCAAGGACCAACUCUAUCACAAGAUUCUAUGUUAAAGCAAGAAAAAAAAAUAAACAAUGAGUCAACCUUAAACAUAAACUGAUCAAACCGGACAAACCUGGUAAAACUCCAACAGUUGAAUAGGCUAGCCACUAGAAAUUUUUUCCCUUUAUAUAAUUUGGUAUUAUUCAAAUUUUCUAAUUAUAACUAAAGUAAGAAAACAUUUAAUUGAACUAGUGGUUGAACCAUGAAGGCAUGAACCAAAAGCUCUUUCAUUGAACCAUCCGAGUUUAAUAAUAUUGAAUUCAGUAAACCUUACAAACCAAAUAGAUUUUGAUCUUGCACAUCGGAGUAAAGGAGGAGGAUGCCAUCUAAUAGGUUGUCAUGUCCAAGUCAACUAAACAAGAAACAUUUGUAUGACAGUACCAAACAAAAUCUAAACCUUCCAGCCUAGUGCAAGUCACUACCUGCAAAACUAGUACUAGAUGAUCUAUUACCAAUAAACAUAAUUCUUUUCAGAGUUGAAAUCAAUUAUAAAUUCUCAUAGUACGAUGUAAUUAAAGAGAUGGAGAGAGAUCCAAUUUACCAGGAUGAUAGCUUUCAUAUCAUCACGGCCAAGAGCAAAGCCGAUAGUGCUUUCCUUAUUAACCUCGAUCAGAAUGUCCACAAAGUCUAGGCAUCUUGCCUCAACGGAAUAGUCAUUUUCAGCCUCACCUUUCCUCUUAUUUAUGUGCUCUUCUAUUACACCCUCAAGAAAUUCAUCAAUCAGUUUAACAAAUUUCUCUACUUUCAAGUCCAAACCAUUGAAACGAUUAACCCAUGCAAGCCAAGGAAUGUAGUCUCCUACAUCAAAAACACCCAUUAACUCAACAAAAACCCUCAAAUUUUCCAUAAUUUUUCCUCCCUUUUUCUUCCUCACUAUACUUCCUCCCCAGGGCAACCCUACAAAUUAUAUCAUUUGUGAGAGUUACAAAUAUUUCAGUUAAGUUUACAGGUGAAGAAGAACACAUCUGAUUGAUCUUUUCGAUCAUGAGUGAAGUCUCUUCUUCUCUAACAUGCUGAUAUGACUGAACCCUUUGGUUACUCAAAAGAUGCAGCACACAAAUGCUUUUGGCUUGUCUCCAAUACUCACCAUACGGUGUAAAUGCUACGUCCUUACUUCCGUAGAAUAGUCUAUCUUUAACGCUCGAUUUAGGCCUGUUUGAAAAAACCAGAUCAUGGGUUUUCAUGAUCUGGCUAGCUGCAUCAGAUGAAGAGACAACCAGCACUGGCUUGCUUCCAAAACGAAGUAGCAUGAGUGGGCCAUAUUUUCUUGACAAUGAUUGGAGGGAUCUGUGUGGAAGCAAGCCAAGCUGGUGAAUAUUUCCAAUAAUUGGGAGCUUUGGUGGAGAUGGUGGUAGCUCUUUUUGGGGUUUAGAAGCAGCAUAGAACCAUUUCAAAAGGGCUAGAAGGAAUACAACUGAGGAAACUGAGAAGAAUAAAAGAUCAAAAGAGAACGCCAUGAUCUAUAUGAUCUUGUGUUUGCCUAUUAAUGGGCUACUCUUCUUAUAUAAGAUUACAGGCUGCUUUUAGAAUUGAAAUCCCAAUAAUACACCUUACAACAAUAGGACCAGAAAUGUAUAUUUAAUUAUUUAGCACAAGGGAUGAUUUGAGCCCGCAAGUUACACGGGGAGGAAUGAGUUGGGUUGUGCAAAGAAAAGGAGUAUAAGUAAAAGGUUUGGAUGCUAACUCACUUACACUAAAAAGAAAAAAAAAAGGAGCGCAUACGUUACACAAGACAAAACUAUUGGUCUCUGAUUUAUGUUUUGGAGCUAUGGUAUUUUUGUCUGAUUUAUGUGAUUGGUCUCUGAUUUAUCUUUUGGAGCUAUGGUAUUGGAAUCAUGGAGAAAACUCCUUUGUGAAAGAAUAUCCAUUCACAUUUCGCAAAAUUUGACCCCAAGAAAUAGAAAAAGACUAGCUUCUGAUGGGAUCGGUGCAUCAGAAAAAAGACGUUUAUUUUUUUGUUCCUUGGAUGAAGGAAGCCGGAGCAUCAAACAUGCCCUUUCGGCCAUAGGCCAUAGCCCACAGCCGACAGUUGAUUCUCCUUUUUGCCACGGACGUCUUAUCAAAUUAUGUAACAAAAUUUCAACGGUUAGGUACAAAAAUAGGUAACUCCGUCUAGGUUGCCCAAUCAAUUAUGACUAUCAUUUUGUGUCUUUGAAGAAAAUUUGGCAUGCAAUUUUCCUAUGGGAUAAUUUCACAAACCUCCCCUGUAGUGUAUGACAAUUUCACUCGACUCCCCUCAAAUUUUACAAAUUACACUGACCUCCCUUAUUACAAUAAAAUGACUAUAAUGACCUUCACUUAAUAAAUAAUUCAUAGUAUAAUGAAAUGAGAUUAAAAAAAAAAUAAAAAGAAACCUGACUUCUUUGACUAUAUUAUUUAUAAGUUAUAAUCAACGACGAUUCUAUGUCACUUACUGUCACUCCGUUCUCAUCCAUCAACCCCUUCCUCUUAUAACUCGCUUUUAAAUUACUACCAACCAUUGCCUAUAACUACAGCCAAUUACAUCACAAGUGAUCUCUCAAACUCUAUUAUAUAUUUCUACUCCUCCUUUCUUCUCUUUGGAAUUGCCAAAUCACAAGUUUAGUUGAGGAAUUAGAUUUGAUGGUUGAAACAAAAUCCGAUUUCAUGGUCAAACUAAAAGGAGAUGAAGAGCCACACAAUAACAAUGGAACAAAUAAUGCUGUCAUUGGCCAAAAGAGAAAGAGAGACUGAAAUUGAUAAAUUUGCUAACCUAUCUAUCAUCUAUCAAAAAAACUUUUUAACACGUUAAUAAGUACAUUUAUAUUUCUUUUUAUGCUUGACAAUUGCUGGUUGUGAUUCGCUAUGGAGAUAGAGUUUCUUCUCUGUAUUUAAAAUGUUAACAUAUUUGGGGAUUUGAUGGUAGGCUAGAUUAUUUUAUUUUGAGAAGCUGUGAGCAUUGGGUUUGAAAUUUAGGGUGUGAUUAGUUGUAAAUAUAAAUUUGAUUUCGGGCAAAAUGAAUUUCUUGAAGAUCUGUAUAAUAAUAAUGAUGCCUUCCUUCUCUUAAACUUGAUUACUCCAAUCCAUACCUAAAUCUCCCCUAAGGAUUUUCUUCAAGACCAUAAUGUGGCUCAUAUAGUAGGAGUUAGGGUUGCAUACGAACAGAGUCGAGUCAAACUUUGGUCUAAUCGAGCCGAACCUUAACUUAGUUUUAUUGAAUUUAAACUCAAACUCGAGCUCAAGGAGCUGACAAUUUUGAAACUGGAGCUCGAGCUCAAAAAAUAAAAACAAUUAUUUUAUUUUUUAAAAAAUAAAUAAAAUAAUAUUUUUUCUUAAUAAAUAUUAAAAUAUUAAUGAUAUAUAUGUAAUUUUACUAUUAAAAUAAAAAAAUAUAUAUGUACUUGAUUUGAGCUCGAGUUCGAGCUCGAUUUCGACUCGGCCAACUUGAGUUCAAUAUUGAUCGAGCUUGAGUCGAGCUUGACUCGAGCGGCUCGUGAACAGUUCGAUUCGUUUGCACCCCUAGUAGGAGCUGAGCUACUUAGAUGGAAUCAAAUCAUGGCAUCCUAUGUUGAAAAUUAUGCAAAUAUAAGGGUAGUUGAUUGUGAUUUAUCAUUCCAUGAAAUCAUACAGUAAGAAUAUUUCUGAAAGAUGGAACGAAUCUUCAAAAUUGAAUGCAUGCUUUGGGAGAAGCAAUUUUAUGACUAUGAUGAUGGAAUUUCUUGAAUUUAGAAAUUGGAAUUAGACUAUUUGUUAGGCUAGUUUGUUAGUAUAGUGGGUUUUGUUGAAAUAUGGAAGAAAUCAAUCGGCAAAAUAAUUUUUGUUUUAUUUUUUGAUAAAAAGGGUAGUUUAGGAUUUUUGAGAAAAAUAUAGGCUUUUGGACCUAUAUUGUUAUAUAAAUAGUAAAAGCAAUGGAUAUAGGUGUAAUUUAAUAAACUUGAGAGGAGCUCUCUGCAAUUGUCAGAAUCUUAGGGGAGGUUUAUGAAAUUAUCCCUUUUCGUAUUCUUAAGUUUGAACUAAUGUUUAAUAGUAUAAAUGCACCAUAUGCUUGUGAGUUUGAAUUUUCUUUCGAAAUUUUGAGGAACUAAUAUUUGGAAAGUUUAUUAAUCAACUUUUUCUACCAAGGCACAAUAUUCUUCAACUCUAGAAAUAUUCGAAUAUAAAUUAUUACCUCAUGAAAUGUUUUAUCAGGAGCUGAUUAAGAUGUAAUUGGUCUAUGUCCAUAAUACACUGGCUUCGGUAGGUGAGUGUGAUGAGAUCAUCAAUGAUCUUACCACGUGAUUUGAAGAUUAUAAGUAUUAUCUAUAGUAAAUCUGACAAUUGUUAGGCCUCUUAAAACUAAUGAUUAGUCUAAGACCCUAUUUGAUAACUCAGUUCAGCAUUUAAAUUUAAUGGAUUCAAAUCUUAAUAUAUUCAAACCGUUGAUAACAAAAAAUUGAACAUUUGAAUAAUUAAAUGACACUGAAUUUUUUAGACAAAAUUUGCUCCCAAAAUUAAGUGAUAAACUAUUCACUUAUCACUGAAUGUGAUAUACACUCAAAUGUAUUAUAUUUAAUAUUUAAGAAUUCAUUAAUUUAAUAGAUUCAGACUUUAAAUUUUAGAUUUCAGAUUUCAGUUUUAUCAAACAACUCAUUGGAUGAUCAAAAGAUUUUGCUUUUACUUUGUUUUAUGGGAUAAUAACAUAAAACUCCCCUAAGGUUUCUCUUAAUAUCAUCUAACACCUCUAAAGUUUUAAAAAAUAUUACUUACAUCCAUUUUGUUAUUUGUGUUACAAAAUUAUUGAAAAAUCUAAACUGUCCUUUCGCUUGCUAAAUAAAAAUGCUCUUAAGCCACUUUGUUUAUUCCAAGAAAGCCAUCACCUAAAAAACAAUUUGUAGUAGUACCACUGCAUCACAAUGCUACAGUCCAUAAAAUAUAAAUUUAAAAAACAAAAAAGAUAUUUACAAAGAAAAACAUUAGCAUAAUUUAACUCUAUAUGCUCAAAAUUAAUUUCUUAUAAACCAUUGUUUAUUCCAAGAAAAUCAUCACCUAAAAACAAUCUAUAGUAGUACUACCACAUCACAAUGCUACAGUCCAUAAAAAUAUAAAUUUGAAAAGCAAAAAAGAUAUUUACAAAGAAAUACAUUAGUGUAAUUUAACUCUAUAUGCUCAAAAUUAAUUUCUUAUAAACCUUAGAUUUUCUUCCAACUUAUUGUCAAUCCAUGUCCAAGCCUUUAAAUUAUACUGAUCAUUAUAAAAAUCAAUUCAAAAUAAUCAAAGAAAUCAUACCCCCACUCUAUCACAAUCACAAAAUUUAAAAGAUAAAUAAAAUUGAAUUUACUAUUACUUAUAAAUAAAAAAAUCAUAUAGUCAUCCAAAAAAAAAAAGAAUAAGAAAGAAUGUUGGAGAAAGAAGAAAUAGAAGAAAGUGACUUGUGUUACCUUUUUUUUAAAAUUUUUUGAGCUCCAUUUAUUUGAUAUGUGAAUUACGUAUUGAGAGUUAAUCUAGUUUUUUUUUUUUUUUUGCAAUUAUUAGGGGACAUAAGUGAUAUUUUCAAAACCUUUGGAGUGCCAAGUGAUAUUAGUAGAAAUCUCAAGGAAGAUUUUUGAUAUUAUCCCUUGUCAUGUUUGUUAUACAAUAAAAUUUCUGCUCCAAAAAGCCAUACAGGGCAUUUGAAGCUAUGCUGUUGCUGAGAUGGUAUAGUCCCUUGGCCACUCUCUCUGCACUCUUAAUAUCGGCCCUCCAAUAUCAUAGAGUAAUCAAAUUAUCACAAACCAUUCACAUUCAAAAAAAAGAAGUUUUGCGGAUAAAGCAGUUCCUUGGCGCAACUAUGCACCGCAACAUCCUAUCAGAUGAAAGUACAGUUUUCCAAAAUCAAUCGUAGGGAAUUUGGACUGUUAUUCCUUCGAAACGAGGGAUUUAAUUACAAGUGUCCGUUGUUACAAAUUUUCAGCUGUUCCCGAAUUGGUGCAAAUUCUACAUCGAACUCAUAGUUAUCCUGCAACUCCCAUGUACCAAUUGCGUAGUCCUAUGCUAUGAAUUGUUGUAUAGGCAUAAUAAGAUAUAACUCAGAAUACAAACCUUUUUUUGAAUUAUUGAUCAGUAGCUUAAAUACAAUUUGCCAACACUAGAUAUUUGCUGUCUGGUUAUUUGGAGAAUAGAUCAGUAUAAGGUCCACAUUUAUACUUGAAAAGAUAGGUAAAGAAGGCCUCUAACUAGAAUGUGGAAUAGCUACUGCAAAUACAGGAUUUUUUCUGUGGUUGGUGAGACCAGUGGCUUCAGACAUGUACAAAUCGUGUGGUUUAGCUCCAUCAGUCCAUGCAAAAUCAAACUUGUAUACCAAUUUUGCCAAUGCAAGCUCGUUGACAGCCACAACAAAGGUAGUACCAGGGCAACCCCUGCUUCCAGCUCCAAAUGGAAUCAACUCAGAGUUAAAACCUCGAAAAUCGAUCGUACUAUUCAAGAACCUCUCUGGUUAAAAUUCGGCAGGCUGAUUCCAAGCAAUGGAUCUCGUAAAAUUGCCCAAGCAAUUACCAUUACUGCUGCACCUGCUGGUAUAUCAUACACCAUUAUCCUAACGUGUUUAGUUGAUUCUCGACGAAUGAAAUAAUGAGAUUGGAGUAUGAAGUCGUAAAGUCUCCUUGAUCACUGCUUUCAAGUACUCCAUUUUGUGUAAAUCAUCUUCAGUGAUUUCCGAUUUUCCUUCAGUUAAUUGUCUUACCUCAGUUUGCAAUUUCUCCAGGCCCCAGAAGUUCAGACAUUGGCCACUCCAUAUUGAAUCAGUCCUGCAGCAAACACGUCCUAAUCAUGGCAUUUGAAAAAGAAAAAGGAAAUGCUGUUUUAUUGAAAAAAAAUGACAUUCAAAGUUGAAAAACUUAUAGGAUAAGAAGAUAACCCUUAUUAACGUCAAACACAUCUUUUCUAUUUCAAAGUUGACGUGGAUUAUAUGAUUGUUUAUCUGAAAGUUGAAUUGUAUACCAUAACAAAACAAAACUAUAGGGUAGCAUAAUAAUUUGUUCUAUUUUUUGAUACUCUGACAUUGAUUUUAUCUCUCACUUACAAUUAAAAAAAUCUAAAAAGUGUGUCAAAUCAUGUCUCUAGUUUAGGUGGGGUGCUUACCUUUUCCUUAGGUGUAUAGACUUCAAUUUUGAAGGUUCUUGAUAAUAUCAAGGAAAGGUUUAUUUCCUUAGCUAAGGGAAAUGUUUAUUUCCCUCUCCAAUAUUAAUAAUAUCAAGGUCACUGUAAAGCUUAACUAAUACGAUUAAAAUUAAUGACAAUUAUUUGUUAAUUAGUGCAAAGCUUAACUUAUACGAUUGCUUAGUGCCUUAGUUGUCUUUUGAUUUUCUUAUUGAGCAAUAAGAACGCAAACCAACCUGCUAGUGAAACAUGAAUUCACGAGUAACACUCUAAUAUUAAAGUGAUAGACCAUAAAAAUAGUGAGUGUAGGCAACACUAAUAUCAUCACCCAACCACAUAGCUACCAUCUCAAUGUUACAUAUUUCAGGGAGAAUUUCCAAGAGCUACAUGCAGGCUAAAUAUAACAGGCAAGACAAUUUACAUAAGUUCUCAACUUGAUCUUGUAAACCUUGCCCUAGGACAUGCUAAACUUCUCUGUUCUCUGUGCCAGGAGAGAAACUAAGGAGAAUAUGGAGUGGCAACAACAAGUAUAGGAAGUUUUCUAUGCACAUCGAUGCCACCAGCUUCAGUCAUGUCCAUGUCCUCUAGUUUUCCUCCAUCAAGCAAGGCAAAGGCAAAUUUGCGCCGUAAUUUUGCUAAUGCAAGUUCAUUGAUAGCCAUGGCAAAGGUCUUACUGGGGCAUCCCCUUCAGCCGGCAACAAAUGGGAUCAACUCAAACUUUGAAAAUCUAGACCAACAUUCAGAAAUCUCUCUGGCUGAAAUUCCUCGGGCUUCUCCCAAAGCAAAGGGUCUCUUCCAAUUGCCGCCCAUGCGUUAACGAUUAGUCGUGUUCGAAUUGGUAUGUCAUACCCCAUUACGUUGAUGUCUCGAGUUGAUUCUCGAGGAACUAGAAAUGGAACUGGGAAAUGAAGCCGCAGAGUUUCCUUAAUUACUAGCUUUAAACACUGCAUUUUGUCAAAAUCAUCCUCAGUUAUCUCUGAUUUUCCUUGGCCUAUAGCUCUGACCUCAUUUUGCAAUUUCUCCAUGACCUUGGGGUCUCUUAGAAGCUCUAACAUCACCCAUUCCAUGACUGUAUGAGUGGUAUCAGUUCCAGCUGCAAACAUGUCCUAAUCAUGCAAAAUAGAAGCCAAUUGUUAAUAAGUUGAUGUAAAGUGCAGUUUUAUAUAUUAUAUGCCUUAAAGAGUGGUGAUUUUUACCAUGAUCACGUGGGAUCUUUAAUCCAAAGUUGGACUUAUAUGUGAAUAAUUAUGUAUUAUAAACUAUUAAAUAAGGUUAAAUUCAAUUAAAAUAAUUAAUUAUGGUUUGGGUUUUAAUAUAUCUAAUAGGAUGUAAGCCUUUAAUGUGUAGAAAUUUAAGGGUAAUUUCUAUUUCUAUGAUGGGCUGAAAUAGAAAUCUAAAAAAUAACAGAAAAGUUAUCUAUAAAUAGGGUUAUGAUCUCUAGAUCACACGUGUUCUUAUUUGUCGUAUUUUUAGUCCCUCAAAAUAACUCUUUUCUAAUAUCCCAUCGUUAGAAAAGAUUGGUGGCUGUCAAACUACAAAAAAUAAAAUUUAUAUGAAGACCUACUCCCAAAACCGAGCGAAUAUAGUGGUGAGUAGGGUCUCCUCAGGGAACUGGUAGAUUUAUCACACACAGAGAAUUUGGGGGGUUUUAGAAAGGAAGAUAAAGAACAAAUUAAAGAUGUAAGGUUACUGAAUUUUCAACUGCAAGAAGUGCAGUAACUACAGAAUACAAUAAACAAUUAAUUGAUACAACCUAGUUAAGGAGAUAAUUUCGGCACCGGCACACGCAAUUGAUCAUAGAUACCUGAAUCAAUUCACACGUUCGCAAAUAAAUUGGUUAAAGCAAUUUAACAACUUCCAAACUACCAAUCUCUUCUUAAUUAUAUGGUGGUUCACAGAUGCUCAUAAACCACUCCCUUAUAAAAUAGACAACCCCAAAGACGCUUGUGGGAUUUAAUCUAUUCACAACUUUAGGAAUUAGAGAGACCCGAUUCUAAUUAACAAACACAUGUGGGAGUUCAUUUAAACUAGAUUAACUAUUCCGAUGAUCCAGAUUAAAUUACUUGCGAGGCAAUGAAAUUGUGCCGUUUGCCACUAAUUUUAAGACGAUCAAGUGAUACGCUCCCCCGUCUUAAUUGGCAGUAUACUAUUCAGACAAUUGAAUAAUUGGCCACAUUAAUCCAAUAGAUCCAAACAAUAAUAGCCUAUUGAAACAAAAAAUAAUUAAAUACCCACGAACACAGAAUUCAAAAUAGCGCAAAAUAAUUAAAAAGAUCUCACAAUUGUCUGUGCACCGAACUUUGAUUAUUCCUCAACUAGAUAAAGGAGUUUAGCCUUGCCUCAUGAUGAAGACACAAUCCAAAGCUUUAAUGUAAUUUUUGUUCAUGAAAAAAGUAAAGCAACUCGAAAUCCCAACUCACGUUAGGAAGAAAAGAAAAAGAUGACAAGUCCGUCUACUAGUCGGUUGCUUUUGCUCUUUUAAAGUAAUUUCGCUGUCGCCGUCGCCGCUCUUUCCUUAUUUUUCUCCUUGAGUUGUUGCCAAAAGAGUCUCUGAAGAUGUUUCCUAAUCCUACGUAGCUUCAGAACGUAUCUCCCAACAGUAGUGGCGGCUUCCAAGAAUAAGUCUGCGGUCCGUCCUUUUCACACAACUCUGCGGUCUUUGACAUAGGUACGCUUUGGAACGACUAGUCUUCUGGAAUUUGGCCUCUUUUCAUCACUUUUGACACCAAUCAUCUGCAACUAACACAAAUACCAAUUACGAGUAGAAACCCAUUACUUUACAUAAUAAAUGGCUAAAAUUGAGAUCAAAUAUCAUCAAAUAAAAUACACAAUUGUCUCACUAUCAAAUCCCCCCACACUAAGACAAUGCUUGUCCUCAAUGGAGUAAAGAAAAAUAGAAAUAAAAAAGAAAGGAAUGGGAGCUUCCUUAAAGGCCAAACAAGUGCACGAAAGCAUUAUGGGGGAGGAGGGUGAGGCGAUUGAAAGCUAAUGUGGGCAAAGAAGGCUACCAAAUUUUCUAUCUAAAUAGUAGAACGGACCUGCAAGGCUGCGAGGCAAUCAUCCAAACGCUCAACUCGGUCGCCCAACUCAUGAAUGGAAUUCUGCAGAGUACAGAAUUGGGUGUCCCAAGAGAAUGGAGCAGUGGAGAAGGAAGGACCUUCCUGACCAGUCUCUGAGGUGGGCUCAAUAAGAGGGACCCGGGGUUGGGGCACACUAUCUCCUGGAGGUGUUAUCUGAUAGGCAUCACCCACCUUGCGAAUAACACCAUUCGCUCCAAACUGUACAGGUCCAAAGGCUCAAGCUCGCGAGCCAAGGUGAGCUUGUGGUCCUUAUCAAGGUCCAGCACACCCAAAUGGACCGCCAAAUGCAUGAUGAGCGAACCCAUAAUCAAGGGCUUAUGGCGCUUGUGAAGGAUGAACUGCAACUGAGAGGCCACCUAACAGCCAAAGUUGACCGGCACCUUAUUACGCAUACACCAGAGGAAAUAGAGAAAAUAGAAUUCCGCUUUGGCGAGAGUGCCAGAGGAAUCCUUCCAUCCCGAGAAGUUAUAGGCCAGAAACCUGUGAAUGACUUUCAGCACUGGAUUUUUGAGAUACAAGGCCCUAGACUGACUCAGGUCGUAGAACUGAGUGUCUGUGGACCACUCCCUCCAUAUUUCGAUAUAGUUGCUCGCAAAGGGUUAAGUGAAGUCACAAGCGCUAUUGAUAUAAGUCCCAGAGGUAAGGGUGUCCUCACUCACAAACCCCAAAAUCAAGUUAAACUCAUUAAUGGAAUGCUCUUGUGGGGUACCCCGCAGCCUAUAUUUGAUCACCCCCGGUGUGUCUAAAGCUAGAAAAUCAAACUUCUUAAAUUGGAAGGUGGUGUAAAAUUCAUAACAAAGUUACUCAUACGAAGGAUAGUUAAUAUCCAGGUAUUGAUCCCACCAAAUGGCAGAAAGCAACUGCUCUACUUCCCUAGCAAUGUUCAACUAGUCGAGAGUCGGGGGAUGGAAACACUUACAUGGGGUGAAUGGACGCACCACUAAGGAGCUCAAUCAUUCCUUCUGCUUCGGGGUGAGAUCCUUUAGAGGUUUCUCCCACACCCCAGGAGACAAAGUACUCCUAGACAGUCCUAAUUGGGACCUAGUGGGAGGUUGAAUCGGGGCCCGCUUCUUCCGAGAGUUGGAACCUGAUGCAUCAGAAGGGGUGGCUUUUUUUGAAGCCAUAUAAGGGCAAAGAUGUCUAUUACACAAGCACAGAGCCGACAAGAAAACACCAAAUAGAGAGAAGAGACCACAAAUGACAACACCCACAGUCAACGAACAAUUGAUGGAGAAGAAACAAAGAUACCCCACUAGCGUCACCAAGGCAAAUAAAAGUGAUAAAGGCAGACACGGAACGCUCCCGAAAUAUAGUCAACAAUCAAAUUCACCCAAUCACAACCAACAAAUAUCCCCAACCCAAUAAGAGGAUGAAAUUAAACAGGAGAAACUCUAUUUUUGAGUCACUAGUUGGAAAAAAGAAGAGUAGAUAAGGGUACCACUCUGCAAAGCCGCGGAGAUCAGCUACAGCGAGCGGAUUCCAGCGACGGUCGGGGCGGCAGUUGGAGAUGGCAGCGGCGGAUGUCCGUGGGUUGCGUGUAGGAAAUCGAGAGGCAGGGUGGCAAAAGGAUGGCGGUGGCACGCUCAAAGAUAAUGGGUUGCGUUGUGGGUGAGGCGGUAGUGUGCGCGAGGAGGAAGUGAGCAGUGGCGGAUGUUGGUAGUGGCGGAGGGCCGCAGUCGCGCUUGAGAGAGAGAAUCAGGCAGUGACGGAGCGGCGAUAGCAUCGACAUCAAUCGCACAAGAAAGAAAGAGACGCGUGCAGUGGCGGCGAUGGCGAUGGCGACGAUGGUAUGCUGCGAAAAUGGGGGGAACCAGGGAAGACAAAAGGAGAAAAGACAAGAAAAGAAAAGAAAAAAAUAGAAAAAUAGGGUUUAGAGUGGGUCCAGUCACUUUUUACUUUUGUUGUCGCAAUGAUUGGAAGGCGCGGGCAUGCUCUGGAAGCCGAAGUCAUCUGCCUCCCUUGUUGUAACAGGACCAAUGCGAUUCAUUGUGCGGCGUGGGCACGCCUUAGAAGCUUAAGUCUUCUAUUCAUCAAUGUUUAAACGCACCCAUUUGCAUUUAACACAAUGUGUGAGCACGUCUUGGAAGGGAAAGUCUUCUGCCCAAGAAUAUUGCCUCUAAUCUAAAAUUAAACUUCACAGGACAUAUCCAUGACCUGAAAUAAAGAAUUUCUGUCAAUAGGAACCCAAACACCCUAAUUUUGAACACAUAAAUAUGAAAUAAAAACACAAACAUGACUAAAAAUUGAAACUUUUGGAUUGCCUUCCAAGCAGUGCCUCUAUUUAACGUCUGUGGCUAGACCAAAAGUAAUUUAACAAAUUAAUUAGAAUAGGGGUCGAGCAAAUGGACCUCCUCCAUAGUGCCAAUUUCUGAAACAUCAAUAAACGGCUUGAGAUGAUGACCAUUAAUCUUAAAACUUUUGCCAGUCUCUAAGUUUCUAAUUUCAACUACACCACUAGAAAAAACGUUGGCAAUCACAUAUGGUCCAAUCCAUCGGGACUGCAACUUACAUGGCAUGAAUUUCAACCGAGAGUUUGUGCGUUCUUUGUAAAAUCGUGCAUUGUCGCAAGCCUCCAAGCAGAUCUCCUCCUACUCUUGAAGUUAGAGCUUUCUUUUCUUGCCGUCUCUAUCCGUGUUCAAAUUACACUGUUUAACUACUCAAAAUGCACAAUGUUCAAUUGCAACAGGUAAAUUACACAUCUUAUCAUAAACCAACCUAUAUGGAGACAUUCCGAUUGGUAUUUUAUACGCCGUGCAAUAUGCCCACAAUAUAUUAUCCAGUCGGGUACUCCAAUCCUUGCGAUUUUGGUUGAUCAUUUUCUCCAAAAUACUUUUAAUCUCGUGAUUAGAGACCUCCGCAUGCCCCUUGGUCUGCGGGUAGUAGGUAGUACUAACUUGAUGGUAAACUCCAUACUUACGCAUCAAUACUUCAAUGGUGCGAUUGCAGAAAUAAGUAUCUUGAUCACUGAUAAUCGCUCUUGGCACACCAAACCUACUAAAGAUAUUGGAUUUAAGAAAUCUUGCAACGACUCGUGAGUCAUUAGUUCGGGUAACCUUUGUUUCUACCCAUUUUGAUACAUAGUCUACUGUUAACAUAAUAAAAAGAAUACCAAAAGAACUGGAAAACGGUCCCAUAAAAUCCAUACUCCAAACAUCAAAGAUUUCACAAAAUAACAUAGGAACCUGAGGCAUUUCAUCUUUGUGGGAUAAACUCCUAAACUUUUGGCAUUUUUCACAUCUUUUUGCAAAACAAGUAAGCAUCAUGAAACAAGAUUUGCCAAUAAAAGUCAUAAUCAAGUAUUUUUUGAGUAGUUCUUAUAGGACCAAAGUGACCGCCACAAGCAUAAUUAUGACAAUGAGUAAGUAUAGAUUGAAUUUUUUCAUUUGAAACACAUCGACGAAUAAUCUGGUCAGAGUUUAUUUUUCACAAAUAGGGCUCAUUCCAAUUGUAAUAUCGAGAGUCCAAUAUUAUUUUAUCCUUCUUAUUCUUACUCAUACCACUUGAAAAUUUGUGACUAACCAGAAAGUUAACAAUAUCAGCAUAAUAGGGUUCCUCACCUCUAAAUUGAAACAAGUGUUCGUCUAAAAAUAUCUCAAAUAUGGGCACUCUCCCUUCUUCUCGAAUCAAUCGGCUCAAAUGGUCUGCCACUGAAUUAUCUACCCUCUUUCGAUCUUUGAUCUCCCAAUCAUAUUCUUGCAGCAGGAGUAUCCAACGAAUGAGUCUUGGUUUGGACUCCUUCUUUGCCAAAAGGUAUUUCAAGGUUGCAUGAUCAGAGAAAACUGUUACUUUCGAUCCUAAUAAAUACGAUCGAAAUUUCUCAAAAGCAAAAAUAAGUGCUAAAAGCUCCUUCUCUAUGGUGGUGAAGUUGCAUUGAGUCGGCGACAAUGUUUUUUACGCAUAGCAAAUGACAUGCCUACACUUUUCACUUCGCUGACCGAGCACAGCUCCCACUGCAUACUGACUAGCAUCACACAUAAGCUAGAAUAACAUGCUCCAGUCCGGAGGUUGAAUGAUUGGUGUCGUGGUCAACAUACUUUUUAGUGUAUCAAACGACAUUUUACACGUAUCUCCAAAAUCAAAUGGUGCCUCCUUUUGAAGUAGUCGGGACAAUGGUUGUGCAAUUCAUGAGAAAUCCUUGAUGAAUCAUUUGUAGAAUCCUGCAUGCCCAAAAAAACUACGAAUCUCCUUGAUAUUAGUAAGGUAAGGUAAGCUAGUAAUCAAAUCAACCUUUGCUUUAUCAAUUUCGAUACUCCUAAACGAAAUGAACAUGACCUAAGACUAUACAUUCCUUAACCAUAAAAUGACAUUUUUCAUAAUUAAGAACCAAAUUUGUUUCAAUGCAUCGCUGUAAAACUUUUGUUAAAUGAUACAAGUAUUGAUCAAACGAAUCACCGUAGACUGUGAAAUCAUCCAAUGAAUAUGUCAAUAUAAUUUUCAAUCAUGUCAGAAAAAAUACUCAUCAUGCAUCUUUGAAAUAUUCCUGGAGCAUUACACAACUCAAAAGGCAUAUGGCGAUGGGCAAAAGUGCCAAAUGGGCAAGUGAAAGUGGUUUUGUGCUGGUCCUCCUGGGUAACAGUGAUUUGAUAAUACCCAGAAUAGCCAUCAAGGAAGCAAAAAAAAAAACACUUACUUGCCAAUCGCUCAAGCAUCUCAUUGAUGAAUGGUAAUGGGAAAUGAUCCUUCCUUGUGACCGCAUUCAACUUCCUGAAGUCUAUACACAUUCUCCACCCAUUUUAGAGUCUCAUUGGCACCAACUCAUUCUUCUCAUUCCGCAAAAGUGUAAUUCUAAUCUUUUUAAGGACGACAUGCACUGGACUUACCCACUCGCUAUCGGAGAUAGGAAAAAUAAUUCCUAACUCCAAUAGUUUGAGAAUCUCCUUCAUUACCACCUCUUUCAUGGCUGGGUUAAGUUUCCUCUAAUGUUCCCUUACCGAUUUUGCAUCUGGUUCAAGUAGAAUAUGGUGCAUGCAAAUGGAUGGAUUUAUACCUUUGAUAUCUGCCAACAUCUAUCCAAUUGCAGGUUUAAAUUCUCGCAACACUCUUAAGAGUUUUUCUUCUUGUACUGCUGUCAGAUCACUUGCAACGAUGACCGACAGAGUGUUAUGAUCUCUCAGAAAAGCAUACUUCAAAUGCUUUGACAAUUCUUUUAAUUCCAACUUGGGUGCCUGUUCAACAGAGGGUAAAAUUCUCUCAUUAGAAAUAGGUAAUGGUAAAAAUAAGUCUACUGACCUGUUGGAAAAUGCAGGAAGUGAAUGAAGUGAUAUAAUUGCUUCUAUGGUAUCCCCAUCAUCUGCUCUUUUCACUUCCUCAUUCGUCUUGCUCUAUUAUAACACAAAUUUCAGCUUGUUUUUCACGAGAUUCUGUUCAAAAUAAUCUUGCACAAUGGAAUUAGUGACACAAACACAAUUAACAGACUCAGUAUCAUCCGGGUAUUUCAUUGCAUCAAAAAUGUUAAAAGUGACUGUUUCCCCGUUCAAAUUCUACCGAUAGGGUACCUUCGUGCACAUUUAUCUUUGUUCUAACAGUACUCAUGAAUGGUCUACCUAGAAGAAGUACAGCUGAAUUGGCUGAGUUAUCAUCAUUCAUGUUAACAAUAUAGAAAUUCGCAGGAAAGAUAAACUCAUUAACUUUCACUAGAACGUCUUCAACUACACCGUCAAGGUAAACUUUGACCUAUCGGUUAAUUGAAUUAUUACCCUUGUAUCCUUUAAAGGUCCUAAGUUUAAGGCCCUAAUUAUGGACAAAGGCAUGACAUUGAUAGAUGCCUUUAGAUCAAGCAUACCUUUUUCUAUCCUCUUCUGACCUAUGAUGCAGGGUAUAGUGAACAUACCUGGAUCCUUGCAUUUGUGCGACAACUUCUUUGGAAGAACUGCUGACACAUUCUCACCUACCUUCACUUUGUCUUGAAAAUUCAACUUGUUCCGAUUAGCAUAGUUAUUAAACCCAACUCGACCCGGUGGUCGAACCAGUCAAACCAGUGAAUCGGCCAUUGGACCGGACCAGAUUUCAAAAUCACAUCGUUUGGGCAAGGGGACCGUUGACUAGUCGACGACCCGGCGGUCCGACCGAAUUAAAUUGAAAACCCGGCCAAUUUUGUCAACAAAUCCAAUUUUGUGGAAAAAUUUUAAUGCCUUCUUUGGAAUUUGAAUCUUAGACCUCUGCCCAACACUACAACAUACUUACCACCAGGCUACUUCGAAAUAUGCUAAGAGAAUAGCUUUAUUAUAAUAUAUAAAUAUUUUUUUAAUUCUAUCUUUUUUUUCUCUAAAACAAAUAUAUUGGAAUCUUUUAAUAAAAACUUAUUACCCUCCAAACUCUAUAAGUUAUAAAAUGGAUUUAAAAAAUAACAUAUUACAUAAUUCAUUUUAAAGACAAAUAUUAUUUUUAAUAAUUUUUUACACUUAAAAUUCAUAAAUAAGCUAGAUAAUUGCACUAAAUAUAGAUAAAAUUUUACACUUGAAAUUUGGUAUUUACUAAAUAAUUUUAUAUUUGAUUGAUUCUUAUAUGAAUUAAUUAUUUUAUAGCAAAUUAAAUUAAAUGAGCUUUUGCUAUUGCAUUAUUUAUUCCAAUUUAUAUCAUAUAUCUUAUAUAAAAAAUUAUGAAAUAAAUAUUUAAAUAUAUUAAGUAACCCACCGGUUCAACCACUCAUCCACCGGUUGAAUCAGUAACUCGUUGACCCAGCUCCUUCGCCGGAUUCCUUCCCAAAUUGGGUUUAAUAACUAUGCCGAUUAGUACACAAUCCCUUCAAAAACUUCGCAUAUUUAGGCAACUGCCUAAUGGCAUCAAGCAAAGGGAUGUUGAUUUUCACUUUCCUAAAGGUAUCUAAAAUCUCCUUCUCAGACUCCUCUUUCUUGGCUUUAGCCAACUUACCAGGAAAAGGAAGGUUAAUAUUAAAUGUCUUAGGAGCAUUUUACUGGUGACUUACCUUUUUCUCUUCACGCUCCCCAGACACUUGUUCAUCUUCAACUCCUACUGCUUCCGAUUCUGAGGACUGCACCUCCUUGCCACUUUAUAGAAGCACUGCACUGACAUUCUUCUUUGGAUUGGGAAUUACCUAAGAUUGUAGCUUCCCUUUGUCAUUCUCAACGCUGCUCAUUGAAGAUGCCAGUUGUGACAUUUGCGUCUCCAAAUUCUGAAUGCUAACGCGAGUCUCUUGUUGAAAUCUCUGCGAGUCCUCCUGCAUUUGACAAGUGCUAUUAGCUAGAGAUUUGACCAUAUCUUCAAAGGACAUACCUGAAUUAAAUGCAGAUGAUUGUUGUACUAGUGGUCUCUGCAGGAAUGAACCAAGGGACUGCGGCGUGAGCAGCCGAGGCGGCCGUGGACUGCGGCGAGCUUCGGGCAGCAGCGGCGCGCUGCGGUGGGUGGCGUGCGGUGCGAGACGGCAGCGCGCGCGAGGGAGAUGGGCUGGUGGAGCGCGCGGCGGCAGUGAUGGAGAUCUGCUGGUUGGCAACAGAGGAAGCGUGGGUUGCGACUGAUGGUUGCGAAUCGAAGAGAGAGGGAGAGAGCUCGCGGCGGGAGCGGAGAUGGUGGGAGGGCGGCGCGGCUCUCGGUCGGCGUGCGCAGAGAGAAGGGGAGCAGCGGGGAAGAAAGAAAGAAAAGAAAAAGAGAAAAGAAGAAAGAAAGAAAAGAAGAAAAGAAAGAAAAGAAAAGAAAAAAGAAAAAGAGAGAAAUUGAUGUUUUUUUUUUUAAAUGUUUCUUUUCUUUUCCUUCCAAUUAUGAGGCUCUUUGAGCCACGGAAAUAAAUUUUUUAAAAUUUGGAAACUAAAGCUACGGUGAUAAGAAAUGUUUAUUCAAAUUUUUUUUUUUUUUUUGAAUCCCUACCUUUCCCGCGAACGUGACGCGGGCACGUCAUGAGGGCAAGAGAGCUCCCAGAAGUUUCAGAAGUUUCAGAAGUUUCUGAUCGUGAGCUUCCUGCACAUCUCCACGCGGGCGCGUCAUGAGGGCAAGAGAGCUCCCAGAAGUUUCAGAAGUUUCUGAUCGUGAGCUUCCUGCACAUCACCACGCGGGCACGUUAUGACUGAAGGGCACCUAUAGAUCAGCAAAAACGCAAAUUGAAACCCAAAAUCAGUCUAAUUCAGGGAGAACACAUCUAAACUAUCACACGAAAUUGAACAAACAAUGAAAAGGAACAAUUGGGUUGCCUCCCAAUGAGCGUCUUUCUUUAAUGUCUUUGGCUAGACAUCGUCCAAAACUUUGCUUAAACUAAGCAAAUCGAGUCUUCCAAGUGCACCAUCUCCACCCGUUCAAUUGCAACCCCUUCAUAAUACGGCUUGAGACGAUGACCAUUCACUACAAAUUUCUUCUCAGUCUUCAAACUUUGGAUCUCUACUGCACCAUAAUGAAAGACAUUAGUCACAACAAAAGGACCAAUCCAACGAGAACGUAACUUACCUGGAAAUAACUUCAAUUUGGAGUGGUACAGGAGAACUUUUUGCCCACACUCGAAUGUCCUCCUCGAGAUCUGUUGGUCAUGAAAAAUCUUAUUUUUCUCCUUAUAAAUUACCGCAUUCUCAUAGGCCUCAUUGCGAAUCUCCUCCAACUCCUGUAAAUCCAAUUUCCGUCGGGCACCGGCCUCUUCUAAGUUCAUGUUGCAUUGCUUUAUCGCCCAAAAAGCCUUGUGCUCGAACUCCACUGGAAGAUGGCAAGGCUUACCAAAUACUAACCUAUAGGGAGACAUCCCUAUAGGCGUCUUGUAAGCGGUCCUGUAUGCCCACAAAGCAUCUUCCAACCUUGAACUCCAAUCUUUCCUAUCGGGGCGCACCAUUUUCUCCAGAAUAGACUUAAUCUCCCGGUUUGAUACCUCCGCUUGACCAUUGGUCUGAGGGUGGUACGAUGUCGAGACCCUGUGGAGUACACCAUACUUGCGAAACAACGCAGCUAUGGUUUUGUUGCAGAAGUGCGUCCCCCUAUCACUGACAAUGGCUUUUGGCAUUCCAAAUCGUACAAAAAUAUUAGACCUAAUAAAAUCUGCAACUACCUUCGAGUCAUUAGUCCGAGUGGCCUUAGCCUCCACCCAUUUGGACACAUAAUCAACUGCCAGCAAAAUAUACAGAAAACCAAAUGAAGUAGGAAAAGGCCCCAUGAAAUCUAUACCCCAGACAUCAAAAAUUUCUACAAAAAUCAUCGGGACUUGGGGCAUAUGAUCCCUACGGGUUAUAUUACCUACCCUUUGACAGCGAUCACAUGACUUACAAAACACAUAGGCAUCCUUAAACAAUGAAGGCCAAUAAAACCCACUUUCUAAAAUCUUAUGAGCAGUCCUCUUGGGUCCAAAAUGACCUCCACAGGCAAAAGUAUGACAAAAAGCUAGAAUCGAUUGAAAUUCCAUUUCACUUACACAUCUCCUCAUUACCUGAUCUGCACACCUCUUCCACAAGUACGGGUCAUCCCAGAUAAAAUACUUGGCGUCGCUCUUCAAUUUAUCCCUCUUCGAUUUUGGCCAACCUGCAGGAAAAUUACCAGUUACCAAAUAAUUGACCAGGUCAGCAUACCAAGGCAAUUUAGAAUGUAAGGAAAAUAAAUGCUCUUCAGGGAAUGCAUCCUUCAAUGGCUCAUUGUCCUCCCCGACUGGUAUGCGACUCAAAUGGUCUGCUACUAGAUUUUCUGAGCCUUUUUUGUCCCUUAUCUCAAGGUCAAAUUCAUGUAGUAGCAAUAUCCACCUGAUGAGUCUCGGUUUGGCAUCCUUCUUGGUCAUUAGGUACCUUAACGCUGCAUGAUCAGAAAAUACAAUUACUUUAGCUCCUAACAAAUAUGACCUGAAUUUUUCUAAAGCAAAAAUAACCGCAAGAAGCUCCUUCUCAGUGGUGGAAUAAUUCAACUGGGCUCCAUUCAAGGCCCGAGAUACGUAAUAGAUGACAUGAGCCGCCUUUCCUACUCUUUGCCCCAGGACAGCCCCAACAGCAUGAUCACUGGCAUCGCACAUGAUUUCAAAUGGCAAACCCCAAUCGGGGGGCUGGAUGAUUGGGGGUGAAGUCAACAAUUCCUUCAGCUUGUCAAAGGCUCUCUCACACUUGUCAUCAAACUCGAAGGCUACAUCUUUUUGCAAGAGUUGGAACAAUGGGGCCCCAAUUUUUGAAAAAUCCUUGAUGAACCUUCGAUAAAAACCUGCAUAACCAAGAAAAGAACGUACCUCCCGCACACUAGCGGGGUAACGCAAAGCAGAUAUAAUAUCUAUUUUAGCCCUGUCAACCUCGAUGCCCUUAGACGAUACAAUAUGACCCAGGACUAUCCCGUGCUCAACCAUAAAAUGACAUUUUUCCCAAUUAAGCACAAGAUUAGUCUCUAUACACCUUAUCAGGAUCAAUUUCAGGUUAUCUGGACAUGUAUCAAAACUAUCACCAUACACACUGAAAUCAUCAAUGAAAACUUCAAUUAUCUUCUCCAUAUAUUCAGAAAAAAUACUUACCAUACACCUCUGAAAUGUUGCAGGUGCAUUGCACAACCCGAAUGGCAUUCGUCUAUAGGCAAAGGUCCCGAACGGGCACGUGAAGGUUGUCUUCUCUUGAUCCUCCGGUGCAAUUGCUAUCUGAAAAUAUCCUGAAAAUCCAUCCAAAAAGUAAUAGUAAGCCCUACAAGCUAGACGUUCAACCAUCUGAUCAAUGAAAGGGAGAGGGAAAUGGUCCUUUUUAGUGACGGCGUUUAGCCUACGGUAGUCUAUACACUGCCUCCAUCCAGUGGGUUUGCGCACUGGCACGAGCUCACCCGUUUGGUUAGCCUCUACCGUCACUCCUGCCUUCUUUGGGACUACCUGGACCGGACUCACCCAAGAGUUAUCAGAUAUUGCAAAGAUGAUCCCCACAUCUAGCAAAUUUAAAAUCUCUUUCUUUACAACUUCCAUCAUGAGGGGAUUGAGCUUCCUUUGAGCCUGCCUAACAGGUUUGGCAUCCUCAUCUAGUCUAAUCCGGUGCAUACAGAUGGCCGGGCUGAUUCCCUUAAUGUCCGCAAUUGUCCAACCUAUCGUCUCUUUAUGCUCUCUAAGGACCCGGAUCAGUUUCUCCUCCUGGGUUUUUGACAGUGCCGAUGAGAUAAUCACCGGGAGUGUCUCAUUAUCACCCAGAUAUGCAUAUUUCAGGUGCUCUGGUAGAGGUUUCAACUCCAGUACAGGUGCCUGCACCACAGAUGGCAAUACCCUCUGGUGAGGUUCGGGAGUAAAAAUAGGUAAGACUUCAUACCUUUCGUGGUGGUCUACAAUGAGUGUAAUGCACCUAUUGUGCAUUUUUUAUCUUCACUCCACUCCACCUCAGGAGUUGUUUCCAACUCGAGGUGCUUGGUCAAAACUACCUCCAACUCAUCCCUGCCAACAGUUUCAAAUACUUCCUGCACCGCAGGGUCAAUAGCACUCACAGAGAAAACUGAGCUAAAGUUGGAGUUUGAGGGAUAUUUCAUAGUAUCAAAGAUAUUAAAGUGCACAAUUUCCCCAUCAAAUUCCAUGGAUAAGGUACCCUUAUUAACAUCAAUUUUUGUUUGUGCUGUGCUCAUAAAGGGUCUACCUAACAACAAAGGUGAGGGAUCGGGGGAGUGAUCAUCAUCCAUAUCAAGUACAUAAAAAUCAGCUGGAAACACCAAAUCAUUAACUUUCACCAACACAUCUUCAACCAACCCAUCAGGAUAUGCAUUAGUGCGGUCAGCUAAUUGAAUGAUUAUUCCAGUUUCUUUUAAUGGACCUAGCUUUAGAGAAGCAUAUAUAGAUUUAGGCAUGACAUUAAUUGAUGCUCCCAAGUCCAACAUGGCCCUUCUAAUCACAGUGUUCCCUAUCUUACAGGGGAUAGUAAACAUACCUGGGUCCCCGCACUUGGGUGGAAGCUUUCUCUGCAGGACCGCUGACACAUUCUCCCCAACAAUAACCCGUUCAUCUCCCCUCAAUCGCCUUCGGUUGACACACAAGUCCCUUAGGAAUUUGGCAUAUUUUGGUACUUGUUUGAUUGCGUCUAAGAGAGGGAUGUUUAUCUCAACCUUGCGAAAAACCUCCAAAAUCUCCUUUUCCAUAUCCUGCUUCUUCGAUUUUUCCAACCUGCUAGGGAAAGGAGGCGGGUUAGUUUUAGCUGUAAUUAUUGGGUCAGGAAGUACCUUUGGAUCUGCACCAUUGCUGUCCUCCCUUUCAAGCUCAUUUUCGAUCUUUUCCUCAUCCUUAUCCUUAGGGAUCACAGGUUCAGACCCCUGAAUUUCCUUCCCGCUCCUCAGGGUCAUGGCGCUCACAUUCUUCAGGUUCAACUCAGGUUGAGAUGGCAGCUUCCCUUGGUUCUGGGAAUCCAAACGGUUGAUUGUUGUGGCCAUUUGACUUAUCUGAUUCCUUAUAUCCUGCAUUUCGGAGUCCGUCCUUUGCUGAAUUUGCACCAUGGUUGUCAUCAUUUGUUGAUUUUGCGCCAUGGUUGUCAUCAUUUGUUUCAUCAUCUCCUCCAAAGAUGGACCAGAGCUUGGGGGCGGAGGUGGUCGAGGUUGGUAUUGCUGCUGGUACCCCGGUGGCUUAUUUGGCACAAAGUUAGACUGCCUGUUCGGUGUAAAGUUGGGUUGCCUAUUCCCUCCAUAACUGAGGUUGGGAUGAUCUUUCCACCCGGGGUUGUAGGUGCUUGAGUAAGUGUCGUACUGCUUCCUUGGCGCGGGCGCGUGGUCAGCCAUGUUCACCUGUUCUGCAGUUUCUUCCUGAAUCAUUGGGCACAUAUCUGCAGAGUGACCUAUACCAGUGCAAAUCCCGCAUACCCUGGCUUGUGAUGCAUUUCUCACAGCCUGUUGCCUAACAAACGCGGUCAACUCAGUUAGCUGCUGCUGCAUGGAGGGUGUCUCUACCUCAUUCACCCUGCGUAUUGGACAAUCCUCUCUCGUACCGAAUUGUUGUGAAUUCUCUGCCACACUCUCAAUCAACUCUCGUGCUUCUUGAGGGGUUUUGUUCACCAGUGCCCCUCCACUUGCAGCAUCAAUUAUGCUCCUGUCCCCAAAAAGGAGCCCCUCAUAAAAAUACUGAAUGAGCAACUGCUCACUUAUCUGGUGCUGGGGACACUUGUGCAACAAGAAGUUGAACCGUUCCCAAUACUCAUAGAGUGACUCCCCUGGGUGCUGCUUGAUCCCACAAAUUUCUUUCCUCAGACUUGCAGCCCUGGACGCAGGAAAAUAUUUAUCCAAAAUUUUUUUCUUCAAUUGGUCCCACGUGGUGAUGCUACCUGGUGACAGGUAGUACAGCCAGUCCUUCGCAGAAUCUGUCAAGGAGAAGGGAAAUGCCCUCAUUUUUAUCUGCUCUUCUGUAAUGCCCGGGGGCUUCAUACUGUUGCACACGACAUCAAACUCCUGCAGAUGCUUAUACGGCUCCUUACCUGGUAAACCAUGAAAAGAGGGUAAAAGAGAAAUCAAACCAGAUUUUAACUCAAAUGAAGUGUUUUCACUCAAACUCGGGAAAGUAAUGCACAAAGGCUGCUGAUUUAAAUUAGGGGUAGCCAACUCCCUUAAUGUUCGUGCAUUAGCCAUGGGAAUUUCUUCUUGCUCCGAGUCACUCGAAGUGUCACCAAAUGAAUCUGUUGGUUCAACUCCUGACUCAGGUCUCUGAGAUGUAGCACUGGAGUGCUCCUCUCUGAGCUGUCUGGUUUCCUUCCUCGUUCUACGCGCGGUCUUCUCUACUUCAGGGUCAAAAAUCAAUUCACCUGUACGAAAAGAUCGAGGCAUACACUAGAAGAAAACCAGAAAAUUAGGACAAAAAAUGAAUUUAAAAAGAAACAAAUAAUAACGCCAGUCCCCGGCAACGGCGCCAAAAAUUGACAGGUUGUCAGCCUGUGCAAUAAUGAAACCUGCUCAAACUAAAAGUAAUUUCUGUAGACAGCGGUAAGCAGGGUCGAAUCCACAGGGAUUGGGAGUAAUUGUUUCUUUUCAAACUCACAGUGACAAAAGGGGGGUGUUUUUGUGGAUAGGCAACUAAAAAUAAUUAAACAAUCCAACUAAAAAUAAAUAAUUAACUAGCACAAGUUUAGCAGGAAUUAAAUCAAGAAUAAAUAAAUUCUAGCCAAGGACGCAACUACUCUGGCACAGUCCAAUCAUCCGAUCAUUGAUGUAAGAGAUGUUCACUUAAUGUAUUAAUAGGCUAGUUAUAGUCUGACGACCAAUUUUUCCUUAAAUUAUUGAUAACAAAGGUACGACCGUUGAUUACCCCUAAUCAGCAAAUACUCCUAGGUACGACCAUAGGAAGUAAUUUUCCAAUUGCAUUAAUAACUAGAAAAACCUAGCCCUAAUCAAUAACACGCUACGAGGAUUAUUUAAAUUAGAUCACACGUUCCCCUAAUGUGUAAACACACCAGUUGCCACUAAUAUUAAUCAAUCAAACAAUUACGGAUUUAAUUGACUAAAUUGGCACGAGAUUAAUAAAUCACAUUGAACACCGGGCCCUUGACAUCCAAUUAAUAAAAUAAUCCCAUGAAAAUUCAAGCAGACAACGUGCAAAUAUUAAUAAAUUAAGGAACACGUGAAAAUUAAUUAGAUCUCACAGAUUUUCGGGACUGCGCCGUCGAGUUGACCCUUGACUAGAUGGAAGGCUUAGCCACGCCGCAUAAUGAAAUCACCACACGAAUUAAUAAAUUGAAAAGGCAUUGCGUUUUCUAUUAGGAAGUAAGGAAUAAAAGGUGUUUUUCCCGUUGGGGAAUAUUGUCGAACACCUGGCGUGUGUCAGAGGCCAGUCAGGAGAAGGAAAGAAAAACUAAAGACUAGGCUAAAAACUAAACUAAAAGAUAAACUAAAAACUAGCCAUGUCUUCUUUCCCUACGUUCCCUAUUUAAGAAACAAAAGAAAGAUAGACUAAAGCUAUCUAGGUGGUCCCCACACAUGUGGACAAAGCCUCCCAAGUACUUCUUGUUCCAAGUCUCUUUUACGUAGCUUUCUUUGAAGAGCCCAAAUGACUUAUAGCUUUGUGGUCCCCACCAAUCCAAGGGCCCAAGGAUUGAAUCCCUUAGAAGUCUCCAUAUUCUUCAUAAAAUCCCUCCUUUUUGGUAGUUUUCUGUUUCAUUCCUGAAAUUAAGUCCAGAUACCAAAUAUGAGUAGAUAUCAGCAAUUAACACAAUAUUUAUCAGGGGUAAAAGGGGAAAUUAAUAAUAAAAUUACUAACAAAUUAUACCCUAUCAGUCUCUGCAGGAAUGGUUGUUGAAAGCCUGAGGGAUUUGGAGCAUAGCUGAAGUUGGGGUGGUUCUGCCACCUCGGAUUAUAUGUGGGCGCAUAUGGGUCAUUUCUCCUUUGGGAUGGUCCAGGCAAACCUCCCAUGGCACUGGUUUGCUCGUGAGGGUCUUCUUAGAGGGUCGGGCACAUAUCGGUCGCAUGUUCAGGGGCAGCACAUAUCCCACAUGCUUUAGUUGCAUGUACUUGCCCUAUAGCCAUUUGACGAACUAAUGUAGUUAGCUCCGUUAAUCUAUUUGCGAGGUCAGAAUGAUUUACCUUAUUGACCCUUCUAGUCACUGCCUCAAAUCUGACUCCAAACUGUUGAGAAUUCUCAGCCAUGUUCGAGAUAAGGCGUUUGGCUUCAUCUGUUGUCUUAUUUACUAAAGCACUGCCACUCGCUGCAUCUACCAUACUUCUAUCCAUGGGUAGCAGUCCCUCGUAAAAAUACUAGAUCAGCAAUUGGUCAGGGAUCUGAUGGUGCAGGCAACUAGCACACAACUGUUUGAACCGCUUCCAAUAUUCAUAGAGAAUUUCUCCAUUAGCCUGCCUAACUUCACAUAUUUCCUUCCUGAUGUUGAUGGCCCUAGAGACUGGGAAGAACUUCUCAAGGAAUUGCCAUUUCAAUCUUUCCCACGUAGUGAUGGACCCCAAUGGCAAGUAAAAUAACCAGUCCUUAGCCUUGUCUACUAGGAAGAAAGGAAACGCGCGCAGCUUGAUUUGUUCUUCCAUAACUCCAUGAGGUUUCAUGGUUGAACAUACUACAUGGAAUUCCUUCAAGUGCUUGUGUGAGUUCUCACCUGCAACACCGCGAAAAGUAGGUAACAAAUGAAUCAAUCUUAAUUUUAAUUCAAAAGCCUACUCAGUGUCAGGAUACGUAAUGCACAGAGGCUGUUGGUUAACAUUUGGGGUUGCAAGUUCCCUCAAAAUCCUUUGGGCUACCAUUGUUUCGUUGGGUCCAAUCAAGUCUGCUUCCAAUUCAACGGAUGAAUCACUUAAGUCAGAAUUUUGUUCCAGUCCGAGAAGUAUUGCCGCUGAAACUUGUUGCUUUUGCAACUUAGUCUCCCUCCUUGCUGCUUUCUCGAUCUCUGGUUCAAAUUCGAGUGUUCCUGUACAGGAAGAUCGAGGCAUAAAACAUGGGCUAAACAAAGCCUGUGCAAUAAAUAACUUCAAACACCAGAUCCCUGACAACGGUGCCAAAAUUUGGUAGCUGUCAAACUAUCAAAAAUAAAAUUUAUAUUAAGACCUACUCCCAAAAUUGAACGAACAUAGUGGUGAGUAGGGUCAUCUCCUCAGGAAACUGGUAGAUUUAUCACACACAGAUAAUUUGGAGGGUUUUAGAAAGGAAGAUAAAAAGAACAAAUUAAAGACGUAAGGUUACUGAAUUUUCAACUGCAAGAAGUGUAGUAACUACAGAAUAUAAUAAACAAUUAAUUGACACAAUCCAAUUAAGGAAAUAAUUUUGACACCGGCUCACACAAUUGAUUAUAGAUACCUGAAUUAAUUCACACGUUCGCAAAUAAAUUGGUUAAAACAAUUCAACAACCGCCAAACUACUAAUCUCUCCUUAAUUAUAUGGUGGUUCAGAGACGCUCGUAAACCACUCUCUUGUAAAAUAGACAACCCCAGAGACGCUCGUGAAAUUUAAUCUAUUCACAGUUUUAGGAAUUGGAGAGAUCUAAUUCUAGUUAACAAACACACAUGCGGGCUCAUUUAGAUUAGAUUAACUAUUCCUACGAUACAAAUUAAAUUACUUGCAAGGCAAUGAAAUUGUGCCGUUUGUCACUAAUUUUAAGACGAUCAAAUGAUACGCACCCCCGUUUUAAUUGGCAGUAUACUAUUCAGACAAUUGAAUAACUUGCCACAUUAAUCCAAUAGAUACAAACACUAAUAGCCUAUUAUAACAAAGAAUAAUUAAAUACCCACGAACGCAGAAUUCAAAAUAGCGCAAAACAAUUAAAAAGAUCUCACAAUUAUCUGUGCACCGGACCGUGAUUAUUUCUUAACAAGAUAAAGGAGUUUAGCCUUGCCUCAUCACGAAGACGCAAUCCAAAGCUUUAAUGUAAUUUUUGUUCAUGAAAAAAGUAAAGCAACUAAUCUAGCAACCUCGAAAUCCCAACUCACGUUAGGAAGAAAAGAAAAAGAUGACAAGUCUGUGUACUAGUCGGUUGCUUUUGCUCUUUUAAAGUAAUUCCGCUGCCACCUCUCUAGCCAAUCAAGUGGUUUGUAUCUAUAAGGGAUCCAUUUCCUUAUUUUUCUCCUUGAGUUGUUGCCAAAAGAGUCUCUGAAGAUGUUUCCUAAUCUUACGCAGCUUCAUAACGUAUCUCCCAACAAUAGUGGCGGCUUCCAAGGAUAAGUCCGUGGUCUGUCUUUUUUACACAACUCUGUGGUCUCUGACGUGGGCACGAUCUAGAAUGACUAGUCUUCUAGAAUUUGGCCUCUUUUCAUCACUUUUGACACUAAUCGUUUGCAACUGACACAAAUACCAAUUACGAGUAGAAACCCAUUACUUUGCAUAAUAAGUGGCUAAAAUUGAGACUAAAUACCAUCAAAUAAAAUACACAAUUGUCUCAUAAUCAAAGAUAUCAGAAAGAAAUUAAAGAGAUCUCUUAAGUGAUUAGCGAAUACUUGUUGACUUAGAAAAUCACUCCAAUAUCUCUGAGGAUUCAAGUGUCAGUUAGUCAACAUGAAUCCAGGUACACUUCCGUAAUUUUACUGUUAAUUUAUUUCUUAAUAAUCACCAUAAAGAUUUUGGACUUCAUAGGUAAUAGUUUUCAUCAAAACUUAAUAUAAACAACCACCAUCAAGUGGUAUCAGAGCAGGAUAUGGUUGAUUAUUAGGAAAUAAUUUGGUAUUAAUAAUUCAUAGUUUUCAAGUUAUUUUUAACUAGAAUUAUUUUUGUUUUGAUUGUGCGCUAGUUGACAAUCUUGAAUUGUGGUUUUAAUGUAAUUUGUUUGCUUAUAUUUUCGGUAAAUUUGCACUAUCCAAUUCAUUGCUUUUGGUUGCAUAUAAAUCAAUGGCUUUGUCGAAAUCAAUAAGCAUGACGCACAAUCAAGUAUAGAUAUUUGCUUUGUUUGUUAUGAUUAGUUGGCACAUGGUUCAAAUGCACGUGGUUCCAGGAUUACAUGUGCUUGUCUUGUUUGAUUGUUGAAUUUUGUGAACCUCAUGAUAUGUUGGCACGAGUCAUAAUAUGUGGGACCCACAUACUUUCCAUGAUAUAAGUUAACUUGGGGCUUGUUUGGAAGUGAAGUUUUUGGCCAAGUUUUUUAGCUACUAGUUUUUUAACAACUUUUGCUACAGGAACCCCAAAAAACUUAUCAAAAUUUUUUACCUACACACUUUAAAAUAAUAUACAAAAAAUUUCCCUUCAAUUUUUCUUCUUUUUCCUCCCCACCCAACCGGCCACAACCUCCACCACCGCUUCCGGUGCCGGUAAUGAAAUCUCAACACCCCAAGCUAAAAAUUGCACCCCGUCCACUUUUUUCUUGCGGGUUUUUUCGCAACUGUACUCAAACAGUGCUCAGUCCGACCACCACCACUUCUCCAACACUCCCUUUCCCGGCCACCUCUGAUCAGUCAACGCCAAAACCAACAUCACCACCACCACCACCACCACCACCACCACCUCCUCCUCCUCCUCCUCUCCCUCCUCCACCGUCUUCCUCUCAUCCACCACAUGCACCGACCAAACCCGAUUCGGAAUCAUCCUCAUCUUCCUCAAACACCUCCCAGAGCUUCACCCAAUUGAGGUUCCCACUGACUAACUCCCUCAUCUCUCACCAUUUUAUACACCCGUAUCAGCAAACUCAAGAAAAGCCAAAGAUUUCGGAGCCCACCCCACCAAGAAAAGCGCCUGAUUCUCUGCCGCCGCCGCAACUAUCUGCUACCAAGUUGGAAGAAACUUUUCAUGUUGCGGAGCUUCAUUUCAGCUCUGGAUCCGACGAAGACAAGCUCGGCGCGCUACACCUGCUAGAAAAGUCACUCGUUCCAAACCCACGCGCAGUCGCGGACGGUGGAGAUGCAGGGGCAUGCCCGGCUACGGUCAUGAAAUGGGUAGUGGGCUGUCUAAAAGAAAGGGUCAUGGCUAAGUCGGCGCAGUCGAAGCCGAGGCAGUUGGGGUUGUGGUGGACGCAAUGGCGGAUUUGGAGGGUGCGGUGGCAGAAAGGUCGUUGGCAGUAUUGGAGUGGGGGAACUUUUGCAGGGGUGGGGAAGGGGGGUGGCGGGCAGAGGGAGAGAGAGGGAGAGCUUUUGCAGGGGUGGGGGAGGGGGGUUGCGGGCAGAGGGGAGCGACGGGGGAGCUUUUGCAGGGGGCGGCGGAGGUAACGGGGAAGAAGAAGAAGAAGAAGAAGAAAAGAAAAAGAAAAAGAAAGAGAAAGAGAAAAAAAAAGAAAAGGAAAAAAAAUUUCACCUUCACCUUACAAAAAUUUCUACAAAAUUUUUUCAAAAACUUCUACAGUACACUACAGUAAAGUUUUAGACAAACUCCCAAAAAACUCAGGUUCCAAAUAGGCCCUUGAUUUCUGGUUUUGGUAAGUUGUUCGUUUUUUCCCUAUUUCAACAAAAAGCCUUGCGGCUUGUUUUCUUAGUUUAUUCAUUCAAGAGUUUUGAUUAACAUAAUAUUUAGUAGGGCCUGCAUGAUAUGUAACUUAUUAAUAUGUUAAGGAAAUUUGGGUUUCUCUAAUUUGUGUCUAAUUUGUGUGAACCCUAAUAAAGUUAAACAACACGUUUAAACUUUUGAAAAAAAAGUCCAUAAGAUUGGUUCACUAGGUAUAUAGUCUUAUAAGACAUUUAUGGAUUUCAAGAAAAUUUUGGAUUUGAAUGAUAAAUUUGGGACAAGUUAUAGAUAUGGACUUUUAAUCCAAUAAAUCUUGAUCCAUUUGACUGGUUUGACCAGAAUUUGGCUGGUUUGAAUACAUUUGACCGGAAUUGAUUAGUUUGACAAGAUUUGACUGAUUUGACCACAUUUUGAUCAGAAUUAACUAAAGUUGAUUUUGAUCGAAAAUUUUGUGUACAUCGUGUAAUUUUAAAUUUGAAUAUUUGUAUGAUUAUAUAUAUAUAAGAAUAAAUUAAUUGAAACAAUAUGCCACGAAAAUGACCUCUUUUGUGAAAAUUAAUUAAUUUUAAAAUAGAACUAGUUGGGUGCUUGUAAUUUUGUUAAUAUUGAUCAGCCCAAAUGAAGGUCAAUAUUUAAUAAAAUUGCAUAUGCACUUGUAGUAAUAAACACGUGAUGAUUAUUCGAAUUUUUUCAUGUGAAUUAUAAAUUGACCCAAAGGAAAAUUUAUGUUUAACAUGUUAUUAUUAUCAGUGUUUAUUAUUGCGCCAAGAUAUCAGUUAGAAGUUAAUAUUUUUAUUCAAAGACAAAAUAUUAAUGAAAUAUUGGUAUCUUGAAAUGGGGUUACCUUUAUUUAAAUUUAUUAUUAUUUUUUGGUGUAUGUAAGUUUGUUUUAACUAUUUUAUGUUUUCUGUUCAGUUGCGAAUGAUCUUACAAAUAUUACUACCAAUAUCAAUAAUAUUUCUAUGCUGAAUGGCACAAAUUUCAAGUUCUAAAAAGAAAAUCUCUUAAUUGUUCUUGGAGUAAUGGAUCUCGACUUUGCGUUAAGGGAUGAUUUUCCUCCACCUCUUAUAGAUUAGAGUACAUUUGAUGAAAAGAGGAAUAAGGAAAGGUGGGAGAGAUCAAAUCGCCUGUGUUUGAUGAUCAUUAAAAAGGACGUUCCAAAAGCAUUCAGAGAAACAAUAUCAGAAACGACAAUUAUGGCAAAGGCGUUCCUCCAGGACGUUAAAAAAAAGUUUGUCAAGAACAAAAAGUUUAACAAAUAAUAUAUCUCAAUAAUCACUUAACUAAUACGAUUAAAAUUAAUAUAUCUCAAUAAUUGCUUCACCUACUUCCAAAAUAUAUACACAAAAUAUAUUUAAGACACUUUUUUCUUUUUUUUUUCUUUUUAUUUUUUUCCUUCGCCUACUUCCCUCCAGUCCAAUGCAAAAAAUUUACUAAAUAUCCUAAUUCUUCACACCCAUUUCUGAUAUGUUAUCAUGCUCAUCUAGGAGUCCAGGCAAACUUGAUGUGCCUCGAAUAUAAGUCGUUAACUUUUAAAAUAAAAACAGCCAUAUUUUUAUAAAGGAAAAUUGAAAUAAUUGAAAUCGUGCUCAUUUGAUUUACUCCAAUUAAUCUAAGGCACAAACAAAAUUAUGUAAUCGAAAGUGCCAAUUGCAGAAGUCCUUAUUCCUUGCCGUACAACUCCAUGUAUCCCAAUUGCUAAACUCGUAGAUACAAGAUGACUUGUAAUGAACUCUAUUUGUCCGUGUAGUUGACUUGAUUGUAUUGGAUGUUUUAUUCUUUAAGACGUGAUGCUGUUGCAAAAAUUCAAUAUAUAUAUAUAUAUAUAUGUAUAUAUAUCUAUCUUAGGUCCCUUUUCAUUAACUGUAAGGGCAAAGGGGGCCUUUUGAUCAUCAUUUCGAUUACUAAAUUAGUUUUUUGAUUUCUUGUCAAGAGAUGUAAAAUAAGCUAUCUUUAGAUUUUGUUCCCAAUGUCUAGCAGCCAAAAAUGAUGCCACGGACAAAAAGCUUCAGCAAUUAUCUCAGAAAGCAAUAUUCAGCCCUCCGUAGAGCUGAAUUCCAAGCUUCAGUGGCCAAAAUUAAUGAUAUUGCUUUUUGGUUGGAUUUGUAGUCUUGUUCCUUGGCAAUUUCAAAUUUUCAAUUUUCUGACGGCUAACAAGAUUGUUUAAAUCGAUUUUAUAAGGGAUUAUUUCAUAAUGUUUUGCAUAAUAGAGUGCUGUGGUCGAUUGGAAGUUGGCAUUACUCUAAUCCAUCCCAUCACAAGUUAUAAUUACUAUUGUACUAUUCACGAUAACAAGUUUGGUAAACUUGUAAUAAAAACAAAAAAGCUUCGGGACUGAUCUAAAAUGUUUGGACUGAAUUGGUAAUUCCUCAAUGUACCUACUUAACUACAACCCAAGAAAAAACUAAGGGCUUUUGGUUUAGCGAUUUUUCAUAUAACUUCUCUAUAAUUUCAAAAACUAUAUAUAACCCUCUCAUAAUUUAUACUAAAGUAUAAAAAUGAUGGAAAUGACUAAAGUGACUAAAAUAUAUAAGCGAAAUAUGUAUGACACUUUAACUCCGUAUGGUUAUAUAUCAAAAUUAUCAAAAUUACCAUUGUUUAAAAAUUAAAUUUACUAAAGUGACUAAAAUAUAUAAACAUAAUAUGUAUAAUAAUUUAAUCCUGUAUGGUUUUAUUUUUUACUAAAUAAUCCCCUUAUGAUUUAAUGUUUUGCCAGAUAACUCCCUUAUAUUUUUUUAAAUAUAUACAUAAUCCCCCGUGGUUAAUAAAUAUUUUUGAACUGUACAUAGGUGUACUUUUGACAUUUUAAUUGACUAUAUUGUACAAUGUAGAUUCCAUUAUUUUGACAUUUUAAUUCAAACCAUAAGUAAAUUAUGUACAGCUUUCGAAAUCAUAGAGGAUUAUGUGAAAAGACGCUAAACCAUAAGGGGAAAAAUUUUACCCAAAAAUCAAUGAUGUGAUUGUGAAGACAAUAGCAGUCAUCCAUCUUCUCAUCGAACCAAAUGAUUAACCAAAUUUGCUGUCAUCUUUAGAUUAGUAUUUCUAAACAGAUAUUCUACUCGAAUUGAUGUACCAAUUGUAGAUCCAGGAGUCCUAAAGAGUCAUUAAGCAUGAUUGUUCUAUACUUCAACUGUGAACAACGGGCUUAAGGAUCGAAGGCUCUAAUUGUGAUCUGUAAUUUAUAUGAUCAAACAAUUAUUAUAUACUCAACAAACAACAUGUCUAUGCAGUAACACAACUGAUCUGCAUGGGGGUAUCAUUCAAUUGCAGAUUUCACCAUGAAUGUUAUGUUUUCGCUCAAAAUUUAUUUCAACCAUUCAAAAUUGAAAUGGGGUGAUCUCAACCAUCAAUCUUACCCUAAUUUCAAAAUCCCAUCAUUCUUCCGGCGUACACUUAUUCCCUUUUUUUAAAAAAUAAAAAUAAAAAUCGAAGGUUAUGAGUUGCUACCAAACUAAUUUUAACAAUUAUAAGAAAACGAAAAGGAAAGCUUAGUUCUACCCACUGUAUACCUCCAAUUAGGUCCAUUUGUUAAUAAACACCAGCAUAUAGCCACUCUAUGCCUCUAAUUUUAGUCUAAAUUUUUUGUUUUAACUUGGUCCUUUAUGCCUUUGUACAUUGUCCUAAAAUAAGGAGCCUGUCAUUUUCUAUACUACAAUUUUUUGAAGAUGAAAUGAAGUAGGAUUACUGCAUAAACUAUGUAGUUGAGCCGGAAACUUUCAGUUCAAUUGGUUGGUUUGGCUUAUAGAGCCAACGAGACUUUGAUCUGGUAACUAAAACAAAAAAGAUUGAAGUCCCAAGAAAAAUGAUUCCGGUCUUUGGCAUUCGAACAAUGUGAUUACCCUAUCAAUAGUCCUUUUCCGUGGAACAAAAUUAUAGCAGAGAUGAAAGAUUUUCUUUAUUUUCUGUACUGUAACGGGGAAAUUUGCUAAGGCCAUAAUUACAUAAAUUUACUAGUUUUUAUUACAAGAAAGAAGCGGCCUGGAGAAAGAGCACGAAGAGUAAGAAUCAAGGUUUUGGAACAUCUGUAACCACACUGUGCAAUGGACGGUCUCAGAUCGAGUCGAAGGAGGCCGACUAAGUUUGCCAGUUUGGGAGGUUGAUGAAAAAAUGUUCCAGACUUACCACGGCUCCUAGGCCAAAGAUGAGACCUUGUAUUGCACAGUGCGAUUGCAACCCUUCUCAAGAAUCAAUCCAACACUUGUAUCAAGACAAGAAUACAGAAUCUGCAGCAUUCGGCCAUGUUAAGAAUUCAAGGAAGUGGGGAUGGAAUAACAAGAAGAGGAAUUUUGCGACGAACUGCAACGUCAGGGCAUUCUGUCAUAUCCAACUCUUUUCCCUGUGCUCCGGGAAAUUGCCAAUCAAACUUGCUUACCAAAUUUGCCAACACAAGUUCAUUACUAGCAACAGCAAAAGCGAUUCCAGGACAACCCCUCCUACCAGCACCAAAUGGGAUUAACUGGAAAUCAUGCCCUUUAAAAUCCACAGAGGAAUCCAAAAAUCUCUCUGGCUUAAAGUUCUCAGGUUCAUCCCAAUACGCGGGAUCUCUACCUAUUGCCCAAGCAUUGAUGAUCACCAUUGUACCAGCUGCAAUAUCAUAUCCCAUUAUUUUGACAUCUUCUCUUGCCUCUCUAGGAACCAGCAACGGAAUUGGAGGAUGUAAGCGAAGAGUUUCCUUGGUCACUGCUUUUAAAUAAUGCAUCUUUUCUAAGUCAGCCUCAGAUAUCUCUUCCUUGAGACCAACAACCUCUCUAAUUUCAGUUUGCAGUUUCUUUAGGACGAUGGGGUGUCUUAAGACCUCUUGUCAUUGUCCAUUCUGCAACUGUUGCCGUGGUAUCAGUUCCAGCAGAGAAUACAUCCUACAGCUAAAAAAUGUGCACUUGUACAGUAAUUUUGUUGAUUCUCUUGACCAAAGCCCAAAGCUUUUUGGCAAUAGUUUUACAGUAAUUUUGUUGAUUGCCCGUGAGAAUGAUCAGAGAUGACGCAAUGAGUUAUGACUGAGAAAAUGAAGCUUAAUGAUUUUAUAUUCACUGCAGAGAAAAUUGUGCUUACCAAUAUUAUAGCUUUGACGCUGUCCCUGUCCAUGGUUACACCUGUUGCGUUAUCUUUAUAGAUUUUCAGCAAAAUAUCAAGAAAGUCUUCUCUGCUUUCACCAUCAAUCGUCUCACCACUUGGCCUGCAGGAAUAUUUUUCCACUGCACCAUCCAACCUUUCUUGGACCACGCCCUCCAAGAACUCAUCUACUUCUCUAGCAACGCGAUCCACUCUGGCAUCGUAACCAUUAACUCGAUUAAUCCAGCGGAGACAGGGCACAGAUUUGACUAAACUUCCUCCGUUCAGUAACUCCAAGAAUUGGCCCAACAGCAGCUUGAAUUUCUUUCCAGUUUCCCCUCCACCGUAUUUCCUCCCAAAGCCGAUCUGCAUACAAUAUCAUUAGUCAGCGAAACAAACAUUUCGCUCAAAUUCACAGGUGUCGAAUCCAAAGAAGCGUCUUUAAUCUUCUGCAUCAUAAUCGACGUUUCCUCUUCCCUUAUAUUACGAAACGCCUGAACUUUUUUGUUGCUCAGGAGCUGAAGAACACAAAUACUCUUUUAACUGUCUCCAAUACUCGCCAUAGGGUGCUACCGAUAUAUCCUUCAUGUUAUAGAGAAGUUUAUUAGCUGUGCUCGAAAAUGGCCUAUCAGAGAAAAUCAAAUCGUGGGUUUUCAUGAUUAGGCUAGCUCCAUCAGCUGAUGAAACUACAACCGUUGGAACACUACCAAAUUUGAGAAACAUGAUUGGACCAUAUUUUUGGGCUAAGGAGUGGAGAGGAUAGUGAAGCAGUGAGCUUAGCUGAUGAAGAUUUCCAAUAAUCGGAAGUCCUGGUGGCGAUGGUGGCUGAUUCUUUCUCGAAUUUGAAACUAAUUUGAAGAGAAACCACAGUAAGAUUAAAGGAAAAAGCGAAAAAAAGAUUGGAUGAAACAUAUAUACAUCAAUCUUUAGCUCCGAUACCAAGCCUGAGGAGCUUGCCAUUUGCUUUCAUCUCCCCUGUAUUUUGCUCAGGCUACAAGACUCUGAUUUCAGACAAAAAAUUGGAAAACAAGAACGGACAAGCUUGUGUCAGUUGGCAGGCGUGUGGUAUCUAUAUGGAUAGACUUGCAGAAAAAUGACAAAAGAGGAAGAGGAUGGAAAAAUAAGGACAAAUCUAUAAGGAGAAAAUUACACUUUACUCCCAUAUAGUUUAGUAUUUUUGUAUAUAAUUCUCUUAUAGUUUCAAAAAUUAUAUAUAACCCCUUUUACUUUGGAUUAAAGUGUCAAAAUGACGAAAAUAGUCAUUCGUAAUGAAACCUUUUAAAAUGUCAAAAUAACCAUUGUUUAAAAAUUAAAAUGAUUGAAGUAACCAAAAUAUAAAACAUAAUAUACAUAAUACGUUAACUCCACAUGGUUUUAUAUUUAUCAUAUAACCCCCUUAUGGUUUAAUAUUUUAUCAUAUAAUCCCUUUAAGAUUUUCAAAAUAUACACAUAACCCUCCUGUGGUUAAUAAAUAAUUUUUCAACUUUAUAUAGGGGUAUUUUGACAUUUUAUAUGAAUUCGUUAUGACAUUUUAAUUCAAAUCAUGAGGAGAUUAUAUAUAACUUUUGAAACCGUAGGGGGUUAUGUACAAAAAUACUAAACCACAAGGAAUAAAAUGUAAUUGCCUGAAAAAUAAGGACAAAUCGAAACCUCUUACAACAUGAGAACAUAUGAGAACAACAAGGACUGGUUUUUUUUUUUUAUUUUUUUACUACGUGCAUUGAACUAUAGAAUUUCAGACAAAACUACAACUUAAAAUUUAUAACUUUGGGAUAGUAAAAAAAGAAAGGGAGAGAAGCUAAAACAAUUUCACCUGAGUUUUUUAUAUUUUUAUAUCUUGAUUAACUGUUUGUAUUCUGAAUCUUGCUCAAUUCCCGUCACAAAUGAAAAAUAUGAUUAAACAACAACUGCAUUAUAAUCAAAAUAAUAGUACGACCCAAUAUCCAUAUAUUGGGAACAAAAAUACAAAAUGAAUCCACAUAUCCAUAAUCCAAAAUGUAUGGAAAUCAACAUACAAAAUGAAUCCAUAUAUCCAUAAUCCAAAAUGAAUUUGGCAAAUAAAGGGAACAAAAAUAAAACCACAAUUAUAGGGUAAAAAAGAGGAAAAUAAUUAAUUCUUCCGCAUUGACGUUUAAAAUGAAUUCCGGUCUAGAAAAGCCAGGAACAUAAUUUGGCAACGGAAAAACAAAGGGAAACCAAUAAACAAUACUAUUGGUCCAAAAAGUAAACACCACGGAUCGUAAGCCCCGUUCUAUUAGCCUCAAUGGACCAAGUGAAUAACUGUUUUUCGGCCAAGGUACUUCUGGACAAGAAUCACAGGGCUCCACACGCGUCUCAGCCCAUCACAUAAAUGUGAUUGACUCCCAAGUCCAAGAAGUUUGCUUGUUUCCAAGCCUGUAUCUCUACAGUAAAUGGCCCGUGGACUUUCCUGGGCCUGGCCCCACAUAGGUGUUGACCUUGACCCGGUCACUUCGUCCGCGGUGCAAUGCUUCGAUGGACUUCAAAACAUAAAUUAAACAUGGGCAUACUUCUUAAGAAUUCACGAUGUGGGCGGAGAUAAUUUCUACUCUUAAGCUAUUGAGCUAGACCCCUAGGCAAAACCUUAAGGUAGAGAAGUAAAAGAGCAGGGGAGGGAAAACCGGCCUUCUCAGUCAAUUAUUCUAGCAGAAAUUCAAAGAUUGAAGAAUCCGAGGAUGCUGCAAAAUGCUAAGGAGGAGCAAAGUUUAGGUACUUCCAGGAUGCGUUAUUAUCACUUUAUCCCCUUAAAACUAUAUUACUAUUAUCAAUUUACUUCUUAAUAUUAUCUUUUAGUCACUUCACUCUUAUAAGUAAUUCAAUUCAACAUUUUUUAUAUACAAAAAAAUUAAACAAAAUACCUUUUUAUUUUUUUAUAUUAUUACAUUAUUAUUAUCACUUAUUAAUAGUACGAGAACUUCCACUAGAAAUAAGACCACAAAAAUAAAAAAGAAAGCAUAUGAAUACGAAGCCAUUAACAAAGAUAUGGGGUGGCAAUAGCAUGUAGAGGAUGUUUUCUGUGAACUGUGAUACCAGCUGCUUCAGUCAUGUCCAGAUCCUCAGGCUUGAUUCCAUCAGGCAACGCAAAAUUAAAUUUGUUGACCAAUUUUGCCAAUGCAAGUUCAUUUACGGAUAUGGCGAAGUUGAUACCCGGGCAAACCCUUCGUCCGGCACCAAAAGGAAUUAACUCAAAGUUAAAACCUCGAAAAUCUAUAUUGGAAUUCAGAAACCUCUCAGGUUGAAAUUCCUCAGGGUUCUCCCACAACAGGGGGUCUCUUGCAAUUGCACUAGCAUUCACCAACACUAGUGUGCCUGCUGGUAUAUCACACCCCAUUAUUUUGAUGUCUUGAGUUGAUUCUCGAGGAACCAGUAAUGGAACAGGAACAUGAAAUCGUAGAGUUUCUUUAAUCACUGCUUUUAAGUAUCUCAUCUUCUCCAAAUCAUCUUGAGUUAUUUCUGGUUUUCCCUGGGUCACUUCUCUUACCUCAGCCUGUAAUUUCUGCAAGGUUAUAGGUUUCUUUAGAAGUUCUGACAUUGCCCAUUCCACAACUGACUCUGUUGUGUCAGUUCCAUCGACAAGCAUGUUCUGCAUGACGGAAUGAAAGAAAGUGUUGCUUUAGAACAUGCAUAGAUGUUUUUUUUUUAAAAAAAAAAAAUCUAAAUUUCCAAUUUCAAAAAUAAUUGGCACGUUUGCACCCAAGUAAUAAAUUUGUAUCACACCUUUCCAAAGAAAAAGAAAAAUGAAGACAAAUUAACAAUAUUCAUACUAUCGCAAUAAGCGUUUAAUUGCCACAUACAAGACGAAACACUAUGUUGCUUUUCCCUCUAAAAUGUUGAUUAUUAUUGCUCUUUUUUCCUCCAAAAUCUGCAGUUCUGGUAUGCAAUCCAAUUUUAGAAACUCAAUCGUGAAGUGCAAAAACUGAAGAUUUACGUAGUAGAGUUGAACUUGUCAAAAGAUUAAUAGGGUUAGGUACAUGUAAAUUUAAAAGUUACCAUGUUAUACAUUUAUUUCAAGUUUUCUGCAUCACUGGACAGAUAACAAAUCCUUAAACCUUAUCGUUUUGGAAACAUUAAAUGGUCUCAAGUUUAAGUGCAUAAAGUUCGGUUAACCCAAGCAACAAUUGAGGAUUUUUUUUUUUUUUUUGAAAAUUGUUUACAAGAGAAGGUAUUCAAAUGCAAGGGAUGAAUUUUUCUUUUAAUCUGAUAACAAGGGAAGGUAUUCAAAUAUAAGGGACGAAAAUGAGUGUGAUUACAUACAUUCAUAGUAAUUUUGAUAUAAAUUAAAUAUACUAAAGAGUGUAUAUAUAUAGAGUUGUGUGGUAAUUUUAGAAUUUUGAUAGUGAGUCAACCCUUUUUGUAUGUUUACUUAAUAUCCUUACCUCUUGUUUGGUAUGCAGUAAUGUCCAAAAUAAAAAGGUCUUCUACCCAAAAUGGUAGGGAUAAAUAUUUAUCAUUAUUCAUUCUUCAAUAUUUAGUGUGAUCAAUAUUUAGAUGUCAGAAUAGAAUACAAUUAAUAAAUAUUUGACUUAAUUAUCCUAGAUAUGUUUAUGACUUUUAUUUUUUGUUCAAGUAUGUUAAUCUUUUGUUUACAUGGAAUUCGCACAUUUUUUGCUUUCAGAAUCUUUUGUUUACAUGGAAUUUCUACUAUGUAAUCUUUUGUUUUCAUUUUUUUUAUGAAAUUCAAAAAAAAAAAUUCCAUACAACUGUUGGACAGAAUCAGGUCAAACCUGAUGAAUCCGAAAAAAAAACAGGUCAAAUUUAGGUCACCCAUAGGUUGACCUAUUAACCCGUUUAUGAACUAAAAAUAAUUUAAUAAAUAUAAAAAUAUUUUAUCUAACUAAACUAAGUUAUUCUUUUUUUUUUCCAAAGGCAUUAACCACUUAAUCCUAAAUGAAUUUGUUAAACUUGUGUGAAGUUGGAAUCAUUAUGUUUGGACAAAUGAUGUAUUACAUUAUUUUCUACUUUUAUAGUGUCUUAAUUUAUUUUAGAUCUGGUUUGGGAUAAAAACACUUUUACAGUAUUUUAAUUUAUUUCAGAUUUGGUUUGAAAUUAUUUUAUCGAGAUUUUUAUUACUUCAUAUGUAAUUAGUCUUAUGUGAAAUUAGUUCUGUUAAAAACUACAGUGGUAAAUUAGUAAAUUGAAAUUAUGUUUGGAGUCAUUCGGGUGACCUGCCAACCCGAAAAUUUCGGGUUCAGGUCAGGUAUCCUGACCCGUUACGAGUUGACGGGUUGUAUUCGGGUCAGCAGAUUGUCUAUUGUACAUGGGUCUCAACCCGAUCCGUCAACUCAUAUCCGACCCGAUUGCCAUUCACAAGAUUUUAUGUUAAAGCAAGAAAAAAAAAUAAAAAAAUGAGUCAAACUCAAACAUAAACUGAUCAAACCGGACAAACCUGGUAAAACUCCAACAGUUGAACAGGCUAGCCACUAGAAAUUUUUCCCUUUAUAUAAUUGUUAUUAUUCAAAUCUUCUAAUUAUAACUAAAAUAAGAAAACAUUUAAUUGAAUUAGUGGUUGAACCAUGAAGGCAUGAACCAAAAGCUCAUCUGGUUCAUUCAACCAUCCAAGUUUAAUAAUAUUGAAUUCAGUAAACCUUACAAACCAAAUAGAUUUUGAUCUAGCACAUCGGAGUAAAGUAGAAGAAUGCCAUUUAAUAAGUUGUCAUGUCCAAGUCAACUAAACUGAAAACAUUUGUACGAUAGUACCAAACAAAAUCUAAACCUUCCAGCCUAGUGCAAGUCACUACCUUCAAAACUAGUACUAGAUAAUUUAUUAGCAGUAAACAUAAUUCUUUUCAGAGUUGAAACUAAUUAUAAAUUCUCAUAGUGCGAUGUAAUUAAAGAGAUGGAGAGAGAUCCAAUUUACCAGGAUGAUAGCUUUCAUAUCAUCACGGCCAAGAGCAAAGCCGAUAGUGCUUUCCUUAUUAACCUCGAUCAGAAUGUCCACAAAGUCUAGGCAUCUUGCCUCAACGGAAUGGUCAUUUUCAGCCUCACCUUUCCUCUUAUUUAUGUGCUCUUCUAUUACACCCUCAAGAAAUUCAUCAAUCAGUUUAGCAAAUUUCUCCACUUUCAAGUCC